CUUGUCGGCGGCGACGAAGUAUGCCAUCCCGGCGACGGUGCAGACGAUGAGCGCCUGGCCGGUGGGGUUGAGGUUCGCCUUGGCCCACGGCAGCAUCCUCACGCUCGCCAGCUGCGUGAUUAAUAGUAGUUCAGUUAUGGAAACCACAGUCCAACGUGCAUGGAAAUCAACAACAAUUCCUGGACGGAGGAGCUCACCGUGGGGACUGCCGACGCGACCGUGGCGACGGCCGCAGCCUUUGCUCCGGCGAACGUUGCCUCUAGGAAAGAUUAAAAGAAAAAAAAGAAUGAACCGCUAGUAUCAGACUAUCAGCACACAACUGAGCUCUGAAGAAGUGCAUCCUGGUCAGUGGUUACUACCUCUGGAGCAGCGUUUGGCGAGGGCGAGCUUGUGGUCGAGGGACGCGCGGGUGACGGUGGCCGCCGACGACGACAUCUUCACCGUGAUAUUGUACAGAAACGGCUGAGUGCGAUCGAGUGAGAUGGUGUGGGCUGGCUGGUUCGUUGUUGCUCGAUGCAUCCAGACGAGGAGCUAGCCGUGUAUUUAUAGCGAGCAAAAAGGUUGCCGCCAUGCACGGUUUUGGGUGCAAACCGUGGGUACUCUGCUAUGAUCCGCUCAUUUGGACUUUAGAGUACACAACUGAGUUGGUGGGCGGAGCACCGCACGCUAUCUAAAAACUAUGGCAGCAAUCCACAGGAUUUGAUGAUGCUUGUUUGUUAGAGGUAUAUAUCCUCCAUGGCUCAAUCGCCUUUCUUUCUUUACCCACCAAAGCUGGUGAAAAAAGAGAGAUCUAAAGUUAGGCACAACAGUGCUGAUCUGAGCACAAUACUACGUAGAUAAUUGCUACCGGACGCAUUUGUUCUUUGUAAGAUAAGAUAACAAAUAUGAAACGGAGCAGGUGCCUCCGGGUCCACUCGUCAUCGUCGGUCCGUCGGUCGGCGAGCGGCGCUCCCAGUUUUCCGGCGAAACCGGCGGCAUGUGCUCCCCGGCCGGACUAGCUCUUCAUGCGUGAGCUGCUUUGGCAUUUCUCCACAUUUUUCUCCAGUCUGCGGCCCACCCAUAUUGCAUACAACAUUUAUUCUUCAGGUUCGUUGCACAAGAUACAGUCUGUUGGUGUAACCUGUUGUUGCUGCAAUCUCCAAUUCAUUGUUUUUUUUAAUAAUCUAAUUCAUUGUUUCAUUGUACGUUGACAUGAUUCCCAAUGAUUUGAUCCCGCUUGUAAGUGCAUACAAUGACAUCAACCAGCCAAUAAGAACUACCUCGUAGGUUUAGUUGCUCAUUAUUAUACAAUUACGACAUGGCAGUUUUAGUCAUUCAUUACCAUUUUUUGUUUAAAACUUGACAUUUAAAAAUGGCCUUUUAAAUUUGUGUCCCUAACUUGAAUCCAUAAUUCAGAUUUGCCCUAAUUUCAAAGCAUAUGCUCAAAUUUACACCUCUGCCGUUAUGUGUCCUUACAAAAAUAUCCUUCUGUACCAUAUUUUUAAUUGACAAAUUAUAGAGACUAUUUUGUCAUAUGGUAUUAUUAAAGAAGUUUUUUUUCUGUGGGUCAACGCACCAUAGUUUUGAACCUUACGUAGUGACGGAGCCAGUAUUUGGAUGUGGCCGUGGAUAGGGGGGCCAAAUACUUACAUACUAUGACAUAUCAAUCAAAUAUACACUAGGUACUUCAGAUUUUAUCGACCGUUAGGGGGAGCCAGGCCCCUGCUCGCCCCCUUGUCUCCGCCCCUGACCUUACGCGUAGAUAUGGAUAUACUUUUAUCUAACGAACGAUUAAGAAAGUGUUAAAGUAUUCCGGCCUCUGGUGACAAACACUUCGAACCUACACAUGACGGCUUUAUGAGUCUCUAGUGAUAAACACCUCAAACCUACACAUGACGACUUUAAUUAUGAGCCUUUGCUGACAAGCACCUCAAACAUGCACAUACGGCUUUACGAAUACAAAAAACUCAUGUUUUUUUAAUUAUUACAUGUUUUCCGACGAUAUACGAUCAAUGGGAGUAGGCAUUCUGGUCGACUAUGAUGACGCAUGUAGCAACUUCGACAAUUUUAAGAUAAUGUACCGGCUCAACCUAUCAAAGAUGCUCGCAAAGAUAGUAUGUGAGUGUGUACAUGUAAGUAUACGUGUGUAUAUACAAGUGUCUGCGCCUAUACUAUGUAUUGUGUUAAAUAACAAUACAUAAAGAUUGUUACGGUUUUCAAAAUAAAAGAAAAACACACGCUUCAAAACGUCAUUGUCUGUACUGUCUAUUAUGUUAAAUAACAAUACAUAAAGCUUGUUACGGUAUUCAAAAUAAAAAAGAACACUUGUUUCAAAACGGCCAAAUUUUUCAUUUUUAAACCCAUCCCUAUUUGUCAACCCAUCCAAUAAGCCGUAUCAAAAGAUUUAACGAGCGAGGUUAGAUGGCUUUGUCCUCACAUGCAUUCCGAAACAGAAUAGGGGCGGAAAAGGGAUCAAAAAAUGUACUUGUGGUGUGGUGUCAUUUCGGCGUUUUGCAAUGCUCCGAAGUACUUAGUACGCAUGCUAAAUGGUAAUCUUCGCAAACAAGAAAAAUAUUAGAUGAGUGAGGGCACUUGAACCAGAGAUGUACGAAAUUAAAACUACUCCCUUCGUUCCUAAAUAUAAGUCUUUCUAGAGGUUUCACUAACGGACAACAUACGGAUGCAUAUAGACAUACUUUAAAGUGUAGAAUCACUCAUUUUAAUUUGUAUGUAAAUCUCUAAUGAAAUUUCUUAGAAGACUUAUAUUUAGAAACAGAGGGAGUUGUUGUUAUUAACUAAAGAUCUCUGGAAAGAUACUAAGAUGGAGAAGUUGGCAACAUUAUUUCAUUUCAUACAUGAUCAGAUAACUAGUGCUUUGCUCGCAGUAAACAUCGCACUGGGCCAGAUCGCCCCAACAUUAUACUACUACUACGGGGCGGCGUACAGAGGUUGCUGCGCACUAGUUGAUCUACAACAUAAUUAGUGGUAGGAGGUCUUCUUGAGGUGCUCCGGCGCGUCCUGGAAGGAAUGCUUCCUGGCCAUGGAGAGGAUGGUCUUGUCGGCGACGAUGAAGUAGGCCAUCCCGGCGACGGUGGAGAUGAUGAGCGCCUGACCGGCGGGGUUCAGGUGCGCCUUGGCCCACGGAAGCAUCCUCACACUCGCCAGCUGCAGAAAAAGGCACGCAAGAAGAAGACGGUGAGAUGAUUAUUCGUUCGACGUCAAAAACUCAGUGGUGCAGGCUGAUAAACGUGUGCUUACGGUGGGCACUGCGGCGGCGACGGUGGCGACGGCCGCGGCCUUGGCUCCNNNNNNNNNNGUUUGGGAUCAACGUACGACUGUUAACCAAGUUCAGGUUUCAGCAGAAACAUAAGCCGCCGCAAUGAAUAGCAUUGCUGGGCUAAGGCUGGAAUCAGUCGUGGGCGCUUGGCGGCGGCGAGCCUCUGGUCGAGGUAGGGACGGGUCACCGUCGACAUGUUCACGGGCGGAGAGCUUGAUGUUGGCGACACGAGAUCGGAAGGAAGUGAACUAGUAGUGGCAGUAGCCCAGUAAUUCUGCGAGAUCGCCGACGGGCUAAGAUGAGUAGCAGUGUGAGCGAUAUGAGAUGAGAUGGGCAGAGCGAGAAUUUACAGGUUGCCGGGCAACCAGCGUGCGGCCGGGUUGACACUUGAUACGGUGGGAAGCAAGCCAGACCGUGUUUUUGAUACCGAGGGCCCGUUUGGUUUCAAAUAAGUCACCAACUUAUAAGUUGAAAAGUACAAAAAGUAGUUUAUUUUGCCAAACAGACCUAACUUAUAAAUCACCCCAACUUAUAAGUCAUAAGUUGCUUCACCCCCACUUAAACCUUAUAAGUCACCCACUUUUGCAUGGUCAGGUGACUUAUAAGUCAGAUGACAACCAAACAUGCGUGAUUUAUAAGUCACUGGUUUUAAGUCACCUGAUUUAAAAGUCACUGGCCCUGUUUGGUUUCAAUAAGUCAGGUGACUUAUAAGUCAGAUGACUCAUCUGACUUAUAAGGUCUGACUUAUAAGUGACCUUUAAGUCAGAUGACUCAUCUGACUUAUAAGUCACCUUUUCAUGCAAAAGUGGGUGACUUAUAAGUUUUAAGUUGGGGUGGAGCAACUUAUGACUUAUAAGUUGGGAUGACUUAUAAGUUGGGUCUGUUUGACAAAAUAAGUCACUUUUGCAUUUUUAAACUUAUAAGUUGGUAUUUGAAACCAAAUAAGGGCUAAGUCAUCUGAUUUAUUGAAAUCAAACAGGGCCCGAUACCGGCGGGCUGUGCGGAGGUUGAUAAAAUCCAUCAGGAUUGGCACGGAGCGUGUUCGUGUGUAGGAUAACAUAUAAGAGCAUGUGCGUGAGUGCAGUGUCACUCAGCGUGCACUCAAUUUUGUUGGCGAGUUGUCUGGGCGGGCGCUCCCAGUUUACGGCCAACCCGUCGGCGAUCCAAUUCUGCGAGCGGCUCGGUGCAGGGCAGAUCCUUUGAACAUUACCAUAUGCCGUAUAUCUAUGCGCGUAGAUAAAGUUGGUCACCCUUUUUGUCGGAGAUAAAGUCGAUCACCAGUUCAAAUAAUAUACUGCUCCCCCCCAUAAAAAAUAAGUGGAGCAUCGCGGUUUACAUCGAAUUGAUCGUAGGGAAUACUAGAAUCUUUAAUAAUCUACAACGGUGAAGACGCAUAGAAUUAACAGUUUUGCUGAAACUCAGCUAGCUGAGUUUUAAGUAUGGUCAUAGUCACUUUAUGUUUCUCUGGUUGUCUCGCUAGAUUCACCCUGUCUUUUGUUAAUUGCGGGAGCCAUGAUGGACGGCUCGUCUCGUAGGAGGAUCAGCCAUGUGCAUGAGUUUUCUCCAGGCCUUUUUGCUUAUUUAAACGAGCUGAGUUUUGUGAGUCUUUUCUUUAUUAACCGACGUAAAGAAAGAUGGGGUCUAAAGAUGCCACGCUGCUAGCUUUGUGCAUGUUUUGUCAUUUGUUCACUAUAGCUUCUAGGGGUAAUAAGUUCUUUCUUUUUUUCUUUUUCUUUUUUGCGGGUGAGGGCUAAGCUCAUUUUAAUUUCUUUUUCUUUUUAUCUUCUUCUCAUGAUGUAUCGUUGUAUUUUUUUUCUUCUGUUUUUCUUUCUUAUUUCACUAUAUAGAGUAGACAAUUGUUUCCCUAUUUUCUCUUUUUCUUGACUUUAGUAUAUUUACUUUGCUUUAGAAUAAAAUUCAUUUGUUACUGGAUAUUUCAAAUUGAUUGUUUAGGUUUUUAGUUUUGCAAAAAAUGUCUCUUAUUUUAUUUUUUUAAAAUACCCAUGUGAACACAAUAAUGAACUUGAGAUUGGAAAAAAGGGGCCGCAACUCUGCUCAGGAGGGGGAGUUGUCGGGGUCACUUGCAUGUUCACCACUAGACGUGCAACUGCAAAUGUUAUGACCUGAAUGCAACUGGAAGUUUCCAUGAGGGCCCGUAACUGCAUGUUUUUAAGACGGGGUCGCAACUGCACAUUUUCAGGAUGAGUUGCAACUGCAUGUUUUUAAGACGGGGUCGUAACUGCAUGUUUACAAGGUGGGCCGCAAUUGCAUGUGUUUUUUAAGAGGGGUCGCAACUGCAUGUUUUUAAGAUGAGUCGCAAUUGCAUGUUUUUAAGAUGGGUCCUAAUUGUAUACCCUCGAUGGGGGUUGUCGCAAUUGCACGCCUUCCAUGGGUUUGAUGUAAUUGCAUGCCUUCAACGGGGUUGCUGCAAUUGCAUGUAUUUUUGAUGGGGGUUGCAAUUACAUGCCUUCCAAGGUUUUGCCGCAUUUGCACGUCUUAUAGGGGUUGUCGCAAUUGCAUGCAUACGACGGAGCCAGUGCAAUUUUGUACCUUCGAUGGGGGGUUGUCGCAACUGGAUGCGUUCCACGUGGUUGUCAACUGCACACCUUCCACGAUUUUUGGUGUAAUUGCAUGCCUUCCACUAGGUUGCUGCAACUGCAUGCCUUCGAUGGGGUUGUUCCAACUGCAUCUGCUCCACGUGUUUUGUUCCAACUGUAUGUGCAAAUGCAUGCCUCCAAAGGAGUUUGUUGGAAUUGCAUGUCGUCGAGGCAUUUUGUUGCAACUGUAUGCCCGUAAGGGUUUUGGGCCAAGUAUAUGUCGAAAAUGGAGAAGUGCAAUAUAACAAACACCUUUGGUUAUAUAUAUGAUGUAAUGCGCUUUUUGUGCGAAUACUGGUGUUUUGAAUGUGUUUUGAAUAUGAUUUAUGCUAAUACCUUUAACGGGGUUGCUGCAAUUGCAUGCGUGCAACAGGGUCGCCGCAACUGCAUGCGUGCAACGGUGUCGCCGCAAUUCGCAUGCCUCCCAACUGAUGUUGUUUGUUGUUGAUGUUGAUGUGACCGCGUGCCUGCCGUAACUGCAUGCCCUCCCAUGUGUUUUUUGCCGCAAUUGCAUGCCUUCCAAUUGAUGUUGUUUGUUGUUCUUGAUGAUGUGACCGCGUGCCCGCUGUAACUGCAUGCCCUCCCAUGUGUUUUUUUCCGCAACUACAUGCCUUCNNNNNNNNNNGUCACUGCAACUGCAUGCCUGCAACGGGGUCGCCGCAACUGCAUGGCUUCGAUGGGGUUUGCUGCAAUUGCAUGCCUUCCAAUUGAUGUUGUUUGUUGUUGUUGUUGAUGUGACCGCGUGCCCGCCGUAACUACAUGUCCUCCCAUAUUUUUUUCCGCAACUACAUGCCUUCAACGGGGAUCGCCGCAAUUGCAUGUCUGCAACGGGGUCGCCGCAACUGCAUGUCUUCGAUGGGGUUUGCCGCAAUUGCAUGCCUUUCAAUGGAUGUUGUUUGUUGUUCUUGAUGAUGUGACCGCGUGCCUGCUGUAACUGUAUGCCCUCCCAUGUGUUUUUUUCCGCAACUACAUGCCUUCAGCGGGGGUCACCGCAAGUGCAUGCCUGCAACGGGGUCGCCGCAACUGCAUGGCUUCGAUGGGGUUUGCCGCAAUUGCAUGCCCUCCAAUUGAUGUUGUUUGUUGUUGUUGUUGAUGUGACCGCGUGCCCGCCGUAACUGCAUGCCCUCCCAUGUGUUUUUUUCCGCAACUACAUGCCUUCAACAGGGAUCGCCCCAAUUGCCUGUCUGCAACGGGGUCGCCGCAACUGCAUGGCUUCGAUGGGGUUUGCCGCAAUUGCACGCCUUCCAAUUGAUGUUGUUUGUUGUUGUUGAUGAUGUGACCGCGUGCCCGCCGUAACUGCAUGCCCUCCCAUGUGUUUUNNNNNNNNNNAUCAUCGCAAUUGCAUGUCUGCAAUUGGGUCGCCGCAACUGCAUGUCUUUGAUGGGGUUUACCGCAAUUGCAUGCCUUUCAAUGGGGUUUGCCGCAACUGCAUAGCUUCGAUGGGGUUUGCCGCAAAAAAACAUAAAGGGUUCAUGAGGUUUUUGCAUUUCUUAUUUUUUUCCCUAGCAUGCAGUCGGGUCAUAAGAACAAAUUGAGCAAAUAUGGAUAGCGAAUAAACCUUGCUUCAGAAAUAGAAAAACGAAAAAAUAGGAAGGCGGCAAGUGUUACCUUGGGUGUUGUAGUUAGUGAUACUUGACAGAUCAAUCUGGGUUGGUUCUUUUGAUUUUCUCAAUUUGUUCGUCUAUCUCAAUACGCAAGUACAAGUUUGAAGUCGGGUCGUAACUACAAGUUUCAUAGUCGGGUCACAACUCUGAAUUUUCAUAGUGGAGUCACAACAACAAACUCCAUCAUUUAGAAAGAUGAUGAUUUUUCAAUAAAAAAAAUAAAAAAACAUGAGACAAGACCGGGAUUGAUCCUGUGCGCCAGAGGCAUCAUGCUGGUGACUACUGCUGAACUAAAUCAAAACUAAAAAAAGCAAAAACACUCGUUUUUAGGACAGCAAAGAGAACACUCCAUAAAUGUGUUAUGGCAACUAAAAUUAUGUUGUACAUGCCAGCCGAGUAAGACGUAUAUACUUUUCUUAUGGGUUAGUAUGUUUGCUCUAGCCAUCGGCGACAAGAGUAGUAAAAAGGCCAAGCCUGAAAAAGCAAUACGGCAUGUGGAAAUCAUGGGGAGAAUAAAAAAAAGCCAACCAACAUAUAUGAUGAUGUCAUGUGAAUGAGACCAUAGAUAAAUCUUAGCUAGCUGAGUUCUAGGUGCUCCCUAGAAUUAACUAGCAGGUAGUGCGCGGCGGCACGCCGCGCCACAUGAAUUGAAAAAAUAUUUAGUUCUUUUACAUAAUAUUUAAUAAAUCGUCUUAAAAUUUGAUUCGUGGUAAAGUAGUCGAUAAAUGAAAAGGAUAUGUCUAGUUGGAUCUACAAAGUUCUUGUUCUUUCCUUGGACCUAGGAUAUUGAUCCUCUAGCUGAGUCGAUGUACUGGUUUUUUUUAGAAAAGGAGGAUGACCCCCGGCAUCUGCAUCUGGAAGAUGAAUGCGGUCAUUUUAUUGAUUAUUUUCGAGAACCUUACAAAACAGUACAACAAUAUGCCUGAAUCCGUCAUCUUUGCAACAUUUGUCGCUACUCCUAUCCAUAUGAUGAAGGGGUGCAAGCUGGACCAAAUACCCAUACCUCUCACCUAAGCCUAACUUCUAAAGCCGGAGACCCUGACCGGGCCACAUACCGGAUCCGGGGCACAAACCGGUCUGACACACUCACAUGUGUCAUCACCGCCAUCUUCCAUUGGUCCAUCUUCAUAUCAGAUUGAGGUACCAGCCUUGGCAGGUGUCUCCGCCAUCGACGCCACCAUGACGCCAAACGACAACCUCCACCUACGCGAGUCCAUCUCCAAGCAACGGACGGAGAUCCAUGCUAGGAUAGGGCCGCACCACCGCCGUUGCCCACCACCCACAAGCGCCACCCAGCCCCAAGAUUCCCAAAGAGGCGCCUUCAAGAAGGGAACGACGUUGUGAGCGCCGCCGCCGCCCAACAAAGUUAAGGCUUUCGCCCGGAAGACCUAGGGAAAGGGGAAGUGAGGGGAUCAGUCCAUACCGACGCCUCCAAGGAGGGGAACGGCCCCCUCAGGCGUCGCCGUCGACGCGGCCGGCCAUGGCCGACCAGGGAUUUCGCCCGAACUAGAUCCCCACCACCAGCAGCACCUCCUGUACAAAACCGACAAUCCAAGGAAGCGCGGCCUGACCAGGCUGGCCCGCACGCCGAGCAGGGGAGGAGGGGAGGCGCCAGAUCGCGCGCACCGACCACCGCAAAAGCUGCCGCCAGACGCCAACGACCACCGGGUCCCGUCGCCUGCGCGGCCGAGACGCCGGAUCCACCUCCCGCACGGCUGCUAGCCUGUCGUGCCUCGCCAAUGUAGCCGUCGCUCCAGAUCCGGGACUCCGCAUGCAGAGGCAGGGCAGCCUAGGCCCCGCCGCCACCAUCCUUGGCGUCCCGAGCUUGCCCGGCGGCUGCCUCAGGCGGCGGCGAGGAAGGGAGGGGGAGGGGGAGGCGGCUNNNNNNNNNNNNNNNNNNNNNNNNNNNNNNNNNNNNNNNNNNNNNNNNNNNNNNNNNNNNNNNNNNNNNNNNNNNNNNNNNNNNNNNNNNNNNNNNNNNNUUACAUAAAAGGUUUAAUACAUUAUUACAUUAUUGCACCAAUAUUCCUAUCUAUUAUUUCUGUUUUCUUCUGGGUCGUAGCCAUGGAGAAUCUUCAUCAUUCAGUAGGAUGCUUGGGUCAGUUUUCACUUUGAAGGGCGGAAUUUCAUGAAACUUAUUAUAAUCUUCUGACAUGUCUGUCUUGUCAUCUACUCCCACGAUGUUUCUUUUCCCUGAAAGAACUAUGUGGCGUUUUGGCUCAUCGGAUGAUAUCUUCUUUUGCUGAUUUCUUUUUCUCGUUAAUGUAGACAUGUCUUUCACAUAGAAAACCUGAGCGACAUCAUUGGCUAGGAUAAAUGGUUCGUCCAUGUAUGCAAGAUUGUUAAGAUCCACUGUUGUCAUGCCGUACUUUUGGUCUACAACUAACCCGCCUCCUGUCAGCUUCACCCAUUUGCACCGAAAUAAAGGGAUCAUAAAAGUAGGUCCAUAGUCAAGUUCCCAUAUCUCCUCUAUGUACCCGUAAUAUGUUUCCAAACAGUGCCCAUUCUCGUCUGUUGCAUCAAAGCGGACACCACUAUUUUGGUUGGUGCUCUUUUUAUCUUGGGCAACCGNNNNNNNNNNNNNNNNNNNNNNNNNNNNNNNNNNNNNNNNNNNNNNNNNNNNNNNNNNNNNNNNNNNNNNNNNNNNNNNNNNNNNNNNNNNNNNNNNNNNUUGUAAUGGAGCUUCGCCGGAGCAUCGGUGCUGUGUUGGAGCUCCACCGGCUGCAAUGGAGUUUUUCGAAGUUGCAAUGGAGCUCGUCGGACGCUGUCGGUGCUGCAUUGGAGCACCAUGCGGCCUCUGUUCCAUGUCGGGAAUUUAAUCUGACGAUGAGGGCUCGUUCAAUCGGACGGCUACCUAGGAGGAUUACGACUGGUACAAAUAGCAGCCGCCUUUGGAAAAUGGUCACAACUCGUGUCCGAAAAAAUAUUACUUAAAGCAUCUACAAAGGCAACUUGUAAAUUCGUUCUAUCAAAUGUAUGCAGACACGCCUAAACUUAGAUGUACUGUUCCUUCAUUUUAAAAUAUGUCUUUUUAAAAGAUUUCAAUGAAAACUACAUGUGGAUGUAGAUAGUAGAGUGUAGAUUUAUUUAUUUUGCUUCACAUGUAAUUUAUAUUAAAAUCUGUAAAAAAGACUUAUAGUAUUUAGGAACGAAGAAAGUAAUCGGUUAGCCCGACAUAAAGUUGUUAAUAAUAUACUCCCUUCGUCUAAAAAAUAAGUGACUCAACUUUACACUAACUUUAGUAUAUAAAUUAAAUUAUUUUUGAGUCAUUUGUUUUAAAACGAAAGGAGUAAUACUCAUCUACUCUCUCCGUAAACUAAUAUAAGAGUGUUUAGAUUACUAUUUUAAUUAUCUAAAUACUCUUAUACUUCAUCCGUCUUAAAAUUCUUGUCUUAGCUUUUAUCUAGAAAUGAAUGUAUCUAANNNNNNNNNNNNNNNNNNNNNNNNNNNNNNNNNNNNNNNNNNNNNNNNNNNNNNNNNNNNNNNNNNNNNNNNNNNNNNNNNNNNNNNNNNNNNNNNNNNNNNNNNNNNNNNNNNNNNNNNNNNNNNNNNNNNNNNNNNNNNNNNNNNNNNNNNNNNNNNNNNNNNNNNNNNNNNNNNNNNNNNNNNNNNNNNNNNNNNNNNNNNNNNNNNNNNNNNNNNNNNNNNNNUAUAUCUUGUAAGAAAUUAGUAUAUCUUUGGUGAGGAAAUUGGAACACAAGGUUGCAUGCAACGUGCCUGGCUGGCUGGACGGGAGAAGACAGAAGAGCUCUGUAACAAGAGAAGAAAGAAGAGAAGCAAGGAAGGUGGCUCUUGUUACCGGCGAUCAGUGGCCGGUCCAACUCCAUGGCCGGAGCUUCCGCCGGCGGCUUCGUCGGCCUCGGACUCCACCCACCACCGGUGCCUGUGCCGGUGCGACCGCGCGUCCGAGAGAGAGAGAGAGANNNNNNNNNNNNNNNNNNNNNNNNNNNNNNNNNNNNNNNNNNNNNNNNNNNNNNNNNNNNNNNNNNNNNNNNNNNNNNNNNNNNNNNNNNNNNNNNNNNNNNNNNNNNNNNAGAGAGAGAGAGAGAGGGACCGUGCUUAUAUAUAUGUAUGUAGGAGAUGAAGCGAGACUCAGUCAAGCAGUCUCUCCCCUCGAUGGGACUGCUACAGAUCGAAACCGCGUGCGGUGGGCAGGUGGAAGGGGGAGCUGACCGCAGUCCGCAGGUCAUCGCCUGACCACUGUUUUGUACCACCACUAACAUAACACUGUAAACCAGCGUUGCUCUCUCGGCUUUAUUGCACAACAGCAAGUUGCCAUCGCGUCAUCUAAGUGAGCUCGACCAAGCCGGCGUCGUGGCAGAAUCCGGUGCUCGCUUGACCGGACCCGCUCCCCGCGCGCGCGUGCCUUUCCUCCCAGUAGCUCGUAUUUGACCCGCUCCUAAUGAUCGUUUCUCUCUCUCUCUCNNNNNNNNNNNNNNNNNNNNNNNNNNNNNNNNNNNNNNNNNNNNNNNNNNNNNNNNNNNNNNNNNNNNNNNNNNNNNNNNNNNNNNNNNNNNNNNNNNNNNNNNNNNNNNNNNNUCUCUCUCUCUCUCCCUUUUGAUUUCUUUUUUCUGCGGUAGCAUGCAUGACAAUCCGUCCUGCCGUAGGCAGAAUAUAUUCGUGGACGCACUCCACGCACGUGGCAAAUACUACUCCCUUCGUUCUUAAAUAUAAAACAUUUUAAAAAUCUCACUAUAAACUACAUGCAUACGGAGUAAAAUGAACGAUAUAUAUCCGUUUGCAGUUUCUAAUGAAAUUUCUAAAAGGUAUUAAUAUUUAGGAACGGAGGGANNNNNNNNNNNNNNNNNNNNNNNNNNNNNNNNNNNNNNNNNNNNNNNNNNNNNNNNNNNNNNNNNNNNNNNNNNNNNNNNNNNNNNNNNNNNNNNNNNNNAGGUGCUACCUUCCGGGCGCGCAUCUUGGUGAAGAACUAGGUUCCCGUCGUCGACCGAGAACUUCUUUGGUGGCGGUCACAUGGACGACUUUAGGUGCGGAGGCAGCCGGCCCCCGAGGAGGAGGUACAUCGCCGUGUCAGGGAGGAGGACGAACACGUCCAUCGCUACAUUGAGGCGUUUGGCGUCAGGUUCUCUGAUACCUGGCAGGUUCUUCAGGGAUCUCACCCGAGCUAUGAUCCUCUGAUGGUUCCUUCUCUUUGGGUGUCCAUCGUCCGCGCCUCAGUACAUCGAUAGCUCUUUGGGUGGUCUGUUUAAUAAUAUUCGAGAUAUGUAUUAGUGAUAAUACUCGAGAUGUAUUCGACAAAAUAUUCUGUGAUGCAUUAAGUGGAUUAUUUGAUGUAUUACUGAUAUUAUAUAUGAUGAUCUUGCUAGCUAAAGUGAAUACUAGAUUGUUUUAUCUUUCUUCUUGAUUAGUUAAGCUAUGGACGGUAGAGACAGAGACCAUGAUCAAGAGUAUGUCUUGUUCGACAUGAUAUGCUCCGGAAACAAAAAGAAUUAAGAAGCAGAUGAUGGCUCACAAUAUCUUAACCUAUCCAGUGAGGGAAUAGAGGAAGAACAACCAAGAGACGAAGGGGAACCUGACAAUGUAUUAAUUGAUUUACACACACACACACACNUAUAUAUAUAUAUAUUAACGAAUCUCUUCUUUUAGCCCUCCGGAUCGAGCAAACCUUCUACAAGAAGGGCAAUACGAGGCCCGGCCAAAAAGUUGCCCGAGGGCACAAGGUACAACAUCGACGAGAUAACAUUAGGGGGUGAACCAAAUGCCCCCAAAAAGAAUAUGGACAAAUUUGUUCGUCAAUGCAGAGUUAUUGUUAGGGACCAAAUCCCGAUCUCCAUUCAACCAACCGGUCUUGAGAUUAAGGUAGUCAGUCUAAACACCUCAUUAUCGACGGAAACGAAUAUUCUGUUGGAUCUGUAUGCAAGAAGGAAACACAGUUGGAUUGGGAGGCAGGGAAAACAACAUCUUCUGUAGUACAUAGAUUUAUUUCAUAGACACCUUUGCAUCGGAUCGGUAGGAGAUUGACGGUAGUGCAGAGUAGGAGAUGGGGAUUACCUUCUCCCUGGCUCGAAGAGCUCGCCCCAGAGGCCAUGGUAGUGGGGCGUCGGUGAUGACGACUGAGAACGAUGUGGUGGCGGUGGUGCUUCCCGUGAGCACUACGCUAGUCCUAGUUUGGAAGGGUUUGUCGGUGGGGUGUGUGGUGGCGGCGAAUCUCAUAGUCCGUGCCCCAGCCCCCCACCUCUGUUAAUAUAGCGCGGAUCACAGGGGCCCACCAACCAUAAUGGGUGUGGCGCCCCCGAUCAGGGCNNNNNNNNNNNNNNNNNNNNNNNNNNNNNNNNNNNNNNNNNNNNNNNNNNNNNNNNNNNNNNNNNNNNNNNNNNNNNNNNNNNNNNNNNNNNNNNNNNNNGUGCGCGUAGGAAAAAUUUUGUUUCCCAUGCGACGUUCCCCAACAGAAAUAAGUACCAGUACCUGAGAUUUUGAUGGUCUCUAGGAAUGUGAAAAUUAGAUACUUGUGACUGCUAUAAAGUCUAUGUUAGNNNNNNNNNNNNNNNNNNNNNNNNNNNNNNNNNNNNNNNNNNNNNNNNNNNNNNNNNNNNNNNNNNNNNNNNNNNNNNNNNNNNNNNNNNNNNNNNNNNNNNNNNNNNNNNNNNNNNNNNNNNNNNNNNNNNNNNNNNNNNNNNNNNNNCUAACAUAGACUUUAUGAAGGGUCUACAAGGCAAAUAUGACUCCAGAGGAAAUAUGUAAAUGUGUAAAACAUGACUUAAAUCGAAAUAUUUUGUGCAAAGAAAAUGAGAGGACAAUUGCAUUCUUGCAAAGUUAUAGAAUGGGAAAUUUGUUUCCCAAUUCCUAUGCAUGUGGAUGAUGUCCUACUUGCUAGUGGUGAUGUCAAUCUACUGCAGGAGGAGAAAAGAAGUUCUUGUCCUCAAAGUUCAAAAGAAUAAAAGGGGGUAUUAGGAAUGUUGCAUGGACAUGCUAAGAAAGAUCUCUAAAGUAUGCAUACGACAAAACCUACGCAUGUUCUUAUAGUCAAGGGUAAUGGAAGUGGAAACUAUGGUGUUCCAAAAGUUAAUAAGAAAAGAUUGUAAACGGAUAUGGUACCAUAUGCUUCAGUUGUUGGAAGCUCAAGAUAUUACCCUGACACUGUUCACGUAUAUAUCCGGGUUGUUUUGGCAAUGUCCAGUCCAUAGAUAAAUCAAUGGAAUGGAGUCAAAGAUAUCGGCCUCAUGCUAAAAGAAAUAAGUGCUCUCAAAAGAUUGUGAGUACAAAGGCAGGACUUGUGAAAUGAAUAGCGAAAUCAACAAUUGUCGCUAACUUUCAUACUCGGAGUUUUGUGUGGAAAAUCUCCAAAUGAGUGAAACGAUUGUCAUCAAUGUGAUGCAAUGAUAUGUUAUAACUUUAUAUGAGGCUGAGGGAUAGGCGAAAUGGUUAAUGGCUACAUAUACCCGGAAUUGAUAAUGGUUGACAACAACGAUAACUAUUUUAAAUUCUUUCGCUCCUGUCACAACGAGUCAAGUGUUGAUGCCAAACACACUGACAAAGAGUUAUGUGUUGUGAAGGAGAAAGUCCAGAAUUAUGAAAAAAUGCUUGAAGCAUAAAAGCAACAAACAAGUGUUUGCAGAUCUGCUUAUCAAAGGCUUACCGCCCCGUGUGUUCGGAGAACACACAGUCGACAUGGGUUUUAUGGUAUAGUCUAAUAUUUUCCGGACAAUAAAGGGCCCAAGGUUAAAGAAUCUGUCUCAAAAUAGAGAGGUACAUUAUGGAUGUCUGAUUCCAUCGGCAAUUGAGCCGUGACGAUGAAACAUGCCCUAUGUAUUGAUCUGUUACGAAACGGGUAAAAGUAUAUGAUGACAUCAAGGGGGAGAAUGUUAGAUUGAUCUCUUUCCUAAUGGGCCCAACGGCCCAUUGGACCUUGACUCACGCCCUGAUCAGGGGCGUCCAGCCCAAGCAAGGCUGGUGGGCCCUGUCGCGCAGUGUUGUAUAUAGAGGAGGUGGGGACCAUGGCACAGACUACAAGGUUCGCCGCCGCCACUGGUUCCCCACUCCUAACCCUAAUCCGAUCUAGAGGGAUGCACUAAAGCGAUGGGAAGUCCACCGCCGCCGCUACCGCAUCUCUCUCUGGUUCCCCACCGUCGCCACUACGUCACGACAGUCACCGAGGGAACUCAUCGAGCACGGGAUAAGGUAACAUACCACUACUCUCAUCGAACACAUCUAGACUUGUCGAUCCACGGGAUCUAUCAAACCGUGCAUACCCUUGAGCAUUAGCCAAGUUUAUAUCUACUUAAUUAUUGUGACAAAUAGAAGUGGAUAUUCAUUUGUGUCAGAUGGGGAGAAAAUAUAAAUAAUCUUUGUGUUCUUUUUCCUUUUUAGAAACAGGCAGGUAGUUAGUAUCUUGCCCGGAUACUAUGUAUACAGCCAGUAAAGAUCAACCAUAUAAUUUUCCUAUGUAUGGACUGAUACAAAAAUUAUUAAAAAAUAAGGUCUAGAUUUUAAACCCUAAACCGGUACAAUUAAUAGCACAGAUCCUUUAUCAUAUACUCCCUCUUUUCGGAAUUACUUGUCACACAAAUGUAUAAGAAUAGAUGUAUCUAAAACUAAAAUAUAUCUAGAUACAACCAUUUAUGUGACAAGUACUUCCGAAUGGAGGGAGUAUUGUAAGAAUCACAAUAAUAUAGAUAAUUUAACACCUUAGUCUUGUAUCACAGAUUCGACAGCAAAAGAAUUGUCAUUUACUAAAUGAAAAGCCUAACUGCAGUUAGCAGUAAGAGUGGGCAUCUAAACAAUUAUUAUACACACCUCUAACCUGAGAGUGCUUGGUUCACAGAAAGCCUUUUAUGUGUAUGCAAAUGUAAAUUUCUCCCAGGAAAACAUCAUUUGAGAGCAUAUCAAAGCAUACAUAUUAUGUACUAUCUGCAUAAGUGCAUAACCUGAUUUUGUUUGAAGAAAAUGAAAACCAUGAAUGACAAAUUGAAAAGCUCACGGUACCUAAGAAAUUAAUGAACAGGAAUUUGAUUUCCCCUCACACAUUAACACAAGCAUGGUACCAGCAGGUUAGAUCGAGGCACAAACGUCAACCAGGGAAGCACGUGAAAUAAAAGAGGAAGGGCACUACAAGAGAAAAAGAGUUAUAUCUAACGGGCGGACAGCCGGAGCUUCUUUGUAGCUCCCGUGGCCACAAUCUCGCAGCGGAGGCGCGCAACAUGUUGAUCCCGUGGCGGACCACGAGUGCACGGUAGCAGCAGGCCGCAACAGCUCCACGGCGAUCGAGCGCAUCCUGCAUUGAUGCUAGGGACGUCGUAUGCACGCGCGUUGCCGGUCACCAAAAAGGCGACGUUGGGCGGAAGCAAGGAGUGGCGGAGAGGAGAUGGGGAGAGGACGGUCAGGGGCGCCGCGCCCGUAGGUGAGGUGAGGUGAGGUGAGAGCCCGGCUGUGGAGCUCUUUACGAGUGACAUAUUGAUCUUUGAAUUUGGCAUAAUUUUUUAUGAGCACCCAACAAUGCGUGAGGAUGAGUGGCUUGUUCUUAUGUCGUGCCUUGAAAUCUUCAAAAGAUUAAAAUGCCUACACAACAUGAAUGGACACAAAAUGCCUACACAAUAAAAAGCAUGCCAACAUGAAUGGACACAAAAUNNNNNNNNNNNNNNNNNNNNNNNNNNNNNNNNNNNNNNNNNNNNNNNNNNNNNNNNNNNNNNNNNNNNNNNNNNNNNNNNNNNNNNNNNNNNNNNNNNNNNNNNNNNNNUGAAUGGACACAAAAUAAAAAUGUGAGAGGUACAUACCAAGUCACCAACGCCUAGGCCACUCAUGGGACCGGCUUGGACGCUCUCAAGCGCGGCACAAUACUUGUUGCAUCCUUGUUGAAUGAAUCCCCAUCACUUUUGGAUUAAGUUGAUGUUGCGAGUACUCACAAUUUGGUAGGGACAAACUUCCUUCGCUCAUGGAAGGUACCCCUUGUCCAAAAGAUGGAUGCCUUUUGCUCGGCACCUUUUAUUGGAUCUUCCCCUAUCUCAAUCCAACUCUCGCAAAUCAAUUUAUCCUUAUUUUGGGUGUAUGACCCCACGCAAAUGAUUUGCCUCCUCUUUUGUGCCUCGGCCAUUUGAGUGAGCUCAUCGAUAAACACCAAUGCCUCUUGCAAAAUGUGGACCUUGUCUUCCUCAUUUUCACAAUAUAACUCAUCAUCAAUAUGCCAUGAGUUGACAUGGUUGUCCUUCUCUUCAUCAUGGCCGACGAAUUUAGUGUCCUCAUAGUGGUCGCGGUCGUCCUGGCUCUACCUCUCGUUGGGACCGACAGCCUGGCCUUGACCCUCGUAGUGAAAGGCCUAACCACGGCCCUCGUAGAUGACGCUCUCNNNNNNNNNNNNNNNNNNNNNNNNNNNNNNNNNNNNNNNNNNNNNNNNNNNNNNNNNNNNNNNNNNNNNNNNNNNNNNNNNNNNNNNNNNNNNNNNNNNNNNNNNNNNNNNNNNNNNNNNNNNNNNNNNCGAGCAAUCACGAUAGUCGGUUGUGGGCGUCGGAAGUGGUAUUGUGUCGAACAACUUACGGGCGUCGGAUAUGGUUGCCAUCGGGAAUGACCGGGGCUGCUUACUGUGUGUCCCGCCAGUCGUCUGGCCAGCGCCACUUUACAUCUGUACCUCGGCAUCAUGUUUUAGGUCGAUGACCCCCGCGGACGUGGCGGGAGCAACCACGUUGUACUCCGGCGGCGUGGAGAACCAUGUCUGCCCAUGGCUGUCCGAAGGACGGCACCCUGGCGUCUCGGGUGUGGUGGAUCUGUACUGAGGAGGACGAGCGGCCGACGGUCCCAUGCUCGCCGUGGCCAUGGCAGCGAUCGAGAGGAUGACUGACUGUAGUCCUCCCAACCCUAACAUGAGGAGGGUGUGCCCGUUGGAGAUGAUGGAUUCCUUGUUGUCAAUGUCGGCAAGAUGUUGCGCUUGACGCGGGGCGGCGGCCUCGACGACGUAGGCCGCAACCGCCAUCAUCUCUCCCACCUUUAAAUGCCAGUCCCUCCUCUUCGCCAAGUCGGCAUUGAGUUUGGCGAUGAUCGCCAACGUGAGCUCGGAGCGAGGCUUCCUGGGACCCUUGGGACCCUUUUCUUCGCCGUGAGGGGCGCGGCUGCUACCGCAUCGCCAGGGUUUAUUGCGUCGCCGUCCAUGAAGGAGGGAGGGGAAGGGACGCGCGAGAGAGUUUGAGCGAUAUGGAGAGAGAGUGGGAGGGGUGUGUCCCGGAUUGGCGUGCCAAAGGAGGACAAUGGCGCGCAUCAUGCCCGUCGGCGCGCUGUCUGUUUGACUGCAAACGCAACCCAAACUUGAACUCGAAAUGGGUUGAAAACUCCCGUGCGUUGGGCCGUGGUUUAUGCCUGUUUACAUCUAAACGAAUGCAGGCGGACGAGUUAACGUCGUGCCUUGUGGUUGCCUUAGAGCAACUCCAACCGGCCGACCCAAACGGACAGCGAUUUUGUUCGCUUUUCGUCCGUUUGGGUCAUCCAUCGGCUCCGUGUUCACCCGGGUUACGAUUUGAUUUGAGUCGGUAGCGUGUCCAAUGCGCCAACCCAUAUUUGUCCGUCUGGCCGGCUAGCGCCGGUUUUUGAACAAAUACGGAUAUUUUAUAUAUUUUGCAACAGCAAAUGAUAUAGCAUAGUUUCACAAUCAAAAAUAAAAUAUAGAAAAGUUUUUCAAACCCAAUAAAAGUUUAGAUUGUCUACAAAAUACAGCUAGUCAUUGCCAACAUCAUACCACAUAUGCUCAACCAAAUUAUCUUGCAACUGAAUAUGAGUUUCCAAAUUACGCAUUGCGUGAGGAAAUGGGAUGAACUGUGCAAACGAUGUCGCUUCUCCGCCAUGCUGAGGCACCACAAUGGGCGGCGGCGACGGCGAGGGGACUAGGACCGAGGCGAGGCGAGGGCUAGAUGCGGGUGGAAAACGACCAAUGUGCCACCGACUCGCGGGCCAGGGAAUGGUCGUAGUGUGCGUCGUCCGUGUCUGCUUUGUGUCCGCACCGAUUCAAAUCAGGCUCAAAAUUGGGUCGAAAAUGGAUCGGCAAGCGGAAAAAUGUGAACACGCGUCCGUUUAUGUCAGGGCGUUAGACCGUCUUUUAUAUCCGUGUGUAUCUAAAUGUACGGCGACGCAGGAAAUGUGUCGCUCUGUUGGAGUUGCUGUUAAAGAAAAACGGAGUAGGAGUGCAAUGACUUUCUUUUCUGAGCGAAGACAAGAUGUGUGAUAGUACAGUAAUGCUAGGCCUACGUAGCUAUAAUACAUAGACUAACCUAAUAGUUUAGGUGGCGUUUUUUAAUUUGAGAAAAUUAGGGAAGGGGCCCACCCAGUUGAAAUCAGGGCUGAAAGGAUUAGUAGUUAGUUAAGUUACGUAGUCUUAUGUAAAUUUUUAUGUAAGCGUAGCAUUUUUGCACGUGAAGCAGAGAGUUGUACAAAUGUUACUAGUAGCAGUUGUUUAUUCAAAAAUGCUAGACUUACGAAUUGUUUUACGUAAAGUUACGAACCUCUGGCAAGAUAAUAAGAUAAUACUCCUGAAGAUAAUACACGGCUACAUAAAUUAUUACUGCACAUCAUCAUCAGAUAAGUGCAUGAAGAAGAAGGAAGAAAACAAAAGAAAAAGUACAUGAAGGAGGAGAAGCGCACUACAUCAUUCGGCACUGCCCCUGUCACAGUGUCACUGAACACUAUACAGUCUAUCAUCAUUCAUUCACACAUUCAUCAGACACGUACGGCCGUCGAUCAGUUUAUUGCGCCCGCCCUAGCUAAUCACGGCGUCUAAUUAGUGGAAGGAGGUGUUCUUGAGGUGCUCCGGCGCGUCCUGGAAGGAGUGCUUUCUGGCCAGGGAGAGGAUGGUCUUGUCGGCGACGAUGAAGUAGGCCAUCCCCGCGACGGUGGAGAUGAUGAGCGCCUGCCCGGUCGGGUUCAGGUAUGCCUUGGCCCACGGCAGCAUCCUCACGCUCGCCAGCUGAAAUCAUGGAUAGCAGAUUCAUGAGACAUGCGAUCAACUAUGGAGCGCGCGAUCUCCUCCAACAACCAAAUGGCUAGCUUUCUGGAUACUUACUGUGGGCACUGCGGCUGCGACGGUGGCGACGGCCGCGGCCUUGGCUCCGGCCAUGGCAGCCUCUGCAGCACACACAUGUAACAUGUUAAUCGCAAUCAAGUUCCGACAGACACAGACAGCACAUAAAUAAGCCGCAAUGCAUAACGGAACCGGCCGUCGCUCGUUGGUUACCUACCUCUGGAGCAGCGCUUAGCUGCGGCGAGCCUCUGGUCGAGGUAGGCGCGGGUGACCGUCGACAUCUUCCUUCGCCGGGAGCAGAGCUUGGUUGUACGAGAUCGGAAGGAAGUGAACGAGCAGUAGCAGCAAAGCCAAGUGCAGUAGCUAAAAAGAUGAGUAAGUAGUAGUAGCAGUAGGUGGAGUGAGGUGCGGUGGGGAGAGCAAGGUGCUCCGGCGAGAUUUAUACGUAGUUCGCAUGAAACCGCGAAACCGGCGUGCCGGGAGGAAGACGGACUUGAUACGGUGGGAAUCAAGACCACGGUUUUGAGACGAGCGAGCGGUGGUACCGGCGGGAGGGCGCCUCGCUGCAGCAGAGCACAGCACAGGUGGCCGCGCCUCGUUCGUCGGUCGUAUAAAAAUGGGAGCACUCCACUACACUUUGCACUGGAUAAGAGGAGGCAUCGAUGGGGGGUUGGCACGGCGCUAGCGCGCGUAGGAUAACACGUAGGAGCAUGUGCGUGAACGCAGUGUCACUCAGCGUGCACUCCGUUUCGCUUCAGAUCUGUGUGUGUGCGGCGCGCUGCCAGUUUUCGGCCAACCCGUCGGCAAUCAGGCAAUUCCGCCGGCGGUUUGCUGAUUUGGAUCGUCUGUUUUUAUCGUCGGUUUGCUUUGGCACGCGCAUUUUAUCAGUUUUUCGUUAGUUUGGAUUGUUUAUUACGUGGAUUUUUUUUUUGCGACGAUUGUUUACGUGGAUUUGCGCGUCCGUAUUUUUACAUGGGUCGGCUUAAGCGUCCAAGGAAAGACUGAUCCAAAUUUAUUCGCGUAGAAAAAAAAUAACACGUCGAAGAAAAAACACGCGGUGGUGGAGGAGGCGGGAUGAAGAGCAGGGCAUGGACGGAGUCCCCUACCGCCGAACAAGCCGCUCCAUCCCAUCCCAUUGGGCCUCCUCGAUCUUGCUCGCCUCCAGUGCCUCAUGCACGACUCGCUCGAGGGCAGCUUGGUACGCCUCCUCUUCGUCCUCCUCGUGCAGCAGAACCUCAGGCAGCGGCGGAGGAACAUCGUAGUCAACGUGCACGACCCGGCGUCGCUCCUUCUCGUGCUCUAGCGCCAACCAACGCUCCCAGUUGGGGGAGUCUGGCGAGUAGGCACGCAUCUGCCGCUGCUCCAGAGUGAGGGUCUCACGACGCCGGAGAACCUCCUCGGCCUGCGCCCACGUCGAGCGUGGCACUGCUGGAAUAGGGACCCGUUGCGGAUGCAGAUACCAGUCGUGAGGCAGGUUGACAUCCGGAUACUGCACUGGCCGGUGGUACUGUCAGGGAGGAGCACUGCAUGGCCAGAUGUGGACGGGGGUUGUAAGUGGAUGAGGCCGUCCUCACCGCAUGCUUUCAUAAAAAAGGAAGGGCACAUGGACCGCCCACACACUACCAAGAGGGCCCCUAGGUAGGUGACGGCAUUUAAUAAGACAUGGCUGGUGGUUGGGCGGUGCACAAGUGGGACCGCGGCGGACAUAGACCGGCCGCGCGGCACGCCCGCAUCGCGUCUGCGUCGAUGCAUUUCAGACGCAAUUUUGGGUCGGAAAUAGGUCCGUGCGGACGCAAUGCGUACGGAUUUUGGGAAUGGGUCGCCGCGUUGGGCCGGCGCUUUUGUCUCUGCGACUCUAACGAACGUGGACGGACAAAAUGGGUCGCCUCGUUGGAGUUGCUCUUAUAUAUCCAAAUGGAUAUAUAUUAUCAUGAUUUAUUAUUGUUAACAUUAUCUUUAAGGUAAAAUAAGUUAAGUGGCAAAUUAUUUAAGCCCCAAUCUUCCUACAUGUCCUAUAUAAACAUGAGCUUCGAAAAUAUGUCUUGAGCGUGAGCAAUCAUAGAAGAUUAAAUGAUAGUUGAGUAUAUGAACGUGUAAAAAAACUCUUACAUAGACUUUUCUCUGAAAUAUAAUGAAUUAUGAUUGUCUCAAUGACUGAGAACAUUGUUUGUUGAUUGUCAAUAAAGUUUAUUCUUCUUACUCCAAUAUCUAUGAAUGGAUUAUUACUUGUUUAUGAGGAGCUAUAUAAUAAAAUACUUACUACUAUGUUAAUAUUCCUCAUGCUCUCAUGUUCGUAUUAUAUUUUUAUCAACACCUCUCUCUUAAAUCUUGUGGUAAUUAUUUUCAAGUUUGGAUUUUGCUUGAGGACAAGCAAGGUCUAAGCUUGCAAAAGUUGAUAAGUCCAUUUUGCAUCAUUAAUUAUUAUUAAUAUUUGUAUUAUUCUUGUCCAUUAUUUCUUAUUAUCACAUCAUUCUUAUGUCAUUUCUCUUUGAAUAUGUAAGGUAUAUCAUAAAGAGGGAAAUAUCUGGACAUUGAAAUUCUGAACCGGGAAACCGGAAAAAGGCAAAAAAAUCAAGAUGCUCCAAAUGGUGUGAAACUUGACGAAGAAUUUUUCCUUAAUAUUUAAAAAUUACUGGGUCAAAAAUAUGCCACAAGGGAGCCACCUAUUGGCGCCAAGGCAACAGGGCGCGACCACGCCCUUGUUGGCCCUUCUGAUGUCCCUCUCCUCUUAUAUGGCGUGUUUUGACCUAGAAAAAAUGAUAAGUAACCUUUCGGGGUAAAGCGCCGUCGUCUCGAGGCGGAAACCUGGGCAGAGGCCCUUUUUCUCUUCGACAGAGAGAUUCUGCCGAGCAAACUUUCCUCCAGGAGGGGAAAAUGAAAGUUAUCAUCAUCACCAAUGUUUCCUCCUUCGUGGAAGGACCGAUCUUCAUCAACAUCUUCACCAUCAUCAUAUCGUCUCCAAACCUAGUUCAUCUCUUGUAUUCAAUCUUUGUCUCGGGACCUCAGAUUGGUACAUGUGGGUUAUUAGCUGUGUUGAUUACAUCUUAUAGUUGAUGCUUAUUGGAUUACUUGGUGGAAGACAUUAUGAUCAAAUCCUUAAUUAUUAUUAUUACACCUCUCAUCUUGAAUAUGUUGAUGAGGUGCGAGUAGUAACUAUUGUUCCCGGGGACAUUGGAGAAGUCUUGUUAUAAAUAAUCAUAUAAUGUUGGUAUUCGCUCGAUAUUUUGAUGAUAUGUAUGUUGUUAUUUCUUUUAGUGGUGUCAUGUGAACGUCAACUACAUGACACUUCACCAUGUUAUGGGUCCAAGGAAAGUCAUUAUGGAGUAACAAGUAGAUGAUGGAUUGCGAGACUGGCAGAAGCUUAAACCCCAGUUUAUGCAUUGCUUCAUGAGGGGCUGAUUUGGAUCCACACAUUUAAUGCUAUGGUUCGAUUUAUCUUAAUUCUUCUUUUGUAGCUGCGGAUGUUUGCGAGAGAGGGUAAUGAUAAGUUGGUUUCUUGUUCAAGUAAGAACAACACCUUAACACCGGUCUAUCCACAUAUAAAAUUAUCAAAGUAGUGAACGCGAAUCAACUCAAUAUGAUGAAUAUGACUAGACGGAAAUUCUCAUGUGUUCACGGAAGCAGUUGCUUCAUAUAAAAGUACUUUCAGGCCUGUCAUUUGCUACAAAAAGGAUUGAGCUAUCUUGUUGCACAUUUGCUACUAUUGUUACUUGUCACUUAUUAUGAAUUAUCUUGCUACAAGACUAUCUAUCACUGUUACUUAUAGCACUUGCAGAUAAUACCUUGCUGAAAAUCGCUUAUUAUUUCCUUCUGCUCCUCGUUGGUUUCGACACUCUUAUUUAUAGAAAGAACUAUGAUUGAUCCCCUAAACUUGUGGGUCAUCAGCCCUCCAUGUCCAGGCAAGACCCAUGUGACCUUGCUGCCGCACGCGCCACGUCGUCGCUCGACACUACCAGUCGGCACCAACGCCACCGAGCGGGAGGAGAGGAGGCCCCGUCGCUGCCCGGCACUACCAGUCAACACUAACGCCGUCGAGUGUGGGGAGAGGAGCCCCUUCGCCAUCGACGCCAGUCGGGCUUUGCCCCAUGGCAGCAAGGAGAAGAGAGGGUGCGGCCUCCGCUGGCGGCUAGGUCCCCUCCCCUCUCUCUCAGUGUCCAAUUCACUCCAAAUCACAUGAGUUCAUUCAUCAAUUUUUCUUUGAAAGUUUUGCUGCCUCAUACAUGUGGACUGUGAUCAACACAACAAUUCAGGCUUGCACUUUGUUUUACUUAAUAUUUUCACUGUGCAGCUAACAUCGUAACUCUUAGUGCUAACAUCAAUUUUGUAGGAAGCAAAUUCCUUAUGGUAUAGGAAAGGUUCUACUACUCCCUACUAAAGUUGCGACCAUUAACUUGGAUCGGAUGGAGUAACUUUCUUUCACUAUCAGUUGGAUUGGAUCUUUUUAAACAUUCUUGCUGCAUUAGAUAAAAAGCAAUUAAUUUUUUCUGUUAGCAUGUAUUCAUAAAAAUAAUAAAUAAUGUAGAGUUUGGUAUCACUUUUGUUCAACAAGCCUUUUGCCAUUUCACUAUUUGACUAACCAAAAUUUCAAAUUGUAGGGACUAGUUUGCCAACGUAUUAUAGAAAAAGUUCAACGCGCAUAGUUUUAUAGCCAUAAAUCAAACCUUGUCCUAAAAAUUUCAACAUACGUUUUAGACGCGUUUGUCUUUUAUAAAGGCAUCUCACAAUACACUUGGGCACGUGUAUACGAUACAAGGAUAGAAUAUUUUAUUAAUGCUCGUCAUGAAUGAAAUGUCAAGUAUGUCCCUAUUUCUAGUGACAAACGCCUCAAAUUAAUCCACAGGACAGUAACUCCAGUAGUAUAGGCUAUAGGAAUGUGAACCUAAUAUGGCUAAACUUUUCUUUCAGAUUUGUCUUUUUGUCACAUUUUUUGUUAAACGUGCCGCAUUUUUUUUAAUGUUUACAUGUCACACCCUCUCAAGUAUAAACCUUGGCCGUGGCUACCGAGCGCAGCAAUGUCCGCUCACGGUGGUAGCGGACGCACCCGAGAACAAUCAACCACGUGUACUUAUUAGCGUUUAAAAAAAUUCAAAAAAUCGUAACUUUUGAACCGAGCAUCAAAAUGACGAUACGUUUUCACGGUCGUGUUUCUUAUGACGAGCUCUUCAAAAUUAGAUUCCAUAUGGAUAGAUUUCUACGAACUUUUUUUGAGCAAAUUUAUGUGCUAGAUGAGGCAAUUUUAGUGCUAUAGGCAAGCAACUCCUUUCCCCCCUUAGUAUGACUAUCUACCAGCGAAGAAUUCUUCUAAGUUGGUUACCACUGAGUAACAAUUGACUAGUUGCCUAUGAUUGAUGUUCACUUGCCUACAAAUGCUGUGGAAUUGUUCGAUUUUGAUGCUCAGUUGCCUNNNNNNNNNNNNNNNNNNNNNNNNNNNNNNNNNNNNNNNNNNNNNNNNNNNNNNNNNNNNNNNNNNNNNNNNNNNNNNNNNNNNNNNNNNNNNNNNNNNNNNNNNNNNNNNNNNNNNNNNNNNNNNNNNNNNNNNNNNNNNNNNNNNNNNNNNNNNNNNNNNNNNNNNNNNNNNNNNNNNNNNNNNNNNNNNNNNNNNNNNNNNNNNNNNNNNNNNNNNNNNNNNNNAUUAUGAUGCUCAGUUUCCUAUUACUGAUGGUCAAUUGCCUAUGGUUGAUGUUCAGUUGCGUGGCAUUAAUGCUCAGUUGCCUUCUAUUUAUGAAUAGUUGUCAUAAUUGCACUCUAGUAUCACAAAAAAGUUAGCAACUUUUAGUGUGUUUUUUGCGCAACUCCAGUGCAUUUCAACAAGCAACUCAUGUGUAUACACACAAUGCAAUUCAUACAUCAUCAAAGUUGUUUCUGUUUAGUACCAAAGUUGCCUCAUACAGCAUCGAAGUUGCUUUUGAAAAAAAUCUUCAAAUCAUAUUCAUAUGAGAUCUCGUUUUGAAGAGUUCGUCACGAGGAACCCAACGAUGAAAACAUAUCAUAAUUUCCACACACGGUUUGAUAGUUAUAUCUUUUUGAAUUUUUUUCGUACAGGAAUAAAUGGACAUCCAACGCAUGCGGAGCCGAGCAUGCACAUCCGACCCAUAAUUUAGCCUUUUCAGUUUGGAAAUUUCAGACUUCAUUUGUCAUGUGGUUGCUAAAGGGUGAAGUUAUUUAACCUUCUAGUCAUGAUAGAUAAUUUAAAAAAUAAUGUUGAUAGGCGAUCAUAUUACGCGCAUUAAUAAAAAUUAUUUCUCUUUAACACUAAAAUUGCCUAAACAUUACUCCACGGUUGCUUAAAAAAAGUUUAUCAAAAUAUAUCCAUAUGGGAUCCAGUUUUAAAGAGCUCGUUGUAACAAACACAACCGUGAAAACAGAUCAUUGUUAUGAGGCUCGGUUUAAAGUUAUAGUAUUUAAAAACAAAACAGAAUAAACUGGAAUGACUUGCUGCAUAUAGGAUGUGAUCGUUUCAACCAAAUAGUGCAGCUGUAUUUUUAUUAUUUAAGAUAAACCUUGUGCUAAAAAACUAUGACGAGUGAGGUGGCACGGUCGGGAUAUGCGGCGCAGAACAUGGGAGGGGCGGGGGGGUCAAAGAAUUCAGUGCUCGUUACGUCUUUUUACAUGCUCUGGCACAUGUAUAAGAUGGGUGAUGGCUGGCUGGAUAAGGGAGAAGCAGAGUUGAACAGAUGCAAGUCAUUAUUAAUUCAAGAUUACUGGCUGAAUACAUUAUGAUUACUUCAUCAGACAAGUGCCUGCACGGACAGAGGCGCAAGGCCUGAUCUGCAUCGCCUCGCUGAACAUUAUACUCGUACUACGUGAGUAUCUUUCAGCAAAAACGUACAUACAGCCCAAUAAUUAGUGGAAUGAGGUGUUCUUGAGGUGCUCCGGCGCGUCCUGGAAGGAAUGCUUCCUGGCCAUGGAGAGGAUGGUCUUGUCGGCGACGAUGAAGUAGGCCAUCCCGGCGACGGUGGAGAUGAUGAGCGCCUGACCGGCGGGGUUCAGGUGCGCCUUGGCCCACGGAAGCAUCCUCACACUCGCCAGCUGCAGAAAAAGGCACGGAAGAAGAAGACGGUGAGAUGAUUAUUCGUUCGACGUCAAAAACUCAGUGGUGCAGGCUGAUAAACGUGUGCUUACGGUGGGCACUGCGGCGGCGACGGUGGCGACGGCCGCGGCCUUGGCUCCGGCCAUGGCAGCCUCUGCAGUUACCAAUCAACACAGGCGUGUUAGUUUGGGUCUAGUUCCAGGCUUUCAGUAGACAGGACUGCACAUAACUGCAAUGCACUCCUAGAAUAGAACGGCGAGAGCAUUGCCGGCACAGUGAACCGGCGGGGCAUCAUAUCGUUUUGGUUACCUCUGGAGCAGCGCUUGGCUGCGGCGAGCCUCUGGUCGAGGUAGGCGCCGGUCACCGUAGACAUCUUNNNNNNNNNNNNNNNNNNNNNNNNNNNNNNNNNNNNNNNNNNNNNNNNNNNNNNNNNNNNNNNNNNNNNNNNNNNNNNNNNNNNNNNNNNNNNNNNNNNNNNNNNNNNNNNUCACCGUAGACAUCUUCGCCGGAGCAAAGCUUGGUGGCAGGAGACCCGAAGGAAGUGAACUACUCGUGACUUCUUAGGCCCUGUUUUGUUACAAAUAAGUCACCAACUUAUAAGUUAAAAAUGCAAAAAAUGACUUAUUUUGCCAAAAGGGCCUAACUUAUAAGUCAUAAGUUGCGAUACCCUAGCUUAAAACUUAUAAGUCACUUACUUUUUGAUGGGUCCCACCACCUUUUCAGCCGUGCCCACCGCCCACCCGUGCCCACCGCCCCAUCCGCUCCCCACCGCGUAGCGCGCCUCGCCGCCGCUCCCACCGCGCAGCGCGCCUUGCCGCCGCCGAGCUCCAUCCCCACCCACUGCGCAGCGCGCCUCGCCCAUCCCUCCCCACCGCGCACCGCUGCUGCCCUCGCCGCCGCUGAGCUCCAACGCGAGCUCGCUCGGCUCGCCCAGGCCAGAAGCGCGGUNUUAUAAGUCAGGUGACAACCAAACAAGGAUGACUUAUAAGUCACUGGUUUUAAGUCACCUGACUUAUAAGUCACCUGACUUAUUGGAACCAAACAGGGUCUUAGUAACAGUGAAGUGUGUGAGGCAAGAAGAUGAGUGGUGGUGUGUGAGAUGAGAUGGGGCAGAGCUCGGUGCUCCGGCCGGAUUUAUAGGCCGCAGGAAACCGCGAAACCGGCGUGCGGAGAGGAAAGCGAGCUGAUACGAUACGAUGGGAAGCGAGACCGUGGUUUCGAGCCGAGCGGGUGGCCGGUGGCCGGCGCUGCUCUGCGGCAGAGCGCAUGUGGCGCCGCCUCCUUUAACCUGGUCCGCAUAUAAAAAACCACCCCACGCGCCUCGUCACUGAUUCUUUUUGGUGGGCACUGCGCUGCGCUGCAAGUGGAUAAAGAUAAGGAAUCAAUCGAUCGGGGUUGGCGUGUAGGUGCUGCAUCAUAUAUAGGAGCAGGAGUAUGUGAGUGAGUGUGCCCUUGGCGCUCCCUGUUUUCGGCCAAUAAUCCUACACCUAUGUAAUUUGGUUACAUAAUCUUACUUAACCUUCGUAAUCUAAAUCUUCACCGUCCCUGAUUUUCGUGGGGUGAGGCCUGGGCUGUUUUUUCAUCCAAUCUAAUCAUGACAAAUCAACUACCACGCGUAACUUUACCUAGAAUCUCUAGGUAGGUGUAGCAAAGCCCGUUUUCGGCCAACCCGUCCGCAAUCCAAUUCCGCCAGCGGUUCCCUGCAAAUCCUUUGUUGAUCGCAUGCUCGGAAAUACCUCGUCCGAUUAGCCAGUAGAUGGAACUCUUGAUUUCGGUUAUUAUUUGUAGUAUAUAGUAUGAUAUAUGUUAGCAAGUAUAUGAACAAGUUCAAUGUUAAAUUGAUGAUUUUGAAUUUUAAGAUUUUGUAGAUUUAGAUGUAUAAUGAUUAUUAAUUUUAUCUCUUGUCUUUAUUUUAUAUGCCUACAGUAGAAUAUUUUGAUAUAUUACAUAGCUAUAGGUGCAUGAAGUAUGGUAUAAUAAAUAAAAAGUAUAGAUAUAAAUUGGCAAAUUUCUAUUUAAUCUACUGACAAUGGUCGACCGAUUAAUUCAGUUUAUAGGCUCAUUCACUGAUUAAUCGUUACUCUCAAGCAGACCGAGAAGCUACUAGUUACCGAUUUCUUGAACAUUGAAAAUACAUAACGUUGAUCACCUAUCCAAAUAACGUAAAGGUUUUCACUAGCCAGUCCUGUCAUCGCUUGCAGUCGCACCACCACCCUAGAUCUUCCAUCGUCGCAAAUCUCAACCCUGACCAAGGUUUUGGCUACCGAAUACCAAGGAAAUGUCAAGAAGGGGCCGAGAAAUGCGGCUACCAAAAAAUACCAAGUGGAUGCCAUCCAAAACUUCCAAGUGUGUUUCAAAUUAAGAAAAAUUGAGCUAGGUACGUACAACUAUGUGCCAUGCUCAAUUUAGUCAGGAAUUUGCUAGCAUCACAAUGGUUGUCUUCACGCAUGUCAAGGACUGAGGUGUUCAGUGUUCGGUCACUGACCAGUAAAGAAAUAGCAACCUAGCCAGCUCUGUGAAGUUGGUCCUAUAAGUCUGGAUUGACCGACACCUCUUACAUAUAAACCUUAUCCAAGACAGAUAUUGGGCGGCCCAAAUGCAUUGGAUCUGAGAGACGGGACCUACCACAAAUUUCAUCAAAUCUUCCAAACCUGGCCAUACAUGUCUUUUUCCUCUCCUCUCUUCUCCCUCGUUCGCGAUGGCCCUUCCCUAGCUUUUCAGCCACCCUAGAUUCGAUGUCGUCUUGACCCCAUAGCGCGAGUAUCACCACCACAAAACUCCUCCUGCCAUGGUACAUACCACUCUUCCCGUCGUACACCUUGCCCUCCAUGUGUUUGAUAAUGUCAAUGCAAUUAUUUUGGAUUCUUUUGUGGAAAAACAAUGGAUUCGGUCUUGUCACAUGAGUAGUAUAAAGGCUAGGAGCUUGAUGUAUUCAUUCACAAGUUCAUGAAUUCAUCAAAAUCAGAUGACGAAGAUGCUACAUUAAUGAUUGUGAUGAUUAGCUUCGAGAAAAUGGAGAUAAAAGCGUAGUAUAUUCUGAACUUCAAAAGUUCAAUCAAAGGGAAGAUAGACCUAAACUAGGAUAAAGCCGCUGGCUCACGACGGCCGCUCUACAAGUACUACAUCCUAACCGGAUCAACAUUUCCUGAAAUAUGCGUCAACACUUUCGUAUGUGCAAACACUUGUUCUAGUGCGCGGUUAAUGGAGUGAAGGCACAUGAUCCAUUCUCUCUUUUGUUGAAAUGCACAACUGCUCUAAGGAUUAUCAUCUAUUUUCUUUAAAGACUUUCUUUAUUUGCCACGCCAUGUAUUAAACUUUAUGAAAAUACUACCUCCAUCCCAAAAUAAAUGUUACAAAUUUAAAAUAACUUUAUACUAAAGCUAGUACUACCUUCCCAAGUAUAUAGGACAUGCGCGUAGUUCUAGCUUGUUAAUUUAACUACUCCCCCGUUCUUAAAUAUAAGUCUUUUAAGCGAUUUCACUAAGGGUCUACAUACAGAGCAAAAUGAUUGAAUCUAUACUCUAAAGUAUGUCUAUAUACAUCCAUAUAUAUGUAGUCCACUAGUGAAAUCUCUAGAAAGACUUAUAUUUAGGAACGGAUGGAGUAGCUAAUAUGUAUUAUAUGCGAUAAAAAUUACAUAUUCAGAGACUACAUCCCCAUAUGAAUCUAAUGAUAUAUUAUUUAUUACAUAUAAUACAUAAUUAAGUAGUUAAAUUAACGACCUAGAACUACAUGCAUGUCCUAUACACUUAGACGAAUGUAGUAUAAAGUUGAGACACCUAUUUUAAGAUAGAGGAAAUAUUUAAGAAGUGGUGAUCCCGAUGUGCAUCACAAACAUGAGAGGAAUAGCGGGUCAAAGAGUUCCGUGGGUAUUUCUGUCUUCUGCAUGCUCUACCACUGCCACACAUGUCAAAUGAUAACAACAAACGAGUAAAUGGAAGAUGGGGUGAUGGCCGGUGAACCUGAGCUGUACAAAUGCAAGUUAUUAUUAAUUCAAGAUUACUGGGUGGAUACAUGAUGAUUGCUUUGCUUCAUCAGAUAGAAAGUGUUUUGCACACAGAGAAGAGAAGCGCAGUACACCACUCACUGUCUGCAGCCCUCGCAUGGUGACCGCCUCCUUCACUGAACUUUACGCUUUCUUUCAGUAGAGGCGUACAGUUUAUUGGCAGAGAAGCGCAGUUUAUUGCAGGUCUAACUAAUGGAAGGAGUGUUGGCUUUUGAACGUGCGUAUGCAGCUGUACAGGCGUGCCUACGCGAUUCUUGCUUCGGCCGGCUAUUUGACGGAACUUGCGUAACUAGCGACACGAAUAAAACUGAUCGAUGGAUUUGAUGGCUAAAGGCCCGUGUCGAGCCUUUGCUUUGUAUUGCUUUUCGUUUUUCUGGUGUUACAAUCAACACCCCUAGGGUGUCUUUUAUACACGUCCACAAGGGACUAUGGAAAUAGACUAGGACUAGGAAUCCUAAUACUACUAGGACUCGGUUUGGCUUUCUUUCCUAAUCCUACAUGAGCAACAUGAUUAACAUCUACAUUCACCUCCUUAAUCUUGUUGCUUGACUUCACUUCUUGCACUCCGACUUUCCUCCUCAUCUCGAUGAACUUCUGUCGACCGAGGGACUUGGUGAAAAUAUCGGCAAGUUGGUCUUUCGUGUUCACAUGUUGAACCUCGAUCAACCCUUCUUCAAUGCACUCCCGGAUAUGGUGGAACCGGGUAUCUAUGUGCUUGCUCCUUUCGUGAUGAACCAGAUUUUUGCACAACGAGAUUGCAGCUUGGUUAUCGAUCUUCAGUGACACCUUCUACACCUCCCGCUUUGCAAGAAUAGCUAGGAGUCUUCUCAGCCACACUGCUUGACAAGCCGCCGUGCUUGCCGCUAUGUAUUCUGCCUCGCAUGAAGACAGUGCCACCACCUUUUGCUUCUGAGAAUUCCAGCUAAUCGGAUUCGGGCCAAGGUAGAAAACCAUGCCCGUUGUGCUCUUUCGGUCAUCAACAUCACCUGCCAUGUCGCUAUCUGAAUAUCCACGAAGGAUCAAUCCUUCCUUUCCCUUUCUGUACGUGCAACCAAGAUUAAUGGUGCCUUUCACAUAGCGCAAGAUUUGAUUGACCGCGCUCAUGUGCUCGGUUGUCGGAUUCUCCAUGAAACAACUCACGAUCCCGACUGAAUAAGCCAAGUCAGGUCGGGUAUGCACCAAAUAUCUUAGGCUGCCCACAACGCUUCGAUACAUUGUGGUGUCCACCGGCGGAUUUGAGCUACGCUUGCUCAACUUGUGACGUUGGUCCAUUGAAACUUGUGUCGCGUAGCAAUCUGACAUGCCACACUUGUCCAAUAACUUGACCGCGUAAGCCGAUUGACAUAGGGAAAUCUCUCCGGAGCUUUGCUUCACUUCGAUGCCCAAGUAAUAGCUGAGUAAUCCCAGAUCACUCAUGCUAAACUUGUUCUUCAUUUGCGCCUUGAAACGUUCAAUUUCUUUUACGCUAUCUCCGGUGAUAAUCAGAUCGUCGACAUAAACUCCAACUAGCAGGUUUGAGCCUUUGGAGUUCUUUGUAUAGACUGCGUGCUCGAGGGGACAUCUCUUGAACCCGAGCGAGACCAGACUUCGGUCUAACUUUGAGUUCCAAGCUCUUGGCGCUUGCUUCAACCCGUAAAGUGCCUUCUUGAGCUUGUAAACUUUCCCUUCUUCGCCUUUCUUCUCGUAGCCGAGGGGUUGUUCCACGUACACUUCUUCUGUGAGAUCACCGUUGAGGAAAGCGGAUUUAACAUCCAUAUGAUGAACCUUCCAAUCCUCUUGUGCUGCCAAAGCUAGGAGCACUCUCACCGUCUCGAUUCGAGCAACCGGUGCAAACACCUCAUCAUAGUCAACUCCUUGACGUUGUACGUAGCCCUUUGCAACGAGUCUUGCCUUGUACUUCACAAUGGCACCCUCCGUGUCCUUCUUUAACUUGUAAACCCACUUCAAACCUAUCGUCUUUUGGUUUGGAGGUCGGGUUACCAAAGUCCACGUGCCAUUGCUCUCAAUUGCCUUCAUCUCCUCAUCCAUGGCGUGCGUCCAGCUAGGACUUUUGCUCGCCUCUACGAAGUUCGCCGGCUCCUCAACUCCGAACAGACAUAGUCCGGAGUACUCAAGCGUAACUGGCUUUGUGUACUUGUAGACUUUCUUGAGGGUCUUGUAGCGACGAGGCCCUGAGGAGUCCGUUGUGGCUUGCGAAGGAGGCGACACAAAUUGUGUCGGUGUUGAUGCACUUGAGGAAGACGGCUGAGACCUUGGUGUGUCAUCGACAUCCGUGUCGUCGGCGUAGUCGUCGUGACCGUGACCAUCAUCUUGAUUGUCGUCGUCACUAUGCGCCUCGUUGUCGAUGUUCUCGUCGAGAUCUCCGCCUGUGUCGUGCGCGGCGUUGUCGUUAUCUCCUUGCGACCUAUGCGCGUCGUUGUCGGUGUCGGCACCAUGAUGAUCACUACCAUUGUGGUCACCUUGGUUGGGCGUCUUGCCAACCACCUGGACAUCCUCCCCUGCAUCAUCAUCAGUUGGAAAUUCAACUGCAAAUAUGUUACUGUUUGGAGCAUCGUCGGCUGCGGCGCUCCAAUUCCACGCUUGGUUUUCUUCAAACACGACGUCGCGUGAAAUCCGUAGACGCUUGGUUUGUGGAUCGUAGAAACGGUAUGCCUUGGUGCCAGAACUGCUCUCGUAUCCGAUGAACACCAUCUUGGUGCUACGAUCGGCAAGCUUUGAGAGAUGUGGCUCCGCCGUCUUCACAUGUGCCACGCACCCGAACGUCCGUAGAUGAGACACAUUCGACUUACGUCCGUAAAUUGCUUCAUACGGAGUCUUGCCGAUCACCGCCUUCGUUGGAGCCCGGUUGAGAAGAUAGACCGCCGUCGAGACAGCUUCUCCCCAAAAAGUCCCCGGCAGGUUCUUGCUGUUGAGUAAACUCCUUGCCAUGUCAACGACGGUUCGAUUGCGCCUUUCAACGACCCCAUUCUGCUGCGGCGUGUAAGGUGCCGUGAGGAACCUCUUUGUGCCAAUCUUCUCGCAGUAGUCGUUGAACUCAUUCGACGUAAACUCUCCGCCGCGAUCUGUCCGUAGAGCGCGAACCUUCAGCUUGUGUUCCAUCUCUGUUGCAGCCUUUAAUUUCUUGAACGCUUCAAACGCCUCAUCUUUAGAUCGUAGGAGAAUGACCCACAUAUAUCUCGAGUAGUCAUCUACCACAAGGAAGAAAUACUUCUUUCCAGCGUGAGUUGCCGGGGUGAUAGGGCCACAUAGAUCACCAUGGAGCAGCUCGAGUGCAUCACUUGCACGAUAGGUAGACUGAGCAGGGAAUGGCCUGCGGUGCUGUUUUCCAACCAAGCACCCGUCACAUACUCGAUCAACAUGGUCGAUAACUGGCAUCCCGGAUACCAUCUGCAUCUUUGACAUCUUCUUCAAGGCGUAGAAGUUAACGUGUCCAAAUCUAGCAUGCCAUAACCACGAAUCAUCAUCACUCUUGGCAAGCCAACACUCCGGUUGAGAUUGAUCAAGGUUGAGGAUAUAGAGCCUAUUCCGUGAGCGAUUAACACGAGCUAGCACGUUUCGGAGGUUGUCGAAGAUCGUCAUCACUCCGCUCUCUAUAUUCACCUUGCAUCCAUUCUCGUCAAGCUUCCCAAUAGAGAUGAUGUUGUUGCGCAGCCCUGGGAUGUAGUACACUCCGGUGAGUAUGCGAUGUUCGCCUGUGAGACCCUCAAAGAGGACAGAUCCUUGCCCGCAAAUCUCCACAGCUGAACCAUCACCGAACUUGACCGAGCCUUCAACAUCGUAUUCCAGCUCGAGGAAUUUCUCCUUGCACCCCGUCAUGUGGUUACUGGCACCCGUGUCGAGAUACCACGACACGUUCUGAUCACUGGAUAACUUUGGUGUCACUUUUUCCUCAUGAAGUAGCACCUUCCGGCUUGGUUUCACAACCACCGUUUCAGCGAGAUCACAAACUUCGGCCAUCAGAAGACCUGGACCUUCGUCUUCCUGCUUUGCCAAAUUUGCCUUGAUCUCCCGCUUGUUAGGCUUUGGACAAUCCUUCGCAAAGUGACCCAUCUUAUUGCAGUUAUAGCACUUGACCUCGGACAAGUCCAAGUUCCGUGGUUUCUGCUCUUUAGAUUGGCCCGCCUUACCACGACCUUGUGGUUUGCCUUUUCCUUUGCCUUUUCCGGUUUGUCCAUCGCCCUUCGUGUUGCUUGAGCCUUCGCCACCGUCACGCCUUCCUUUGCUACUUGGGGCCUCCCAAUCUGCGCGCGAGUACAUGAGUUGGUCACUACCUCCUCCUUUGCCUUUUCGACAGCCACGAGCAUUCUCUUCCCACGUCCGCAGGCGUCCGAUCGCCUCCGUUAUGGUCAUGUCGUCGAUGUCGUAAAGCUGCUCGAGCGUGCCGAUGAUGUACGUGAAUUUAUCAGUCACUGAACUGAAAAACUUCUCCACGAUCUCGGUCUCCUCGAGCUUUGAACCAAGCGCACGGAUCUCUCCCACCAGAGUAGUAAGACGCAUGGCAUAGUCGUUCACCGAUUCAGUUUCCUCCAUCUGCAACUUGUGAAAUUGGCGCUUCAGCACUUGUGCCCUUGCCUUGGUGACGCGAUCUUCUCCGAUCCUCAUCUCCUUGAGUGCGUUCCACGCCUCUCUUGCCAUCUCGAACUCCGCCAAUGUCAUCAGCACGGAAUCCGGCACAGACUGGGCUAUGGCGGCCAUGGCACCUUCGUCGGACUCGUCAUCGACGUCGUCGUCCGUGAUUGCCUGCCACACUCGAAGGGUUCGGAGAAUAAUCUUCAUCUUCACCGCCCACACGCCGUAGUUGGCGUCGGUGAGCAUCGGGUACUGGAUGGGGAUGUUGCGAUGCGCCUGGACGUUAGCGCCGCUCGUUCCUCCACCACUGGUUGCUGACUUGACGCCCUUCUUCACCUUGUCGCCGUUCUUGUUCGCCUUGGCACCGCCGCUGCCGGACUUGACCGACUCAGCGUCGCUGUCCGUCGUCGUAGAUCGUAGAUCGUCGACGCUCUGAUACCAAUUGUUGGCUUUUGAACGUGCGUAUGCAGCUGUACAGGCGUGCCUACGCGAUUCUUGCUUCGGCCGGCUACUUGACGGAACUUGCGUAACUAGCGACACGAAUAAAACUGAUCGAUGGAUUUGAUGGCUAAAGGCCCGUGUCGAGCCUUUGCUUUGUAUUGCUUUUCGUUUUUCUGGUGUUACAAUCAACACCCCUAGGGUGUCUUUUAUACACGUCCACAAGGGACUAUGGAAAUAGACUAGGACUAGGAAUCCUAAUACUACUAGGACUCGGUUUGGCUUUCUUUCCUAAUCCUACAUGAGCAACAUGAUUAACAUCUACAAGGAGGUGUUCUUGAGGUGGUCCGGCGCGUCCUCGAAGGAAUGCUUCCUGGCCAUGGAGAGGAUGGCCUUAUCGGCGACGAUGAAGUAGGCCAUCCCGGCGACGGUGGAAAUGAUGAGUGCCUGGCCAGUCGGGUUCAGGUGCGCCCUCGCCCACGGCAGCAUCCUCACGCUCGCCAGCUAAUCGAUAUUAAUAUAACACCAGUCAGAGAACAAAUCACUGGGAGCACGAGGGACGAUUCUGAACUUGACGAGCUGUAUCCGAACUCACCGUGGGGACUGCGGCUGCGACGGUGGCGACGGCCGCGGCCUUGGCUCCCGCCAUGGCUGCCUCUGUAACGCCGACAGGUUAAUGACAAUCAAGUUUCAGUGGACAGAGACAUUACAGAAGCUUCAAUGCAAUGCACGACGGAAUGGCAUCUACGAGCAUUGAUCGCUGGUUACCUCUGGAGCAGCGGUCGGCGGCGGCGAGCCUCUGGUCGAGGUAGGCGCGGGUCACCGUAGACAUCUUGGCACGAGAUCCCAAGGAAGUGAAGUGAACUGGUAGUGGUAGUAGCAGUGAAGUAUCAGCAGCAGUGGACUGUGUGAGUGAGAUGAGAUGGAUAGGAAAUGCGCUCCGGCCGGAUUUAUAUAGGCUGCCGCCUGCCGGAAGGAAACCGGCCGGCAACCAGCGUGGGCGCAAGAAGACGAUAGAUACGGUGGGAGGCGAGACCGUGGUUUUGGGCGGUGGGUGUGUUCAGGCGAUACCGGCGGCCGGGCGAGCGGGUUGGUCGGCGCUGCGGCAGAGCACAGGUGGCGCCGCCCCUGCGUCCUUGGUCAUAGUAUAAAAACGAGCGCAUCUCACGUGCACUCCAUUCCACUCCACUGCCACAGGAUAAAAGGAGGCAUCGGGGUUUGGCCGCGAGCGAGCAUUGUGCAGUGUGCCCUCCGUUUUGCCUUGCCGCUCCCAGUUUUCCGCCAACCCGGCCGCAAUCCGGCGUCGGCGUCGUUCCCUCACACUGCCGCGAAACUACACUAGUAGUCGCUUCAUCACAUCUUAAAAACAUACACGUAUACGUAAAUCGUUAAUUUAUUUACAUAAAAUACAUCAUUUAAUAUAAAAAUUAUAUCAUUGAAAAACAGAUGUCUUUCAUUAAAUNNNNNNNNNNNNNNNNNNNNNNNNNNNNNNNNNNNNNNNNNNNNNNNNNNNNNNNNNNNNNNNNNNNNNNNNNNNNNNNNNNNNNNNNNNNNNNNNNNNNNNNNNNNNNNNNNNNNNNNNNNNNNNNNNNNNNNNNNNNNNNNNNNNNNNNNNNNNNNNNNNNNNNNNNNNNNNNNNNNNAUUAAAUUGAUCAAAUUGACGACAUAAAUACAUGUGCCGGACUUGUAAACCGAGACGGAGGAACUAGUACUGCUCAGUUUGCACCUUUGUACAUUUCACCACCAACCAAUCAAUAAAAAAGAAAAGAGAAAAGCAGGGUUAAUUAACCCACAGGUGAAGUGGUGAUACAGUCAACCAGAUACUCCCUCUCUCUCUUCAAAUAAUUGUCUCAACCUUAUACUAACUCUAAUACAAUAUUAUAUUAAGCUUAAGUCAUUUAUUUUAAGACGGAGGGAGUAGUAGCUCAUGUUAUGAAAAGUGCUCUUCUGCACCCGAGCUCAAAUGAGCUUUGGUGAACAGUAGAUUCAUAAAAUACUCAAAAAAUCUGACUUAUUUUACAACAGACUUUGACAAAAAAUUUAAUAGCUUGUAAAAUUUCAGUACGAAAUCAUAUUUUUUAAAAUCGUGGCAAAAAAAUAUAGUGCUCCAAAAUGCUUUUGAAAGUAGUAUUUUCAGAGUUUCGAAUUUUUUUUGCCACGACUUUCAAAAAUGUGAUUUCAUGAUGAAAUUUUACGAGCACUUAGAACAUUUGUCAAAGUUUGGGUACUUUCGCCGGCGUCGUUCCCUCACCGCCGCGAAACUACACUAGUACCAGUAGUACUGCUCCGUUCGCACCUUUGGACAUUUCGCCACCAGCCCAUCAUGAAAAAGAAGAGAGAAAAGGAACGUGGAGUUUUGGCUCCUAAGCUCAUUUGAGCUCGGGUGAACAGUAACCUCAAAAAACGUUUGAAAAAAGUUCAAAAAAUUUCGAAUUUUUUUGAGACCAACCUUGUCAAAAGUUCUAAGUGCGUGCAAAAAUUUGGCACGAAAUAACGCAUUUUCUGAGUAUACAUUUUGUUUAUUUUGCCACGCCUUGUAGAAAUGUUAUUUCAUACCAAAUUUUUGCAUGCACUUAGAACUUUUGACAAGGUUGGUCUUAAUUUUUUUGGAAUUUUUCGAACGUUUUUCGAGUUUACUGUUCACCCGAGCUCAAAUAUACAGUUCAAGUGGUGAUACAGUCAAUCAGAUAUACUCUCUCUUUUAAAAUAACUGUCUUAACUUUAUACUAGCUCUAAUAUAAAAUUAUACUAAACUUAAGCCAUUUAUUUUAAGACGGAGGGAGUAGUAGCUCAUGUUAUGAAAAGUGCUCUUCUACACCCGAGCUCAAAUGAGCUUGUGUGAAUAGUAAAUUCAUAAAAAUAUUUAAAUAAUACACAAAAAAUCUGAAUUUUUUUUACAGCAAACUUUGACAAAUGUUUGAAUAGCUUGUAAAAUUUCUGCACGAAAUCAUAUUUUUUAAAGUCGUGGCAAAAAAGAAUAUAGUGCUCCAAAAUGCUUUUGAAAGUAGCAUUUUCAGAGUUUUGAUUUUUUUUCCAUGACUUUCACAAAUAUGAUUUUAUGAUGAAUCUUUACGAGCACUUAGAACAUUUGUCAAAGUUUGUUAAAAAAAUUAGAUAUAUUUGAACAUUUUUGUAAUAUUUAUUGAAUUUACUGUUCACCUGAGCUCAUUUGAGCUCGGGUGCAAAAACAUCACGUCCCUCAUGUUAUACUCAUAUUCAUUGACAAUAUAAUGAUAAAGAAGAGCUUUUCUUUCGAUCAGUCCCGCAAACAACGUCGAUCGUUGCAGCACAUUGAUGUCACUAGAAGACCCGGACAAAGUAAUCGGCCAUUAGUGUCAAGUGCCCCUGCGUCUUGUUGCGUUUGAGCAUUCGAUGAUCCUUGAUCGAUCCCUUGAAAUUGAGAACAUGCUCCUUCGCAUGCUUCGCCUCUUCAAGGACCGCCUGCGUCAUUGUCGUCUCAUUGAAGUAGUCCUUCUCAUUCGACGAGUCGUUUGACGACUCAACAUAAUGCUUGUAUAUGUACUCGAAAUCAAAAUCCAUUGCUAGAAAGAAGAAAGGACAACUGUUUUCAGCUCCGACGAAUCAUUGAAACAGUUGACGGGUAUGAUGAGAAUAACAGUAGAGGAUGCUAUAGGGCGGGGCGGUCGGAGGAUAAGAACUGAACAAAGAUGGAGGAGAAGCGGUGGCGAGCCUUGCUAGAGCGUCGGAGGGUAACGGAGACACGGAAUCCUGGUAGGGAUGUGACAUGGUGAACGGGGUGGUGGAACGACGGGAAGGCAAGAGAGAAAACAGAAAAGAUAGAAAAAGAGAAGGAUGGUGUCACGGGGUCUUGGAAGAAUUUUGGAUGGACCAGGGAUGACGGAUAGCGAUAUUUCUCGUGUCCGGAUUCCCGCAAACCUAUCCCACUUUUAUCUUCUGUUUGCAAAAGAAAUCGCGUCCGAACCGUUCCGCGGAUCGACACGGAACCGCGACCGAUGCGGGGAUUUGCGAGUCCGUGAUGCCCUAACCCCAACCAUCGAUAUCUGAACGGCCGGCCAUCUGUGCAUCCGUCGCCCGCCCGUCAUCUUCUCUUGCAAGGAUGAGUAAAUUCCGCAGCAGAAUUUUCUACGCGGCAGUACAUCGUCCAUCGUCGUUGGCAAAUGGAGCCGACUUGUACCACUAGCAGAGUCUUUUCGCCCAGGCCCAGCCACCCGUUGCACACAUCCGCUGAUUAGUUACCUUACCUACUAAUAAAUUAAAUAGUGCUUCUUCCGUAUGUCAUACAAAUUGUCCUUAAAGUUGAUUAAAAUUAUUUACAAAUGCCACCUAUAAGUCAUAAAAAACAUUUCAAACAGGAAAAUCUCUGGACUGGGCCGGCCCAUGUAGGCAUCUCCUAUAUUACGCUCUGGGCGUUAAAACAAUAUGCAGCACACCUGUUUGGGCCGGCCCAUGCAUGGACGCCUUUUUUUGUUUAGCUUUUUAUUUUUAUUUUCAGUUCCAUUUUGUUUUUCUACUUUAUUAAAUAAUUUAGAACUUCAAACAACUUUUCUUAAUUUUAACAAAUUGAGAAUUUCGAAAUAAAAUAUCCAGAAAAACAUAUUUUUUUUGAGAAUUCAAAAACUACUCAGGAGGUUUGAAAAAUGUUUGCAUAUAAAAAAAUGUUUAAACUUUGAGAAAAUGUCCAUAAAAUAAAAUAGUCAACGAUUUUAAACAAAAGUCCGUGUAAAAAUCUUAAAAACAGUUCGUGCCUCUGUUUUUAGUCUCAUUUUUUAUUUUCAUUUUUCUGUUCCAUUUUUUAGUUUAAAUAAUUUAGAACUUUGAAUUUUUUUUGCAAUUUAUAAAACUUGGAAUUUUGAAAUAAAAGUGUGAAGAAAAUAUAAAAUGUUUGUGAAUUCAAAAAAUGCUCAGGAUUUUUGUAAAAAUAUUCGCAUAUUCAGAAAAAUGUUCAUAAUUUUGAGAACAAUGUUGGUGAAAACAAUAAAAGUCCAUGAUUUUGGAAAAAAAUGUGUGUUAUUUUUUGAGUGCAAUUGCAAAAAAAUGUUUGCUAAUUCAAAAAAUGUUCAUGCAUUUUAAGAAAUGUCCUAAAAUUUUAAAGACAUAAUAUGAUCAGCAUCAUUGGAGAUUAUAAUUGUUUUUCUCCCGUUGCAACGCACGGGUCCUUUUGCUAGUUAGUUAUAUAAUAACAGGACAAGAAGUUUCAGUCUGAAACCCACGAUGAGCGGGCAUUUGGUCCGAGAGGGGGACAGACCGGUCGAUCUUUAAGACCAUCGGAUUAAUUAGACGGAGAUGAUAGGCUGGUGGGGUCGAUCUCUGAGACCAUUGUUAGAACCGCAGCCCUCCCUCACUCUCGGCUAGAGGUAGAAGAAGACAAAGAUCAACAAGAUUCGGGCGUUCGUGCGCCCACGGCGGCGUUCGUGCACCGCCCCGGAAUUUCUCGUGUCUUGUGUCUUCUUCUACCUCUAGCCAAGAGUGAGGGAGGGCUGCGGUUCUAACAAUUGGUAUCAGAGCCAGUUCGUCUUGGCGUGGUUUGCCGUGCCGGAGGCGUGUCGGCGAUGACGGCGUUCGUCGGCGGCUGCACGAUGGAGCUCUGGGCCGUGUGUCGGCCUGUGAAGGUGCGCGGCGGCCGCGGCGGACCUGCGUGGUGGCGCAGAGGCUGUGGUGGCGCGGCUUGGCUCGACGAGGAGAAGACCGAGCUCCUGGACACACUGGAUCGGCCGCGUUGAUCGCGUUGGUGCGUGAUCAAGGCCGCGAGCUGGGGGCGUGUGGAGCACGGGGGUCGAUCGCCGACGAGGUGAUCGCGUAGCCGCACUGGAGACGGCCGCGUCUUUCGCGUCGGAGCGCGACGGGUGCGCCGGCCGGGGAGUGCGGGGCGUGGCGAAUGCAGCGGAGGAGCGAGGCGACAAGACCGCGUCCUGGGCACGCCGGCCAGGCGUGUUGAUUGCGUUGGAGCGCGAUGUGGGCACGAGCUGGGGCGUGUGGAGCGCGGCGACGGUCGCCGAGGAGGAAGAAGAUCGAGCUGCUCGGGCGGCCGCGUUGCCUGCGUAAGUGCGCGACAUGGGCGUGAGCUGAGGGCAUGCCAAUCAUGGCGCACUGAGGGUGCUGCGCGGCGAAGGCCGCAGCGGCGAGGUGCGACGGUCAUGACGACGACGAUGGAAGCCACAACAACUCCGGCGACGGCAGGUCGUGGUUUAGGGGGAGAAAUGUUAGCCGUAAACCACGCCAAGCCGUUGGAGCUUAGUGCUGGUCGUUGCGAGCUGUUGGGCAGGCCCGCGUUGCGCGCGGUUGUGCGCGUCAUGUGCGUGGAGAGCCCGGCCAGGUCAUGUGUGUGGUUGGCAUGAGUGCGUGCGUGUGUUAGUGGCCAGCUUAGUGGACUUGGGUGCUGUGUCGCCCAGGGAUAUAAACCAGUCGAGAAUUGACGCAAUGUAGACAUUGCAAAGAUCAACAAGAUUCGGGCGUUCGUGCGCCCAAGUGUUUUGCACAUAGAGAAGAGAAGGGCAGAACACCACUCAUUGCCUGCAAGCCUCGCAUGACCGCCUCCCUCACUGAACUUUACGCUUUCUUUCAACGGAGGCGCUGGCCUGCAGUUUAUUGCGCACACUGUCGUUGCCGCGGCCUUCUUCCUCACCCGCCGGAGCUCUACCCCUCUCUCUCCCUCUCUGCACUCGAGGAAGAGAACAUGAGGAAGAAGAAGGACACAACUACACAGGUAUUUUCUUGGCGCACGUUGAGCCGCACGAACAGCGUUUUUUUUCUCUGAGGACGAACUCAGUCUAGCUAACUAUAAAAUGGAGGUGGCCGUGAGCUUUAUACGGACGUGCCUAAGCUCGCCGCGCCCCGCUCCUGCUCAUCCUGCUCACGCAUUUCCUGGAUCACGUGCCCGACGCAUAUGAACGCAGUCGACGUGAUCCCAAGUCCCGCGCUCGACGCAGUCAUCUCUCCGUUCUUCUCGUCAACUAACAACAACCCACGCGCACGCAAGUGCGGACACACAUGCACACACUCUCAGUCACGUACACACACGCCCGAGCCUACCAGAGGCCGAACCUGACGCGGCCACCGCGCGCACACACGCGCACCGCGUCCGAGCCGUGGCUUAUUGCCUCACAUUCAGCCCCCCCCCCCCUAAGCCAUGGCUCAGAGGAGUCCGCCGUCUUCGACUCCGACGACGUCCGCCAGCAGCGCGCGCUCCGCCGCCGGCUCCCUCCGCAGCUUGGGGCAGUCCCUUUUGAAGUGGCCGCGCUCGCCGCACUUGUAGCAGCGCCCGCGCCGGUUCCCGACGCUGCUCGACGCCACGCUCUUGUCGUCGUCGUCGUCCCGGGCACCACUGUAUCGAUGCUCCCGCGCUGCCCACUGCGCCGCCGUCAUGAGCAGCUGCUCACCCCGCGCUCGCCGCCGUCUUGUCCACGGCGCCGAACUCGCUCGUCGAACGCACGCAACCGCCCGAGCGCCUUGUCGAACGCCAUGGUCGCCACCUCGCAAAACUGCUCGAUGCUGGUAACAACGGGGAAAAGCCGAUCAGGAACGGUGUCCAGGAGCUUCUUCACGAGCGCCGCGUCACCCAGCGUCACCCCGAGGUUCGCGUAUCGCGACGUCAUCCCUCCCAGCCUCCCGGCGUACGCGUCCAACGCAUCGCCGUCCGCCAUCUUCAAGCGGCCGAAUUCGCCGCGCAACGUCGCCAGCCUCGACGCGCGGACCCGAUCGGGGCCGACGAACCUCACCCUUAGGGAGUCCCAUACCUCCCUGGCAGUGAGCUUCGUCGCCACCUGCAGCAACACAUCCUCCGACAACCCUUCGAGGAGCAUCGCGCGCCGCCUUGUCCUUCUUGGCGUUCACCGCCGCGUCGCCCGGUGCCACCGCCUCCCAUACGGUGUGGACGUCGAGGACCGCCUGCGCCUUAAUCGCUCACAUGGUGUAGUUGUCCGACGUAAGCAUCGGCAUCACCAUCGACACCAAUCCGCCCGCGCAGCCGCCGUGUGUGGCACGAUCGCCAUUCCCGCUGGGGAGCUCCCGAACCGUGGCUCUGGUAUCAACUGUCAUUGUGGCGGCCUUCUUCCUCACCCGCCGAAGCUCUACCCCUUUCUCUCUCUGCACUUGCCUUGCACUCGAGGAAGAGGACAGAAGGAAGAAGAAGGACACAAGUACAUAGGUAUUUUCUUGGCGCACCUACGCCACCCGCCGCACGAAGGGCGUUCCUUUUCUCUGAGCAGGAACUCAGUCCAGCUGACUAUAAAGUGGAGGUGGCCGUGAGCUUUACACGGGCGUGCCCAGGCACGCCGCGCCCCGCUCCUGCUCAUCCUGCUCACGCACGCCCCCACGUCCCGCACUCCUUGGAUCACGCGCCCGACGGACACGAACGCAGUCGACGUGAUUCCGAGUCCCGCGCCCGACGCAGUCAUCUCUUCACUCUUCUCGCCAACUAACAACAACCCACGCGCAUGCACGCGCGGACGCGCGCACACACACUCUCGGUCACGUACACACGCGCCCGAGCUUACCACAGCCCUCUCUCCAUCGGGGUUUGGCCGCGAGCGCGCGUAGGAUAGCACUAGGAGCAUUGUACAAUGUGCCCUCCAUUUUUGCCGCUCCCAGUUUUCCGCCGACCCGACAAACUCCGCGAGCGGUUGGGUAGUUUCGCCGGCGCCGUUCCCUCCCUGCCGCGAAACUACACUACUAGUAGUAGUGGUACUGCUGGGUUUGCACCUUUGGACAUUUCGCCACCAGCCGAUCAAUGAAAAGAAGAGAGAAAAACGGGGAUAAUUAACCUACCGGAGUAGCCCAUGUUAUACUCGUGUCCAUUGACAAUAUAGUGAUAGGAGGAGCUUUUCGUUGAAUCAGCCUCGCAAACAACGAUGAUCGUUGGAGCACAUUAAUAUCAUUAUAAGACCCGGGCAUGUUAAAGAAAACGUGCCAAAUUCAAAGAUCAUGUGAUGCAACUGCUUUAAAAAUGAUGAUAGACUUCUUAACAUGACGUUAAUACUGUCCUUGUAAAGCUUUCAAACGGUACUUUCAUUUUCAAUGCAUGCAGUCAAGAGAUCAAAGCAAAUCUCGCCCGCUCACACGGUCACACCUCGACCAUGACAGUUGUAAACAUGAUCAUGGCAUCUUCGCAUAUGCUCUCAGACAUCCAUAGAUACUCGUCCCGCGAACCAGCGGUCGUGCCAUAUGCAAGUAUCAGGAGUGCGGGUGUGCAUUUCUCUUAACUAGAGAAGCCAAUCGUUUCACGACGUCUUUGUUAAGGAUGAAGCAGCAAUCGUAGGACCGGACGCCAUGGUUAAAACGAUCGAAGACAGUCUUGCACAUCUGAAAACACCGGCAAAAAUGAUCAACGAAUAGUGCAUCAACGACAAAGUAGUCGAUCAUCAGUGUCAAAUGCCCGCGCGCCUUGUUGCGGUUGAGCACUCGCUAACCCUUGAUCGAGCUCUUGAAAUUAAGAACAUGCUCCUUUGUACGCUCCGCGUCUUCAAGGACCGCCUCCAUCAUCAUCGUCUCAUCGGAGUAGUCCUCCUCGUCUGACGAGCCAUCAGACAUCCAACAUAAUUCAUGUAUAUGUACUUCUGAAUCCAAUGCUAGAGAGAAGAAGGAACAACUGUUUUCAGCUCCGGGGAUUCAUUGAACAGUAGAUGGACAUGAUGAAAAUAACAGUAAAGAAUAGUACCCGGCGGGAGGUUCAAAAGACAUAAGUUUGAAUGGAGACGGAGGAGAAGCGACGGCGAGCCCUGCUGAAACGCGGGAGGGUAACGGAUAUGCUGUAUCUAUUCUGAACCGACUGCGUCUGUACAUCCGUCGCCCACCCGUCAUCUUCUCUUGCAUAGAGGAGUAAGUUGUGCAUCAGAAUUUUCUACGCGGCAGUACAUCGUCCGUCGUCGUUGGCAGAGGGAGCCGACUUGUGUUGCACUACUAGCAGAGUCUCGUCGCCCAGGCACCCGUUGCGCUCAUCCGCUGAUUAGUUAGCACGACGCGAAGUUUCAGUCUGAAUUCUGAAGCCCACGAUAAGCAGGCAUUUUGGUGCGAGAGGGCGACAGACCGGUCGAUCUCGAGACCAUGGGCAGAAUAAAUUAGACAGCUGAGAUGAGAGGCUGCAGGUGGGGUAGUCUUGGUUGCAGCCACGGAAAAUACACACCUGCGCUCCGAUUAGUACUCCAGUUCCCACCCAUGGAAAAUAUAUACACCCACGGAGGAGACUUGACUCCACAACUUCAUCUUUCCUGUUCGCUGAGUGUGUGUGUAUAUAUAUAUAUACCGCUAACUUGUAGUACACACAUCCAUCCACGAACUCAUCGAUCACACGCUCCGUCGCCUCCCAUGGAUCGCUCGCUGCAUAAUACGGGUACGGACUUCUUACCAGCCGUCCUAUAGCUUACCAACACUCAUUUUUCUUUUUGGGUUUGUUUUCCUAUUAUUUCUUUGUCCUAAAAUAAUUGCCUUAAUUUUAUACCUGCUUUACUAUAAAAUUAUACAAAGCUUAAGACACUUGUUGUGGGAUGGAAGGAGUAUAUAUUUACUCUUACUUUCUACUCCCAAAACUUAUUUUCCCAACUUUAUACGUCAUGAGUGAAAGGUUGUCAUUGCCAUGCAUGCAUAUGGAAAGCUCUUUCAGCUCAUACACAUUUUUUUGUGGUUCUUUCUUUAAUUACGGAUUAAAUCUUUGUAGUUUCAAUACAACAUGUAUGCAUACACGGGUGCAAUUCUAUGGAGAAACUAUCUCAGAGCACAAAUAAGUUUUGAAAACGAAGUGUGUGUGUGUGUGUGUGUUUAACACAAUAUAAACAUAGACUCUUUUUUUGGCGGGCUGAAAGAAAUUUAUUCCAUAGAAGUAGUGUUAAAUUAGAUGGGCCUACUUUGUGUUGUUUUGGGCCAGAAUUUUGUCUCAUUUUCUUGUAGACUACAAAUCAUUGUUUUUUUUUUGUGUUGAUGUAAAGAGUUGUCUAUAUGUUUUCACUAUUAAAAAUGCUCUUUUAAGUUGUAAAUAUGCUUUUAGUAAAAAAAAAUUUCAAAAUACAACGCUCAUUGGAGCCCGACAGCUGAAACCUCGCACUCUUGAGAGCACCUACAAUAAUGAUAUCUUACUAAAACCAUAUCUUCCGUUAGGUAAUACAAUAUAUGAAGGGACGGAUCUAAGGGGGGCGAGGGGGGCCAUGAAAGCUUUGCCCUCUCCAUGAGUAAACUCGCUUUCUCCAUGCGUCCACCCUGGCUCCGUCCAUGUAUACAAGAUAUGCAAAUUUCUUUAUCCUAGAUGAUGUUUCUUAUACUCACUCCGUCCCGAAACAAAUUGUCUCAAGUUUAUAUUAAUUUUAAUACAUAAUUAUACUAGAGUUGAGACACUUAUUUUGAGACGAUGAAAAUACCUAGGGCAUUUUCAAAGACAACCCAUAAAUUUUCUCCCGCAUCCGUCAGUGGACAGGGAAACCAGUCUGCAAACACAAAUACAGGAGGACGGCAUCCAACUAUAUUGCCGCAUACAUUUUGACAACAAUUCAAACUAGCCGAACGAAAUACGUGCAAACACGAUCAAAAUUCAUGCAAAAUAUGAAGGAUUCCAUACGAACACGAUGUAUUCCAUUACAUUUCAAAUGUUUAGACAAAUAAAAAUACCCACCCCUAAACCAAUCCUACGACGAUGGCGCUCGAUGUCCAAGCCCGUGUCGUGCCCCAUCCGCCGUCUCCAUGAGCACCGGCGAUAAGACCGAUGAAGUGAAGGUACGAUCUCCGGUAAGGAAGAGUAGAACACGGGAGAUGGACUAAUCCACAUGGGAAACCUGGCCCUACUGCCUCCCAUGCCUCUGUUGCCGGUGGACGUGAGGUCCAUGAGGGGAAUGGUGGCGUCUUGGAUGUCGUCGUCUCAUCGGGCUACCUGAUGGUUCGCCGGCGGCGCGUAGGAGGCAAAGUUGUCGUCGUUCUCCUCCGCGAUCACCCGCAACUACACCUCCGCGACGUCCGCUUCUAUGGUGGCUUGAGCGGGGAUGGCAUCGUACACGGCAUGCUACUUCACAACGAAGUUUGGGUUUGUCGCGGCCAUGGCCGCCAGGUCCUCGUGCUCGCUGUCGAUCUGACGCAACGCGAGCCGAUGUUGCUCCAGCGCCCGCUCUAACGCCGAUGUACGCGCCGGCGUAGGUGGCCCCUCCGCCAUGGUGGUGUUGUAGUGCGCCUGCGUCAUGGUGUAGCCGAAGUGCUCAGGAAGCGCGGGAGCCGGGGCAGUGUCGUUGGAGCUCGUUUCCAUCGUGGUGUCGUCCUCUUCGUCGUCAAAGACCUUAGGCGAGUUGGCUGGCCUCGAUCCACCUGGCACGACGGCUCUGCCAGGUGGCGGCAAGGGCUACUACCUUCUGCUUCAUCUCCGGGGAAAGGAUUCCCUACAGAGCAUCGCCGCAUGCUAUCAUGGUGGAUGCGGUGCAAGGGAGGAGGACGUGGAGAAGAUGUGGAGUCGAUGUGUUGCGUUGUGAAGAUAGCCGGGUGUGGCCGCACUUAAAUAAUGGACUUUGGUGAGGCCAGACGUCAAUGCGGGACGUCUCUUGGUCGUCCAGCCAACUUAAUGGCGGCAUACGGAAGGACGGGGCAUUGAACGGGUGUGGUAGAUACGGAAAGUCCUAUUCUACUCCCGAGCUCAAAUGCUCCUUCGUGAACAGUAAAAUAAAAAAAAAUUCGUAAAAUACUUUAAAAAAUUCUAAAUUCUUUUUAUGAUAAACUUUGACAAAUAUUUUACAUGUGUAUCAAAAUUCAGCACAAAAUAACAUUCGCAGCAAAAAAACAAAAUCAACAGUCCAAAAUGUAUCCAAAACUAGCAUUUUUGGAGCAUCGAUUUUGUUUUUUGCCAGGACUUUUACAAAUGUUAUUUCGAGCUGAACUUUUGUAAGCAUACAAAACUUUUGCCGAAGUUUAUCACCAAAGAAAAUCAGAAUUUUUUGAAUGUUGUACUAGUUUUUUUUUUUUUUGAUUUUAGUGUUCAUGAGGGAGGGUAUGAGCUGGGGACAAGAAAAACUCCAUGUCCGGUAGUAGAUAUCAACCAGUUUUUGUGAAAUGACCAGUACACCCCGGACCCCGCAGACAGAGUGCUACCCAUAUAUUCUCUCCUGUGUUCCAAACUCCCAAUCCCCGACCUGCCUUCUGCCUCCUGCCCGAGCAAAUCCCCGGCGAGACACCUGGCGCAGAUGGAAGGUCCCGUUCCACCCGCCGCACCACCACCGGCGCGACACCCUUUGGUCCUCGUCCGCCCGCGGCGAGUAAUCUCGGCCGGCGGUCCAGCUGGUUCCUCGAGCCGGCGACGCCACCACGCGGGAUUCGAGCACCCAGCACUACCCGCGGCGGCCGCCCUCCUCCGUGGGCGUAUUCGGCCUCCGCGCCCUCCUUCGCUCGGGGCUACCAGGCCCUGUAAGCAGGUACGGGGAACCCUAGCCGUACGACGCAGUUAGUUGCCUGUCUCGUCGAUGUGGAGUGGUGGUGCCGGCGGUGGAAAUUAGAGUCGAAUAAGACUCUUUUUGCCUAGUAUCUGGAUGGUACAUCUCCUUCUAUUCGAAAUUGUCUGGAAUUCUUUUUCAUUUAAUUUGCUUCAUCCGAUCCUUAUGUUGUUGGGUUGAAAUGUUUGUACUGGUGGGAUCAAACUCUUGGCUACCUACUGAUCUGUUCCACAUGAUUAAUUGUAGUUUUAAGGGAUUUUCAGCGGAUUGGUCUUGACAUAUUUCGGAAGAAAUCAGUAUUUGUUAUCUACUAGUAUGUUGUAUUAGGCAUGUUUUUUCAAUUAUUUUUUGGGGACUAAUGAACCAUAUCAAUUACUAUAACAUGAAUCCACUUAAUAUAGAUAUGUACAUGAUACAUGUCUUGAUUGUUGCCUACAGGUCAGAAGCUCUUACUACUUGUCUUCGCCACCCUAGCCCUACAACAUAGUACUACCACUUAUGGUUAUGGGUCUGGAACCUCCGGGGGCAUCAACAGGGCACGGCCUGGCUGCCCAGACAAGUGUGGCAACGUCAGCAUUCCGUACCCAUUCGGCACUGGAAAUGGCUGCUUCAGAGAACCCUUUAGUGUUACAUGCAACGAGAGCAGGGCAUAUCUGGCCUCAACCGGACUUAGGGUACUAGACAUCAAUCUUAGCUUUGGUGAGGUUCGUGUUCAGAACCCAAAGAUAGCAUCGCAAUGCAACUACACCAACGGCACCAAUAGCACCAGUUUGGUUGGCUUAAGCCUUGAUCCUUUUCAUAAGCUUUCCUACACCAAGAACAAGCUAACAUCAAUCGGUUGUGCUACACUUGGAUUUAUCGUAGGAUCCACCAAGGGCAAGAACAGCUUGAGUUACCCAUUGUCAACUCAUGCUUUUCAUUCUGCACUGAUGCAAGUAGCGUCGAUGAUAGCACAGAGUGCGCUGGCAUGGGUUGCUGCCAGACCCCCCUUCCAGCAAAUAUCAGCUCCUUCAACACCACAUCCGCGCCAGUACCAACUAUAUACAAUGCUACCAUCCAGUCUUUCAGUCCAUGCAGCUACUCAUUCGUCGCUGAGGUGGACUUGUUCAAGUUUGAUCGUUCAUAUGUCAGCUCUACAAAUUUCACAAGUAAAUAUAUAGAUGGGGUUCCUUUGGUACUCGAUUGGGUUGUUGGUAAUGGAAGUUGUUCCACCAAUAUGGGAUCACAAUAUGCGUGCCAAGCCAUGAACAGUGAAUGUGUUGAUGUGUCCAAUGGCCCGGGUUACCGCUGCAACUGCUCUCAGGGUUAUGAGGGCAAUCCAUACCUACAAGGAGGUUGCCAAGGUACGUAUAUGGAUCUCACAGAAUCAACUUAUACUCUCUCCUUUCUUUUUUUUUAGAAAAGGAGGCGUCGCCCCGGCCUCUGCAUCGAGUGAUGCAUGCAGCCUUUUAUUAAACAUGAAUACUCUCUCCUUUCUACCAGCUUUACUAUUUAUGGAAUGCCAUAUUGUGUUAUCCAUGUUGACGUUCUCCGCACUUCCAUGAAAUGCAGACAUCAAUGAGUGCGAACCUCCAGACCAGCCCUUGUAUCCUUGCAAAGGUAAAUGCAUAAACACUGAGGGAAACUACACAUGUUUGUGCCCAUCAGGAUUCAGGAGCGACGAUCCAAAGAACAUACCCUGCGUUCGAGCUGACACAAAGAGAUCUCUGAAUAUUGUGCUAGGUAAUGGGACUGUUAACAAUGAAAAUAUUUCGCACACCAGUUGUGUACACACUACUUAACUGCACUUUUUAGGCCAGUUAUAUAAGGCCAAGUUCAGUUUAGACACAUGUUAUAUAGCAAAGCAAUGGCGUGAUGAACUAAAUGUGAGCAACAUUGCUAGUUGAACUGAUGGUAAUUAACCGUCAUGAUUUCCAGGCAUAUCCUUCAGUGUUGUCUUCCUCAUGGUUUGUAUCUUCGCUCUACGGGCCGAGUAUCAGAAAAGGAAGUUGAAGAAAGAGAAGGAAAGAUUCUUUGAUCAGAAUGGUGGUCAGAUAUUAUAUCAUCAAAUUAUGUCAAAACAAGUUGAUACUUUGAGGAUAUUCACACAAGAAGACCUUAAGAAGGCUACGAAUGAUUUUGACGAGAGCAGAGAACUGGGCAGGGGUGGUCAUGGCACUGUCUACAAGGGCAUGCUCAAGGACAGCAGGGUAGUAGCUGUGAAGCGCUCGAAGGUCAUGAACGUGGCAGAAACUGACGAAUUCGUGCAGGAGAUUAUUAUACUUUCACAGACCAACCACCGUAAUGUAGUCAGGCUUCUAGGGUGCUGCUUAGAGGUGGAAGUUCCAAUCCUGGUCUAUGAAUUCAUCCCGAGUGGCACUCUCUUUGAGUUCAUCCAUCGUAACUACACAAGUCCACCUCCCUCUCUGGACACCCGUCUCAGGGUCGCUCAAGAAUCAGCAGAAGCACUUGCAUAUCUGCAUCUGUCCAUGAACCUCCCUAUAGUCCAUGGGGAUGUCAAGUCUAUGAACAUUCUCUUGGACGAAAACUACAUGGCGAAAGUGACCGACUUUGGGGCGUCAAGGAUGCUCCCCAAGGAUGAGGUUCAGUUCAUGACAUUGGUGCAGGGCACCAUGGGUUACCUGGACCCUGAGUACUUGCAGGAGAGGCAACUCACGGAGAAGAGCGACGUUUACAGCUUUGGCGUUGUGCUGCUGGAGUUGAUCACGGGCAAGACAGCCAUCUACCACGACGGCCCCAAGGAAGGCAAGAGCCUUGCGUCGUCCUUCCUGCUCGCGAUGAAGGAUGGAAGCCUUGAUGCCAUCCUGGAUGCAAGCAUAGUUAGCGCCGGGAUGGAGAUGCUGCUGGGAGAAGUCGCCGAGCUGGCGAGGAUGUGCUUGAGCGCCAGGGGUGAAGAGAGACCUUCCAUGACCGAAGUGGCUGACAAGCUGAAGGCUCUGCGAAGCACCUGGAGGGCGAAACUCGUGCUUGAGAACGGCAAAACAGAGCGUCUGGUCAUGUGCUCCUCACCUGUAGCUUCAGCGCUUCAUGAUCCUCCAUCGACGAGCACGGUCUCGACUGGGCCUCACAUGUCUGGAAUAAGUAUAGAAACACCCAGGUGAUAGUUUCAGUUAUUAUUAUAAUAUAUGCAGAGGUAGUAUUGCCAAGUGUGUGUGUGUGUACGUGUCACGCCUGGAGCUUCAAAUGUACUAUCAGUAUUUGUCAUGUAUUUGCGGUAUCAAGUAUUAUGUAGAAGUUGGAAUUUGUUAUUACAAUAUUUAUGUCCUAGUUUUGGCCAUGUUGGUUAUGGAGUAUUUGACAUUCAUCAUCUUUUGUAUUGCUUGUUUCUAUUUAUUCAUGCCUUUUGGCAAUUGCUUUGUAAUGAUUUUGUAAUAAUUUUGAGAAUAAAAUGCAUCCACACUGAUCAAAUCAGUGUACUGAGGAGUAUCAGAGCUGUUACAGUUAAUCCUUUAGUUAACCUGCUGUAUGUAUGCAGGCCAAUAAUUGAUCGUAUUGAUGUGACAAAGGUGAGAUUCCUGUGUUGCCUUUAAAUGGGAAGAAGAAUAAAAUCCUAAAAAAUGGAGCCUCAGUUCUGUUGUUUCUGUGAACUCUUAUCUCUGUUAGAUUCAUGAAAGUAGGUCCUGCUGUGCUCAUAUUCUUUAUUUAGAUAUUUGAUUCUCAAACCAGGCGAACAAUAAGUAACUUUACUCUAACUCCGACAGGUAUUGGUGGUUUCUCUUAUUCUGCUCACGAGGUUAACACAUAAGGAUGGCUACAUAUUUUGAUUUGUGCUGUCACCACGGUUUGAAAUUACAAAUUUACAGUUUGAUAUAAGGAUAAAUCUCAGGUGAAAUUGCUCCACUUCCUCCUGCUUACAGUUUCUGUUCAUUACUAACAUACAUAAUUUCAUGCUGAAUUUGAUUGAUGUAGUUCAGUAAAUUUUGAUUCAUCCGAUAUCGUCUUGUUCUGCACUGUUACAAGCAUUUAUAUAAAGCCUACCCAUCUGUAUAUAGUUAUGCCAUGACAGUUCAUGAAAAUAAAUAUAACUUUAUAGAAUUGUCACUUAUUACUCUAGCAGUGAAGUGUCGGCCUGCUACUAGAAUCAAGUGUUUUUUCCAUUGCUAAUCUGGUACAUAAGUCUUCGGUCAUAGCAUUGUAGGGCCUUCAUUAAGCACAAUUUAGCUGCAAACGAACACAAGCAACCUUGUUGGCUGUUGCCGUCAUGACUUUAGACAGUGACACAUUUCUCUCUAUCUGAUAGGUGCCUUCUUUGAUUCAUUUGUCCACUUGCGGUCAUACUUUUUCUGAUAAUAGGUUAUAUCAGGGCGAGAGCUUCAUGUUGCUAUUCGUCCUCAGAGUAUCAAAGUCGGCCAGUCAUUACUUGUUUGUCAGCUUGUCGUUGUUAUUGUUGUUGUUGAUAGGUACCUUCUUUGACUCAUUUGUCAGCUUCAGCCAAUUCUCUUCUGAUAACAGAUUAUAUCAGGGCCCUAUACGUCCUCAGAGUACCAAAGUUGGUUUAGCUAUGAUGUCCUCCAUGGAUGCAGCUGCAACCCUUUGCCUUGUGCUUAUUCUAGCCACGACGACUUCCUCUCCUUUCUAUGCACAAGAAACCAAGAACGGCGGGUGCAUCACAGAUGAGAGGGACGCAUUGCUGUCUUUCAGAGCUGGCAUCAGAAGCGAUCCACAGAACCUCUUUUCCUCUUGGAAUGGCCAAGAUUGCUGCCAGUGGAGUGGUGUCAGGUGCAGCAACAGGACAUGCCAUAUCGUCAAGCUUGACGUCCGCAACGGUCUCUUCUUUGACGAUAUCUAUCGUAACUGGUACAGUGAAAAUCCUCAUGGGAUGCGUGGGAACAUAAGUUCUUCAUUAGUUGCUUUGCAUCGUUUGGAGUAUCUAGAUCUGAGUGGAAACUAUCUCGGUGGAGUAUGUGUGCCAAUACCCAGAUUCUUGGGCUCUCUCCAAAAUUUGAUAUAUCUCAACCUAUCUUCCAUGGAUUUUCAUGGUAAAGUGCCUCCUCAACUUGGUAACUUAUCCAGAUUGCUAUAUCUUGACCUCAACAACAAUUGGAAUUAUAGACCUUAUUAUGCCAUGCUGUUGCACAUAGAGAAUAUCUCAUGGUUGCUGCGUCUCACUUUGCUAAGGUUUCUCGACUUGACUCAUGUGGAUGUCAGUGCCAUUGGCAAUUGGGUUCAAGUGGUUAACAUGCUAUCUAAUCUAAGAGUCCUUAAUCUCCGUAAAUGUGAGCUUGUUUUUCCACGGGCACUACUGUGCAUUCUAACCUCACAUCACUUCAGAUGCUUGAUCUAAGUGAUACUGGAUUUCAUACCAUCAAUCCAACCUACUGGUUCUGGGAUGUUGGCACCAUCAGGCAUCUUGACCUUACGAAUAAUUGAAUUGCUGAAGCAUUUCCAUGGGGAAUAUGACUUCGCUUGUGGUACUUCAUCUUGGAGGCAAUUAUCUCACCAGUAUAAAGCUGGAAGUACUGGGAAACCUGUGCAAUUUGAGAGUGCUAACACUAUGGUCAAAUCUGAUCAAUCAAGACCUUUCACAAUUUUUGGAGGGGUUGCCUCACUGUGCAAUUUGAGAGUGCUAACACUAUUUCUUGCACGAAUGUCACAGGGGAAAUUCCAAGGUGGAUAAAUCAGUGGACUGAUUUGAGCACUCUUCAACUCUCCUCCAAUAGGCUUGAAGGAUCGGUACCUUUAGAAAUUGGUAUGCUCAGCAAACUCAAACAGUUCUGUAUCACAGGAACAUCUGGACACUUUAGUGAAUUUGGAGGAAUUGGACUUGUCUUACAACUCCCUACACCUGAUGAUCAGCUCAAACUGGACCCCCCCUUUUAAAAUUGCGUUGGGCAUAUUUCCCACGCUGCAAAAUGGGACCUCAUUUUCCUCUGUGGCUAAAAGGGCAGAUGGGUGUUGUUUAUCUUGAUAUUUCUGAUGCAGGCAUAAUUGAUAACCUCCCGAAUUGGUUUUGGAGCGUGGUUUCAAAUGUUCAGUAUUUGAACAUCUCUCAUAACCAAAUAAGUGGCAGGUUGCCAAGGACGCUUGAGUUUAUGCCCUCAGCAGUGAUAUUUGAUCUGAAUUCCAACAACCUCACUCGUAUUCUACCGUUGUUGCCAAGGCAAUUGGCAGAACUGGACAUUUCCAGAAACUCUUUAUCGGGGCCACUGCCAUGAAACUUUGGAGCACCGUUGCUUGAAGAGCUGUUGCUUUUUGACAACAAUAUCAAUGGCACGAUUCCAACAUAUAUUUGUCAGCUGCAGUUAUUAUCCGUACUGGAUUUAGCAAAGAACCUCCUAGCAGGACACCUCCCCCUCUGUUCAGAAGAAACUAAAAAACUGAAUAGAUCCAUGAAAGCUCUAGUCCUGAAUGAGAACAAUUUGUCUGGUGAAUUCCCUUCAUUUUUGGAGAGCUUCUCAAAGUUGGUUAUACUUGAUCUUGCGCACAACAACUUUGUCGGGGAGUUGCCGGCAUGGUUAGGAAACAAAUUGCCAGAUUUGUCCUACCUCCGGUUGCGGCAUAAUAAAUUCUCUGGCUCUAUUCCAGGACAGCUCACACAGCUUGAACACCUACAAUAUUUGGACCUUGCAGAUAACCGAAUAUCAGGAUCUAUACCUCAUUCAUUGGCCAACUUAAAAGAAAUGAUACAGGAGGACCAAACACUUGGGAACCCCUUAGUGUGGAGUUAUGAAAGGCCAGCAAACCCUGACACGGAUGAUUCACCGAAAUAUGAUGACAACUUAGCAGUGGUAAUGAAAGGCCAAGACCUUCAUUACACCAGAAAUAUGAUUUACAUAGUUGGCCUCGACUUGUCCUGCAACAGUUUGGUCGGAGAGAUUCCAGGUGAAUUGACUUCCCUGGUUAGAAUGAAUAACCUGAACAUCUCCCAUAAUCAGUUGUCCGGUAGGAUCCCGGAGAAGGUCGGUUCGCUACAGUCAUUGGAGUCUCUCGACCUGUCCUUCAAUGAACUCUCUGGCGUGAUCCCUUCCGGUCUCUCGAACAUCACAUUGUAUAGCAGGCUGAACCUGUCAUACAAUAACCUUUCAGGAAGAAUACCCCCGGGGGAUCAGCUAUAAUCGCUCAUCAAUCCAGCAUCAUCAUAUAUCGGCAACAACCAUCUAUGUGGACCUCCUCUUUCCAGGAACUGCUGGGAGCCUGAUGUAACUAGAGGUGAUAUUGAGGAGCAUCAAAACGAGGCGAAGUAUUUCUAUCUUGGGCUGGCUGCAGGAUUUGUCUUUGGUCUCUGGCUGGUGUUCAUUAUCUUCUUGUUUCGUGUGUGUGGUGGGUUCGCAAUGUGCAGAGCAGUGCCAUCACGCUGGGCACGACUGCCUGAAGCUGAAGGAUUGGCGCUGCAGCUUCGUCGUGGGUGAAACCAAGACCGGUGAAGCUCACGCAGCUGAACCUAGCAUUGCUGGUGCUGGAACUAGUCUUGGUACUAUGCUACUGCAUGAUGUUGUGAUUUGGAAAGUUUGGAAAAUACGGACAAUUAAAAGACUGUAAGCCACACCUUUUUCUAAAAUAAUGAAGAUUGUACUGUUUGUAUUUAUGAUUUCAAAGUUGUCUAGAUUGUUUUAGAUGGUGGUGUUGUAUAAAUUGUUUUUUUGGGGUAAUAUAGUACUGCAUGAUGUUGUUUAAACUGUUUUAGACGGUGUUGUUGUCUAAAUUGUUUUAAAGUAUGAAGAAGCCAUUCCCCCCCUUUUGCUAUUUUGUAUCUCUAUGUGUUACAUUGAACAAAACAAAUACCUUCCUUUUUGGAAAAUUUGUGUACCCGCAUAAAUAAUCUGGGAAACAAAGGCGACAUUUUCUAACUUUUGCCCUAGUUGUGUGAUGAAGAAACUUAGUACCCGUCGUAGCUAGCUACAUCAUGAAGAUGCAUAUGUUUCAUCUAGCGAGGUUGGACCAAUCCAUACUCUAUAUAUGUUGAUGCAUAUGUUUCAUCCCGAGACGAGCACCGACUCUUGAACUAGUACAUUUAAAUGGCGUCGAACUCUAUACUUGUUGACUCCAGUGCAGUUUUCAUAUGAAGUGCAGUUUUCAUAUGAANNNNNNNNNNNNNNNNNNNNNNNNNNNNNNNNNNNNNNNNNNNNNNNNNNNNNNNNNNNNNNNNNNNNNNNNNNNNNNNNNNNNNNNNNNNNNNNNNNNNNNNNNNNNNGCAGUUUUCAUAUGAACAUACGUGUCGAGGGAACAGCGCGCGGUCUUCGUUCUGGAAAGGAGAUAAACUAAACAAUAUGUUUGAGAAUUGAGAUUAGAGAUCAGACGGAGAUCGAUCAACGGUUGACUGCUUGCUUGCUGCCACCUCCUCCUGCUGUCCAAAUUAAACAACAAGCCACGCAACUACAGUUUGAUUAGUACUCCGUUUCACACCCAGAUGAUCCAGGAGAAUUGAGUGCAAGUUUGCCUUCCCUUGUGUGUAUAUAUGGCUCGUAUGUAAGUACACACACAACACAAUUAACUGUUCCAACAGCUAGAUGGUCGCAUAAUACACGCUUGUGAAAAAAUAAGGGGGCUACACAAUACAACUACAUACGCACGCAUACAUGGGUUGGUCACUGCCUCCAGGUAAGAAUUUCUUCUCGGCCUAGCUUGCGACCUUGUUCAUGUUGAGCUGUUCUUCAUGUAAAAAAGAACACACUCCAACCAUUUAUUUCUGUAGAGAGUUGCCCCCUUGCAGUUGCAUGUAGAUCUUUUGCUUUUUGGUUGCUCAAUUCUUAGUAAACACAAUCCAUGAGUUUAUUUUGCGGAGCAGUAGUUUCCAUUUAGCCUAUGGAUAUUAUUUUUCUUGAAACGGAUUUAGGCUAUAUGCAUAUAGAACAUGUAAAAUAUUCUUCAAAUGUUAAUGUUAUUUAAGAAAAGUUGUUGCUGCAUGUUCAAAGGUUGUUAUUGUCAUGUGAAGGCUCUUUAAGCAACCAAGAAUUUAGGACGCACAAAAAAUUGAGUUUACAUGAAACUUUCACCUAUUUCAUCGCACCAUCAUACUAUUAAGCUUGAUGAUAGCUUCUCAGAACCCCCCCCCCGCCNNNNNNNNNNNNNNNNNNNNNNNNNNNNNNNNNNNNNNNNNNNNNNNNNNNNNNNNNNNNNNNNNNNNNNNNNNNNNNNNNNNNNNNNNNNNNNNNNNNNNNNNNNNNNNNNNNNNNNNCCCCCCCCUCAUGCGAAAUAGCAAUAUUCACAUUUUAUACACCCGAGGGAUAUUCGAGCAUGAACUUCACCCCUUGCUCCCCGAGGUUAAUGUGCUUCCUCGGAGUCGAUAGAAGAUGGCUCCUGGUUGGUGGCUUUCGUCUUGAUCGCUGUUGGCAACUUCAACCUUGGGCAUCAUCAUGGAUUUUCAUCGUUGCCUAGCUCUUGGGAUUACUUGUACUAAAAAACAUUCUUCAUUUUAUACAUGUGGAUACUACGUGACAUGAGUCGAAUUUCUAUUGAGUUGUGUUACUUUGAACUGACAAUAAUUUUAAGUUAUUGAUACCACAUGGCAUAUAUACGUGGUGACUAAUCCCAAAAUUGAUAAUUUUAAAUAAGGUGCUUCCAUCAUCGAAAAUAUACUUUCCAUGCCACGACUUUUGACUUGUGAAUAAUUUUUUCUAAAAGGGCUAUCAUACAUGCCAACUUUUCUGAAAUGAACUGAAAAGACAACAGAACAAAGGUAUCGUAGACAACAUAACAAAAGAACAUCAACCAAGAAAAAUAAUUACAAUCCUUUUGAUACCAUAUCAUAUAUAUACGCGGUGAGACCACUAGAAACUACUUACGAAUCGAAAUGAAUGAUUUUACUUUUUAAAAUAUGUAUACGUACAUUCAUAUAUGGUCCGUCAGUGAAACCUUUAAAAACACUUAGUAUUAAUAAUUGGUUUCUAUCAUCACGGAUAUUCUUUCAAUGCCACUUCUUUUGACUUGCCAACAAAAAGUUCUAAAAUGGCUUUGCUGAAAUGACCAAUAUACNNNNNNNNNNNNNNNNNNNNNNNNNNNNNNNNNNNNNNNNNNNNNNNNNNNNNNNNNNNNNNNNNNNNNNNNNNNNNNNNNNNNNNNNNNNNNNNNNNNNNNNGAAAUGACCAAUAUACCCCGCAGACUAGUCUCCCCUCCAUCCCUUUCCGAAUCCCCGGACCUGAGGAACAAGCCCUGGCCCCGCCGCCCCGCACGGCCGUCGCCGGCGAGAUGUCUGAAGCCGACGGAGUUCCGCCGCCUGGCGCACCACCAGCCAGUGCUCGUCCGCCUCUGUCCGAUCCCCACGGCCGGCGGUCUGGUUCCUCCGGUUGCCGCCGUCGCCGCCACGUGGGGUUCGCGUGUCUGGCACUACCGGCAGGCACCGCUUACUCCGGCUUCGUAUCCGCGGCCAUUUUCCGCCGCCAAAUGACAGAUAUGUUGUAUUUGGCAUUUUCCUUUUUGUGGAGCCAAAUGACAGAUAUCUACUUCCUCCGUUCUUAAAUAUAAGACCUUUUAGAGAUUGUACUAUAAACUACAUACGGAUGUACAUAAACAUAUUUUAGAGUAUAGAUUCACUCAUUUUGUUCCGUAUGUAGUCUUCUAGUGAAAUACCUAAAAGGUCUUAUAUUUUGGUACGGAGGGAGUAUUACUAUAACAUGCAUAUGGGCUCAGAUAGAUCGGUAUGUACAUGAUACAUUGUCUCCCUUGGUCCCUACAGGUCAGAAGCUCUUACUACUUGUCGCUGCCACGCUGAUCCUGCAGCAUAGUACCACCGUUUAUGGGUCUGGGUCUUCAGGGAGCAUCAACAUGGCACGGCCUGGCUGCCCAGACAGGUGUGGUAACGUCAGCAUCCCGUACCCGUUCGGCACUGGAAAGGGCUGCUUCCAAGAACCCUUCAGUGUUACAUGCAAUGAGAGCAGGGCAUAUCUGGCCUCAACCGGAGUUAGGGUACUAGACAUCAACCUUACCUUUGGUGAGGUUCGUGUUCAGAACCCAAAGAUAGCAUCGCAAUGCAACUACACCAACGGCACCAACAGCACCAGUUUGGCUGGCUUAAGUCUUGAUCCUUUUCAUACGGUUUCCAACACCAAGAACAAGUUGAUAUCGAUCGGGUGUAGUAUGCUUGGAAUGAUCGUAGGAGUGACCAAGGGCAAGAACCAGCUUGAGUUACCCAUUGUCAACUCAUGCUUUUCAUACUGCACUGACGCAAGUAGCGUCGACGAUAGCACAGAGUGCGCUGGCAUGGGUUGCUGCCAGACCCCCCUUCCAGGAAACAUCAGCUCCUUCAACACCACAUCUACGCCAGUACCAACUGUAUACAACGCUACCAUCCAGUCUUUCAGCCCAUGCAGCUACUCAUUCAUCGCUGAGGUGGACUCGUUCAAGUUUGAUCGUUCAUAUGCCAGCUCUACAAAUUUCAGAACUAAAUAUACGGAGGGGUUUCCUUUGGUACUUGAUUGGGUUGUUGGUAAUGGAAGUUGUUCAGAAGCUACCAGGAUUGGGUCACAGAAUGCCUGCCAAGCCGUGAAUAGCGAAUGCAUUAAUGUGUCCAAUGGCCCUGGUUACCGCUGCAACUGCGCUCAAGGUUAUGCGGGUAAUCCUUACCUACAAGGAGGAUGCCGAGGUAUGCACAUGCAUCUCGCAAAAUCAACCUAUAAUUUCUUCUUUAUGUCCACUAUUUUUGUGGGGAAUUUCUCCUCUAUAUCAGCUUUAUUGCUCUUGGAAUGUGAUAUUCAUGUUGACGUUCUCCUCACCUCCUUGAAAUGACAGACAUCAAUGAGUGCGAACAUCCAAACAUGCCCUUGUAUCCUUGCAAAGGUAAUUGCAGAAACACUGAUGGGAGCUACACCUGUUCGUGCCCAUCAGGAUUCAGGAGCGAUGAUCCAAAAAGUAUACCCUGUGUUCGAGCUGACUCAAACAAAGCUCUGAAGGUGGCCUUAGGUAUGGGUUAUAACUUAUAAGCAACCAAAAUAUUUUGCACACCAAUUGUUCACACAUUGCUUGAUAAAAAACAGAAAGCUUUUUUGUGCUUCUUUAUGCCGGCCAUAUAAGUCUGAGCAGAGUACAGUUUGUGCAGAUGUCAUGUAGUAAAGCAAUCGUGAGAUGGCACAAUAUGUGUAUUUUUUAGCCAAUGUGGACAAUGUCUCUAGUUGAACUGAUGUAACCGCCAUGAUUUUCAGGCACAUCCGCUGGUGUAGUCUUCCUCAUAGUUUGCGUGUUUGCUCUACGGGCUGAGUAUCAGAAAAGGAAGCUGGCAAAAGAGAAGGAAAGAUUCUUCGAACAGAAUGGUGGUCAGAUAUUGUACCAUGAAAUUAUGUCAAAACAAGUCGAUACAUUGAAGAUAUUCACGCAGGAAGAUCUGAAGAAGGCUACAAGCGGUUUUGACGAGAGCAGAGAAGUGGGCAAGGGGGGUCACGGCACAGUGUACAAGGGCAUUCUUAAGGAUAGCAAGGAAGUAGCCGUGAAGCGCUCAAAGAUCAUGAACGUGGCCGAAACUGACGAAUUUGUGCACGAGAUUAUCAUCCUUUCACAGAUCAACCACCGGAAUGUGGUCAGGCUUCUAGGGUGCUGCUUAGAGGUGGAAGUUCCGAUGCUGGUCUAUGAAUUCAUCCCUAAUGGCACUCUCUUUCAGUUUAUCCAUCGUAACUACGGAAGUCCACCUCCCUCGCUGGACACCCGUCUCAGGGUCGCACAGGAAUCCGCUGAAGCACUGGCGUAUCUGCAUCUGUCCAUGAACCAACCUAUAGUACACGGAGAUGUCAAGUCUAUGAACAUUCUCUUGGACGAGAACUACAUGGCGAAAGUGACCGACUUUGGGGCGUCAAGGAUGCUCCCCAAGGACGAGGUUCAGUUCAUGACAUUAGUGCAGGGCACCAUGGGCUACCUGGACCCUGAGUACAUGCAGGAGAGGAAGCUAACAGAGAAGAGCGAUGUUUACAGCUUUGGCGUCGUGCUUCUGGAACUGAUCACGGGGAAAACAGCCAUUUACCACGACGGCCCCAAGGAAGCCAAGAACCUCGCAUCGUCCUUCCUGCUCGCGAUGAAGGAUGGGAGCCUUGAUGACAUCCUGGACGCGAGCAUAGUGGGCGACGGGAUGGAGACGCUGCUGGGAGAAGUCGCCGAGAUGGCGAGUAUGUGCUUGAGCACCAGGGGGAAAGAGAGACCUUCCAUGACCCAGGUGGCUGACAAGCUGAAGGCUCUGCGAAGCACNNNNNNNNNNNNNNNNNNNNNNNNNNNNNNNNNNNNNNNNNNNNNNNNNNNNNNNNNNNNNNNNNNNNNNNNNNNNNNNNNNNNNNNNNNNNNNNNNNNNNNNNNNNNNNNNNNAGGCUCUGCGAAGCACGUGGAUGGAGAAACUGGUGCUCGAGCAUGGGAAAAUAGAUCGUCUGGUCGCUGGCUCCUCGCCUGCAGAUUUAAUGCUUUGCGUUCCUCCGUCGCCGAGCGUGUUUUCGACUGGGGCCCAGAUAUCUGAAGUAGGUAUAGAGACACCCAGAUGAUAGUUUCAGAUGAUUGUUAAUUUGUUACACGAGUAAUGCUACACCUACAAAGGCUUACGUAAAGAUUUUACGUAUAAACUGAUGUGUAAGAUUGUGAUUGGUAAUUGAGGGAUGAGGGGCCCCACCCCCACUGAAAAUCAGGGGGGGGCNNNNNNNNNNNNNNNNNNNNNNNNNNNNNNNNNNNNNNNNNNNNNNNNNNNNNNNNNNNNNNNNNNNNNNNNNNNNNNNNNNNNNNNNNNNNNNNNNNNNNNNNNNNNNNNNNNNNNNNNNNNGGGGGGGGGGGGGGGGAGAGAAGAGUUAGUUUGGAAGGUUAAGUAAAUCUUUAUAAGUUUUUGUAGGUCUAGCAUUUUUGUUUGUUACACCAUGCCAAGAGUAUGGCUUGCGGUAUGCUGUCCACAUUUUGUCCUGUAUUUGUGGUACCAAGUACUAUUAUUAGUGUAGAAGUAGGUAUUGGUUAUUGCAACGUAUAUGCCCUAUGUUUGUUACGGAAUAUUUGACCUUUGUUUCUUGUGUCUUGUUGCUUUUCAUUCAUGUCAUUCCGCGAUUGCUCUGCAAUUAUUUUGAAAUUUUGACCUUAGUUUUGACUUUUGAAAUUUUGAAAUUCAAAUAAGUUGUGCCGGAAUGAAAAGGGCAAUUACUACAAAAGGAAGCAAAUGUCAGGUACUCCCAUGCAUUUUUAAAGAAUGAGAACAGAGGGGAGACUCCCUCGUCUCGUCUUAUUCUUAUAGGAGAUGAGAAGAUUUGAACCGGGGCCGGCGACAACAACCUUUGUGUUGUCUAUCACUCCAUCCAGAAGAGCUUCUUGCUCCCAUCUACUUGCUCUGUUUCUAAACAUAAACCUUUUCAGAGAUUUUACUAUAGACUACAUACGAAACAAAAAAUAUAUAUACUCUAAAGUAUGNNNNNNNNNNNNNNNNNNNNNNNNNNNNNNNNNNNNNNNNNNNNNNNNNNNNNNNNNNNNNNNNNNNNNNNNNNNNNNNNNNNNNNNNNNNNNNNNNNNNUGAAUGGAACUAACCUAGACUGACGCUGUUUUCAGCAUAAUUGCCUUGGUGUUAUUUUUGUGCAGAAAUCAAAGUUCUCCAAACGUCCUGAAAAUUUACGGGGAGCAGUUUUGAAAAAUAUCAAAAAUAUCUGCGCCAAGUUCCACCUCAGGGGGUGGGCCAGUGGGCCACAAGCCCCUGCUCCGCCACCACCCCCUGGUGGCGGUGGGCAGGCUUGUGGGGCCCACACACACCUGCCGCCCCCAGCUCCAGCUCUAUAAGUUGUCUUUCGUCCCAGAAAAAAUAAAAAGAGAAGUUUUCGUCGCGUUUUCGAUACGGAGGCGCCGCCACCACCUGUUUUUCAUCUGGAGGGCAGAUCUGGAAUCCGUCUUGGGCUCCGGAGAGGGGAAAUCGUCGCCAUCAUCAUCAUCAACCUUCUUCCCUCUCCAAUUCCAUGAAGCUCUUCGUCGUUCGUGAGUAAUCUAUUCGUAGGCUCGCUGGGUGGUGAUGAGUAGGAUGAGAUCUAUCAUGUAAUCGAGUUAGUUUUGAUGGGGAUUGAUCCCUAGUAUCCACUAUGUUUUGAGAUUGAUGUUGCUACUACUUUGCCAGGCUUAAUGCUUGUCACUAGGGCCCGAGUGCCAUGAUUUCAGAUCUGAAAUUAUUAUGUUGUCACCAAUAUAUGUGUGUUUUAGAUCCGAUCUUCCAAGUUGUAGUUACCUACUAUGUGUUAUGAUCCGGCAACCCCGGAGUGACAAUAACCGGAACCACUCCCGGUGAUGACCAUAGUUUGAGGAGUUCAUGUGUUCACCAAGUGGUAAUGUGCUGGUCCGGUUCUUUAUUAAAAGGAGAACCUUAAUAUCCCGUAGUUUCCUUUUGGACCCCGCUGCCACGGGAGGGAUGGACAAUAGAUGUCAUGCAAGUUCUUUUCCCUAAGCACGUAUGACGACACACGGAAUGCAUGCCUACAUCACAUUGACGAACGGGAGCUAGCCACAUAUCUCUCCGUGUUAUAGCUGUUGCAUGAUGAAUAUCAUCCAAACAAAUCACCGACCCAUUGCCUACGAGUUUGUCCUACUACUGUUGUUACUUGUCUUGCUCUGCUGCUGCUACUACUGUUGCUACUGCUGUUACUUGUCUUGCUCUGCUGCUGCUACUAUUGUUGCUACCGUUGUUACUUGUUUUGCUCUGCUGCUACUGCUACUACUGUUGCUUGCUACUGUUGCUACUUGCUACUGCUGUCACUACUGUUGUUCCUUGCCACUGCUAUUGCUCGUUACACUGCCGUUACUCGUUACUUUGGUGUUACUAUUGUGCUUGCAGAUAUUAAUCUUUCAGGUGUGGUUGAAUCUGACAAAUUCAGCUGCUAAUACUUGAGAAUAUACUCUCACCUCCUGAGGCGAUCUACAAAUUUGGGUCGAAUACUCUACCCUCGAAAACUGCUGCGAACCCACGCGUUGGUGGGCCUUCAACAACAUUCUUCCAGUUUCAUUGUUGGGGAGUGCUAUCAGCAUUCUUCUGGUGCCGUUGCAGGAGAAGUUUUGUUGUUAUAAGCAUUCGUCUAGCUAACACCAGAGAUUGCGCAGAUCAGCAUUUUUCUGGCGCCGUUGCUGGGGAGGUAUUGCUACAUUCUCUGAGUCACUUGGGAUUUAUAUCUGCUGAUCAGUAUGAAGAAUCUGAAGGAUCCGAAGACCAAAGUCUUGCCCUCAACUACGAGGGGAGGUAAGGAAUUGCCAUCUAGCUUUGCACUUGAUUCACCUUCAGUUAUGAGUAAGUUUGCGACAUCACCUCCUGCUAGAAAUCUUGAUAUGGCGUGUGUGCUUGAUGAUGCUUGUGAUACUACUGCUAGAGAUGCUAUGCUUGAUACUAUGCCUGAUGAUGUUAUGCUUGAUACUAUGCCUGAUACUGCUAGAGAUGCUAUGCUUGACACUGCUAGAGAUGCUAUGCCUGAUACUGCUAGAGAUGUAUGCCUGAUACUGCUUUGCCUGAUGAUGCUAGAGAUGCUAUCUUGCCUGAUGAUGCUAUGCUUGAUACUGCUAGAGAUACUCCUUUGCCUGAUGUUCCACUAGGAGUGUUCCUUGAUGCUCAUAUUGCUAGAGUUACUGCCAAUGCUCGUGAUGCUUCUGAUACUGCCGAUACUAUUGAGAUAGAACCUGCUUUUGCUCCUGCUAGAUCUAGCUCUCCUAGAUAUGAAUUGCCUGUUAUACCUAAGGGUUACAUUAUGGAGGGAGAGAUAGCUGAGGAUUUUCUUGCGUGUAAGGAUGCCUAUGACGCUGAGAAAUUAACUCAAGUGGAAGGAAAAAUCUCGUGAAGCUAGGAUGAAAAAUGACCCGAAGUUUGCCACUUCGCCUAUCUUUGUCACCGAUAAGGAUUAUGAAUUCUCUGUCGACCCUGAGAUAAUCUCUCUAGUCGAAUCUGAUCCUUUUCAUGGUUAUGAGUCUGAGACGGUCAUAGCCCAUCUUGCCAAACUAUCCGAAAUAGCCAACCUUUUCACUAAUGAGGAGAAGACCCGCCACUACUAUAUCCUUAAGUUGUUUCCUUUCUCACUAAAGGAUGACGCUAAAGCCUGGUUCACCUCUCUUGCUCUUGGAUGUGUGCGUAGUCCCCAGGAGAUGGUCUAUUACUUCUGUGAGAAAUAUUUCCCUGCCCAUAAGAACCAAGCUGCCUUGCAGGAAAUAUACAACUUUGCUCAACUCCAAGAAGAGAGUCUUCCACAAGCUUGGGGGAGGCUAGUCCAGCUAUAGAAUGCUUUGCCUGAUCACCCUCUUAAGAAGAACGAGAUACUUGAUAUCCUCUAUAACGGACUUACCGAUGCCUCUAGAGACUACCUAGAUAGUUGUGCCGGUUGUGUUUUUAGGGAACGAACUGUAGAACAAGCUGAGACUCUACUGAAUAACCUCUUGAUCAACGAUAAUGCUUGGACUAUUCCCGAACCACCUCCUGAGCCAACUCCUAAGAAAAGCGGUAUUCUAUUUCCUCAGUCCCGAAGAUAUGCAAGAAGCCAAGAAAUCUAUGCAAGAGAAAGGCAUUAGAUCUGAAGAUGUCAAAAAUCUACCACCUAUCGAAGAGACCCAUGGUCUCGAUAACCCGGUACAGGUAGUAGAAGUGAAUUCUCUGCGUAGGUUUGAUGAGAGUGAUAUUCCUUUUGAUAAACCUGCUAGCCUAUGCUUUGAUGAAUUUGGCAACUUUGUUGCCAAACAACAGAGUUACAAUGAUUAUGUUAGCAGACAUUUGGAACAAAGUGCUCGUAUGCUUAGCCAUCUAAGUGCUUGUGUAGACAGAAAUGUCAAUGCUCUGAAGCUUCUGAGUAAACAUGCCUCUAUGAUUACUACUCAGGUAGAACAAGUACUUAAAGCUCAGAAUGACCUGCUCAAUGAACUAAAUGACAACUCUAUCAAAGUCAUUACUAGAGGAGGCAAAAUGACUCAGGAACCUUUGUAUCCUGAAGGUCAUCCUAAGAGAAUUGAUCAAGAUUCUCAAGGAAUCAAUGCUGAUACACCUAGUCAUCCUAAGGAGAAGAAGAAGGAUGAUAGAAACCUGCACGCCAGUUCACCAAAUAUUGUCACACCUGAAGAACCUAAUGAUAUUUCUGUGUCUGAUGCGGAAACACAAUCAGGUGAUGAACAUGAACCUGGUGACAAUAUGGACAGUGAUGUUCAUAAUAGUGCUCAACCUAGCCAUGAUGAGGAUAUGGAGAUUGAACCUAUGGUUAAUCCUGAUAAUCCACAACCUAAGAGAUACGACAAGAAUAACUUCACUGCUAGGAAGCAUGGUAAAGAAAGAGAGCCAUGGGUUUAGAGACCUAUGCCCUUUCCUCCUAAGCCAUCCAAGAAAAAGGAUGAUGAGGAUUUUGAGCGCUUCGUUGAGAUGAUAAGACCCGUCUUUCUGCAGAUGCGGUUAACUGAUAUGCUCAAGAUGUCUCCGUAUGCCAAGUACAUGAAAGAUAUCGUGACUAAUAAACGGAAGAUACCAGAUCUUGAGAUCUCCACCAUGCUUGCCAACUACACUUUUAAAGGUGGAACUCCUAAGAAACUUGGUGAUCCCGGAGUGCCCACUAUACCUUGCUCCAUUAAAGGAAACUACGUAAGAACUGCCAUAUGUGACCUUGGAGCCGAUGUUAGUGUUAUGCCACUCUCUCUUUAUCGUAGACUUGAGUUGGAUAAGUUGACGCCCACUGAAAUUUCUCUGCAAAUGACCGACAAAUCAACUGCUUUCCCUAUCGGCGUUUGCGAGGAUGUGCCUGUUGUGGUUGCUAAUACCACUAUCUUAACAUACUUUGUUAUCUUGGAUAUUCCCGAGGACGAUGCCAUGGCUAUUAUCCUCGGAAGACCCUUUUUAAACACUGCAGGGGCUGUUAUAGAUUGCAACAAAGGCAAUGUCACUUUCCAUGUCAACGGUAAUGAGCACACAGUGCACUUUCCGAAGAAACGAUAUCCAUUACAUUGCAUCAAUGCUAUCGAAAAGACUUCAUCGAUUCUCAUUGGGAGCUUUGAAUACCCUAUUCCUCGUGUCAAGAUGAAGUAUGAUUUGCUUGUUGGGGAGAUCCAUAUCCCCAUUGAGGUGACUUAGUGGCUAUUCGAAAAUUCUCCGUUCUCUCUUGCGAUUCGAGAAGGUUUUGUCAUAAGGAUUUGAUCAACCCCAUUGACGAAUUUCUUCCGAUAACCAUGAAACGGAUGAAUCAGAGAGUCACAUACCUCUGUUUUGAGUUUUCCUUUUCUGUUGCUUAGAAGAAAAAUGAUAGAAUUAGUUUAGUUUUUCCUGCUUUCUGUUUUAGCAUCCCGGAGAAAAAUACCUCGAAAAUAGAAGUUCUCCGAUGGUCCUGAAAAUUUAGUAUGAUUUUUUCUGGAAUUUUUGAAAAUUUCUAGGCCUGAGAGCUGGCCAGGGGGCCUGACCAGUGGGCCACAAGCCCCCCCCCACCACCUACCCCCCUGGUGGUGGGGUGCAAGCUUGUGGGGCCCACAGGCACCCCCUCCACUCAUUCCAGCUCCCAGCCUCUUCUUCCACCUCCAGAAAAAAUUGUUUCGCAGCUCAAACCCGUGUUCUUGCUCAUUUGGCUGUAAUUAUCGAUCUCUUUGAUCAAAGCACCAUUCUCCGAACCGUUUUGGGGAAAUUACUCCUUGGUAAGUGACUCCUCCAUUGGUCCAAUUAGUUUUUGCUCUAGUGCUUUAUCCUUCGCGAAUUCUUGCUACCUUGGUGACCCUGUUCUUGAGCUAGAAAUGUUGAUUUUAAUUGGUCCCAAGUAGUUUUAGCGCGUGAUACGGUCUCUAGGCACUAGUAGGAGUAGUUGCUACAAGUUGGGUUAAUCCUUAUUCACUUUUCUUUCGAAGUCUCUAAAAUUUUCAGAAUUUUUCAGAGCUAGAAAAAGGAAAAGAUGAGGAGGUUCUUGAGAGGCUCUUCAAGCCGUAACCACAAGGAGGAUGAGAAGAAUCACCCCAAGUACGUAGUCCCUCGAGUCACAGAAGUUCGAGCGUGCGAGUGGCCUAGUGAUGAAUUUUUGCGCGCUGUCGGACUUUAUGAAGACUUCUAUUACUUGGUGGAGAACGCAGGUCUUACUGCGUUCGUUGAAGAUAAGUGCCCACAAUAUCUCCUCCUCACCAAUAUUUUUGUUCAAAGCUUCAACUUUUAUCCGAGGAAGAAUCCUCCCAUGGUUGAGUUCAUGAUAUACGAUGUCCCCCAGUGCAUGACGCUGCAGGAUUUUUGCAAUGUAUGCAAAUUACCUUAUGUUGGCGAUAUCCGUGACCCUCGUCCACGGGACUUGGAGGAUUUCAUUGGUUCUAUUGCUGUUAGAGAGGAGAGAGGAGUGUCUCGCGCUAGAAUUGCUAGCAUACAUUUUCCUGUGCUUCGGUACUUCUCACUAUUUGUGGGAAAAUGUUUGAUUGGCCGUGGGGAGGAUGGAUCACUUAGUUCUUCAGACCUUGCGGUUUUGCGCGAAGGCCUUUAUAAUGAUAAGAAUUAUAGCCUGGGCGCUAUAGUAGCUCAACGGUUGAACCUGAACCGUUCUAAAGGUGUUGUCUAUGGAGGUAUCUAUGCUACCCGUCUUGCCAAACAGUUUGAGAUACCCAUUAGACUGGGAGAGGAAGGAGAGAUGCUCCUCCCUGAGAGAUAUCUGGAUUAUGAUAGCAUGGUUCGCCAUGAUUUUCUAGAUAGAGAUGCUAGUAGACGGAUGAUUUAUAACCUGGUGUUUAGUCAAGGUACUCGAGAGACUAUUACUUUGCCUGCUCCUUCUUUGUUUGAUCUUCAUGCAGGUAGGUACACUAUUAUGCCCGCGAAUAUCUACGCAUAUUGGGGCUUGGCCCAACCACAGGCGCCCGUGCCGGAGCCGCUAGUCGAGUACCAGACGCCAGUUUAUCAGUGGGAGACAGAGGAGCUCACACAGCAGUGGCAUCCACAGUCUGCUCCGGAGUAUCCUGGAGCUGGUUAUUUCCCACCAUGGGAGUAGAACAAGCUAGGCCAAAAGCCUAAGCUUGGGGGAGUACGUGUUCUCACUGACUUUACAUUCAUGCUUAUGCUUUCACUUUGUUAGCCGGUGUUUACACUUUGCCACUGUAUUAUCCAUGCUAGUUUCUUUUCGUUUUCUUGUUUUCUUGUUUUGUGUCCUUUUGAUAAAACCCAAAAAUAUUUUUCUUUCUUCUUUUGCUUGUUGGGAGCUUUCCCGUGUAAAUAGCUUUCCUUUUCUUUGUGUCAAGGUAGAAGAUAUUGGUUACAAUGUUUAGUGGUUCUUACAUGCUUACCUAUUUAGCUUUCAAAGAGCCAUAUUAUUUUGUCUUCUCCUUUGUGUUUGCCUGCAGAUUCAGCUUAGUCCAAUGCGCUUAUUAUCAUUUUCAUCAUUCGAUCGUGCAAAUGAAAGGCAACAAUGAUGAUAUAUGAUGAAGUGACUGAGAUUGAACUCUAUCUAUUUUGUUUUUGUAAAUAUGACUAGCUUGUCGACCCAGAUUUAGCUUUGCUGUGAGAGAACCAUGUUUGCAAUGACAACUUAGAGAUCAUAGUUUCUGAUGCCAUGCUUAUUUAGCUGAGAGCUUAUAAUGGUUUGUCUUGAUUGCCAACAUAGAUUUUGAGAUGACUGUGAUGUAGUAUGAUAGGAUGGUAUUCUCCUUUGAAUGUUUCAAGUGGCUUGACUUGGUGCAUGUUCAUGCAUGUAGUUGAAACAAAAUCAACAUAGCCUCUAUGAUGUUCGUGUUCAUGGUGAUUUAUAUCCUGUUCAUGCUUGCAUUCAAUGUUAGUCAAACUCAUUGCAUCUUGAUGACUGUUGUCGCUCUCUAGUUGGUCGCUUCCUAGUCUUUUGCUAGCCUUCACUUGUACUAAGCAGGAAUACUGCUUGUGCAUCCACUCCCAUAAACCCAAAAGUUUUUCCAUGAGAGUCCACCAUACCUACCUAUUUGCGGUAUCUACCUGCCGUUCCAAGUAAAUUUGCAUGUGCCACUCUCUAAACCUUCAAGAAAUAAAUCUGUUUUGCAUGCCCGAACCGCUCAUGUGGUGACAGAGGGCUAUUGGUAUCUUCCAUGCUAGGAGUGUUAUCCUCAACAUGUGUUUAUUCACACUCAUUCACGAAAAAGGGGCCGGUAUUUGGGAUGCCCAGUUCCAUGCUUAAAUCAAAAACAUAACUGUAAAACAAGACUCCCCCGGAUUUGUUGGAAAUAUGCCCUAGAGGCAAUAAUAAAAUUGUUAUUAUCAGAUUUCCUUGUUCAUGAUAAUCGUCUAUUUUUCAUGCUAUAAUUGUAUUAACAGGAAACAGUAAUACAUGUGUGAAUAAAUAGAUCACAAUGUGUUCCUAGCAAGCCUCUAGUUGACUAGCUCGUUAGUCAAUAGAUGAUCAUGGUUUCCUGAUCAUGGGCAUUAGAUGUCAUUGAUAACGGGAUCACAUCAUUGGGAGAAUGAUGUGAUGGACAAGACCCAAUCCUAAGCAUAGCACUAGAUCGUAUUGUUCGUAUGCUAAAGCUUUUCUAAUGUCAAGUGUCUUUUUCUUCGACCGUUAGAUUGUGCAACUCCCGGAUACCGUAGGGAUGCUUUGGGUGUAUCAAACGUCACAACGUAACUGGGUGACUAUAAAGGUGCACUACAGGUACCUCCGAAAGUGUCUGUUGGGUUGGUACGAAUCGAGAUCGGGAUUUGUCACUCCAUGUGACGGAGAGGUAUCUCUGGGCCCACUCGGUAGAACAUCAUCAUGAGCUCAAUGUGACUAAGGAGUUAGUCACACGAUGAUGUGCUACGGAACGAGUAAAGAGACUUACCGGUAACGAGAUUGAACAAGGUAUAGGUAUACCGACGAUCGAAUCUCGGGCAAGUUCUAUACCGACAGACAAAGGGAAUAGUAUACGGGAUUGAUUGAAUCCUUGACAUCGUGGUUCAUCCGAUGAGAUCAUCAUGGAGCAAGUGGGAGCCACAAUGGGUAUCCAGACCCCGCUGAUGGUUAUUGGCCGGAGAGGUGUCUCGGUCAUGUGUGCCUGUCUCCCGAACCCGUAGGGUCUACACACUUAAGGUUUGAUGACGCUAGGGUUAUAGGGAAUUGUUAUACGAGGUUAUCAAAAGUUGUUCGGAGUCCCAGAUGAGAUCCCGGACGUCACGAGGAGCUCCGGAAUGGUCCAGAGGUAAAGAUUGAUCUAUAGGACGGAUGGUUUCGGACACCGGAAGUGUUUCUGGCAUCACCGGUAACGUACCGGGACCACCGGGACCAUUGAAGGUGGCCCCGGGGGUCCACCGAAGGGGGCAACGACCCCGGGAGGCUAGAUGGGCCAAGUGGGGAAGGGAACAAGCCCCUAGGUGGGCUGGUGCGCCCCCCCACUCAGCCCAUGGCGCAGGAAGAAGGGGAGAGGGGGGAACCCUAGCGCAGGUGGGCCUAAGGCCCACCGGAGGGGUGCGCCAGCCCUCCUCCCUGCCCUGGCCGCUGCACCUCCCAUCUCGGGGGGUUUCCGCACCACCUAGGGUAGGAACCCUAGGGGUGGCACCCCCCUCCCCUCCUCCUAUAUAUAGUGGACACUUUUGGGCUUUUGGAGAUACACUUUUCCCUCUCCCUCGAUGCAGCCCUGCCUUUCUUUCUCCCCCUCUCUGCCGGUGCUUGGCGAAGCCCUGCCAGGAGACCUCAUCUCUCCAUCGACACCACGCCGUCGUGCUGCUGGAGUUAUUCCCCCAACCUCUCCCUCCUCCUUGCUGGAUCAAGGUGCGGGAGAUGUCAUCGGGCUGCACGUGUGUUGAACGCAGAGGUGUCGUAGUUCGACACUAGAUCGGAAUCACACCGCGAUCUGAAUCGCCGCGAGUACGACUCCAUCAACCGCGUUCUAGUAGCGCUUCCGCUUAGCGAUCUUCAAAGGUAUGAAUAUGGACUCAUCCCUCUCUCGUUGCUGGUCUCUCCAUAGGAAGAUCUGAAUAUGCGUAGGAAUUUUUUUGAAUUUAUGCUACGUUACCCAACAGUGGCAUCCGAGCCAGGUUUUCUAUGCGUAGAUUCUAUGCAUGAGUAGAACACAAAAGGUUGUGCGUGAUGAUUUGUCAAUUGCUUGCCGCUACUAGUCUUAUUCUUUUCCGGCGGUAUUGUGGGAUGAAGCGGUCCGGACCGACCUUACACGUACGCUUAAGUGAGACUAGUUCCACCGACAGACAUGCACACCGUGCAUAAUGGUGGCUAGCGAGUGUCUGUAUCUUCUACUCUAGUCGGAUUGGAUUUGAUGAAAAGGGUCCUUAUGAAGGGUAAAUAGCUUUGGCAUAUCAUCGUUGUGGCUGUCACGUAGGUAAGAAAGCGUUCUUCCUAGAAACCCAAAUCAGCCACGUAAAACUUGCAACAACAAUUAGAGGACGUCUAACUUGCUUUUGCAGGGUUUGACNAAGAUGAUAAUGGCCAUAUCAUGUCACUAUAUGAUUGCAUUGUGAUGUUUAUCAUGUUUUUCAUCUUAUUGCUUAGAACGACGGUAGAAUAAUAAGAUGAUCCCUCUUAAAAUUUCGAGAACGUAUUCCCCUAAGUGUGCACCGUUGCGAAGGAUCGUUGUCUCGAAGCACCACGUGAUGAUCGGGUGUGAUAGAUUCUAACGUUCGCAUACAACGGGUGUAAGCCAGAUUUACACACGCGAAACACCUAGGUUGACUCGACGAGCUUAGCAUAUACAGACAUGACCUCGAAUACAAGAGACCGAAAGGUCGAACAUGAGUCGUAUGGUUGAAUACGAUCAGCAUGAAGUUGCUCACCAUGGUGACUAGUCUGUCUCACGUGAUGAUCGGACACGGGUUAGUCAACAUGGAUCAUGUAUCACUUAGAUGACUAGAGGGAUGUCGAUUUAAGUGGGAGUUCAUACUUAAUUUGAUUAAAUGAACUUAAGUGUCAUGAACUUAGUCUAAAAGUUGUCUUUAUAAAUAUUGUAGAUGGCCAACGUCAACCUCAAUUUCAACGCAUUCCUAGAGAAAAACAAGCUGAAAGAUGAUGGUAGCAACUAUGCGGACUAGGUUCGCAACUUGAAGCUCAUCCUUGAAGCAGCUAAAAAGGCUUAUGUCCUUGAUGCGCCGCUAGGUGACCCUCCCGCUCCCGCAGCAUCCCAGGACAUUCUGAACGUCUGGCAAACGCGGAGUGAUGACUACUCUCUGGUUAGGUGUGGUGUGACAGCCCGAUGCCGACGUUCCAGAAGCUUCCCCUUUUCUUUCCGUUUUCGUCGUGUGACUUGAUUAAUUUGUCGCGUCAUCAUCGCAUCAUGCGCAUCAUCAGCAUUGCAUCGGCACCCCGUUGCCGCCCGUUUUCAAAACUUGCAUCCGUUGUUAGUUGCUGGUUCGCGCCGUUGUCCGUUCUGAGCCCGACUGCAGUCGCACGCGCCCGCGGCACCGUCGAAACCCUGUUUUUAAAGUGCGUGUAAAACUCUCUCUGAUCGAGGUGAAACUUGGCACGUGGUCGCGAUUAGAUAUAGCUAGGCCGCCUGUCGAAUUUUGUCGCGAUCGGAGACCGUCUGGUACCCGAACCGUCGCCCGUAGCGGCACCGUAUUCGGGCUACCGUCGGACGUCUGUCGGUGUCUUUAAAUUCGUGCCGCGCCGCCCGCUCUCCCCCCGUCUCCGGUAAACCCCUCUACACGGCCGCGUACCCUUACCCGCGUUUGGAAUCGUCCGAAUCCGACCCCGCGGUUGGAUCUGGAGCGCGAUUCCGGUUAACCGAGCCCCCCGUUUGUCUAUAUAUACCCCACCAUCACAUUUAGACAGCCUCCCCCUAAUCUUGCCUCGUUUUCCGCGCCCGAAACCCUAGCCGCCCCACAGCCUCUCCUCUCUCUCCCCUGCCAGCCUCGCGGGCCCGCCAGGCCCAUCUCGGGCCCGGCCGAGCCCAUCGCCCCGCCGCCGCCGGCUCCUCUCCUUGCCCGGGUCCCCGCCGCUUGCGCCGGUGAACCACGCCUCCAGCCGCCUGCCUGGGUCAUCGCCGCCGCCUCCCUCCGGGUGCCGGCCGGAGCCGCCGGGGCCUCGCCUCCGCCUGACCUCCCUGCCUUGCCAUGCCCGUCCCCGCACGCCCCUGGCCGAUCUCGCCGCCUGCUUGCCAUACCACCUUGUGCUCGCCGCCGGCCGUCAUGUGCCUCGUCAGCCGCCGCCGCCGGGAACGGGUGGAACCUGGCCGGAUCCAACCACCGAGCCGGUCCCCUGUCGGUACCACUCGCAGCCGGAGCCUGUGGCUCCUCCGUCGUGCUCGUCGCGCGCCACCGCGGGCUCCAGAUCCGAUCGGGGCUCCUCCUCGCGCAAGCCCCGUUGACCGCACGUAGGCCGCCACCAACCGCCUGCUGGGCCCCCGAGCCGGCGCAGUUUGGCCCGCAUCAGCCGCCUCGGCCCAGCGCCUCCCCAAGGCCAGUCCGCCUCCUCUUCCACCGGGCCAGGCCUGAGGUGAUGUUUCUCCUGAGCCUCUAUUCGGCGCCCGUGCGUGUUUUAUUUAUACUGCGCUUGACCCUGCAGCCCAUCAGUUAAAGAUUAGGCCCGUUAGACAAUUAGGAUCUUUCGGAAUAUAAUAAAAUUCCAGAAAAAGACUAGAUUUCAAACGCAUGUAUCUUUUGAUCCGUGUGUCGGAUCGCAAUGUUUUUUAUAUGCUUUUCGUGUAACUUUUCGCGUAGGACCCGUUUAUAAAACUUGCAUAAUUAUUUGAGCUAGUUUAACGCGCCAAAUGCCUAGUUUUACGUGUUGUUCCGAUAGGUUUGUUGCCCGUAGUUAUUUCCACGCGUGUUGUAACACUCGAACGCCAUGAUAGAAAUGCUCGUGUUUUAGGGAUUAUUUUUGCAUGUAUUUUAGAGGGGCCAAUUGUAUUUUUACAUGUAGGGGAUUGCCGGUAGUUGUUUUUCCCGUAUAUAGGUUAUUCUCCCGCUUUAUUGUGUGGCAUCAUAUUGUGUUGCAAACCCCACAUAUUUUAUAUGGUUCCGGGGUAGAAAAUUCCCAUGGAUUUUUCUGUGCAAUUAGUUUUAGAUUUUGAGGAAGUUAGUUCGCGAGAUAUUUUACCGUGAUGCCCUUUUGUUUAAUUCGUAGAGUUUAAUCCAUGCGUUGUUUGACGGAGUUGUCAACUAGGGAGUUGAUCUUGGAUGUUUUGUUUAGCCCCUGGUAUUUUUGGUUGCAAUAGAAAUGCAUGUUUAGGUGUUGUUUGCUUGCUCUCAAGUUGUUAGAAAUAGUGCUGAUUUGGAGGAGCUGAAAUAUUUCUAAGUCUGGAAUCUGUUAUAUUUUGUUGCUGUCUUGUCUUGCUUGUAUCUUGUGAUCUGUAGCUCUUUUGAGGUUGGUCCAGUGGAGUUAGUUGUACCCCUUGUGUUUCUCUAGCAUGCUGUUAAGUUUCAUGCUAUUUGGAGACCUGUAGCUAUAGGUUUUGCUGCUGUCAAUAUUGCUUCAGGCUGAAAACUGCACUUUCAUGAGGCGUAAUUUUCACUAAGUCUGAAAUAGUGAGUGAGAUGCCAUUUUGUGACUUCUUUCUCUAGUGAUCCGUGCUGCCAUGCUAGUUGCUGUUAAUUGUUUGUAGUAGUGCGUCUUGCCCUCUUUCAUGACAUGCCUUGCUUGAGUUUAUCGGAGUUGUGUAGUUCGUAGUUGUGGGGUGUAGGAUAUGCUAUGUGGCUGAUUUUAGCAGAUUGUAGUGAUUUCUUGUUUUGCUCGUAGUUUUCGAACCGUAGCUCCGUUUUGAUCGUCUCCUACAUGAAACUUGCUUAGAAUCUCGUGUAGUUUCAUUUUCUCUUGCUGUUUGUAUGUGUUGAAGUGCUCGUAGCCGCCGUUGCACACAUUUUGCAUUCAUGCCAUCAUAUCUUGCGGUGCUCGUAACUUUUGAUCCGUAGCUCCGUUGGAGAUAUUCUUUAUGUAUAGAUUGCUUGCCUUGACGCGUAGAAUCACGUGAACCUAUUUGUUUUGCUGUUUAACAACUAAUUAAAUGCAUUAAUUCAGAUCUGGACAGAAUUGUAAAUUAACAUGUGAGGUCGUUUCGGAGGUGCUAUAUGUCAUCUCCGACCUCAUUUAAAAUGUCUAGAUAGGUAGUUUAAUUUCCGCUUCACCUCUUGCAUGUUUGACAACUUUAAUAUUGCCGUGUAACUAACCGGGAGUGAACUAAAUAAUUCAUAUGUGGAGUUUCGUCAAUAUGCAACUCGUUGCAUAUUGAACUUCACUUAAUGUGUAGUGUCUGAUUGUGUGAUUUGUCAUGCCGUGACUUGCAUGUAUUCAGUAGCUCAUGCAUCAUAUGUGUUGUGCAUCGUGUGGUGAAUAUCGUGUGUUGAUGCUUGUUUCUGGUUUGCUCCGCCUCGAUAGAGUUCCGCAAGCGUGUCGGAUGUGAGGACCGUUCGACUACGUCGGUUCGUCUGCUUCACGGAGGCAUUCUUCUUCCAAGCGGGAUCUCAGGCAAGAUGAUCAUUUCCCCAGAUACCAUUACUAUCAUUGCCAUGUUAGUUUUACCGCUUCUACCGUUUAUGUCUCGUUGCCUACCACAUGUUAAAUAUCAGCCUCUCAACAAUGCCAUGAAAACCUUCCACAUGUUCAACCUAGCAAACCACUGAUUGGCUAUGUUACCGCUUGCUUAACCCUGUAUUAGCGUUGCUAGUUGCAGGUGCAGAUGCUUCCAGGUGAUAACAUGGGUUCCUUGUCAUAUCACCUUAUAUUAAUGCUAUUUAAUUUAAUGCACCUAUAUACUUGGUAAAAGGUGGAAGGCUCGGCCUUUCUAGCCUGGUGUUUUGUUCCACCUUUGCCCCCUUAGUUUUCGGCUACCGGUAUUAUGUUCCAUAAACGAGCGCUCCUAACACGAUCGGGGUUGUUAUGGGGACCCCCUUGAUAAUUCGUAUUAGAUUAAAGCUGGUCUAGCAAGGCCCAACUUUGGUUCUACAUUUGCCCCACAUAUAAUUCUGUUAAUUUGAAAUGCAUAGGGAGUUAGCGCUAUCCGAGGAGUAAUUUUUCAUAAACAGGGGGGCCAGUGCUGAUGGUGUUGGUCCCAAACGGUCUGCCUGCGGGGCCACCGCGAGGAAACUCGAGGUUUGGCACUCGUAGCUAGUUCCAUCCGUCGUGUCCUGAGAACGAGAUACGCGGCUCCUAUCGGGUACGUCGACACGUCGGGCGGCCUUGCUGAAUUAGGUUUACCUUUGACGAGAUAUCUUGUGCAUCGGGAUUCCGGUGAUGCUUUGGGUAAUCUCAGAGUUGAGGUUUUCCACUAGGGAAUCCGACGAGAUCGCGAGCUUCGUGAUUGAGGAUUUCUAUGCGGCUUGUGGUAAUUUGUGAUGGACUAGUUGGAGCACCCCUGCAGGGUUAAAUCUUUCGGAAAGCCAUGCCCGCGGUUAUGUGGCAACGUGGAAACUUUGUUUAACACUGGUUCUAGAUAACUUGAUGUUAACUUAAUUAAAACUUGCCAACUGUGUGCGUAACCGUGACUGUCUCUUUCGUGAGUUCCUUCUCCGAUCGAGGACACGGUGGGGUUAUGCCUGACGUAGGUAGGUGUUCAGGAUCAUUCAUUUGAUCAUCCGUAGAUCACGUCCGCUAUGCGUAGAUCUUCCCCCUCUCAUUUCUUGUACUCGUAAGUUUAGCCACCAAACAUAUGCUUAGCCGUUGUUGCAACCUCACCACUUAACCAUGCCUCACCCAUUAAGCUUUGCUAGUCUUGAUACCCUUGGAAAUGAGAUUGCUGAGUCCCCUGUGGCUCACAGAUCACUACAACACCAGUUGCAGGUACAGGUAAAGGGUACUUGACGCGAGCGCGUUGAUUGAUCAUUUGGAGUUGCUUCUUCUUCUUCUUCUUCAUCGAUCUAGGAUGGGUUCCAGGCCGGCAGCCUGGGAUAGCAAGGAUGGACGUCGUUCUUCUUUUGUCGUUUAUUUUCGUCCGUAGACGGAUCCUGCUCUUACUCUUGAUGUUAUGUAAUGUACUAAUGUGACUCUGAUGUAGCUUGUGGCGAGUGUAAGCCAAUCCUAUAUAUAUAUAUCUCAUCUUUUCAGUACAUGUACUUGUAACGAUAUCCAUUCUUGCGACACGACGAGAUGCGCUUCUAUCCCUGACGAGGCCUUCGUGCCAAAUUGAGGAUAGAGUCGCAUCUUGGGCGUGACAUGUGGCAUGUUAUACAGUUUAGAAACGGGGCUCCAAAGGCGUUUUGAGCAACACGGUGCAUAUGAUAUGUUCCAAGAGCUAAAGCUAGUUUUUCAAGCUCAUGCCUGUGUCGAAAGAUAUGAAGUCUCCGACAAGUUCUUUAGCUGUAAGAUGGAGGAGAACAGUUUUGUGAGCGAGCACAUACUCAAAAUGUCUGGGUUACACGGUCGUCUGACUUCACUUGGAGUCGAACUUCCGGAUGAUGCUAUAAUUGACAGAAUCCUCCAGUCUCUCCCACCAAGCUACAAAGGCUUUGUGCUUAACUACAACAUGCAAGGGAUGGAGAAGACCAUUCCCGAGUUGUACUUGAUGCUCAAGUAUGCAGAAGUAGAAAUCAAGAAAGAGCAUCAAGUGUUGAUGGUCAACAAGACCACUAGUUUCAAGAAGGGCACGGGUAAGAAAAACUUCAAGAAAGACGGCAACGUCGUUGCCCCGCCCGGUAAGCCAGAUGCCGGGAAGAAGAAACAGAAUGGACUCAAGCCUGAGACUGAGUGCUUCUAUUGCAAGGGAAAGGGUCACUGGAAACGGAAAUGCCCCAAAUACUUAGCGGACAAGAAGGCCGGCAACGUUAAAGGUAUAUGUGAUAUACAUAUUAUUGAUGUGUACCUUACCAGCGCUCGUAGUAGCUCCUGGGUAUUUGAUACCGGUGUUGUUGCUCACAUUUGCAACUCAAAGCAGGAACUGCGGAAUAAGCGGAGACUGGCAAAGGACGAGGUGAUGAUGCGCGUCGGGAAUGGCUCCAAGGUCGAUGUGAUCGCCGUCGGCACGCUACCUCUACAUCUACCGUCGGGUUUAGUAUUAAACCUUAAUAAUUGUUAUUUAGUACCUGCUUUAAGCAUGAACAUUGUAUCAGGGUCUUGCUUAAUGCGAGACGACUACUCAUUUAAGUCAGAGAAUAAUGGUUGUUCUAUUUAUAUGAGUGAUAUGUUUUAUGGUCAUGCUCCGCUGCUGAAUGGUUUAUUCUUGAUGAAUCUCAACCGUGAUGUUACGCAUAUUCAUAGUGUGAGUACCAAAAGAUGUAAAGUUGAUAAUGAUAGUCCCACAUACUUGUGGCACUGCCGCCUUGGUCAUAUCGGCGUUAAGCGCAUGGAGAAGCUCCAUACUGAUGGACUAUUAGAGUCUCUUGAUUUUGAAUCAUUUGACACAUGUGAACCGUGCCUCAUGGGCAAGAUGACUAAGACUCCAUUCUCAGCAAUAAUGGAGAGAGCANNNNNNNNNNNNNNNNNNNNNNNNNNNNNNNNNNNNNNNNNNNNNNNNNNNNNNNNNNNNNNNNNNNNNNNNNNNNNNNNNNNNNNNNNNNNNNNNNNNNCCUUGUUCAUCUGUUAUCUCGUGCUGCUUUCUGCCUUUCAUUCCCACCUUUUGGCAGUUGCUCUGUACUUGGUUAUUUUGUAUCAGUCUUGAGAGUAAAUUAAAAUGCAUGUGCGGUCACUGAAUUUAUUCGUUUGGACUUAAUUCAGUCAGACCAUUUGUACUCUGGAAACACGUCGAUUUUCAAGUUGACAAAGGGGGUUUUCCAGGUCGAUUAGAUUAUUUUAGGGUGUGCGUAGAGAAGGUUUUGACAUAUACUCCUAGAACGUUUCUCUCAGUCAGGGUCCCAUCGCGUGUACAUGACACAUACUUGGAAGCUAGGAGCACACAAAAUGCACUGAACCGAUAGCAAGAAGAAUGACACCUACAAAGGCUCUCGUCAUAUCAGGCUUUGGAACCACAACAAUCAACAAUCACCCGUUCCUGAACACAAAAUGUAAAAAUUCGCCGAGAGCGAAGCAUUGGUCGGACCAUGCAUCAUCCCACACAGUCACAUAAUUUAUAGAGCAACUCCAACAUGCGCGUUAUUGGCUGAAAAAACGUCACUUUUUACGCCUGGACCCAACUCGGACGCUCCGACAGACAUGUUAAAAUUGCACACGCUGUAAAGUUGGUGGUGCGCACGGAGCAAAACGACAUCCCGCACUGGUUAUUUCGGCGUGCCCGCUCCUGCCGCCCCGCCCCACGUCGUCGCCGGCGAAAUCGAUCGAUGGAACGCAUCAGCAACAUUGACCCAACCCCUCCUUACAUCUGCGACCCCUCCAUCGUGGCCGCCGCCACCGGCGGCGGCGGCGCAAACCCUAGCACGGGGUUGAGCUGCAACUUCAUCGCCGGCGCCCCUCCUCCUAGCAACGGCCUCGCGCGCGGCUUGUUCAUGGCGCCACGGACGACUGCGCUGGGUGGCGUCGUGCCGCUACCCGCCGUGAAGCCACGACCCCCGUCUCCAAGUGACUGAAUGCGGCGACGAUGACGAUGGAGACUGCGUCCCGAAAGAAGAAGCAACUAACGAUGCUACUAGGCAACCGAAGAAGAAACUUGCAGGGCGUCCGGCCAUGUGUCCGCCGACCGAAACGCCGGAGACCUCGUCAUUUGUGUAGUCAUGAGAGCACCUAAGGGAGACAUUGGUGACUCGGAACUAUGAGAUGCAUGAGUUUUUGUUCUUUCAUGGAAGGCAUGGAGCACCUCCGGGUGACAUGGGUGGACGCAUGGCUUCCGGUGUGCCUCAUAUAGCUUCACAUGAUGCCGUUGGAGAUGGCCAUAUGGAUGGACGCAUGACGCGCAAUGAGGACUCGGAAAAAGAAUCGUCUUCGUCCGAGGAUGAAGAAGAUGAGACAUGAUUGUUCAUGUGCCAUUUGUUUGUCUGAAUUUUUAUUUGUUAUGAACUUGGUUGGUUGAUUUUAAACUAUGCCAUGCAAUUGAACUAAGCUAUGUUGCUCAAAUGCACUUUUUUAUAUUUGAAAAAAUAAUAGUAUCUUUUGAUUCGCGCGCCGCGGCAGACAUGCGUCUAGCUGCUCAUGCAUGCUGCUUUUUGCAGCGUCUGCUGGAACGGUUUGACCACAUCCUUUUUCGCAACGUCCCUGCUGAAGCAUGCAUCAUGUUGCGCGUUAAAAAGACAAUUUCAAGGCUGUAAAAGUAUUUAUGCACGCCGCGCCAUUGCGCGUCUGUGAAGUUGCUUUAAUAAACAGUCCUUUUCGCACCAUCAAUUAAACAAACUCCACAUAAACGAUGACGUGCACAACACAAAGGGCUAGAGCAGCAUGCAACAAGGAAUGUAUCGGGAAAUUCAAUUUGCUUCCGGGAAGCAUUUGCUCCUACUCAUGAAAAAUAAGUUUUGAGAAGUUAAAAAAAAAUCCAACAAAAAUUUAUAUGCAUUUAUAGCCACAUUCGAAUGCUACAUGUAAAUUUUUAGACGAAAAGACUAAAUAUUUUGAUCUGUGCAAAAGUAACAAAAUUGAACAUCAAAUGUUACCCUGAAACGUCAUCCUAAAUUUGUUAUUUUCACCGCUGAAACACUGCUGUUCCGUUUUGUAUGAAAAUUGCCAGGCAUGUUUCUUAUACUAACACGGACAUCUGUAAAAAAAAAAUCAGAAAAUUUUGAAUUUUUUAAACAUUUUUAUGGUACUGUUCAUGUUGGAGCUAGCAUAUGUUCCCAGAAGUCAAAACACCCUCCCGGAGUGUAUCCGGCUACCUAGCUACUCCUGCUAUGUAUACUAGUAACAACGUGCGGAGGAACGUGUCAAGGGGAAGGACGUGUUCAACGGCAUGCAGCCACCCUCCUCCAACCCUGGCCCGGCCAACACACACGUACGGUUCAUUUUUCUUUAUUCCGGCAAACACAGACAACAUGCAUGCAUGCUUUGACUCCAUCUCUUUAUCCAACCCUGGCCUGGCCGUAUAUAAAGCACCACCAUCUCUCUCUGGCUGGCUCCAUCUCACACGUACGGUCACACCACACGCCCCGACGACGGCACGCGCGCGCAUCGAUCACCGGCCGUGGAGCGGUGGCCGACGUACGCUAGCUCCGAUCAUCAUGGGUUGCUCGCUUGUUGCAUGUAAGAGUUUUUCUUGCCCUUUCUACUGAUUCAUAGGAGCAACUCUACAAGACUCGUCGCAUUUGGGAUUGCCAUUCAUUAUCUUAUAACAAGCCUCGAGAAAUUUACAUAAAGUGUGCAUUCAUUCGUUGUUACUUCCUCUGUUUCAAAAUAACAGUACAAAGUUGAGUCAUUUAUUUUGAGACGGAUGGAGCAUGUGACAACCAAAACCUAUGUAAAGUGAUGCAUAAGAUGUAAAGUGAUGCAUAAUGGUUUGGAGGCUGCUGGGCUUGUGCAUAAAUACAGAAUCAUCAAACAGUUGCCUCCAUAACUUUUGUUUUGUUUGCUUCUAAUUUCCAGAGCCAAUUUUAAACGACAUUUAACAUAACCGAACACAUGUAUCAACACGACAACUUAAUCAUCAAUUACUAUAUUAAUAGCCACAAUCCAUCACUUUACAUAGAUUUUUCGACUUGCAAUAUUGUUAAUGAGGAACAUUUUCAAAAUAUGCAAUGUCCCUAUUCGGUACUGCUAGAUACUACUACCUACACUCGUCCCUCGGCGGCGGCGCCACCGUCUAGUCAUCGUCCAUGUAGUAGUCAAUGGCUGCUGUUAAUGUUGUGAGUGGUGACCGUGCUGGUGCUGUCAACCAUGACACGCUAGGAGCCUAGGACGACGACCAUUAGGUGUUGGGAGUGGCAAUUGCCAACGUUGAUGAGGUCGACGGCUAGUGUUGCAAGGACUGAGCAGCAACCACCAGUACUGGUGAAGGUGACCACCAUAGCUAUAAUGGUACCCACCAGAGUUCAAUGCAUUUCAAACAACAACAAUAAACCACUUGAUGGUGACGAUGACGAUCUCAAGUGUAUGGUGAAACCUAGUGCUACCGAAGGCUACCACAUGUGUUGUGAUCGUACCAAUGUGGUUCACAGCGACCAUGGAUGUUUGCGAUAAUGAGCAAGGCGCUCCUAAAGGUGAUCACCCAGUGUUGGCGACUCUGACCACAAGUGAUGUGAAGACGUUGUUGUUCUCUUGUUGUUCUAGGCCCGUUGAUGGCGUCGAUUAAUGUUGCGAACAAAGGGUUGUGCUACCGUGAGUGACGAAAAAUGCUGGCGAAAGCGUCGAGUGUGAUGUCCCGAGGAUGGCUAAAUGUUGCGAGGGACGGUCUACAUCAUAGACGUCGACACAAUGUGUCUCGAAGCUUGUACGUGCAAUUAGAUAGUGUAGAACGUGACUGGCAGAGCAUUGCCACUAUAGAAUCCCUUCUCACGACUCCUUUGAACCAGAGGAAUUUCAUGAGAUUGUUUGCAGGAUUAGAAUCCCAAGGAAUUUUUCUUUUGAUUCGUAGGAUUUGAUACUAUAGAAUUUUUUCAUAAAAAAUCUAGCAUCCACUUCAAUUUCUUAAUACAUUUUUUUUCUGUGACAUCAAACACUCUCUAGUUCACAUUCAUGUAGGUUGUUAAACUCUUAUAGAAUUGAAGUGGACAAUGUCACUUCAAUAUUGUAUUGUUUUUUCUGUUUAUGCAUUUUAGAAAUUCAUGCAAAUCAGAAAGUCCUUAAGUAGGAAGUGAUACCAUUAUGUCACUUUGUAAAUGACUGAUGUAUCCCGAAAGGCGAGCUAACACCCAUCCGGACGAGUGUGUGUCUUGCUUGCUAUGAGACACAAGAUUGUGUCGCCUACAACGAGCAGGUAGUGGGCCGGCCCAGUAACCAUGUGUUUCAUAAUGCUGAUGUCAUAUAGACAUGAUGUGCAUAAUAUUUUUUAAAACUUUGUUUAUAUUUUAGAAAAACUAAAUACAUGUAUUACGAAAUUAUAAUUUAGUUAAUAUAUGACAUUUCAAAAAUAUUCAUGUGUUUUAGAAAGAAAAAUGUACAUGACAGGUGUAACAAUCUUAUACAAUCUCAAAAUAUUAUUGUAUAAAAAAAUGAACAAAAAUGUUUCGUACUAUUUAAACACAAUGUUCACACGUUUCAAAAAUAAUGUACGGAAUUUACAAAAAAAAGUUUGCAUAGUUAAUUGUUUUUUCACCAUUCAAAUAGAAUGUUGCAACGUGUAUUUGACAAAAUCUGAACACAUAUUAAAAAAUGUUGAAAACAUGUAUUCAGAAAAUGCCAAACAGAUAUAGAAAAUAGUUUAGAUAUAUACUCUAUCCGUCCGAAAAUACUUGUAAUGGAAAUGAAUAUAUCUAGAUGUAUUUUUGUUUUAGAUACAUUCAUUUUUAUCUAUUUGUAUGACAAGUAAUUCCGGACGAAGGGAGUAAAACAAAUACAAUGUGUGUGUGUGCGCGUGGAAAAAUAGACAUCAAAACAUAGAUUUGAAAAGUGUUAAUCAUGCAUUUAUUUAUUUUAAAUAUUUCACACUGUAUUUAAAAAAUGUAGAAUGCGUAUGAAAAAACUAGCAUGUGUUAGAAUAAAAAAGAAAAAUUAAAAUAUUAACAAAAAAUAAGCAAAAGGCCGAAGUAAAAACAUAGAAAAAAAGGAGCAGAGUAUAGGAAAAAAAGGAAGACAAGAAAAAACGGAACAAACCUCGAAGAAAUCGAUGCUUAAACAGUGAAAAAACAAAUAAAAACCACAGAAAAAAAAUACUCGCGCUCAGCACAGUAUUGGGACGGCAUUUGAAUCGAUGCUUAAACAGUGAAAUAGGCGCUCGCUGUAGGCGAUUGAAUCGGAACAUAGCUCUCGCGUCUCCACCCGACCUGAGCGAAGUGACCCCCACCCGCCAUCGCCGCCUCGCCGGCGAGAUGCCUGNNNNNNNNNNNNNNNNNNNNNNNNNNNNNNNNNNNNNNNNNNNNNNNNNNNNNNNNNNNNNNNNNNNNNNNNNNNNNNNNNNNNNNNNNNNNNNNNNNNNNNNNNNNNNNNNNNNNNNNNNNNNNNNNNNNNNNNNNNNNNNNNNNNNNNNNNNNNNNNNNNNNNNNNNNNNNNNNNNNNNNNNNNNNNNNNNNNNNNNNNNNNNNNNNNNNNNNNNNNNNNNNNNNNNNNNNNNNNNNNCCGGCGUCGGCGUCGGCGGCGCCGCCGCCACGUGGGAUCCGAGUAUCCAUCGCUACCCGCGGGCGUCGCCUUUGGGCGCUAUCCGCUCUCCUCCGCGCUGUUGUGCGCUCAGGGCUACCAGCGAACCCUAGCCUAGCUGUACAGUGCAAUGGAGCGCACAGUAUAGAUAAUUCUCUGAAAUGCUUGGGCCGAGAUGGAGACUUCAGAGUAAUGUCAUGGAAGGGGUAUUUAUUAUCUACUCNNNNNNNNNNNNNNNNNNNNNNNNNNNNNNNNNNNNNNNNNNNNNNNNNNNNNNNNNNNNNNNNNNNNNNNNNNNNNNNNNNNNNNNNNNNNNNNNNNNNNNNNNNNNNNNNNNNNNNNNNNNNNNNNNNNNNNNNNNNNNNNNNNNNNNNNNNNNNNNNNNNNNNNNNNNNNNNNNNNNNNNNNNNNNNNNNNNNNNNNNNNNNNNNNNNNNNNNNNNNNNNNNNNNNNNNNNNNNNNNNNNNNNNNNNNNNNNNNNNNNNNNNNNNNNNNNNNNNNNNNNNNNNNNNNNNNNNNNNNNNNNNNNNNNNNNNNNNNNNNNNNNNNNNNNNNNNNNNNNNNNNNNNNNNNNNNNNNNNNNNNNNNNNNNNNNNNNNNNNNNNNNNNNNNNNNNNNNNNNNNNNNNNNNNNNNNNNNNNNNNNNNNNNNNNNNNNNNNNNNNNNNNNNNNNNNNNNNNNNNNNNNNNNNNNNNNNNNNNNNNNNNNNNNNNNNNNNNNNNNNNNNNNNNNNNNNNNNNNNNNNNNNNNNNNNNNNNNNNNNNNNNNNNNNNNNNNNNNNNNNNNNNNNNNNNNNNNNNNNNNNNNNNNNNNNNNNNNNNNNNNNNNNNNNNNNNNNNNNNNNNNNNNNNNNNNNNNNNNNNNNNNNNNNNNNNNNNNNNNNNNNNNNNNNNNNNNNNNNNNNNNNNNNNNNNNNNNNNNNNNNNNNNNNNNNNNNNNNNNNNNNNNNNNNNNNNNNNNNNNNNNNNNNNNNNNNNNNNNAAUCCCUCGCACAAGACGCUCGAGAAAGGUAAAACAAGUCCAGCAAGGCCGCCCGACGUGUCGACGAUCCCGAUAGGAGCCGCGUAUCUCGUUCUUAGGACACGACGAAUAAGCACAGUGUACGGUGGCCUGAUAGACAUCACCCGAGUUGCCCCAGGUUGGCCCCGCAAACGGCUCUGUUUUGGACUAGCACCAUCAGCACUGGCCCUCCCUGUAUUAUGUUGAAUUACUCCUCAGGUUCAUGACGCCCAAUGUUUUUAAGUAUUAAAAGAAUUAUCAUGUUGGGCAAAUGUAGUACCAAUGUUGGUCCUUGCCAAAUGAGCUUUAUCCCAAAACGAGAAUCUAGGGGGUCCCCAUAACAACCCCAAGCAUGUUAGGAGCGCUCAUUUAUGGAACAUAACACCGGUAGCCGAAACUAAGGCGGCAAAGGUGGAAGAAAACACCAGGAUAGAAAGCCAAGCCUUUCACCUUUACCAAGUAUAUAGGUGCAUUAAAUUAAAUAGCAUUGAUAUGGCGAUAUAACAAGGAACCCAUGUGUCACAUGGAAGCAACUGCACCUACAACUAUCAAUGCUAACAUAUGGUUAAGCAAGCGGUAACGUAGCCAAUCAGUGGUUUGCUAGGUUGUAAACAGGUUGAAGGUUUCAUGGCAAUGUUGAGAGACAUAUUAAACAGGUGGUAGGCAGCGAGACAUAGCGAAACAAACGAGAGAACUAGCAUGGCAAUGAUAGUAAUGGUAUCUAGGGAAAUGAUCAUCUUGCCUGAGAUCCUGCUUGGAAGAAGAAUGACUCCGUUAAGCAGAAAAACCGACGUAGUCGAACGGGUCCUCACAUUCCGACACGCUUGCGGAACUCUAUCGAGACGAAGCAAACCCAAAACAAGAAUCAACACACGACAAAAACACGAUAUGAUGCACCUCCUAAUAUGAUGCAUGAUCAAUUUUAAAUAUGCAAGGCAUGACAUGACAAUUCACAUAGUCAAACGCUACACAUUAAGUGAAGCUCAAUAUGCAACGAGUUGCAUAUUGACGCAACUCCACAUUUAAUUAUUUAGUUCACUCUCAUUUAUUUAUAUGACAAUAUUAAAUAUUGUUAAACAUGACAAGAGGUGAAGCACAAAUUAAUCUACCUAUCUAGGCAUUUUAAACGAGGCCGAAAACGACAUAUAGCAUGUCCAAAAUGACCCCACGUUUUAAAUUCUAAAUCUGUCCAGAUCUGUCUUAAUCAUAUUUUAUGUUUGUUAAACGGCAAAACAAAGUGGUUCACGUGAUUCUACUUGUCGUUCUAGUCCAUUUACAUAUAUGGCUCAUCUCCAAACGGAGCUACGGUUAAAUAACUACGAACUAAAUCGUUUCUAACAUGGCAUCACGCAAAACGAGACAAACAGAAAGGCUAACAGCUUUAAACAUGCAUGAGAGUUGGAAAAUAUUAUUUUACACGAAAUUCUAGCCAAGUUACAUAUAUAACUCAUCGCGAUCCCACGCACGGAUUCGAAACUACGGCCGUUUUACAAAUAUGCAUUUUUCUAAAAAUGAAUUAAAUCCGAGGGCCUAAAAGAAAUACUAAACGGGCCGAAACUGGGGCAUGGCGACAGAUAACUAAGCCGUGCACGGGCGCAAAAUAGAGGGGCUGGGGGAUCGGCUAACCUUGGGCCUCUUGGGCCGGCUCGGUGAGGAGGAAUCGGGCCGAGGCGGGGCUGCUGGGCCUCGGGGCUGGCAGGUCGGCUGCUGCUCCCGCUGGGCCGGGGCGAGGUAGCCCAGCCGGCGGUCAACGGGGGAGGCCUUGGCGCAGGGCUGGGAGCGAUGCGGGCCAACCGCUAGCCAUCGGUUAACGCAACCACGAGCGACACGGGUGCUCGUCCUCCUCCAGGACUGAGCGAGGAGGCAACGAAUAACAAGAUGGCGACAGCUGCAGGGGACUCCGGCGGGACGACGGGGAUAGCUUCGCAGCGGCGAGCUCAGAUCCAGGCGAUGGGGACUCGUUUGUGGCUUUGGAGGCCUCCGACGGAGCUCCUAGCAUCGACUGCACAUGGAACAACGGGGAUUAGAGAGAGGGAGCACAGAGGAGAGGAGGAAGGAGAAGGACAGGGGGCGGGGGUCCGGCCUUGGUCCUGGUCGUCGGUGGUGGGGCUUCGGCGGCCGAUCGGUGACCAGCAGGGGCGGCGGUGGCUCGUCUCGCUGGGUCGCCGCGAGACCAUUGCAUCUAUUGGAAGAUUGUAACUAAUUGGAUUCCCACAUAAAAACUUUCGAAAUUUUCUAGUCAUGUAAUUGGGUCCACGGAUACAAGGAGUAAAAUCCAUCACUCAACUCCUAGCAAUAACACUACCGUCCAGUGUAUCAGAUCCGUCAACACAUAACUAGAGAUUUUGGAAACUCAUCUAUCUCAGAUACUCGUAAUCACAAUGAUACCAAGUAUGGCAGUACCCCCGACCUCUGUGCACCAGUACUGGGGAUGUCAGGGUUAUCUCACCAUUACUAGUAUUGAAGCAAUUUCGAACAUCCUUCGUCUUGAGAUACUAAUAAAUCUGAAUGAUAACGAUGUUCUCAAGAAUCCCCUGGAGCUCAACUCUCCGGAAUAAAAUCAACACAGCAGGAGGCACCAAGACAGAACUCCGUCACAUCGGCAUCAUAUAGGUUUCAAUAAUAUCUUCGUGAUCCUGAUUUUUUUUUGAGUGAGAAGAGGAAUAGAAUUAAAAUUAUUACGUCAAGAUUGCUCAUCAGAGCAUAGAAGAGGAGAAAAAAGAAUCGUACUCUCCGAUAUAUAACUAGACUCAAAGUAGUUUUUUGCUAGACACGACUCGCCAAGUUCGAUCAAUCAAGGGGGCUCCUAGGUCGGUACUGCAUAGAUAGAUAUUUUAAUUUGUGCUUCACUCCUUGCCAUUUUUAACAACAUUUAAUAUUGCCGUGUAAAUAAAUAGGAAUGAAUUAAAUAAUUAAACGUGAAGUUCCAAAAAUAUGCAACUCGUUGCAUAUUAAGCUUCACUUAAUGUGUAGCGUUUGACUGUGUGAAUUGACAUGCCAUGCCUGGCAUAUUUAAAACUGAUCAUGCAUCAAAUUAGGGUGUGCAUCGUGUCGUGCAUGUGCCAUGGUGAAUAUCGUGUAUUGAUGCUUGUUUUCCGGUGUGAGGAUCCGUUCGAAUACGUCGGUUCGUCUACUUCCCGGAGUCAUUCUUUUUCCAAACGGGAUUACAGGCAAGAUGACCAUUUCCCUAAAUACCAUUACUAUCAUUGCCAUGCUAGUUGUUUCGUUUCUAUCAUUAUGUUUCGCCGCCUACCACCUGUUAAAUAUCAGCCUCUCAACAUUGCCAUGAAAACCCUCAACUUGUUCACAACCUAGCAAACCACUGAUUGACUAUGUUACCGCUUGCUUAACCAUUGGAUAGCUUUGCUAGUUGCAGGUGCAGUUGCUUCCAUGUGAUAACAUGGGUUCCUUGUUAUAUCACCAUAUUAAAUGCUAUUUAAUUGAAUGCACCUAUAUAGUUGGUAAAAGGUGGAAGGAUCGGCCUUUCUAGCUUGGCGUUUUGUUCCACCUUUACCGUCUUAGUUUCGACUACCGGUGUUAUGUUCCAUAAAUGAGCGCUCCUAACAUGCUUGGGGUUGUUAUGGGGACCCCUAGAUUCUCGUUUUGGGAUAAAGCUCGCCUGGCAAGGCCCAACAUUGGUAUUAUAUUUGCCCAACAUAAUAAUUCUGAUAAUUCUGAAAAACAUAGGGCGUCAUGAACCCGGAGAGUAAUUUAACAUAAUACAGGGGGGCAGUGCUGAUGGUGCUGGUCCAAAACAAAGCCAUUUGCGGGGCCAACCCGGGGCAACUCGGGUGAUGUCUAUCAGGCCACCGUACAGUGUGCUUAUCCGUCGUGUCCUGAGAACGAGAUACACGAUUCCUAUCGGGAUCGUCGACAAGCCGGGCGGCCUUGCUGGACUUGUUUUAUCUUUCUCGAGCAUCUUGUGCGAGGGAUUCCGAGGAUGCUUUGGGUUAUCUCGAGGUUGAGGUUUUCCAAUAGGUACCCGAAGAGAUCAUGGGUUUCCCUGAUCGAGGUCAUUCCGUCGCAGUGUGUGGUAGUUUGUGAUGGACUAGUUGGAGCACCCUUGUAGGGUUAAAUCUUUCGGAAAGUCGUGCCCGCGGCUAUGUUGCAAUGUGGAAACUUUGUUUAACAUCCGAUUCUAGACAACUUGAAGUAAACUUAAUUAAAACUUGCCAACUAAGUGCGUAACCGUGACUGUCUCUUUCGUGAGCUCCUUCUCCGAUCGAGGACACGGUGGGGUUAUGUCUGACGUAAGUAGGUGUUCAAGAUCAUUCAGUUGAUUAUUAUUAGUUCACGUUCGCUAUGCGUAGAUCAUCCCCCUCUUUAUUCUUGUACUCGUAAGUUAGCCACUAAAUAAAUGAUUAGUCGCUUGCUGCAGCCUCACCACUUAACCAUACCUCAGCCAUUAAGCUUUGCUAGUCAUCAUACCUUUGGAAAUGAGAUUGUUGAGUCCCUGUGGCUCACAGAUUACUACAACACGAGUUGCAGGUACAGGUAAAAGGGUUAUUUGACGCGAGUGCGUUGAUUGUUCAUUUGGAGUUUCUUCUUCUUCUUCUUCUUCUUCGAUCUAGGAUGGGUUCCAGGCCGGCAGCCUGGGAUAGCAUGGAUGGACGUCAUUCUUUUAUCGUUUGUUUUCGUCAGUAGAUGGACCCUGCUCUUCUUCAUGAUGAUUGUAUGUAUUGUACUGAUGUGACUCUCAUGUAGCUGUGGUGAGUGUAAGCCAAUUCCAUAUACUCAUCUUUUCAGUAGAUGUACUUGUAACGAUACCCAUUUUUGUGAAACGAGAAGAUGUAUUUCUAUCCCUGUCGAGGCCCUCGUGUUAAAAUAAGGAUAGGACCGCUUCUUGGGCGUGACAAGUUGAAAAUAUGCAUUUUUCUGAAAAUUACUAAAUUCAGAGGUCCUAAAAAAACUACACGGGCCAAAUUGGUGGGCGCUGGAUAGAAAAAUGCGUCUAGGGCGAGGGAUAGGGCUUGUGGGGGUGCGUCUCGUGGGCCUGGCCCAGGUUGGGCACUGGAGCUGGGCUGGCUCGCUCGAUGCUUGGUCGGGGCGGCUGGCUUGGCUGCUGGGCCUCGGCGGGGAGGAGGUCGGCCCACGGGACGAUGGAGCAGGCCGGCUUGGUGGCGAUGUGUGAGGCUGGUCCUCGCGACAGUGGUGGGAGGCCGGCCCACGUGCGGCUGGCGGUCAACGCAGGGCGAUGGGACCGAGCCUCCUGCUCGAUCUCUCGUUGGGGCAGCGAGCACGCGCGCUGACGGGGGCGAGCCGGCUGCUGGCAGCGCUCCGACGAGCGGCUGGGGUGGGUGGCGACGACGGGGGCGGCCGGAUCCGUCGGGGCUGGAUGACGGCGAGGCCGGUGGCUGGCAUGAGAUCCCUGGGGCGGGACGGAGCACAGCAUGGCUCGGCGAGGUGCUCGGGGAUGCAGAACGCGGCGCGACGACGCAGCUGGUUGCGGGUGCACAAGGGGUCGACGCUGGCAACGGCAGCGAGCUUCGAGGCGGCGGCAGAGGUGCUCGCACAGACGGGUGGUCAUCAGUGGUGGCCGAUGGCUGGCGAGCGCGGCGCUCGUGCGCGAGAUCGGUCUGGUCUCGAACCAGGGGUGGGAGGCUGCAAGGCAUGCGAUCGCCGGACAUGUCCGUUUGGUGGCACAUACGUGUCUAGUAGGUGGGGAAAUUGGGCGAUAUGAGCCCUUAGAUCAAGAUCUGAUGGCUGAGAUGGGCUGGGGAGGCUAGGGCUGGGGGAUUUAGAGGGUUUGGCCUAGCAGGUGGGAUUUUCCAGGGGGGUGGCUGCAAAAAUGGCUAGGGGAAACCUAGUGGAGUGAGAGAGGUCUCUUCAUGGCACUACUAGGGCUGGAAAUAUGCGUAGCAAUAGCGCUGGUCCAAGCACUACUACUAUCGCGCUACAGCUAAACACUAGUAGUAGCGUCGGUAUGGGCAAUGCUACUGGUAACUUUAGUAGUAGCGCUUGCGCACAGAAAGCGCUGCUGCUGAGCCGCGCUACUGCUAAUAUUUUCCAACGCUACUGCUAACUUUUACUACUUUCACAUAUUUGCAUCAUCAGAAUGCAUCAUCAUCAUCGACAAUAUUACUAGUAUUCGGAAUAUUUAAAAUGCAUCAUCAUCGAUAAUAUUAGCAGUAUUCAGAAUAUUCAGAAUAUUUUCAAGCUCUACGUAUUUAGCAUCAUCAUCAUCAUCAUCGACAAUAUGUGCAUCAUCAUCAUCUAUAUCAACAACAUGGGAUUAUAGGUAGCUCAUACUCAUUUAACUCAUAUAACUCAUACUCAUUUAACAACUCAUAUAACUCAUACUCAUAUAGCUCAUACUCAUUUAACUCAUAUAACUCAUACUCAUUUAACAACUCAUAUAAUUCAUACUCAUAUAGCUCAUACUCAUUUGACUCAUAUAACUCAUACUCAUUUAACAACUCAUGUAAUUCAUACUCAUAUAACUCAUACUCAUACUCAUAUAACUCAUACUCAUAUAACAAUAUCACUAAUAAUAAUCCAGUUGACGUCUCACGGUGCAGGCGAUGGCAACCCAAAGAUAAGGAACCAUCACUAGAUUAUAGCUCGGGUGAUGUCCGUGGAGAACCUGCCGGGUAUUGGAGAACCUGGCAUCCAACGCAGCCAUGUAGCGACAGACAUGCUCGUCCUCCUCCGUGACACGAAGACGUACCACCUUCGUGGGGGCCAGCUCCCUCGGCACCGAUAAUGGCCCACGCGACCACCACCAAAGAAGCUCCGGGUCAACGAUGAGACCCGGAUUCCGCACCAAGGUGCGCCCUCCGGAAGGUAGCACCUCCCAGUGCCAGUUCGGCGGAGCCCAGUCCCGGACAUGGCGCCUAUCAAGCAGGCUCUCGACGACGAGGAUGCGGGCCGGGCAUUAUCGAAGCCGAGACAAAUUCUUCUGAGAAAAUUUUCUUAUUGUUUAAUGUUUCAACAAAUAUGACAUGGCAACUGUUGGAAAUAUGCCCUAGAGGCAAUAAUAAAAUGGUUAUUAUCAUAUUUCCUUGUUCAUGAUAAUCGUCUAUCGUUCAUGCUAUAAUUGUAUUAACAGGAAACACUAAUACAUGUGUGAAUGAAUAGAUCACAAUGUGUCCCUAGCAAGCCUCUAGUUAGCUAGCUCGUUAGUCAAUAGAUGAUCAUGGUUUCCUGAUCAUGGACAUUGGAUGUCAUUGAUAACGGGAUCACAUCAUUGGGAGAAUGAUGUGGUGGACAAGACCCAAUCCUAAGCCUAGCACUAGAUCGUAUUGUUCGUAUGCUAAUGCUUUUCUAAUGUCAAGUAUCUUUUCCUUCGACCGUGAGAUCGUGCAACUCCCGGAUACCGUAGGAGUGCUUUGGGUGUAUCAAAUGUCACAACGUAACUGGNNNNNNNNNNNNNNNNNNNNNNNNNNNNNNNNNNNNNNNNNNNNNNNNNNNNNNNNNNNNNNNNNNNNNNNNNNNNNNNNNNNNNNNNNNNNNNNNNNNNUGAACGCGGAGGUGCCGUUGUUCGGCACUAGAUCGGAAUCGCUGCGAGUACGACUCCAUCAACCGCGUUCUAGCAACGCUUCCGCUUAGCGAUCUUCAAAGGUACGAAGAUGCUCUUACCCCUCUCUCGUUGCUGGUCUCUCCAUAGGAAGAUCUGAAUAAGCGUAGGAAAAUUUUGAAUUUAUGCUACGUUACCCAACAGUGGCAUCCGAGCCAGGUUUUCUAUGCGUAGAUUCUAUGCACGAGUAGAACACAAAAGUUGUGGGCGAUGGUUUGUCAAUUUUCUUGCCGUUACUAGUCUUAUUCUUUUCCGGCGGUAUUGUGGGAUGAAGCGGCCCGGACCGACCUUACACGUACGCUUACGUGAGACUGGUUCCACCGACAGACAUGCACAUCGUGCAUAAAGGUGGCUAGCGGGUGUCUGUCUCUCCUACUCUAGUCGGAUUGGAUUUGAUGAAAAGGGUCCUUAUGAAGGGUAAAUAGCUUUGGCAUAUCAUCGUUGUGGCUGUCACGUAGGUAAGAANNNNNNNNNNNNNNNNNNNNNNNNNNNNNNNNNNNNNNNNNNNNNNNNNNNNNNNNNNNNNNNNNNNNNNNNNNNNNNNNNNNNNNNNNNNNNNNNNNNNNNNNNNNNNNNNNNNNNNNNNNNNNNNNNNNNNNNNNNNNNNNNNNNNNNNNNNNNNNNNNNNNNNNNNNNNNNNNNNNNNNNNNNNNNNNNNNNUUUUGCAGGGUUUGACAUGUGAUGUGAUAUGGCCAAAGUUGUGAUGUUGCAUGUAUGAUGUAUGAGAUGAUCAUGUUAUUGUAAUAGGUUUCACGACUUGCAUGUCGAUGAGUAUGACAACCGACAGGAGCCAUAGGAGUUGUCUUAAUUUAUUGUAUGAGAUGCAACGCCUUGUGCUUGCUACUUUUACUUCAUUGCUAACGGUUAGCCAUAGAAGUAGUGAUAGUAGUAGUUGGCGUGACGACUUCACGGAGACACGAUGAUGGAGAUCAUGGUGUCACGCCGGUGACGAUGAUGAUCAUGCGAUGCCUGAAGAUGGAGAUCGAAUGAGCAAAGAUGAUAAUGGCCAUAUCAUGUCACUCUAUGAUUGCAUUGUGAUGUUUAUCAUGUUUUACAUCUUAUUGCUUAAAACGACGGUAGCAUAAUAAGAUGAUCCCUCUUAAAAUUUCGAGAACGUAUUCCCCUAAGUGUGCACCGUUGCGAAGGUUCGUUAUCUCGAAGCACCACGUGAUGAUCGGGUGUGAUAGAUUCUAACGUUCGCAUACAACGGGUGUAAGCCAGAUUUACACACGCGAAACACCUAGGUUGACUCGACGAGCUUAGCAUAUACAGACAUGACCUCGAAUACAAGAGACCGAAAGGUCGAACAUGAGUCGUAUGGUUGAAUACGAUCAGCAUGAAGUUGCUCACCAUGGUGACUAGUCUGUCUCACGUGAUGAUCGGACACGGGUUAGUCAACAUGGAUCAUGUAUCACUUAGAUGACUAGAGGGAUGUCGAUUUAAGUGGGAGUUCAUACUUAAUUUGAUUAAAUGAACUUAAGUGUCAUGAACUUAGUCUAAAAGUUGUCUUUAUAAAUAUUGUAGAUGUCCAACGUCAACCUCAACUUCAACGCAUUCCUAGAGAAAAACAAGCUGAAAGAUGAUGGUAGCAACUAUGCGGACUGGGUUCGCAACCUGAAGCUCAUCCUUGAAGCAGCUAAAAAGGCUUAUGAACUUAAUGCGCCGCUAGGUGACCCUCCCGCUCCCGCAGCAGCCCAGGACGUUCUAAACGUCUGGCAAGCGCGAAGUGAUGACUACUCUCUGGUCAGGUGUGGCAUGUUAUACAGUUUAGAAACGGGGCUCCAAAGACGUUUUGAGCAACACGGGGCAUAUGAGAUGUUCCAAGAGCUGAAGCUAGUUUUUCAAGCUCAUGCCCGUGUCGAGAGAUAUGAAGUCUCCGACAAGUUCUUCAGCUGUAAGAUGGAGGAGAACAGUUCUGUCAGUGAGCACAUACUCAAAAUGUCUGGGUUACACGGUCGUCUAACUUCACUUGGAGUCGAACUUCCGGAUGAUGCUAUCAUUGACAGAAUCCUCCAGUCUCUCCCACCAAGCUACAAAGGCUUUGUGCUUAACUACAACAUGCAAGGGAUGGAGAAAACCAUUCCCGAGUUGUACUCGAUGCUCAAGUCUGCAGAAGUAGAAAUCAAGAAGGAGCAUCAAGUGUUGAUGGUCAACAAGACCACUAGUUUCAAGAAAGGCAGGGGUAAGAAGAACUUCAAGAAAGACGGCAAAGCUGUUGCCGCGCCCGGUAAGCCAGAUGCCGGGAAGAAGAAAAAAAACGGACCCAAGCCUGAGACUGAGUGCUUCUACUGCAAGGGAAAAGGUCACUGGAAGCGGAACUGCCCCAAAUACUUAGCGGACAAGAAGGCCGGCAACGUUAAAGGUAUAUAUGAUAUACAUGUUAUUGAUGUGUACCUCACCAGCGCUCGUAGUAGCUCCUGGGUAUUUGAUACCGGUGCUGUUGCUCACAUUUGCAACUCAAAGCAGGAACUGCGGAAUAAGCGGAGACUGGCCAAGGACGAGGUGACGAUGCGCGUCGGGAAUGGUUCAAAGGUCGAUGUGAUCGCCGUCGGCACGCUACCUCUACAUCUACCGUCAGGAUUAGUUUUAAACCUUAAUAAUUGUUAUUUAGUACCAGCUUUAAGCAUGAACAUUGUAUCAGGGUCUUGCUUAAUGCGAGACGGCUACUCAUUUAAGUCAGAGAAUAAUGGUUGUUCUAUUUAUAUGAGUGAUAUGUUUUAUGGUCAUGCUCCGCUGGUGAAUGGUUUAUUCUUGAUGAAUCUCAAUCGUGAUGUUACACAUAUUCAUAGUGUGAGUACAAAAAGAUGCAAAGUUGAUAAUGAUAGUCCCACAUACUUGUGGCACUGCCGCCUUGGUCAUAUCGGCGUUAAGCGCAUGAAGAAGCUCCAUACUGAUGGACUGCUAGAGUCUCUUGACUUUGAAUCAUUUGACACAUGCGAACCGUGCCUCAUGGGCAAGAUGACUAAGACUCCAUUCUCAGGAAUAAUGGAGAGAGCCUCCGACUUAUUGGAAAUAAUACAUACUGAUGUGUGUGGUCCAAUGAACGUUGAAGCUCGCGGUGGUUAUCGUUAUGUUCUCACUCUCACCGAUGAUUUGAGUAGGUAUGGGUAUAUCUACUUGAUGAAGCACAAAUCUGAGACGUUUGAAAAGUUCAAGGAAUUUCAGAGUGAGGUUGAGAAUCAACGUGACAGAAAAAUAAAAUGUCUACGAUCUGAUCGUGGAGGAGAAUAUUUGAGUCACGAGUUUGGCACACACCUAAGGAAGUGUGGAAUCCUUUCACAACUGACGCCGCCUGGCACACCGCAGCGCAACGGAGUGUCUGAACGUCAUAAUCGCACUUUAUUAGAUAUGGUACGAUCUAUGAUGUCUCUCACCGACUUACCGCUAUCAUUUUGGGGAUACGCAUUAGAAACUGCAGCAUUCACUUUAAAUAGGGCACCGUCUAAAUCCGUUGAGACGACACCGUAUGAACUGUGGUUUGGCAAGAAACCUAAGUUGUCGUUUCUUAAAGUUUGGGGCUGCGAUGCUUAUGUGAAGAAACUUCAACCAGAAAAGCUCGAACCCAAAGCGGAGAAAUGCGUAUUCAUAGGAUACCCUAAGAAAACUAUUGGGUAUACCUUCUAUCUUAGAUCCGAAGGUAAAACCUUUGUUGCCAAGAACGGAUCCUUUCUAGAGAAAGAGUUUCUCUCGAAAGAAGUAAGUGGGAGGAAGGUAGAACUUGAUGAGGUAAUUACACCCCCUCUCGAACAGGAAAGUAGCGCAGCGCAAGAAAUUGUUCCUGUGGUGCCUGCACUGACUGAAGAGGAAGUUAAUGAUGAUGAUCAUGAAGCUUCGGAUCAAGUUACUACUGAACCGCGAAGGUCCACAAGGGUACGCUCCGCACCAGAGUGGUACGGCAACCCUGUGAUGGAAAUCAUGUUGUUAGACAACGGUGAACCUUCGAACUAUGAAGAAGCGAUGGCGGGCCCGGAUUCCAACAAAUGGCUUGAAGCUAUGAAAUCCGAGAUAGGAUCCAUGUAUGAGAACAAAGUAUGGACUUUGGUGGACUUGCCCGAUGACCGGCGAGCCAUAGAAAAUAAAUGGAUCUUCAAGAAGAAGACUGAUGCAAACGGUAAUGUAACCGUUUACAAAGCUCGACUUGUCGCAAAGGGUUUUCGACAAAUUCAAGGAGUUGACUACGAAGAGACUUUCUCUCCCGUAGCGAAGCUGAAAUCAGUCCGAAUCAUGUUAGCAAUUGCCGCCUUUUAUGAUUAUGAAAUUUGGCAAAUGGACGUCAAAACAGCAUUCCUUAACGGGAAUCUUAAGGAAGAGUUGUAUAUGAUGCAACCAGAAGGUUUUGUCGACCCUAAGGGUGCUAACAAAGUGUGCAAGCUCCAGCGCUCCAUCUAUGGGCUGGUGCAAGCAUCUCGGAGUUGGAACAUUCGCUUUAAUGAGGUGAUUAAAGCGUUUGGGUUCAUACAGGUUUACGGAGAAGCCUGUCUGUACAAGAAAGUGAGUGGGAGCUCUGUAGCUUUCCUCGUACUAUAUGUGGAUGACAUAUUAUUGAUGGGGAAUGAUAUAGAGAUAUUGGAGAGCAUAAAGGCCUAUUUGAACAAGAGUUUUUCAAUGAAGGACCUUGGAGAAGCUGCAUACAUAUUAGGCAUCAAGAUCUAUAGAGAUAGAUCGAGACGCCUCAUAGGUCUUUCGCAAAGUACAUACCUUGACAAGAUACUGAAGAAGUUCAAUAUGGAAAACUCAAAGAAAGGGUUCUUGCCAGCUUUGCAAGGUAUGAGAUUGAGUAAGACUCAGUCGCCGACCACGGCAGCAGAUAGAGAGAAGAUGAGUUCUGUCCCCUACGCUUCAGCCGUGGGCUCUCUAAUGUAUGCCAUGCUGUGUACCAGACCUGAUAUAAACCUUGCGAUAAGCUUGGUAGGGAGGUACCAAAGUAAUCCCGGUGCGGAACACUGGACAGCGGUCAAUAAUAUCCUUAAGUACCUGAAAAGGACUAAGGAAAUGUUUCUCGUUUAUGGAGGUGACGAAGAGCUCGUCGUAAAGGGUUACGUCGAUGCUAGCUUCGACACAGAUCCGGAUGACUCUAAGUCACAAACCGGAUACGUAUAUGUGUUGAAUGGUGGGGCAGUGAGCUGGUGCAGCAGCAAGCAAGAAGUCGUGGCAGCAUCUACAUGUGAAGCGGAGUACAUAGCUGCUUCAGAAGCGGCUCAUGAAGGAAUUUGGAUGAAGGAGCUCAUCACCGACCUUGGAGUGGUUCCAAGCGCGUCGGGUCCUAUGACACUCUUCUGUGACAACACUGGAGCCAUUGCCAUAGCCAAGGAGCCCAGGUUUCACCGGAAGACGAAGCACAUCAAGCGCCGCUACAACUCCAUCCAGGACCAUGUCCAAACUGGAGUGAUAGAUAUUUGUAAAGUACACACGGAUCUGAAUAUUGCAGACCCGUUGACUAAACCUCUUCCACGAGCAAAACAUGAUCAGCACCAUAAUGCUAUGGGUGUUCGAUACAUCACAAUGUAACUAGAUUAUUGACUCUAGUGCAAGUGGGAGACUGUUGGAAAUAUGCCCUAGAGGCAAUAAUAAAAUGGUUAUUAUCAUAUUUCCUUGUUCAUGAUAAUCGUCUAUCGUUCAUGCUAUAAUUGUAUUAACAGGAAACACUAAUACAUGUGUGAAUGAAUAGAUCACAAUGUGUCCCUAGCAAGCCUCUAGUUAGCUAGCUCGUUAGUCAAUAGAUGAUCAUGGUUUCCUGAUCAUGGACAUUGGAUGUCAUUGAUAACGGGAUCACAUCAUUGGGAGAAUGAUGUGGUGGACAAGACCCAAUCCUAAGCCUAGCACUAGAUCGUAUUGUUCGUAUGCUAAUGCUUUUCUAAUGUCAAGUAUCUUUUUCUUCGACCGUGAGAUCGUGCAACUCCCGGAUANNNNNNNNNNNNNNNNNNNNNNNNNNNNNNNNNNNNNNNNNNNNNNNNNNNNNNNNNNNNNNNNNNNNNNNNNNNNNNNNNNNNNNNNNNNNNNNNNNNNNNNNNNNNNNNNNNNNNNNNNNNNNNNNNNNNNNNNNNNNNNNNNNNNNNNNNNNNNNNNNNNNNNNNNNNNNNNNNNNNNNNNGUGUCUGUUGGGUUGGCACGAAUCGAGAUCGGGAUUUGUCACUCCGUGUGACGGAGAGGUAUCUCUGGGCCCACUCGGUAGAACAUCAUCAUGAGCUCAAUGUGACUAAGGAGUUAGUCACACGAUGACGUGCUACGGAACGAGUAAAGAGACUUACCGGUAACGAGAUUGAACAAGGUAUAGGUAUACCGACGAUCGAAUCUCGGGCAAGUUCUAUACCGANNNNNNNNNNNNNNNNNNNNNNNNNNNNNNNNNNNNNNNNNNNNNNNNNNNNNNNNNNNNNNNNNNNNNNNNNNNNNNNNNNNNNNNNNNNNNNNNNNNNGGGCAUAAUUCCAACAGUCUCCCACUUGCACUAGAUUCAAUAAUCUAGCCCUCACAUCACCAUGUGAAUUACAUUGUAAUAAAUCUAACACCCAUACAGUUCUGGUGUCGAUCAUGUUUUGGCCGUGGAAGAGGCUUAGUCAGCGGGUCUGCUACAUUCAGAUCCGUGUGCACUUUGCAUAUUUUUACGUCCUCCUCCUCGACGUAGUCGCGGAUGAGGUUGAAGCGUCGUUUGAUGUGUCUGGUCUUCUUGUGAAACCUUGGUUCCUUUGCUAAGGCAAUGGCACCAGUGUUGUCACAGAACAAGGUUAUUGGAUCCAGUGCACUUGGCACCACUCCAAGAUCCGUCAUGAACUGCUUCAUCCAGACACCCUCCUUAGCCGCCUCCGAGGCAGCCAUGUACUCCGCUUCACAUGUAGAAUCUGCUACGACGCUUUGCUUGGAACUGCACCAGCUUACUGCACCCCCAUUAAGAAUAAACACGUAUCCGGUUUGCGACUUAGAGUCGUCUGGAUCUGUGUCAAAGCUUGCAUCGACGUAACCUUUUACGGCGAGCUCUUCGUCACCUCCAUACACGAGAAACAUCUCCUUAGUCCUUUUCAGGUACUUCAGGAUAUUCUUGACCGCCGUCCAGUGAUCCACUCCUGGAUUACUCUGGAACCUACCUGCCAUACUUAUGGCCAGGCUAACAUCCGGUCUAGUGCACAGCAUUGCAUACAUGAUAGAGCCUAUGGCUGAAGCAUAGGGGACGGAGCACAUAUGCUCUCUAUCUUCAUCAGUUGCUGGGCACUGAGUCUUACUCAAUCUCGUACCUUGUAACACUGGCAAGAACCCUUUCUUGGACUGUUCCAUUUUGAACCUCUUCAAAACUUUAUCAAGGUAUGUGCUUUGUGAAAGUCCUAUCAGGCGUUUUGAUCUAUCCCUAUAGAUCUUAAUGCCUAGAAUGUAAGCAGCUUCUCCUAGGUCCUUCAUAGAGAAACUUUUAUUCAAGUAACCUUUUAUGCUCUCCAAAAGCUCUACGUUGUUUCCAAUCAGUAAUAUGUCAUCCACAUAUAAUAUUAGAAACGCCACAGAGCUCCCACUCACUUUCUUGUAAAUACAAGAUUCUCCAACCACUUGUAUAAACCCAAAUGCUUUGAUCACCUCAUCAAAGCGUUUGUUCCAACUCCGAGAUGCUUGCACCAGUCCAUAAAUGGAUCGCUGGAGCUUGCACACCUUGUCAGCAUUUUUAGGAUCGACAAAACCUUCGGGUUGCAUCAUAUACAACUCUUCCUUAAGGAAACCGUUAAGGAACGCCAUUUUGACAUCCAUCUGCCAGAUUUCAUAAUCGAAAAAUGCAGCUAUUGCUAACAUGAUUCUGACGGACUUAAGCAUCGCUACGGGAGAGAAAGUCUCAUCGUAGUCAAUUCCUGAAACUUGCGAAAAACCUUUUGCCACAAGUCGAGCUUUAUAAACGGUCACAUUACCGUCAGCGUCCGUCUUCUUCUUAAAGAUCCAUUUGUUCUGAAUAGCCUUGCGGCCCUCAGGCAGCAUCUCCAAAGUCCACACUUUGUUCUCAUACAUGGAUCCUAUCUCGGAUUUCAUGGCUUCUAGCCAUUUGUUGGAAUCUGGGCCCACCAUUGCUUCUUCAUAAUUUGCAGGUUCAUUGUUGUCUAACAACAUGAUUGAUAAGACGGGAUUACCGUACCACUCUGGAGCAGCGCGUGAUCUCGUCGACCUGCGUGGUUCAACAGAAACUUGAACUGGAGUUUCAUGAUCAUCAUCAUUAAUUUCCUCCUCAACCGGCGUCGCAAUAACAGAGGUUUCCCCUUGCCCUGCGCCACCAUCCAGAGGGAUGAGAGGUUCGACAACCUCGUCAAGUUCUAUCUUCCUCCCACUCAAUUCUCUCAAGAGAAACUCCUUCUCGAGAAAAGUUCCGUUCUUAGCAACAAACACUUUGCCCUCAGAUUUGAGAUAGAAGGUGUACCCAACUGUCUCUUUUGGGUAACCUAUGAAGACACACUUUUCCGCUUUGGGUUCCAGCUUUUCAGGCUGAAGCUUUUUGACAUAAGCAUCACAUCCCCAAACUUUAAGAAACGACAACUUUGGCCUUUUGCCAUACCAUAGUUCGUAUGGUGUCGUCUCAACGGAUUUCGAUGGUGCCCUAUUUAAAGUGAAUGCAGCUGUUUCUAAUGCAUAACCCCAAAACGAUAACGGCAAAUCAGUAAGAGACAUCAUAGAUCGCACCAUUUCUAACAAAGUACGAUUACGACGUUUGGACACACCAUUACGCUGUGGUGUUCCAGGCGGUGUUAACUGCGAAACAAUUCCACAUUGUCUUAAGUGAGUACCAAACUCGAAACUCAGAUAUUCACCCCCACGAUCAGACCGUAGGAACUUGAUCUUCUUGUUACGAUGAUUUUCCACUUCACUCUGAAAUUGCUUGAACUUUUCAAAUGUUUCAGACUUGUGCUUCAUCAAGUAGACAUAACCAUAUCUACUUAAAUCGUCAGUGAAGGUGAGAAAAUAACGAUAUCCGCCGCGUGCCUCCACGCUCAUGGGACCACACACAUCGGUAUGUAUGAUUUCCAACAAGUCACUUGCACGCUCCAUUGUUCCGGAGAACGGAGUCUUAGUCAUCUUGCCCAUGAGGCAUGGUUCGCACGUGUCAAGUGAAUCAAAGUCAAGUGACUCAAAAGUCCAUCAGCAUGGAGUUUCUUCAUGCGCUUUACACCAAUAUGACCCAAGCGGCAGUGCCACAAAAAUAUGGCGCUAUCAUUGUUUACUCUAACUCUUUUGGUCUCAAUGUUAUGUAUAUGCGUAUCUCUAUCAAGAUUCAAUAUGAACAAUCCUCUCACAUUCGGUGCAUGACCAUAAAAGAUGUUACUCAUAGAAAUAGAACAACCAUUAUUCUCAGACUUAAAAGAGUAACCGUCUCGCAAUAAACAAGAUCCAGAUAUAAUGUUCAUGCUCAACGCAGGCACUAAAUAACAAUGAUUUAAGUUCAUCACUAAUCCCGAUGGUAGUUGAAGUGACACUGUGCCGACGGCGAUUGCAUCAACCUUGGAACCGUUUCCUACGCGCAUCGUCACUUCGUCUUUCGCCAGCCUUCGUCUAUUCCGCAGUUCCUGCUUCGAGUUGCAAAUGUGAGCAACAGAACCGGUAUCGAAUACCCAGGCACUACUACGAGAGCCGGUCAAGUACACAUCAAUAACAUGUAUAUCAAAUAUACCUGAUUUUUCUUUGCCCGCCUUCUUAUCUGCCAGAUACUUGGGGCAAUUGCGUUUCCAGUGACCCAUACCCUUGCAAUAGAAGCACUCUGUUUCAGGCUUAGGUCCAGCCUUGGGUUUCUUCGGCGGUUUGGCAACAGGCUUGCCGCUCUUCUUCGAAUUGCCCUUCUUGCCUUUGCCGUUUCGCUUGAAACUAGUGGUCUUGCUCACCAUCAACACUUGAUGCUCUUUACGGAGUUCAGACUCUGCGACUUUCAGCAUCGCAAACAACUCGCCGGGAGACUUGUUCAUCCCUUGCAUGUUGUAGUUCAACACAAAGCCUUUAUAGCUUGGCGGCAGUGAUUGAAGGAUUCUGUCAGUGAUAGCUUCUUGCGGGAGUUCAAUCCCCAGUUCAGCUAGACGGUUUGAGUACCCAGACAUUUUGAGCACAUGUUCACUGACAGACGAGUUUUCCUCCAUCUUGCAAGCAUAGAAUUUAUCGGAGGUCUCAUACCUCUCGAUCCGGGCGUUCUUCUGAAAGAUAAACUUCAACUCCUGGAACAUCUCAAAUGCUCCAUGACGCUCAAAGCGACGUUGAAGUCCCGGUUCUAAGCCAUACAAGACUGCACAUUGAACUAUUGAGUAGUCCUCCUUACGUGCUAACCAAGCGUUCUUAACAUCCUGAUCAGCCGUAGCGGGUGGUUCAUCUCCUAGCGCAGCAUUAAGGACAUAAUCCUUCUUUCCAGCUUGUAAGACUAGCUUAAGAUUACGAGCCCAGUCUACAAAGUUGCUUCCAUCAUCUUUCAACUUAGCUUUCUCUAGGAACGUAUUAAAAUUCAGGAUGACACUUGCGUGAGCCAUGAUCUACAACACAAAUAUAUUCAAAGUGGACUUAGACUAUGUUCAAGAUAAUUAGAGUUCAACUUAAUCAAAUUAUAUGCUAAACUCCCACUCAAAAAGUACAUCUCUCUAGUCAUUUGAGUGGUUCAUGAUCCACUUACACUAUCCCAAGUCCGAUCAUCACGUGAGUUGAGUAUAGUUUCAGUGGUAAGCAUCCCUAUGCUAAUCAUAUCAACUAUAUGAUUCAUGAUCGACCUUUCGGUCUCAUGUGUUCCGAGGCCAUGUCUGCACAUGCUAGGUUCGUCAAGCUUAACUCGAGUGUUCCGCGUGCGCAACUGUUUUGCACCCGUUGUAUGUGAACGUUGAGUCUAUCACACCCGAUCAUCACGUGGUGUCUCGAAACGACGAACUGUAGCAACGGUGCACAGUCGGGGAGAACACAAUUUCGUCUUGAAAUUUUAGUGAGAGAUCACCUCAUAAUGCUACCGUCGUUCUAAGCAAAAUAAGGUGCAAAAAAGGAUUAACAUCACAUGCAAUUCAUAAGUGACAUGAUAUGGCCAUCAUCACGUGCUUCUUGAUCUCCAUCACCAAAGCACCGGCACGAUCUUCUUGUCACCGGCGCCACACCAUGAUCAUCCAUCAACGUGUUGCCAUCGGGGUUGUCGUGCUACUUAUGCUAUUACUACUAAAGCUACAUCCUAGCAAAAUAGUAAACGCAUCUGCAAGCACAAACGUUAGUGUAAAGACAACCCUAUGGCUCCUGCCGGUUGUCGUACCAUCGACAUGCAAGUCGAUAUUUCUAUUACAACAUGAUCAUCUCAUACAUCCAAUAUAUCACAUCACAUCGUUGGCCAUAUCACAUCACAAUCAUACCCUGCAAAAACAAGUUAGACGUCCUCUAAUUUUGUUGUUGCAUGUUUUACGUGGUGACCAAGGGUAUCUAGUAGGAUCGCAUCUUACUUACGCAAACACCACAACGGAGAUAUAUGAGUUGCUAUUUAACCUCAUCCAAGGACCUCCUCGGUCAAAUCCGAUUCAACUAAAGUUGGAGAAACCGUCACUUGCCAGUCAUCUUUGAGCAAAGGGGGUUACUCGUAACGAUGAAACCAGUCUCUCGUAAGCGUACGAGUAAUGUCGGUCCAAGCCGCUUCAAUCCAACAAUACCGCGGAAUCAAGAAAAGACUAAGGAGGGCAGCAAAACGCACAUCACCGCCCACAAAACCUUUUGUCUUCUACUCGAAAAGACAUCUACGCAUGAACCUAGCUCUGAUACCACUGUUGGGGAACGUCGCAUGGGAAUUUAUUUUUUCCUACGCGCACNNNNNNNNNNNNNNNNNNNNNNNNNNNNNNNNNNNNNNNNNNNNNNNNNNNNNNNNNNNNNNNNNNNNNNNNNNNNNNNNNNNNNNNNNNNNNNNNNNNNUCGGUAUAGAACUUGCGCGAGAUUCGAUCGUCGGUAUACCUAUACCUUGUUCAAUCUCGUUACCUGUAAGUCUCUUUACUCGUUCCGUAGCACGUCAUUGUGUGACUAACUCCUUAGUCACAUUGAGCUCAUGAUGAUGUUCUACCGAGUGGGCCCAUAGAUACCUCUCCGUCACACGGAGUGACAAAUCCCGAUCUCGAUUCGUACCAACCCAACAGACACNNNNNNNNNNNNNNNNNNNNNNNNNNNNNNNNNNNNNNNNNNNNNNNNNNNNNNNNNNNNNNNNNNNNNNNNNNNNNNNNNNNNNNNNNNNNNNNNNNNNNNNNNNNNNNNNNNNNNNNNNNNNNNNNNNNNNNNNNNNNNNNNNNNNNNNNNUAUAGUCACCCAGUUAUGUUGUGACGUUUGAUACACCCAAAGCACUCCUACGGUAUCCGGGAGUUGCACAAUCUCACGGUCAAAGGAAAAGACACUUGACAUUAGAAAAGCUUUAGCAUACGAACAAUACGAUCUAGUGCUAUGCUUAGGAUUGGGUCUUGUCCAUCACAUCAUUCUCCCAAUGAUGUGAUCCCGUUAUCAAUGACAUCUAAUGCCCAUGAUCAGGAAACCAUGAUCAUCUAUUGACUAACGAGCUAACCAACUAGAGGCUUGCUAGGGACACAUUGUGAUCUAUUUAUUCACACAUGUAUUACUGUUUCCUGUUAAUACAAUUAUUGCAUGAACAAUAGACGAUUAUCAUGAACAAGGAAAUAUAAUAAUAACCAUUUUAUUAUUGCCUCUAGGGCAUAUUUCCAACAGUCUCCCACUUGCACUAGAGUCAAUAAUCUAGUAACAUUGUGAUGUAUCGAACACCCAUAGCAUUAUGGUGUUGAUCAUGUUUUGCUCGUGGAAGAGGCUUAGUCAACGGGUCUACAAUAUUCAGAUCCGUGUGUACUUUGAAAAUAUCUAUUACUCCACUCUGGACAUGGUCCUGGAUGGAGUUGUAGCGGCGUUUGAUGUGCUUGGUCUUCCGGUGAAACCUGGGCUCCUUAGCAAUGGCAAUGGCUCCUGUGUUAUCACAGAAGAGUGUCAUUGGACCCGACGUGCUUGGAACCACUCCAAGGUCGGUGAUGAGCUCCUUCAUCCAAAUUCCUUCAUGAGCCGCUUCUGAAGCAGCUAUGUACUCCGCUUCACAUGUAGACGCUGCCACGACUUCUUGCUUGCUGCUGCACCACCUCACUGCCCCACCAUUCAACACAUAUACGUAUCCGGUUUGUGACUUAGAGUCAUCCGAAUCUGUGUCGAAGCUUGCGUCGACGUAACCCUUUACAACGAGCUCUUCGUCACCUCCAUAAACGAGAAACAUUUCCUUAGUCCUUUUCAGGUACUUAAGGAUAUUCUUGACCGCUGUCCAGUGUUCCGCACCGGGAUUACUUUGGUACCUCCCUACUAAGCUUAUCGCAAGGUUUAUAUCAGGUCUGGUACACAGCAUGGCAUACAUAAGAGAGCCUACCCGCUGAAGCGUAGCGGACAGAACUCAUCUUCUCUCUAUCUGUUGCCGUGGUCAGCGACUGAGUCUUACUCAAUCUCAUACCUUGCAAAACUGGCAAGAACCCUUUCUUUGAGUUUUCCAUAUUGAACUUCUUCAAUAUCUUGUCAAGGUAUGUACUUUGCGAAAGACCUAUGAGGCGUCUCGAUCUAUGUCUAUAGAUCUUGAUGCCUAAUAUUUAUGCAGCUUCUCCAAGGUCCUUCAUUGAAAAACUCUUGUUCAAAUAGGCCUUUAUGCUCUCCAACAUUUCUGUAUUGUUCCCCAUCAAUAAUAUGUCAUCCACAUACAGUAUGAGGAAAGCUACAGAGCUCCCACUCACUUUCUUGUACAGACAGGCUUCUCCGUUAACCUGUAUGAACCCAAAUGCUUUAAUCACCUCAUUAAAGCGAAUUUUCCAACUCUGAGAUGCUUGCACCAGCCCAUAGAUGGAGCGCUGGAGCUUGCACACUUUGUUAGCACCCUUAGGGUCGACAAAACCUUCUGGUUGCAUCAUAUACAACUCUUCCUUAAAGUUCCCGUUAAGGAACGCUGUUUUGACGUCCAUUUGCCAAAUUUCAUAAUCAUAAAAGGCGGCAAUUGCUAACAUGAUUCAGACUGAUUCCAACUUCGCUACGGGAGAGAAAGUCUCUUCGUAGUCAACUCCUUGAAUUUGUCGAAAACCCUUUGCGACAAGUCGAGCUUUGUAAACGGUUACAUUACCGUUUGCAUCAGUCUUCUUCUUGAAGAUCCAUUUAUUUUCUAUGGCUCGCCGGUCAUCGGGCAAGUCCACCAAAGUCCAUACUUUGUUCUCAUACAUGGAUCCUAUCUCGGAUUUCAUAGCUUCAAGCCAUUUGUUGGAAUCCGGCCCUGCCAUCGCUUCUUCAUAGUUCGAAGGUUCACGUUGUCUAACAACAUGAUUUCCAUCACAGGGUUGCCGUACCACGCUGGUGCGGAGCGUGCCCUCAUGGACCUUCGCGGUUCAGUAGUAACUUGAUCCGAAGCUUCAUGAUCAUUAUCAUUAACUUCCUCUUGAGUUGGUGUAGGUGCCACAGGAACAACUUNNNNNNNNNNNNNNNNNNNNNNNNNNNNNNNNNNNNNNNNNNNNNNNNNNNNNNNNNNNNNNNNNNNNNNNNNNNNNNNNNNNNNNNNNNNNNNNNNNNNCCAGUUACGUUGUGACGUUUGAUACACCCAAAGCACUCCUACGGUAUCCGGGAGUUGCACAAUCUCACGGUCUAAGGAAAAGACACUUGACAUUAGAAAAUCUUUAGCAUACGAACAAUACGAUCUAGUGCUAUGCUUAGGAUUGGGUCUUGUCCAUCACAUCAUUCUCCCAAUGAUGUGAUCCCGUUAUCAAUGACAUCUAAUGCCCAUGAUCAGGAAACCAUGAUCAUCUAUUGAGUAACGAGCUAGCCAACUAGAGGCUUGCUAGGGACACAUUGUGAUCUAUUUAUUCACACAUGUAUUACUGUUUCCUGUUAAUAGAAUUAUAGCAUGAACAAUAGACGAUUAUCAUGAACAAGGAAAUAUGAUAAUAACCAUUUUAUUAUUGCCUCUAGGGCAUAUUUCCAACAGUCUCCCACUUGCACUAGAGUCAAUAAUCUAGUUACAUUGUGAUGUAUCGAACAACCAUAGCAUUAUGGUGUUGAUCAUGUUUUGCUCGUGGAAGAGGUUUAGUCAAUGGGUGUGCAAUAUUCAGAUCCGUGUGUACUUUACAAAUAUCUAUUACUCAACUCUGGACAUGGUCCUGGAUGGAGUUGUAGCGGCGUUUGAUGUGCUUGGUCUUCCGGUGAAACCUGGGCUCCUUGGCAAUGGAAUGGCCUCAGUGUUAUCACAGAAGAGUGUCAUUGGACCCGACGCGCUUGGAACCACUCCAAGGUCGGUGAUGAGCUCCUUCAUCCAAAUUCCUUCAUGAGCCGCUUCUGAAGCAGCUAUGUACUCCGCUUCACAUGUAGACGCUGCCACGACUUCUUGCUUGCUGCUGCACCAGCUCACUGUCCCCACCAUUCAAAACAUAUACGUAUCCGGUCUGUGAAUUAGAGUCAUCCGGAUCUGUGUCGAAGCUAGCGUCGACAUAACCCUUUACGACGAGCUCUUCGUCACCUCCAUAAACGAGAAACAUUUCCUUAGUCCUUUUCAAGUACUUAAGGAUAUUCUUGACCGCUGUCCAGUGUUCCAUACCGGGAUCACUUUGGUACCUCCCUACCAAACUUAUGGCAAGGUCUAUAUAAGGUCUGGUACACAACAUGGCAUACAUAAGAGAACCUACGACUGAAGCGUAGGGGACAGAACUCAUCUUCUCUCUAUCUGUUGCCGUGGUCAGCGACUGAGUCUUACGCAAUCUCAUACCUUGCAAAACUAGCAAGAACCCUUUCUUUGAGUUUUCCAUAUUGAACUUCUUCAAUAUCUUGUCAAGGUAUGUACUUUGCGAAAGACCUAUAAGGCGUAUCGAUCUAUCUCUAUAUAUCUUGAUGCCUAAUAUGUAUGCAGCUUCUCCAAGGUCCUUCAUUGAAAAACUCUUGUUCAAAUAGGCCUUUAUGCUCUCCAACAUUUUUGUAUUGUUCCCCAUCAAUAAUAUGUCAUCCACAUAGAGUAUGAGGAAAGCUACAGAGCUCCCACUCACUUUCUUGUACAGACAGGCUUCUCCGUAAACCUGUAUGAAGCCAAAUGCUUUAAUCACCUCAUUAAAGCGAAUGUUCCAACUCCGAGAUGCUUGCACCAGCCCAUAGAUGGAGCGCUGGAGCUUGCACACUUUGUUAGCACCCUUAGGGUCGACAAAACCUUCUGGUUGCAUCAUAUACAACUCUUCCUUAAGGUUCCCGUUAAGGAGCGCUAUUUUGACGUCCAUUUGCCAAAUUUCGUAAUCAUAAAAGGCGGCAAUUGCUAACUUGAUUCAGACUAAUUUCAGCUUCGCAACGGGAGAGAAAGUCUCUUCGUAGUCAACUCCUUGAAUUUGUCGAAAACCCUUUGCGACAAGUCGAGCUUUGUAAACGGUUACAUUACCGUUUGCAUCAGUCUUCUUCUUGAAGAUCCAUUUAUUUUCUAUGGCUCGCCGGUCAUCGGGCAAGUCCACCAAAGUCCAUACUUUGUUCUCAUACAUGGAUCCUAUCUCGGAUUUCAUAGCUUCAAGCCAUUUGUUGGAAUCCGGGCCCGCCAUCGCUUCUUCAUAGUUCGAAGGUUCACCGUUGUCUAACAACAUGAUUUCCAUCACAGGGUUGCCGUACCACUCUGGUGCGGAGCGUGCCCUCGUGGACCUUCGCGGUUCAGUAGUGACUUGAUCCGAAGCUUCAUGAUCAUUAUCAUUAACUUCCUCUUCAGUUGGUGUAGGCGCCACAGGAACAACUUNNNNNNNNNNNNNNNNNNNNNNNNNNNNNNNNNNNNNNNNNNNNNNNNNNNNNNNNNNNNNNNNNNNNNNNNNNNNNNNNNNNNNNNNNNNNNNNNNNNNUGUUGGAAUUAUGCCCUAGAGGCAAUAAUAAAAGUAUAGUUAUUAUUAUAAUUCCUGUAUCAAGAUAAUAGUUUAUUAUCCAUGCUAUGAUUGUAUUGAAUGAAGACUCAUUUACAUGUGUGGAUACAUAGACAAAACACCGUCCCUAGCAUGCCUCUAGUUGGCUAGCCAGUUGAUCGAUGAUAGUCAGUGUCUUCUGAUUAUGAACAAGGUGUUGUUGCUUGAUAACUGGAUCACGUCAUUGGGAGAAUCACGUGAUGGACUAGACCCAAACUAAUAGACGUAGCAUGUUGAUCGUGUCAUUUUGUUGCUACUGUUUUCUGCGUGUCAAGUAUUUAUUCCUAUGACCAUGAGAUCAUAUAACUCACUGACACCGGAGGAAUGCUUUGUGUGUAUCAAACGUCGCAACGUAACUGGGUGACUAUAAAGAUGCUCUACAAGUAUCUCCGAAGGUGUUAGUUGAGUUAGUAUGGAUCAAGACUGGGAUUUGUCACUCCGUGUGACGGAGAGGUAUCUCGGGGCCCACUCGGUAAUACAACAUCACACACAAGCCUUGCAAGCAAUGUAACUUAGUGUAAGUUGCGGGAUCUUGUAUUACGGAACGAGUAAAGAGACUUGCCGGUAAACGAGGUUGAAAUAGGUAUACGGAUGCUGACGAUCGAAUCUCGGGCAAGUAACAUACCGAAGGACAAAGGGAAUGACAUACGGGAUUAUACGAAUCCUUGGCACUGAGGUUCAAACGAUAAGAUCUUCGUAGAAUAUGUAGGAUCCAAUAUGGGCAUCCAGGUCCCGCUGUUGGAUAUUGACCGAGGAGUCUCUCGGGUCAUGUCUACAUAGUUCUCGAACCCGCAGGGUCUGCACACUUAAGGUUCGACGUUAUUUUAUGCGUAUUUGAGUUAUAUGGUUGGUUACCGAAUGUUGUUCGGAGUCCCGGAUGAGAUCACGGACGUCACGAGGGUUUCCGGAAUAGUCCGGAAACGAAGAUUGAUAUAUAGGAUGACCUCAUUUGAUUACCGGAAGGUUUUCGGAGUUACCGGGAAUGUACCGGGAAUGACGAAUGGGUUCCGGGAGUUCACCGGAGGGGGGCAACCCACUCCGAGGAAGCCCAUAGGUAUUUGGGGGGGUCACACCAGCCCUUAGUGGGCUGGUGGGACAGCCCACCAAUCCCCUAUGCGCCAAGAGAGAAAAAAUCAAAGGAAAGAAAAAAAACGGAAAGAAGUGGGAAGGGGGAAGGACUCCCUCCCACCAAACCAAGUAGGACUCGGUUUGGGGGGGGAGAGUCCUCCCCCCUGGCUCGGCCGACCCCUUGGGGAUCCCUUGGACCCCAAGGCAAGGUCCCCCUCCCUCCUCCUAUAUAUAUGGGGCUUUUAGGGCAGAUUUGAGACGACUUUCUCACGGCUGCCCGACCACAUACCUCCAUAGUUUUUCCUCUAGAUCGUGUUUCUGCGGAGCUCGGGCGGAGCCCUGCUGAGACAAGAUCAUCACCAACCUCCGGAGCGCCGUCACGCUGCCGGAGAACUCUUCUACCUCUCCGUCUCUCUUGCUGGAUCAAAAAGGCCGAGAUCAUCGUCGAGUUGUACGUGUGCUGAACGCGGAGGUGCCGUCCGUUCGGUACUAGAUCGUGGGACUGAUCGCGGGAUUGUUCGCGGGGCGGAUCGAGGGACGUGAGGACGUUCCACUACAUAAACCGCGUUCUCUAACGCUUCUGCUCUACGAUCUACAAGGGUACGUAGAUCACUCAUCCCCUCUCGUAGAUGGACAUCACCAUGAUAGGUCUUCGUGCGCGUAGGAAANNNNNNNNNNNNNNNNNNNNNNNNNNNNNNNNNNNNNNNNNNNNNNNNNNNNNNNNNNNNNNNNNNNNNNNNNNNNNNNNNNNNNNNNNNNNNNNNNNNNUGAACGCGGAGGUGCCAUAGUUCGGCACUAGAUCGGAAUCACACGGCGAUCUGAAUCGCCGCGAGUACGACUCCAUCAACCGCGUUCUAGUAACGCUUCCGCUUAGCGAUCUUCAAAGGUAUGAAGAUGCACUCACCCCUCUCUCGUUGCUGGUCUCUCCAUAGGAAGAUCUGAAUAUGCGGAGGAAUUUUUUUGAAUUUAUUCUACGUUACCCAACGGUGGCAUCCGAGCCAGGUUUUCUAUGCGUAGAUUCUAUGCACGAGUAGAACACAAAAGGUUGUGGGCGAUGAUUUGUCAAUUGCUUGCCGCUGCUAGUCUUAUUCUUUUCCGGCGGUAUUGUGGGAUGAAACGGUCCAGACCGACCUUCUCGUAUGCUUACGUGAGACUGGUUCCACCGACAGACAUGCACACCGUGCAUAAAGGUGGCUAGCGGGUGUUUGUCUCUCCUACUCUAGUCGGAUUGGAUUUGAUGAAAAGGGUCCUUAUGAAGGGUAAAUAGCUUUGGCAUAUCAUCGUUGUGGCUGUCACGUAGGUAAGAAAGCAUUCUUGCUAGAAACCCAAAUCAGCCACGUAAAACUUGCAACAACAAUUAGAGGACGUCUUACUUGUUUUUGCAGGGUUUGACAUGUGAUGUGGUAUGGCCAAAGUUGUGNNNNNNNNNNNNNNNNNNNNNNNNNNNNNNNNNNNNNNNNNNNNNNNNNNNNNNNNNNNNNNNNNNNNNNNNNNNNNNNNNNNNNNNNNNNNNNNNNNNNNNNNNNNNNNNNNNNNNNNNNNNNNNNNNNNNNNNNNNNNNNNNNNNNNNNNNNNNNNNNNNNNNNNNNNNNNNNNNNNNNNNNNNNNNNNNNNNNNNNNNNNNNNNNNNNNNNNNNNNNNNNNNNNNNNNNNNNNNNNNNNNNNNNNNNNNNNNNNNNNNNNNNNNNNNNNNNNNNNNNNNNNNNNNNNNUAGUAGUAGUGAUAGUGGUAGUUGGCGUGACGACUUCACGGAGACACGUUGAUGGAGAUCAUGGUGUCACACCGGUGACGAUGAUGAUCAUGCGAUGCCUGAAGAUGGAGAUCAAAAGAGCAAAGAUGAUAAUGGCCANNNNNNNNNNNNNNNNNNNNNNNNNNNNNNNNNNNNNNNNNNNNNNNNNNNNNNNNNNNNNNNNNNNNNNNNNNNNNNNNNNNNNNNNNNNNNNNNNNNNAGGACCGAACGKAUUWCUAAUAUAUAUAUAUAUAUAUAUAUAUAUAUAUAUAUAUAUAUAUAUAAUUUUGAAAACAAAAAUUAUGGUUUAAGAAAUAUGGUUGAUUUAAACUAGCAUGUCUUGAAUCAAAGUAUGUUUGUUGUGUGGCAGUGUGGAGAGGCGAAAGUCAAUAUAUUUAAUUCAGUUAUGCAUGCACUUCUAUGGGACCUACUUAUACGUUGUGACGGAGAAUAUAAAAAAUGGACUGCUAUCAAUACCGGGUUAUACAUAUGAAUGAACCCUAUUUAAACAUAAAUUAUAAAACAUGUGAAUGAUGAAUGUUAUGUCGGUACAUUCCUGAACCGGUAAAAAAGUGUUUUGCGGGAGCGCCGCUCGCCGACCGACGAUUGGGGUCGCUAGCAGUCAACCUGACUUGUGGGCCCGGCUUGCCAGAAAAACGAUUAAACAAGUUAAAACGGACAGUUACAAAUCUUGGUAGUUUUGAGCAACGGAUUAACAAAUUUUUGGUAGUUUUUCGCUAAUAAUCGUAAAGUGGUAGCCACUGGACACAUUUGCGCGAAAUGUGGUAGUUUUUGGCAAUUUACUCAAGGAAAAAUGGUACUUGACAUUAGAAAAGAUUUUAGAAAAGAACAAUACGGUCUAGUGCUAUGCUUACGAUUGGGUCUUGUGCAUCACAUCAUUCUCCUAAUGAUGUGAUCCCGUUAUCAAUGACAUACAAUAUCCACGAUCAGGAAACCAUGAUCAUCUAUUGAUCAAUGAGCUAGCCAACUAGAGGCUAAUCAGGGACACAUUGUGAUAUAUAUAUUCACACAUGUAUUACGGUUUCCGAUUAAUACAAUUAUAGCAUGAAUAAUAGACAAUUAUCGUAAACAAGGAAAUAUAUCAAUAACCACUUUAUUAUAACCAUGAUGGCGACAGCGAAGGCCUACCUAGUCAGUGAUGAUGGCUACCAGCAUGGGUCGAUGGCGGGCAAGGGCAUGCUCAUCGUGCAGGAGACCGUCUUGCUUAGUGCUUCAGGAGUAAGGAGAUUGGAGAGAUGGGGAUAAGGUACGGGACUAGACGUGACUGUUGUAAGGAAUGCGAUGAUGAGGUCAACAUGGAACGUGUGGCAAGAAACCGAGGGGGCGGAUCCAAACAUGGUUAGCCGUUCGUUGUUGUAUGACGUUUCCCUUAUAGAAUGGGUUGGCAAAUAAGAAUGUUGUUUUAAAAAAUGAAAUUUUUAGCCGUUGUGAGAAACACACACUUUGGGGUAUCAUUUCUUGGUCGUAUCCCUUUUGAGAGCUUCAUUUUUGGAGUAGAGACCAGCCAAAGGGACCAGGAUGGGUUUGACAGUGUUGUUGGUUUGGUCAAAUUUUAUCCGAGUCGCUACCAAAAGAAGAGCGAGGAUGUCUUGGUCUAUGCAUAUAUGUACAGGCGUUAAGGCUGUCAUGUAGACAAAAAAAUUUGACGUGGCAAGGUAAUUAAGAGCAGAGAGAUGAGUGUGAUAAUCCUAGAAAGAAACAACGUCAAACGCGUGAACCUAGGCAAAACACUUAAAAAGAAAAACACCAAUGCAUGAAAAUCUUUAGUCGCUAAAUCAUUAUAUGAAGGGGGUUUAGCAACAACAAGAUAAGCACCUAUGCAUUGGGGGCUUUACUUGCUAAGUCAUUUAAUGUGCUUAGCACUUUAUUUUAGCAUCGAUGCAUUGAAAGUAGCGAUAAAGCCCUCAAACCUAUCCAUGGGGUACUACACCGGCACAAAAAUUUCUGUAGUAGGGACCAGCUGAGGAACAAAUUUGAGUUUGACAAUGUUCUGUAGGGUUCAAUGACUUUGUUUCGUCCAUGUUCUUGUACAAGUUCAAGACCCUCCCAUGGCUAUCGUUUUGUUGUGGCAAGCUUCCUGUUUUUGAUGUUAUGUCUGUUCAUCUUUGCUCAAUAAAGCGCAAGAAGCCUUUCAAAUUGCACGGAGCUCCCAGUCAAGGUUCGUGUUUGGCACUCGUUGAUUAUAGUGCUUCUGUGUGCGUCGUGGGUUUGGUACACACGUCGGUGCAGUGCGAUAGGUUGAUUGUAAAGGCUUCGCACUGUGUUCCAUUGACGAUACCCCACAACUAAUUGUGUUUUGGUGAUGAUGGUCCUUUUAGUCUCCUAGGUAGGUCUCGCUGUAUGUUGGCAUUUUGUUCUUCUUAUCUUCUUCUAAUCUUGUUACGUGUACGGUUUUUGAAUCAGUUUUCAUUAUAAACGGGUCAACAUGUUCAGGUUUUUGACCUAACUUCCUUAUAAACUGAAUCAUUCUCUUGGUAAAAUGGCCACUUUGUGUACUAUAAUCAGGUGGAGUGAUUCCUUCCCGGUGAUUCUCAAAAAAGAAAAUUUAUGUGUGUUGAACUUGUUCUGUAAUACGAACUACAAAGACAUUUUAUAUUUAGUUACAGAGAUGAUAAAUCCUCACUCCAUUAGCACACCAUUAGCUCCUUCACUAAAGUGAUGAUCCACACAUCAAGAUUGUUCAACGGGACUGAUAUAAACUAACACUUUUGAUGUUUCUCCUUUAAGUGUAGAAAAGAAAGUAUUAUUUAAAUUUUGAUCCGCACGUCAAGAUUGUUGAACGGGAAUGACAUAAAUAUAUUGAGAGUGCCUGAAUUUCGGUACCUAAAUAGGGAAAUACACGGUUUUUUGUGCUUAAAAUUAAUUCCUUAUCGUGCAAAUACAUACAUUUCCAUAUAUACACAUAUACAGGUGGGCGCUCCACAUAACACAUAUUUUUUCAGGUUUGUUGCAUAAGACAUCAUCACUUAGUGUAAUCGGGUGCAACUAAGAUUAAUCCAUCAUAUGAUUCUGUUCACAUGAUUUUUAAUCCACCAUAUGAUUCUGUUCACAUCAUCAUUGGAAGCAGCUCACUGCUCACAUGCAUGGGCCUUGGAGAAGGGCUGGCCCGGCCGGCGAGCACAUGCCGCCGGUUUCGCGCGAAAACUGGGAGCGCCGCUCGCCGACCGACGGACGGUUACAAGUGAAACCGGCGGCACCUCCUGCUAUGUUUCGUUUUCUUUAUCUGAUCUUACUACAAAAGGCACCUCCUGCUCUGUUUCGUUUUCUUUAUCGUUUUAUACAAAAGAACAAAUGCCUUUCGGGUAGCAAUUAUCAUGCGAUCAGCACUACUGUGCCCAACUUUAGAACGAUCGAGAUCUCGAUUUUCUUGCUAAUAACUUUCGGGGGAGGAGUGGAGUGGAGGACGAUUCCCUCCAACGAACAAACAUCAUCCAAUCCUGUGGAUCACCCGCGCCCACAAGCUCUCGGAAAGCGUGCGGUGCUCUGCCCCGCCCACCAACUCGCAUUUCAGCACUCCAAGUCCAAGCGAGUGAGCACUGCAGAGAACCCACGGUUUGCGCCCAAAACCAUGCGUGGCCGCCACCUUUUCGCUCCCUAUAAAUACAGGGCAACCUUGGAAUCAAUCAAGCAACAGCCGGCCCAUCUCGUCUCUCUCGAUCACACCUCCCAUACCUACUUGGCCAGUGAGCAGUAGCCCCGUUUCCGUCGAGGAUCAAGCGCGAAGAAGAUGUCGUCGGUCACCCGUGCCCACCUCGACCACAAGCUCGCCCUCGCCAAGCGCUGCUCCAGAGGUCGGUCGGUGAUUAACCAAGCGUGUACCGGAGCAUCCAUCUUGAUACAAGCGACCUCAUUUUUGUUGUUGUUGUUUGGCAGAGGCGACGCUUGCCGGAGCCAAGGCGGCAGCCGUCGCCACCGUCGCGUCUGCAGUUCCGACGGUACGUACGUACGUGGUGGAGCAGUGCUCCUUUACUACUGUUGUUUAGUCUCUGCUAACUGAUCGGCAUGUGUGGUGCAGCUGGCCAGCGUGCGGAUGCUGCCGUGGGCCAAGGCCAACCUCAACCCCACCGGCCAGGCGCUCAUUGUCUGCACCGUCGCCGGGAUGGCAUACUUUGUCGCCGCCGACAAGACCAUCCUCUCGCUGGCGAGGCGGCACUCGUACGAGAGCGCCCCCGACCACCUCAAGGACACCUCCUUCCAUGGCGACGCCGCAGCUCGUCCCCGUCCACCGGCAUUCUUCAGGCCUUGAGUAGAGAGUUAUAGUUAGCUGCUACCGCGCCGUUCGUCGAUGUCCCAAGAAACUGCUGCUUACUUAAUUAUCAUCGCCAUCGUCAUGCUUGCUUACAAUCUUGGAUAUAGUGGUGCCUCAUGCUGUAGCCCAGUGUAACUCGCAUGUAUAGUAUGCUAUAUGCGGGUGUUACAGUUAAUUAACGACAAUCAUUUUCUCCCUGUUUUAUUACUGCAUGCAAUUUGAAUCUUCUGAAUCGCCGAUGAACACUGCAUCCCCAAAAUGAGGACUGGAAGACGUCUCACUUGUCUGAAUUUCAGGUGCAAAUGUGCUAUAAUUAAAGACUGAAAAAUACAUUGGAAAGAUGGUGAAGCAGCUCACAUGCAUGGAGAAGGGCACAUGCCGCCGGGGAGCACAUGCUGCGGGUGUGGCCGGAAAACUGGGAGCGCCGCUGAAUAAGUAAAUUUAGAGCAUCUACAGCCAACCUGACGCCUCGUAUCGAUCUCAAAUGCCUGAGCAGACCGUUCGGUCACUACUCGGUCACGAAAAUACGAUUUAGAUGGAUCUUUUAAAACCGUCUUAUAUACCCGGGCUUACCGACAUCCUUCAUAUCCUCACGCAGAAAAAAUAUAGACUCGUUAUCAACAUUGAGCACCACUUGUUUCGGAUCUUGAUUCAUGAGAUCACCGUGUAGCCUUCCUAGCCACAUACCUUGACACUCUGCUUCACUUGAAGUCGAUCUCACCACUUUUUGCUUUCGUGAUAGCCAGCUUACUAUGCAUCCAUCAACGGAAUAUGCCACGUCCGAGGUACUCUUACCGUCGUCAACAAUUCCUUCCUUGUCAUUAUCACUGUAACCGAGUAGUUUCACCAUCUCCUUCUUGCUCAGCUCAAGACGAGGUUCCAUUGAAGCAUCAAUUGGAUUGCAACCAUUCAUGCCAAAAUUUUCAAGUACCUUCCUUGUGUAUGCCUCCUGGCAUAAUGUGAUCUCUUCUGGCUUAUGAUGUACCUCUGGUCUGAGGUAGCAACUCAAAAGACCUAGACCGUCCAUUUUGAAAAGCUCCUUCAUUUGUAGCUUGAACUUUGCAAUCACCUCUUCAUCUGCUCCAGUAAUCAAUAGAUCAUCAUCGUAUAUAGUUUCCAACUAGUAGACGAUCACUUCCUUCACCUCUCUUGUACAUUGUAUGCUCGAGUGGGGCUUUCUCAAAUCCAAGAGAAAUCAAAGUCCGAUCAAGUUUGAUGUUCCACGCCCGAAGUGUGAAAAGCGUAGGUUAAGCGUAUGCAAUGGCUGCAGGGACGCGUUCAUGUUAUAUGGGGGCCCAACGCCAGAGAUACACAAGUUGGUUAGGUCUAGGAUUGAUCUCCAAGUAAUCUAACAACCAUGAGAUCUUAUCUCUAGACCUACCGGUUUACAAAGAGUUGGACACGGUUUAUACACCACCGUAUCCUAACUAUACAAUGUUUAACACUCCCCCUCAAUCACAACUAUCUAAGUUGAGAUUGUGUCGAAAUGCUUCUAACUGCCUAAGAGUAAGCGGUUUAGUAAAGCCAUCAGCAACUUGAUCACCUGUAGGUAUAAACCUAACAUUCAGCAGCUUGUCGGCAACACGUUCUCGAACAAAGUGAUAGUCAAUCUCAAUAUGCUUAGUCCUGGCAUGAAAAACUGGAUUAGCAGCUAAGUAUGUAGCACCAAGAUUAUCACAGGGAGGCUGCCUUUGGAUGACGUAUCCCAAGUUCAUUCAACAUGUUCUGAACCCAAAUAACUUCGGCAGUGGCAUUGGCUAGAGCUUUAUAUUCUGCUUCGGUGCUCGACCUAGAGACCGUGGGUUGUUUACGAGCACUCCAUGAUACUAGAUUUCCUCCAAGAAAUACUGCAAAGCCUCCUGUAGACCUUCUAUCAUCUGGGCAUCCUGCCCAAUCUGCAUCAGAAAAAGCACUUACAAGCAUUGAAUCUGACUUACUGAUCUUGAGUCCAUGACUCCUUGUCCCUUGGAAAUACCUCAGUAUCCUCUUUACCGCUGUCCAGUGUGUAGUACUAGGAGCAUGCAAGAACUGACAUACCUUAUUUACUGAAUAACAGAUAUCUGGUCUAGUUAACGUCAAAUACUACAAUGCUCCUACAAUACUUCUAUAUUUGGUGGAGUCUUCUGCUCCAAGUACUUCCCCAUCAUGGACAGAUAAUUUUUCAGAUGUAGAUAAAGGUGUAGAAGAAGGUUUGCACCCUUUCAUACCUAUUCUCUGGAGUAUUUCCUGCACAUACUUUCCUUGUGACAUCAUGAUCCCACUGGGUACCUUUUUAACCUCAAUGCCAAGGAAGAAGUGUAGAUCACCUAGGUCUUUGAGAGAAAAAUCUUUUCUCAAGUCCUUAAGAAGAGCUUCAACUGCUUGACUUGAUGAGCUAGUAACAACUAUAUCAUCAACAUAGAUCAGCAUAAAAAUAGUUACUCCAUGCUUAUGAUAAACGAAGAGUGAUGUAUCCCCCUUGGAUGGAACAAACCCUAGGGAUUGCAACUUGAAGGACAAACGAGAAUACCAGGCUCUAGGUGCUUGUUUCAGACCAUACAAUGCUUUAUCAAGUUUGCAAACAUAGUGAGGUGAGUGAGGAUGCUCAUACCCUGGAGGUUGCCGCAUAAAUACUUCCUCUUCUAGAACGCCAUGCAAGAACGCAUUCUUCACAUCUAGCUGUCGCAUGCACCAAUUACGAGAUACAGCUAUUGACAGAAUUAACCUGAUAGUGACAGCCUUGACAACAGGGCUAAACGUAUCCUCGUAAUCCAAGCCAUAGUGUUGCUUAAAACCCUUAGCAACAAGACAUGCCUUAUACCUGUCUAUAGUGCCAUCAGAUUUUCUUUUUACUUUAUAAACCCAUUUACAGUCAAUGAUAUUCUGGCCUGUAGCAGGAGGAACAAGACGCCAUGUCUGGUUCUUGAUGAGAGCAGCAAAUUCCUCAUCCAUAGCAGCUUUCCAUCGGGUAUCACCAAGAGCUUCAACAAGGCUUUGUGGUUCACCUGUGGAACAGAACGAGCCCCAGCGUACACAGCCAUCAGUAUAUACCUUCGGUUUGAGAAUACCUCCCUGGGCACGUGUGUGCGCUCGAGCAGGCGGAGGAGGUGUAGGACGAGCAAGCUGUUGCGGAAGGCGCGGUACUGUAGCCGAGACAGGGGAUUCGUCGAAGGAGUCGUGUAGCGAACGUGAAACACCCGAGCCGGCAGUAUCGUCGGCUGCAUGCGUGUCGGACGACCCGACAGGCAUGGCGGAGUGUGCAGCAGACAGGAGGCGAUCCCGAGGCGCACAUGCAGAGGCUGCUAGCGACGCGGGAGCGGCCGAGCCACGUGGGGGCGUAGGCGACGCGGAAACCGUCGCUGGAGCGCCUGAGCCACGCGGGGGCGGGGGCGACGCAGAAACCGACGCGACACCGCCGAAUCAUGCGCCGCGUUCGGCCGACCGGGAGGGGGCCCGCCUGGCCCUGCCGAAAAACGACCGACUGCCACGGGUGGUGACCCCCGACCGUGGGAGGAUCUACUGGCAGCGUCAGCGCCAGGAGUUGCGGUCCCCGAGGCCGGAAUGGAAUCAGGCGCAGGCUGGCCCGGAUCUGGAACUGAUUCCGAGGCGGGAUCUUCUGCGGAGGCACCGGGAUCUGCUGAGAGCAUAAAAUCACGCCCUGUUGCGCUGUUUCCUGCAAAAUCUUCCUGCACACUAGAAUCUGACGGAUCAUCAGGGUUAGUAGUAUGAGACAUUGUCAUGUGGUCAUCAGCAGUAUCUACCCCCCUAGCAAGGAAUUGUGGUGAUGGGAGGAGGUGGGAGGGAAGUAAAACAAGCUCUUUACGAAGUUGUGCACCAGCAUUAGGAUGGAGUGUAGCAAAAGGGAAAACUUGCUCAUCAAAUACUACGUCACGAGAGAUGUAGACUCGACCAGAAGUAACAUCAAGGCACUUAUACCCUUUGUGCAUUGUGCUGUACCCUAGGAAGACACAUUGUUUGGAGAGAAACUCAAGCUUGUGUUUGUUGAAGGGACGUAAGUACAGCACACCCAAAAAUGCGUCAAAAGGUGUAGUUGGGUUUUGUAUGAAAAAUACGCUCAAGAGGGAUUGAUUAUGGAUGAUCCUACUAGGUGUGCGAUUAAUAAGGUAGACAGCGGUAAGAAAAGCUUCAUCCCAAAACUUGAGGGGCAUAAAAGCAUGGGCAAGGAGGGAUAACCCAACUUCUACAAUGUGGCGAUGUUUUCUUUCAGUAGAGCCGUUCUGUUGAUGAGCAUGGGGCUGGAGACAUGGUGGGUGAUGCCAAUAUUUUCAAAAAACACAUUGAGUUUUUGGUAUUCACCACCCCAAUCUGUUUGCAUAGCAAGAAUCUUUCGAUCAAAGAGACGCUCAACGUGUUGCUGGAAAACAUGAAACUUGGCAAACACAUCAGAUUUAUGCUUGAGUAAAUAAAUCCAGAUAAACUCGCUGAAAUCAUCAAUGAAGCUAACAUAGUACUUUUGCUUUCCUACAGAAAGGGGUCCAGGCCCCCACACAUCAGAAAAAACAAGCUCUAAAGGAGCUUUGGACUCACUAGUGGAACGAGUAUAAGGGAGUUGGUGGCCAUUUGACAUGAAUCACAAACUAACAAGUGAUCCUUUUUAUUGGACACAGGAAGACAAAAAUCUCUAAGAAUUUUAUGGACAACCGGCAAAGCUGGAUGCCCUAGACUCUUAUGCCAUCUUGAAGUGGAGGGUUUGGUCACACCAAGUGCUUGUCGAUGUGGAGGAUCAUGGCGACCAGAAAUUGGAAACAGACAUUUUUUUACUCUUGCUUUGAAGGAUUGUUCUCCGAGUGUCCCGAUCCUUGACAAAAACAAUUUCAGGGUAAACUUCAAGAAAGGCAUAAUUAUCAUUGAUAAGUUUGUGAGCAGAGAGAAGACUUUUGUCAGCUAGAGGUGCAUGAGGAUAUUGUUUAAGUGCAGGGAACCAUGGGGAGUAGACAAAACAGAGUGACCAAUAUGAGCAAUGUCCAUACCUUGACCACUUGCAGUGUAGAUUUGAUCUGUCCCGGUGUAGCGAUCCCGAACAGCUAGCUUCUCAAGCUCACCGAUGACAUGAUCUGUCGCGCUAGUGUCCAGAUACCAGUUGGUAUCCACUCCAUAGGACCCCGAAGUUUUGGCAGCAUUGGCAGAUUUGUUUCCACCCCCACCUCCACUGCCAGCCGGGUUACCCACAUUGUUGUUGAAGUUGCGAUCGAAGCGCUUUUUACAGCGCCACGCACCGUGCCCGCUCUCUUUGCAGAUCUGGCAAUUCUCCCGAUUGUUGUUGUCGCGGUCACCACCACGGUCGCCACGCCCGCCACCAUUGCCCGAGUUGUCGAAGAAGCGCACACCCGUGUUGUUGUUGUUGAAGCCACGGGGACCACCAUUGCCGUUCCCAGAACGACCGUAGCCACCCCGGCCACCUCCCUUAGCAGCCAUAUUGGCCGUGUAGGAGGCUGUCUGGGUAGUGAUCCGUCCCUCUACAGCAAGCAGGAGGGAGUACAGCUCUCCAAGACCGAUCGGUUGAUCAGUGAUGGUGCGGGUUGAGAUAGCAGAAACGAACCCGUUGUACUCGGGUUCAUGCAUCAGCCCUUGGAGGAUGUGCGACACCACGUCGUCCUCAUCAAGGUGUUUUCCAGCAGCAGCAAGUUCAUCAGCGAGCCCCUUCAUCCUGGUGAAGUAGGCGGCGGCGGAGAGAUCACCUUUGCGAGUGGAGGCGAUCUGUGAGCGGAGUUGGAUGAUGCGCGCCCUCGACUGCGAUGAGAAGCUCUGAAGAAGCUCCUUCCACGCCUCGGCAGUAGUCUCGCAGUUACUGACCUGCAUCAGUACGUCGCGAGAGAGGGAUGCCAGCAGAAAAGUCAGUACCUGCUGGUCCUGGGUCACCUAAACGGCAUGUUCGGGGUUGGAAGUAGCGACGAUCUCCUUCUUGCCGGCAACUUCUUUUUCCAGAAGGAGCUCGGCGCUGGGUUCCUUGUUUGAUCCAUCAAGGAACCCCAUCAUACCGGCGGCACGGACGUGCGGCAGGACUUGGGCUCUCCAUACAAGAAAGUUCUCUCUUGUUAGAUUCUCUGUGAUGGUGUGGCCGAGAGAGGCGAUGGAGGGAGAGGCCAUGGUGAUCGCAGAGGAGGAGGUGGACAUGGCGGCGGCUAGAUGUAUUGGAAGAGACUAGCUCUGAUACCAUAUGAAACGCGUAGGUUAAGCGUAUGCAAUGGCUGCAGGGACGCGUUCAUGUUAUAUGGGGGCACAACGCCAGAGAUACACAAGUUGGUUAGGUCUAGGAUUGAUCUCCAAGUAAUCUAACAACCAUGGGAUCUUAUCUCUAGACCUACCGGUUUACAAAGAGUUGGACACGGUUUAUACACCACUGUAUCCUAACUAUACAAUGUUUAACACGAAGGUCUUGCCGUCGCCCAUACAAAACUUUGUGCGCCUUCAAUACCUUGUGUUCUUCUCCCUCUUUGAUGAAGCUUGGUGCUAGAUUCACAUACACAUCUCCUUCCAUCUCACCGUGCAAAAACGUAGAUUUUACAUCCAUAUGAUGUAUCUUUCAUGAUUCUUGAGCCGCGAGAGCGAUGAGUAAUCUCAUCGAUUCCAUCCGCGCAAUGGGAACGAACACUUCUUUGAAGCCCACACCUUCAUCUUGCAUGUCCUCUUUGACCACUAGCUUCGCCUUGUGCUUCACACAAGUUUCUUGAGCUUCUUUCUUGAUCGUAAAUACCAACUUGAGCUGCAUGGUUUUUUCAUUGUUGGGAAGAUCCACAAGCUCCCAUGCAUUGUUGUCGUGUGGAUGUGGAUCGAUCCCAACUCUUCCCUCAUAGCAUGACGCCAACACUCCUUUGUAUUUGCGUCUUCAAAAUCUGUCGGUUUCUCGGUAAUUGCUAGACACCUUCGCUGCUCCCUUUCAUUUUCAGCGGGUCAACUGUCUGAACAGUUUUCUCUAGAUAGAGAUGUAGCUCCGGUUGAAGCAACACGGAUGUAGAUGGCAGUGUCCUUUCUUCCAUUUCCACAGGAACUGCAUUACCUCGCCGUUCCUAUCUCUUCUUGUUGCAGUGUGCGUGCAUGGCAAAACUGCACACACCAUCUCUCCUACACCUCCACUGAACGAGCCACCUUCCAGUGGCAGCUCGCCAUGUCCAGCUAGUUUCCUGGUGCAUACUUAUCACCAUCACAUGGGGAGCGCCCAACAGUUGUUGUUGCCUCUUUGCAUGUGUCACACGCUGCUUGUGAGCUGGCCUGGCCACCAGGCCGUGUGUCCACUUCUGAGCAACUCGGUUGGCUGGGUAGGCCAUCUCCUUUCGGCCCGCCCGCUCCAACGGUGUAACAGCUGCCUCCAGAACUUCCCGAUCGAGCGCUCGUAGAACUCGCUUCAUCAGAACAAGCUCCGUCACCACCUAGCUUGCAUGUUCUGCUCAGCGACACAUCGCAUGUACGCUUUGCCUCUUCGUGGACUUUUGACAUCACGUCUUCGUCUAUUACUAGACAACGUAACAUGGCUUGUGCACACGUGCUUACUUUUGCAUCAGCAUACUUUGAUUCGUGGUUUUCAGGCGUCACGUAUGCCCAAGUAACGUCCGUGACCAUCGCAUCGACACAAAGUUCAGAAUUAUGUCUCACGUCAGUAGCUUCGACACAAGUUUUGAAAUCACCCCUCAUGUCUGUAACAAGGCCGCUUCUCCACGGCCGAACACAUGCAAUGAGCGAUUCCUUCGCUCCAACAAAGUUGGCACUUACACCCAUAGCAUUGAUGUAAGUUUCGGAAUCACCUCCCGCAUCCGUAGCAUCGAUAUGGGUUUCCGAACCAUGAUCUUGAGAGCAAACUCUUCCUUCACGCAGUGCGGCAAUUUAUUUAGCCGACACUUGAAGAACUGGAUCCUCCUCGUCCACGAGUUCACACAUCAACAUCAUGUCACCUUCAUCUCCUUGAUGGACCAUGAGCGCCUUCUCCUUUGGGGGAUUCUUGCACUCCGACUUGAAGUGCCCAAUGAUGCCUUAAUUGUGACACUUAUCUUGCGCUUGUCGAACUUCUUCUUCUCCUUCGGAGCGCCAUCGCUAGCGUCCUUUUGAUUUUUUUUCGUUUGGCACACGAUCUUGGCGAGCGUAACUGCUAGAGCCCUCACCUUCUCUCCUUGAGUCUAGCGCCUGCCACUGAGCCCGCGCGAGCAUGAUAAGCUCAUCGUUCCUCCCGUCCCCGAGAGUGUACCUCAAACGCUCGUCGUGAGCCUUAUAGCGUCCGACAAGAUCAUCAAUACAGAGGGUCGCAAGAUCGAUGCACUGCUCGAUUGCCGUGACAAUUUGCAGGUACCGGGGAUGAGCCGCGCGCAAGAACCGACGGACAACCGAGGCCUCCGUGAGGUUUUCUCCAAAUGCGCGGAUCCGAUUGACGAGAGUUGCAACCCGUGAAGCGAACGCGUCCACGGACUCAUUGUCGCCCAUGACCAAAGUCUCAUAGUUCCGUAAGAGAGUUUGGAGAUUGGCUUGCUUGACGGGGUCGUGUCCCUCAAACAUGAGCUUCAAGGUAUCCAAAGCCUCAUUCGUCGUUUCUUUGACGAUCACGUGUUGAAGGACAUCCAUCGGCAUCACCGAAUAAAUCAUCGACGCCGCCUACCGAUCCUUCCGAUGCUCAGCUCCCUCCUUCUUGAAAGCGUCGCCUCCUGGAUCGAUUGCGUCCCACAACACGUUGGCGCGGAGACGACACUCCAUGAGAGCCUUCCAGAAUCCGAAGUUCUCGCGAUCAAAUCGUGGGUACGACAAACUCGCCGGAGCAGCAAAUACUUUAGCCGCACCGAUGUACUCCGCCAGCUGCUUGGCCUUGUCAUCCUCCGACAUGAUCUUCCGUUACUAGAAUAUCAACCUUGCUCUAGAUAUUAAUUGUUGGCCCAGACCUAACGCCGAGUACUUUCCGGCGACGGUAACGACGGACGAAGACGAAGCCGAACAAAGCUCCUUGACGAACUCGACGAAGUUCCUUUGCGUCGAGCUGUAACCGCUAGCCGGAUUAUCGGUUUCUGGAGGAGACGCGCACGUACGCGUAACCUAAGCAGGCAGGCUAGCAGGUGGAUGGUUUCUCAUGCACACGUUCGUAGCAAUUUGGUUGCUGCCUUGAUCGAUCGGAACUAGCAUCGCCGAGACACACACGCGAGAACACGAGGAUAUGAUGGCUACGGGAGCGUGUCGCUCCCGACUUUCUUCUUUGUAUUGAUCUGAUUUCAAUCUGAUGUUACAAAUUCCUAUAUGGUGACAUAGAUAUAUAUAUUAGCUAGCUACAGCCAAUACAAUUCCUAUAUGGUGACCGUGUCCUAGUCCGACCCGGCUAGGGAAUCACAAGACGUAAUUAACUCCAACACCCGAGCACGUCUGUCUGAUAGGCCUGGCCCACCAUCGAUCCCAUCAAUGUCCCAAAAAAUAACCACUCUCGACGCCUCGUUCCGAACCCUAGCUCUUUCUCUCUUCCUCCAUCUCGUGUUCUCCCGCUUCGAGCCCGCUCCAUCGAGUAGAAUGUCGAGUACCGACAGCCGCUCCGAUGACUCCGACGUCAACCCCGACGAGCUGGCCCUUCGCAUCGCCUUGGAGUGGUCCAAGGUGCAGACCGGCGGCAACUUAGGAUCUGGAGCUAUGCCGCCACUCCCGAGACGGUGGAGCGCGGAUGCCGGAGCUGGACCCUACCGUCCCGCGCGCAACUUCGACUGCAAGGCUGCAUAGUCCGCAUAGGCCUCACGUCGUGUCCUCCCCUCGCCAGGUGCUGCUCCAGGCGGGCAGCGCUGGGUCCUAGUGUCCACGCCGCCGGGCAGCGCCCGCAUGCGUACUCCAAAAUCGGAGGCACGUGCCGCCCGCCAUGAGAGGCGGCGGGCACUAGGAUGAGGGGAAGCACAACAGUCUGCGCGGCGGCACCGCAGGAUGCCAGCAGAGCCCGAUGAGAACGAAUGUCUCCUCGCAAGGGUGUACCUCCGGUCCCUCACGACGGCGGAGACGGACGCUCGGUGCUACCGACGGAAGAAUGUGAAGUUGUUCCGGCUUGCUAUUGAGAAAUUGGUGUGCGAGGCGAAGGAGACAGCGAAGGAGAAGGCCCGACUGGCACGAUUGAAGUGCGAGAAAGACAUGGCGGUCUUGCGGAUAAAGGGGCUCAUCGUCCUCUUCGAAAAUGACUCGGACGACAGCGACAACGGCAUCUUCUCCUCUGACGACCAAGAUCCUCCGCCAACCGCGGACGGCUACAGUUGCCUCGGCGAUCCAAAGGGCAAAAGUACGGCGAGGAAGUGGUGAUAUGCCCCCUCCCCCCUACGCAUUCUUAAUAUAGUUUUUUAGUGAUGAUAAACUAUGUCCUGCGAACUCGAUGAUCUUUUGAGUGAUGAUGGAUUUCCGUUUGCCGCAAAUCUUGUGUUCGUUUCCUUCCGAUUUUAUUUUCCGAUCACGUAGAUUAUUUCGACAUGCAUAUGUAGUAUGAAUAUAGGACGCCGGAAUGAGACAUGUGGAUGUGUUUUUGGAAAAGGAGGUUCAAACCCCCGGCCUCUCCAUCAAUCGAUGCAUAUGUCCAUCUUUAUUAAUUAUUCAACAUAGGUCUAACAAGAACAUACAGAAAACCAUCUGAAGCCAUCACUCACACCUACGAAACUCGAUAAUGUGGAGUGCUCUCAUUCCUCAUAUCUAAAACCGGUGCCGUCACUGAUACACCCACAUAACGUAUCGGAACCCACAGCCGGUGCAGCAGACAUAAAGCGUACACCACAUGCACACGUUUUAGAUGCCGCCAUCAUCAUCAGGCCGCUGACCCGUCUUCAAGAGAGAGAUCUGUAUCAUCCUUGCCAGUCCGUCCAUCCGUCGACGCAACCACGGCUCGUCAGUCCAGACGUGUAGAUUUCGGAAGAUCUGUCGUGUGUAGCACCUGUUGACCAGGCAUGGCACAGCGUAGCACCUAUUGGUCAGGCAUGACUUGACAUCUCCACCGAAAGCUCCGUGCAAGAUGAUCGACGCCACCACGGCGCCAAACAGCGCCACCUCCCUGCGCUCAUUCGUCCAGACACGAAGAUUGUCGAAGAGCUGUCAUGCAUAGCACCUACCAACCAGGCAUGACUCAGCGUAGCACCUGUCGGCCACGCAUGACUUGACAGUUCCACCAAAUCUUCGGGCCAGACGAAGCCGCUCCAUAUCCUACCUCUGUCAUCCAGCGCUGCUCCACAAACGAUGCUCCCAAGAGAGAUAAGGCACCGCAGUACCGCCAUCGUCCGAUCUGGAAAGUCGGAUCUUAGGGUUUCCCCCGAAGUAGUGUUGGAAUUAUGCCCUAGAGGCAAUGAUAAAUAAGUUAUUAUUAUAAUUCUUGUAUCAAGAUAAUCGUUUAUUAUCCAUGCUAUAAUUGUAUUGAAUGAAGACUUAGAUACAUGUGUGGAUACAUAGACAAAACACUGUCCCUAGCAAGCCUCUAGUUGGCUAGCCAGUUGAUCAAGGAUAGUCAGGGUCUUCUGACUAUGUACAAGGUGUUGUUGCUUGAUAACUGGAUCACGUCAUUGGAAGAAUCAUGUGAUGGACUAGACCCAAACUAAUAGACGUAGCAUGUUGAUCGUGUCAUUUUGUUGCUACUGUAUUCUGCGUGUCAAGUAUUUAUUCCUAUGACCAUGAGAUCAUAUAACUCACUGACAGUGGAGGAAUGCUUUUUGUGUAUCAAACAUCGCAACGUAACUGGAUGACUAUAAAGAUGCUCUACAGGUAUCUCCGAAGGUGUUCGUUGAGUUAGUAUGGAUCGAGACUAGGAUUUGUCACUCCGUGUGACGUAGAGGUGUCUCGGGGCCCACUCGGUAAUACAACAUCACACACAAGCCUUGCAAGCAAUGUGACUUAGUGUAAGUUACGGGAUCUUGUAUUACAGAACGAGUAAAGAGACUUGUCGGUAAACGAGAUUGAAAUAGGUAUGCGGAUACUGACGAUCGAAUCUCGGGCAAGUAACAUACCGAAGGACAAAGGGAAUGACAUACGGGAUUAUAUGAAUCCUUGGCACGGCACCUUCCAAUCCUAGUUGGACUAGGAUUGGAGGAGGAAUCCUCCUCCCCCCCUUCGGCUGACCCCCUUGGGGAUCCUUGAGCCUCAAGGCAAGGCCCCUCCCCUCCCACCUAUAUAUACGGAGGUAUUAGGGCUGAUUUGAGACAACUUUGCCACGGCAGCCCGACCACAUACCUCCACGGUUUUUCCUCUAGAUCGCGUUUCUGCGGAGCUCGGGCGGAGCCCUGCUGAGAUUAGAUCACCACCAACCUCCGAAGCGCCGUCACGCUGCCGGAGAACUCAUCUACCUCUCCAUCUCUCUUGCUGGAUCAAGAAGGCCGAGAUCAUCGUCGAGUUGUACGUGUGCUGAACGAGGAGGUGCCGUCCGUUCGGCACUAGAUCGGAGCGGAUCGUGGGACGGAUCGCGGGACGGUUCGUGAGACGGUUCGCGGGGCGGAUCGAGGGACGUGGGGACGUUCCACUACAUCAACCACGUUUAUUAACGCUUCUGCUGUGCGAUCUACAAGGGUACGUAGAUCUGAAAUCCCCCUCGUAGAUGGACAUCACCAUGAUAGGUCUUCGUGCGCGUAGGAAAAUUUUUGUUUCCCAUGCGACGUUCCCCAACAGUGGCAUCAUGAGCUAGGUUCAUGCGUAGAUGUCAUCUCGAGUAGAACACAAAUGUUUUUGUGGGCGGUGAUGUGCGAUUUGCCGCCCUCCUUAGUCUUUUCUUGAUUCCGCGGUAUUGUUGGAUCGAAGCGGCUCCGACGGACAUUACUCGUACGCUUACGAGAGACUAGUUUCAUCGCUACGAGCAACUCCGUUGCUCAAAGAUGACUGGCGAGUGUCGGUUUCCCCAACUUUAGUUGAAUCGGAUUUGACCGAGGAGGUCCUUGGAUGAGGUUAAAUAGCGAGUCAUAUAUCUCCGUUGUGGUGUUUGCGUAAGUAAGAUGCGAUCCUACUAGAUACCCAUGGUCACCACGUAAAACAUGCAACAACAAAUAGAGGACGUCUAACUUGUUUUUGCAGGGUAUGCUUGUGAUGUGAUAUGACCGAGGAUGUGAUGUGCUAGCUCGUGUUAAUUGCACACGGAAUAGGCUCUAUAUCCUCAACCAUGAUCAAUCUCAACCGGAGUGUUGGCUCGCCAAGAGUGAUGAUGAUUCAUGGUUAUGGCGUGCUAGAUUUGGACACAUUAACUUCUACGCCUUGAAGAAGAUGUCAAAGAUGGAGAUGGUAUCCGGGAUGCCAGUUAUCGACCAUGUUGAUCGAGUAUGUGACGGGUGCUUGGUUGGAAAACAGCAUCGCAGGCCGUUCCCUGCUCAGUCUAUCUAUCGUGCAAGUGAUGCACUCGAGCUGCUCCACGGUGAUCUAUGUGGCCCUAUCACCCCGGCAACUCAUGCGGGGAAGAAGUAUUUCUUCCUCGUCAUAGACGACUACUCGAGAUAUAUGUGGGUCACUCUCCUACGAUCUAAAGAUGAGGCAUUUGAAGCGUUCAAAAACUGAAGGCUCAAACGGAGAUGGAACACAAGCUGAAGGUUCGCGCUUUACGGACAGAUCACGGCGGAGUGUUUACAUCAAACAAAUUCAACGAUUACUGCGAGAAGAUUGGUAUAAAAAGGUUCCUCGCGGCACCUUACACGCCGCAGCAGAACGGGGUCGUUGAAAGGCGCAAUCAAACCGUCGUUGACAUGGCAAGGAGUUUACUCAAGAGCAAGAACCUACCGGGCACUUUUUGGGGAGAAGCUGUCUCGACGGCAGUCUAUCUUCUCAACCGGGCUCCAACGAAGGCGGUGAUCGGCAAGACUCCGUAUGAAGCAAUUUACGGACGUAAGCCGAAUGUGUCUCAUCUACGGACAUUCAGGUGCGUGGCACAUGUGAAGACGGCGGAGCCGCACCUCUCAAAGCUUGUCGAUCGUAGCACUAAGAUGGUAUUCAUCGGAUACGAGAGGACUUCCGGCACCAAGGCAUACCGCUUCUAUGAUCCACAAACCAAGCGUCUACUGAUUUCACGCGACGUCGUGUUUGAAGAAAACCAAGCGUGGAAUUGAAGCGCCGCAGCAGAGGAUGCUCUUCACGGUUGAAUUUCCAACUAAUGAUGAUGCAGGGGAGGAUGUCCAGGUGGUUGGUAAGACGUCUAACCAAGGUGACCACAAUGGUAGUGAUCAUCAUGGUGCCGACACCGACGGCGACGUGCAUAGGUCGCAAGGAGAUAUCGACAACGAAGCGCACGAUACGGGUGGAGAUCUCGACGACAACAUCAACAACGAGGCGCAUAGUGACGACGACAAUCAAGAUGAUGGUCAUGAUCACGACGACUACGCCGACGAUGCGGAUGUCGAUGACACGCUUGGGACUUAGCCAUCUUCCUCAAGUGCAUCAACAUCGACACAAUUUGUGUCAUCUCCUUCGCAAGCUACAACGGACUCCUCAGGGCCUCGUCGCUACAAGACACUCAAGAAAGUCUACAAGUACACAAAGCCAGUUACGCUCGAGUACUCCGGACUAUGUCUGUUCGGAGUUGAGGAGUCGGCGAACUUCGUAGAGGCUAGCAAAAGACCUAGUUGGACGCACGCCAUGGAUGAGAAGAUGAAGGCGAUUGAGAGCAAUGACACGUGGACUUUGGUAACCCGAUCUCCAAACCAAAAGGCGAUAGGUUUGAAGUGGGUUUACAAGCUAAAGAAGGAAACGGAGGGUGCCAUUGUCAAGUACAAGGCAAGACUCGUUGCAAAGGGCUACGUACAACGUCAAGGAGUUGAUUAUGACGAGGUGUUUGCACCAGUUGCUCGACUCGAGACAGUGAGAGUGCUCCUAGCUUUGGCAGCACAAGAGGAUUGGAAGGUUCAUCAUAUGGAUGUUAAAUCCGCUUUCCUCAACGGUGAUCUCAUCGAAGAAGUGUACGUGGAACAACCCCUCGGCUACGAGAAGAAAGGCGAAGAAGGGAAAGUUUACAAGCUCAAUAAAGCACUUUACGGGUUGAAGCAAGCACCAAGAGCUUGGAACUCAAAGUUAGACCGAAGUUUGGUCUCGCUCGGGUUCAAGAGAUGUCCCCUCGAGCACGCAGUCUAUACAAAGAACUCCAAAGGCUCAAACCUGCUAGUUGGAGUUUAUGUCGACGAUCUGAUUAUCAUCGGAGAUAGCGUACAAGAAAUUGAACGUUUCAAGGCGCAAAUGAAGAACAAGUUUAGCAUGAGCGAUCAGAGAUUACUCAGCCAUUACUUGGGCAUCAAAGUGAAGCAAAGCUCCGGAGAGAUUUCCCUAUGUCAAUCGGCUUAUGCGGUCAAGUUAUUGGAAAAGUGUGGCAUGUCAGAUUGCUACGAGACACAAGUUCCAAUGGACCAACGUCACAAGUUGAGAUAGCGUAGCUCAAAUCCGCCGGUGGACACGACAUUGUAUCGAAGCGUUGUGGGCAGCCUAAGAUAUUUGGUGCAUACCCGACCUGACUUGGCUUAUUCGGUCGGGAUCGUGAGUCGUUUCAUGGAGAAUCCGACAACCAAGCACAUGAGCGCGGUCAAUCAAAUCUUGCGCUAUGUGAAAGGCACCAUUAAUCUUGGUUGCAUGUACAUAAAGGGAAAGGAAGGAUUGAUCCUUCGUGGAUAUUCAGAUAGUGACAUGGCAGGUGAUGUUGAUGACCGAAAGAGCACAACGGGCAUGGUUUUCUACCUUGGCCCAAAUCCGAUUAGCUGGAAUUCUCAGAAGCAAAAGGUGGUGGCACUGUCUUCAUGCGAGGCAGAAUACAUAGCGACAAGCACAGCGGCUUGUCAAGCAGUUUGGCUGAGAAGACUCCUAGCUAUUCUUGCAAAGCGGGAGGUGCAGAAGGUGUCAUUGAAGAUCGACAACCAAGCUGCAAUUUCGUUGUGCAAAAAUCAUGUUCAUCACGAAAGGAGCAAGCACAUAGAUACCCGGUUCCACCAUAUCCGGGAGUGCAUUGAAGAAGGGUUGAUCGAGGUUCAUCAUGUGAACACGAAAGACCAACUUGCCGAUAUUUUCACCAAGUCCCUCGGUUGACGGAAGUUCAUCGAGAUGAGCUAGAAAGUUGGAGUGCAAGAAGUGAAGUCAAGCAACAAGAUUAAGGAGUAGAAUGUAGAACUUAAUCAUGUUGCUCAUGUAGGAUUAGGAAAGAAAGUCAAACCGAGUCCUAGUAGUAUUAGGAUUCCUAUUCCUAGUCUAUUUCGAUAGUCCCUUGUGGAUGUGUAUAAAAUACACCCUAGGGGUGUUCCUUGUAACACCAGAAAAAACGAAAAGCAAUACAAAGCAAAGGCUCGAGACGGGCCUUUAGCCAUCAAAUCCGUCGAUCAGUUUUAUUUGUGUCGCUAGUUACGCAAGUUCCGUCAAGUAGCCGGCCGAAGCAAGAAUCGCGUAGGCACGCCUCUACGGCUGCAUAUGCACGUUCAAAACCCAACAGUCUGAAUUUCAGGUGCAAAUGUGCUAUAAUUAAAGACUGAAAAAUACAUUGGAAAGAUGGUGAAGCAGCUCACAUGCAUGGAGAAGGGCACAUACCGCCGGGGAGCACAUGCUGCCGGUGUGGCCGGAAAACUAGGAGCGCCGCUUAAUAAGUAAAUUCAGAUCAUCUACAGCCAACCUGACGCCUCGUAUCCAUCUCAAAUGCCUGAGCACACCGCUCGGUCACUACUCAGUCAUGAAAAUAUGAUUCAGAUGGACCUUUUAAAACUGUCUUAUACAUCCGGGCUUACCGACAUCCUUCUUAUCCAACCUAAAUAUAGGGUGGAUAUGGGUGACCUGGUCAUGCCCGAGCACGUAUGUCUGAUAGGCCUGGCCCACCACCGAUCCCAUCAAUGUCCCAAAAAAUAACCACUCUGCACGCCUCGCUCCGAGCCCUAGCUCUCUCUCUCUUCCUCCAUCUCGUGUUCUCCCGCUUCGAGCCCGAUCCAUCGAGUAGAAUGUCGAGUACCGGCAGCCGCUCCGAUGACUCCGACGUCAACCCCGACGAGCUGGCCCUUCGCAUCGCCAUGGAGUGGUCCAAGGUGGAGACCGGCGGCAACUUAGGAUCUGGAGCUACGCCGCCGCUCCCGAGACGGUGGAGCGCGGAUGCCGGAGCUGGACCCUACCGACCCGCGCGCAACUUCGACUGCAGGGCUGCAUAGGCCUCACGCCGUGUCCUCCCCCCACCGGGUGCUGCUCCAGGCGGGCAACAUUGGGUCCUAGUGUCCACGCUGUCGGGCAGCGCCCGCAUGCGUACUCCGAAAUCGAAGGCACGCGCCGCCCGCCAUGAGAGGCGGCAGGCACUAGGACGAGGGGAAGCAGAGUAGUCUACACGCCGGCACCACAGGAUGCCAGCAGAGCCCGAUGAGAACGAAUGCCUCCUCGCAUGGGUGUACCUCCGGUCCCUCACGACGGCGGAGACGGACGCUCGGUGCUUCCAACGAAAGAAUGUGAAGGUGUUCCGGCUUGCUAUUGAGCAAUUGGUGUGCGAGGCGAAGGAGACAGCGAAGGAGAAGGCCCGACUGGCACGAUUGAAGCGCGAGAAGGACAUGGCGGUCUGGCGGAUAAAGGGGCUCAUCAUCCUCUUUGACAAUGACUCAGACGACAGCGACAAUGGCAUCUCCUCCUCUGACAACCAAGAUCCUCCGCCAACCGCGGACGGCUACAGUUGCGUCGGUGAUCCAAAGGGCAAAAGUCCGACGAGGAAGUGGUGAUCUGCCCCCUCCCCCCUACGCAUUGUUAAUAUCGUUUUUUUGGUGAUGAUAAACUGUGUUCUGCCAACUCCAUGAUCUUUUGAGUGAUGAUAGAUUUCCGUUUGCCGCAAAUCUUGUGUUCGUUUCCUUCUGAUUUUAUUUUCCGAUCACGUAGAUUAUUUCGACAUGCAUAUGUAGUAUGGAUAUAGGAUGCCGGAAUGAGAGAUGUGGAUGUUUUUUUUUGGAAAUGGAGGUUCAAACCCCCGACCUCUGCAUCAAUCGAUGCAUACAGCCAUCUUUAUUAAUUAUUCAACAUAGGUCUAACAAGAACAUACAUCAAACGAUCUGAAGCCAUCACUCACACCUACGAAACUCGAUAAUGUGGAGUGCUCUCAUUCCCCAUAUCUAAAACCGGUGCCGUCAUUGAUCCAUCCACGUAACGUAUCGGAACCCACAGCCGGUGCAGCAGACAUAAAGCGUACACCACAUGCACAUGUUUUAUACGCCGCCAUCAUCAUCAGGCCGCUGACCCGCCUUCAAGAGAGAGAUCUGUAUCAUCCUUGCCAGUCCGUCCAUCCGUCGACGCCACCACAGCUCGUCAGUCCAGACGCGAAGAUUCCGGAAGAUCUGUCGUGCGUAGCACCUGCCGACCAGGCAUGACACAGCGUAGUACCUGUCGGCCAGGCAUGACUUGACAUCUCCACCGAAAGCUCUGUGCAAGAUGAUCGACGCCACCACGGAACCAAACAGUGCCACCGCCUUGCGCUCAUUCGUCCAGACACGAAGUUUGUGGAAGAACUGUCGUGCAUAGCACCUACCAACCAGGCAUGACUCAGUGUAGCACCUGUCAGCCACGCAUGACUUGACAGUUCCACCAAAUCUUCGGGCCAGACGAAGCCGCUCCAUAUCCUGCCUCUGUCAUCCAGCGCUGCUCCACAAACGAUGCUCCCAAGAGAGAUACGGCACCGCAGUACCGCCAUCGUCCGAUCUGGAAAGUCAGAUCUUAGGGUUUCCCCCGAAGUAGUGCCCACCAUCAGCAACCGUCCAGGACGCACAUAGUUUCCACCACCACUCAGCCCUCAGGGCGACGCCUUCAGGAAGGUCACGACGUCAAGGACGCCGCCGCCGCCCACUGGAGUUAGGAUUUUCACCCGAUAGGUAGUGACAUAGGAAGUGAAGGAGCAGACGUAGACCGACGUCUCCAGGAAGAACAACGGCGCCCUUGAGCGUCAUCGUCGGCGCGGCCGGCCAGGGCCGACCAAUGGGUUUCCCCUUAUGUGAAUCUCCUCCACCAGCUUCAUCUGCGGCCACGCCGGCAACGUCAGGAAACCGCAGGAGAGAAGCACACCGCAGGUAUCUGGAUCAAUGAAAAUCCAAUGUGAACAGUGACGAGUACCACCACCCUGCGCUGGCCGACGGCGUCCGGGCACCGGAUCCAGAAUGAUCUGAGCCGAACUCGACGGCGCAAGCGACCACCAUGUCUUGCCCCUCCCGCAGCCGCCACUCCGCGUCGCAAGAACGAACCCCAGCCCUCGACGCGCUACGCAUGCCGCCGCUAGGAUCCACAUGCCGCGCCGCCGCACCACGCGCUAGUCUGGUGCCUCCUCACGAACGGUCGUCCCACGCCAGCCAUGUCGUGUGAAGGGGAGAUGAUCCCCGCCACCACCCCUGUCGGCGGCGAGGAUGAAGGAGGAGCGAGGGAGGACCGGCAGCGGCGGCUAGGGUUACCCCCUGGUCGCCCACGGGGGCGACGACAGGGGGUUACGGGGGCGACGGGGAUAUGUUCGCGAAGUUGUUGCUCGCGGACAUGAGACACGUGGAUGUGGAGAGGGAAAUUUAAGGCAUGAUCGGUCACUGUCUACGGACACGCCGAACGCGUCCAUGGACAUUUGAGGAAUCAAAUUUGCAAGAUCCGACUAUAGAUGCUCUUACACCAGCCAGUAGUUACCGAUUGGCAAUCCACCGUCCAUCAAUUUCACUAAUAUCUGUGACACGAUAUAAAGUUGUAAAUCCAUUAUCUGUCCUAUACUCAAUAAAUACAGACAAGACUGGCAUGCACUCACACAUUUGUAUCAAAAUACAUGCAUGUCAUGCAGCUUUGUACAAGAGAGAAAGUUGGGAUGGAGACCGAUUCAUGCACGAUUCUCUCUCCCCACAUAAAUGACAUUGACGUUCCGAACAAGAUCAUGUUGAAUGAUUGGGCAUUUUGAAUGAUUGUCCUAUUUUAAACCAAUGCCCAUUUUUGAAACCUUUUAUAUAUUUCAAAUCAUGUUGACAAGACGUUCCGAACAAGAUCAAUACUGGUUCUAUUUGAAUUACUUUUUAUUUUUUAUAUUUCAAUUGUCUUUUGAAUCACUUUCAUAAAACUAAAGAUACUUUUGUUAUUUCAUACAAGUGUUAAUGAAUGUUGUGUUAAUUUAAAAAAUGUAUUUCAUCAUUUACAAAAAACUAAUUUCAGUCAUUUUAAACAUUCGUUUCACUUAUUUUAAAAGACACAUUUCACUGAUUCGAGAAAAUAAUAUUUCACUCAUCUCCAAAAUAUGGAUCUAGGGCCAUCAAAAAUGAAGGAUUUAACUCAUCCCAAAAUUUAUUUCACACAUUUCAAAAAAUUGAUUUUACUCAGUUCAUGAAACAGCUGAUUUUACUCAUUCGAUACAACUGAUUUCAGUCGUUUCAAUUGAAAGAAAUACAUGUUUCAAUAAUUUUCAUAAUCAAAUUUCACUCAUUUCGAAAUAAAAAUAUUCUUGUUUCAAGAAGCUAGUAUAUGUCAAAUAAAAAUAAACUUAAAAAUAUUUCAUAAAAGUAACCUCACUCAGUUGAUUUCAAUCGUUUCAAAUUAAUCAUUUAAAGUAUUUCAAAAAACCGUUUUCACUCAAUUCAAAAAACUAUGACUUCACAAAACAAAUUCGCCCGCUCCAUAAAACAGAUUUCGCUCGUUUCAAAAAUUAGAUUUCACUUAUUUACAAAACGAUUUCACUCAUUCAAACAAUGAUUUUACUCAUAAAUUAUAAAACAUGUGAAUGAUGAAUGUUAUGUCGGUACAUUCCUGAACCGGAGAAUAUAAAAAAUGGACUGCUAUCAAUACCGGGUUACACAUAAAUUAUAAAACAUGUGAAUGAUGAAUGUUAUGUCGGUACAUUCCUGAACCGGUAAAAAAGUGUUUUGCGGGAGCGCCGCUCGACGAUUACGAGUGAAACCGACGGCAUGUGAUGUGAUCAGCAACUGUCGUGCCCAACUUUAUAUCGAUCGAGAUCUCCUUUUUCUUGCUAACUUUGGUGGGUAAAAUAUAAAGACGAGGGAACAAACAAACGUCGUUGAAUCCUGUGGAUUCCUACCAUAGUUUUGGAGAACCGGCCUACCCUGCCGCUCUCGGAAAGCGUGCGGUGCUCUGCCCCGCCAACAAACUCGUGUCUGUCCAAGUGCAAAACGAGUGAGCAAAGCAGAUCAGCAGAGCACCCACGGUUUGCGCCCAAAACCAUGCGUGGCCGCCACCUUUUCGUUCCCCUAUAAAUUCAGGACAACCUUGGAAUCAAUCAAGCAACAGCCAGCCCAUCUCGUCUCUCUCGAUCACACCUCCCAUACCUACUUAGCCAGUGAGCAGUAGCCGUUUCCGUCGAAGAUGUCGUCGGUCACCAGCGCCCACCUCGACCACAAGCUCGCCCUCGCCAAACGCUGCUCCAGAGGUCGGUCGGUGAUUAAUCAGCAUCCACUCCUUCAGAGUUCAGUUGAGCAUGUACCGGAGCAUCCAUCUUGAUACUAGCGACGUAAUUUUUGUUGUUGUUGUUUGGCAGAGGCGACGCUUGCCGGAGCCAAGGCGGCGGCCGUCGCCACCGUCGCGUCUGCAGUCCCGACGGUACGUACGUACGUGGUGGAGCAGUGCUCCUUUACUACUGUUGUUUAGUCUCUGCUAACUGAUCGGCAUGUGUGGUGCAGCUGGCCAGCGUGCGGAUGCUGCCGUGGGCCAAGGCCAACCUCAACCCCACCGGCCAGGCCCUCAUCGUCUGCACCGUCGCCGGGAUGGCCUACUUCAUCGCCGCCGACAAGACCAUCCUGUCGUUGGCCAGGAGGCACUCGUACGAGAGCGCACCCGACCACCUCAAGGACACCUCCUUCCAUGGCGCCGCCGCCGUAGCCGCCCAUCCCCGUCCGUCGGCAUUCUUCAGGCCAUGAGCUAGUGUCCUGAUAAAGUGAUAAUGUAUGCAUCGAUCGUUGUCAGAGUCGCAAGGAACUGCUGCUGCAGGCAUGAAUAUCGACUCUCCAUAUAUAAUCAACGUUGUACACUGCUGCAGGCAUUUUGAAUAUUAUAUCCCCCGCAUCGCCGAUGAACACCGCAUCCUCCAAAAUGGGGAUAAUUGACGAUAAUCCCUUUGUUGGCCGAUCCUUGCUCACAGGCCCCAAAAUGAAGAGGGGCCAAAACCUAGAAAGAGGAUGCCUCACUCUGUAACUUUUACUUGCAAAUGUGCUAUAAAAUCAUCGCCACGCCGCGAUGUAACAGACGGUAUCGUCGUUGGACGCACAUCCUUUACACCUGUCUACCGAAUGAAACUGAGGGCUCGAUCCCGGUUUCACAUAAGCAGUUUACAACAGACUAUCAAAAGAGCCCGCACGUUGAAACAGGAAAAAAAAGAAUACCAUUCAUUCUAAUUCUAUAAAUUAAAUCAAUGACGUUAUGAUAAUUUAUACCAGGAAAGAUGUAAUUAAAAUAGUCAUUAAAAGUUUCAACAUUUUGCAUGCAUUCUAGCCAUUUUUUUCAUCCUUCUCUCUUUCUACUUCUUCCUAAUUUUUAUAAAGAAAUUUUAAAAAAGAAAUUAAAGGACAGAGAGAGAAAGCAGUAGUGCAGAGCCCAUCGGGCCUGCCAAGGCUCAGGCGGACCCACUCCUAAAUCUCCUAACCUGUCGAUUUCCAGCUCCCCCUCCUCCCUUUCACCUCGCGCCGCCAGGGGAGAGAGCCACCUCCUGCUCUGUUUCAUUCUGUUUAUCUUUUUAUACAAAAGAACAAAUGGCUUUCGGGUGGCAAUUAUCUAUGGAAAACGUUUCUUUUCAGUCGGACGAUAAAAGGUAUGCAUAAGCCGCCUCCCCUGCCAACCACAUGUACAGGACAGGGGUCGCUGCUGCGUUUGCGCGGGCGCUCCUGCUUCUGCUCCUGCUCCUACUCGUGCGAUGAAGCAAAAUGGCUGCUCUCGACGUGUUGGGCUCCCACAUGUGUCUCUCUUUUUAUGUACGCUGCAUGGCAUCAAUUUGUUUUUCUUUUGCGGUGGAAAUGCACAUGUAAAUGCAUUUCUCUUGUGUACUACCUGGUAGGCUUGGUAUCAGAAAUUUUUUUAAACGGUUAGAGCAUCUUCAACACGUGCGCAACUGACGACGCGUAAAAAAUAUUUUACAUCGCAGGAAUAGUAUUUUUUUACGCGUCGCAGAACGCUGACUCCAGCGGCCGCAAAAAAAAUACGCGCGCCGCUCCAGCAGAAGCAUUAAAAAUAAAGCUGGUGAGCAUAGAUAGUCUUGAUAGAUAGAAAUCACUCCUCCGUCUAUACAUAGUCAGAUAGUCUAGAUAAUUCAUAGAUAGAGUUACUCCUCAUCGAUAGUUCAUAGUAAAUAAUAAAAAAAUGAUAAAACACGAUAUACUACUCCUUGUCGUCUUCCUCCGAUGCGCCGGUGUCCGAUUCCUCCGUCAUGAUGAAGGCGUCAGCCCUACGUUCGUCCUCGGAGGACCAAGUCGACUAUUCCUUGAGCUCAAUCUGGAAGAGUGAGGCUUGCUUCCGCAUACGCCUGUCUUUAAGAUAGGCGGCUUACUCCGUCCUCCUUUGCGCGAAGAAUUUACGCUUGUCGAGGGCGUCCUGCGGGAACUGUCGGUGCCACUCCGCCAUGGUAUGCUCGUCCAUCUCAGCGAUGCCGAGGCGGUGCUCCCACCUCCGGUUCCGACGACGGUCCUCUUCGGUGACAACCAUCGUUGGUGAAGUGGCACCGUUGUGGGUGAUACUGAUGCUCCACCACAAAUCGGGGCACAUUGCAAGGCCGACACCAUCGUUGUUGUAACUUGGGGCGCGAUGUUGCAUUGCGUGCACCAAGUGGUGGCAAAGUCUAGCUGCCACAGGUCGAGGCCCAAAGUUGCAGGGCCGACACCGUCGUUGCUGCAACUUAGACACGUGUUGCAUGGCAGACGUCGAGUUUUGCAAGGCGGACACCAUCGUUCUUGCAAUUCAGAAACGAUGUUGUCUGGCAAGCGCCAAGUUGUUGCAAAGGCUAGCCGCCAUAAGUUGGAGUACAACGAUGCAAGGCUAACACCAUCAUUACUGCAACUCAGAUGCAAUGAUGCAUGGCAAUCACCGAGUUUUUGCAAGGCCGCACCUUCGUUGUUGCAAGUCCAUCACAAUGUCGUGUGGUUGACGCCGAGUUGUUGGAAAGGUUAGGCGCCACAAGUCGGAGUGCGACAUUACUAGGCAUGCACCGUUGCUGCUUUAAGUAGGCAUGAUGUUCCAUGACAGGAGCCGAGUUGUCGCAAAAGCUUAUCCUCCAUAAGUAGGAAUUAUGCCCUAGAGGCAAUAAUAAAUGUAUGGUUAUUAUUAUAAUUCCUGUAUCAAGAUAAUAGUUUAUUAUCCAUGCUAUAAUUGUAUUGAAUGAAGACUCAUUUACAUGUGUGGAUACAUAGACAAAACACCGUCCCUAGCAUGCCUCUAGUCGGCUAGCCAGUUGAUCGAUGAUAGUCAGUGUCUUCUGAUUAUGAACAAGGUGUUGUUGCUUGAUAACUGGAUCGCGUCAUUGGGAGAAUCACGUGAUGGACUAGACCCAAACUAAUAGACGUAGCAUGUUGAUCGUGUCAUUUUGUUGCUACUGUUUUCUGCGUGUCAAGUAUUUAUUCCUAUGACCAUGAGAUCAUAUAACUCACUGACACUGGAGGAAUGCUUUGUGUGUAUCAAACGUCGCAACGUAACUGGGUGACUAUAAAGAUGCUCUACAGGUAUCUCCGAAGGUGUUAGUUGAGUUAGUAUGGAUCAAGACUGGGAUUUGUCACUCCGUGUGACGGAGAGGUAUCUCGGGGCCCACUCGGUAAUACAACAUCACACACAAGCCUUGCAAGCAAUGUGACUUAGUGUAAGUUGCGGGAUCUUGUAUUACGGAAUGAGUAAAGAGACUUGCCGGUAAACGAGAUUGAAAUAGGUAUGCGGAUACUGACGAUCGAAUCUCAGGCAAGUAACAUACCGAAGGACAAAGGGAAUGACAUACGGGAUUAUACGAAUCUUUGGCACUGAGGUUCAAACGAUAAGAUCUUCGUAGAAUAUGUAGGAUCCAAUAUGGGCAUCCAGGUCCCGCUAUUGGAUAUUGACCGAGGAGUCACUCGGGUCAUGUCUACAUAGUUCUCGAACCCGCAGGGUCUGCACACUUAAGGUUCGACGAUGUUUUAUGCGUAUUUGAGUUAUAUGGUUGGUUACCGAAUGUUGUUCGGAGUCCCGGAUGGGAUCACGGACGUCACGAGGGUUUCCGGAAUGGUCCGGAGACGAAGAUUGAUAUAUAGGAUGACCUCAUUUGGUUACCGGAAAGUUUCCGGGCAUUACCGGAAAAGUUUCGGACUCAUCGGUAGUGUACCGGGAGUGCCGGGAGGGGUGACAGGGACCAUCAAGAGGGGUGUCACGCCCCAAGGGGUCUCAUGGGCUAUGGGAAGAGAUAAACCAGCCCCUAGUGGGCUGGAAUAAGUUCCCACUAAGGCCCAUAAGGUUUGAGAAGGGAAAAACAAAAGGUGGAAAGAGUUUCCAAGUGGGAAGGUGGAAUCCUACUCCAAGUAGGAUUGGAAUAGGACUCCUCCACCUCAAAUUUCGCCCAAACCUUGAGGGUUUGAGGGUGCCUCCUCCCCUCCCUCCCUCCUAUAUAUACUGAGGUAUUAGGGCUGAUUUGAGACAACUUUUGCCACGGCAGCCCGACCACAUACCUCCACAGUUUUACCUCUAGAUCGCGUUUCUGCGGAGCUCGGGCGGAGCCCUGCUGAGACAAGAUCAUCACCAACCUCCGGAGCGCCGUCACGCUGCCGGAGAACUCUUCUACCUCUCCGUCUCUCUUGCUGGAUCAAGAAGGCCGAGAUCAUCGUCGAGCUGUACGUGUGCUGAACGCGGAGGUGCCGUCCGUUCGGCACUAGAUCGUGGGACUGAUCGCGGGGCAGAUCGAGGGACGUGAGGACGUUCCACUACAUCAACCGCGUUCACUAACGCUUCUGCUGUACGGUCUACAAGGGUACGUAGAUCACACAUCCCCUCUCGUAGAUGGACAUCACCAUGAUAGGUCUUCGUGCGCGUAGGAAAAUUUUCGUUUCCCAUGCGACGUUCCCCAACAGUGGCAUCAUGAGCUAGGUUCAUGCGUAGAUGUCUUCUCGAGUAGAACACAAAAGUUUUUUGUGGGCGGUGAUGUGCGUUUUGCUGCCCUCCUUAGUCUUUUCUUGAUUCCGCGGUAUUGUUGGAUUGAAGCGGCUUGGACCGACAUUACUCGUACGCUUACGAGAGACUGGUUUCAUCGUUACGAGUAACCCCGUUGCUCAAAGAUGACUAGCAAGUGUCGGUUUCUCCAACUUUAGUUGAAUCGGAUUUGACCGAGGAGGUCCUUGGAUGAGGUUAAAUAGCAACUCAUAUAUCUCCGUUGUGGUGUUUGCGUAAGUAAGAUGCGAUCCUACUAGAUACCCAUGGUCACCACGUAAAACAUGCAACAACAAAAUUAGAGCACGUCUAACUUGUUUUUGCAUGGUAUGCUUGUGAUGUGAUAUGGCCAAUGAUGUGAUGUGAUAUAUUGGAUGUAUGAGAUGAUCAUGUUGUAAUAGAAAUAUCGACUUACACGUCGAUGGUACGGCAACCGGCAGGAGCCAUAGGGUUGUCUUUAUACUAACGUGUGUGCUUGCAGAUGCGUUUACUUUUUUGCUAGGAUGUAGCUUUAGUAGUAAUAGCAUGAGUAGCACGACAACCCCGAUGGCAACACGUUGAUGGAGAUCAUGGUGUGGCGCCGGUGACAAGAAGAUCGUGCCGGUGCUUUGGCGAUGGAGAUCAAGAAGCACGUGAUGAUGGCCAUAUCAUGUCACUUAUGAAUUGCAUGUGAUGUUAAUCCUUUUAUGCACCUUAUUUUGCUUAGAACGACGGUAGCAUUAUGAGGUGAUCUCUCACUAAAAAUUUCAAGACGAAAUUGUGUUCUCCCCGACUGUGCACCAUUGCUACAGUUCGUCGUUUCGAGACACCACGUGAUGAUCGGGUGUGAUAGACUCAACGUUCACAUACAACGGGUGCAAAACAGUUGCGCACGCGGAACACUCGGGUUAAGCUUGACGAGCCUAGCAUGUGCAGACAUGGCCUCGGAACACAUGAGACCGAAAGGUCGAGCAUGAAUCGUAUAGUUGAUAUGAUUAGCAUAGAGAUGCUUACCACUGAAACUAUUCUCGACUCACGUGAUGAUCGGACUUGAGAUAGUGGAUUUGGAUCAUGUACCACUCAAAUGACUAGAGAGAUGUACUUUUUGAGUGGGAGUUCUUAAGUAAUAUGAUUAAUUGAACUAAUUUUCAUGAACAUAGUCUAAUGGUCUUUGCGAAUUACGAUGUACCUUGCGCUAUAGCUCUACUGUUUUUAUAUGUUCCUAGAGAAAAUUUAGUUGAAAAUUGAUAGUAGCAAACUUUGCAGACUGAGUCUGUAAAACCGAGGAUUGUCCUCGUUGCUACGCAGAAGGCUUAUGUCCUUAAUGCACCACUCGGUGUGCUGCACCUCGAGCGUUGUCUGUGGAUGCUAUGAACAUCCGACAUACACGUUUCUGAUGACUACACAAUAGUUCAGUGCAAAAUACUUAUUGGCUUAGAAGCAAGGCACCGAAAACGUUGUAAAACGUCACGGAACAUAAGUGAUGUUCUAAAGAGAUGAAAUUGUGAUUUCAUGCUUGUGCCCUUAUUAAGAGGUACGAGACCUCCAACAAGAUUCUUUGUCCACAAAGUAAAGGAGAAAAGCUCAAUCGUUGAGCGUGUGCUCAGAUUGUCUAAGUACGACAAUCACUUGAAUCAAGUGGGAGUUAAUCUUCCAGAUGAGAUAGUGAUGGUUCUCCAAAGUCACUGCCACCAAGCUGUGAGAGCUUCGUGAUGAACUAUAACAUAUCAAGGAUAGAUACAAUGAUCCUUGAGCGAUUCGCGAUGUUUGACACUCCGAAAGUAGAAAUCAAGAAGGAGCGUCAAUAGUUGAUGGUUUGUAAAACCACUAAGUUUCAAGAAAGGCAAGGGCUAGAAGGGAUACUUCGUGAAACGGCAAAACAGUUGCUGCACUAAUGAAGAGACCCAAGAUUAAACCCAAACCCGAUACUAAGUGCUUCUGUAAUGAGGGGAACAGUCACUGAGGCGGAGCAACUCUAGAUACUUGGUAGAUAAGAAGGCUGGCGAAAGUCGAAAGAAGUGUAUUUGAUAUACAUGAUGUUGAUGUGUACUUUACUAGUACUCCAAGUAGCACGAGGGUAUUGGAUACCGGUUCGGUUGCUAAGUGAUUAGUAACGCGAAAUGAAAGUUGCGGCAUAAAUGGAGACUAGCUAAAGGCGAGGUGACGAUACGUGUUGGAAGUGUUUCCAAGGUUGAUAUGAUCAAACGUCGCACGCUCCCUCUACCAUCGGGAUUGGUGUCAAACCUAAAUAAUUGUUAUUGGUGCUUGCGUUAAGCAUGAACAUGAUUGGAUCGUGUUUAUUGCAAUACGAUUAUUCAUUUAAAGAGAAUAAUGGUUACUCUAUUUUCUUGAAUAAUCACCUUCAAUGAAUCUCGAUCGUAGUGUUACACAUGUUCAUGAUAUUGGUGCCAAAAGACACGAGGUAAUGAUGAUAGUACCACUUACUUGUGGCACUGCCGCUUGAGUCAUGUUGGUGUAAAUUGCAUGAAGAGGCUCCAUGUUGAUGGAUCUUUGUACUCACUUGUUUUUCGAAUCACUAGUGACAUGCAAAUCAUACCACAUGAGCAAGGCCUUGUUUUCAUUGAGAUGAAACAAGAUAGUAACUUGUUGGAAGUGAUACAUUCUGAUGUAUGCAGUCCAAUGGGUGCUGAGGCACGCAGUGGAUAUCAUUAUGUUCUUACUUCACUGACGAUUUGAGUAGAUACAGGAGUAUUUACUUAAUGAAUCACAAGUCUGAAAUAUUGAAAAGUUCAAUUCUGUUUCGGAGUGAAGUUCGUCGUAACAAGAGGAUAAACUGUCUACGAUAUGAUCAUAGAAAUGAAUAUCUGAGUUACGAUUUUUGGUACGCAGUUAAGACAAUGUGGAAAUUGUUUCGCAGUUCAUGCCACCUGGAACAUCAUAGUGUGAUGAUGUGUCUGAACGUCAUAGCCACGCACUAUUUGGAAUGGUGCAUACUAUGAUGUCUCUUAUCGAAUUACCACUAUCGUUUAUGGGUUAUGCAUUAGAGACAACCGCACUCACUUUAAACAGGGCACCGCGUAUUUCCGUUGAGAUGACACAGUAUAGACUGAGGUUUAGAGAAAUCUAAAUUGUCGUUUCUUGAAAGUUUGGGGCUUCGACACUUAUGUGAAAAAGUUUCAGUCUGAUAAGCUCGAACCCAAAGCGGAUAAAUGCAUCUUCAUAGGAUAUCCAAAACAGUUGGGUACAUCUCCUAUCUCAGAUCCGAAAGCAAAGUGUUUGUUUCUAGAAACGGAUCCUUUCUAGAGGAAAGGUUUCUCUCGAAAGAAUUGAGUGGGAGGGUAGUAGAACUUGAUGAGGUUAUUGAACCAUCACUUCAACCAGUGUGUAGCAGGGCGCAGGAAGUUGUUCCUGUGGCGCCUACACCAAUUGAAGUGGAAGCUGAUGAUGGUGAUCAUCAAGCAUCGGAUCAAGUUACUAUAAGCCUCGUAGGUUGACAAGGUCGCAUACUACUACAGAGUGGUACGGUAACCCUGUCUUGGAGGUCAUGUUGUUGAGCAACAGUGAACCUACGAGUUAUGGAGAAAGCGAUGGUGGGCCCAGAUUCCGACAAAUGGCUGGAAGCCAUGAAAUCCGAGAGAGGAUCCAUGUAUGAAAACAAAGUGUAGACUUUGAAAGAACUACUUGAUGGUCAUAAGACUAUUGAGUAAAGAUGGAUCUUUAAAAGAAGACAGACGAUGAUGGUGAUAAGUCACUAUUAAGAAAAGCUCGACUUGUCGCAAAGAUGUUUUCGACAAGAUCAAACAGUUGACUAUGAUGAGACUUUCUCACUUGUAGCGAUGCUAAAGGUCUGUUAGAAUUAUGUUAGUUGUUGAUGCAUUAUUUAUGAAAUAUUGCACGUAGGAUGUCAAAACAUUGUUUUCUUGACGGUUUCCUUGAGCAAACAUUGUAUGUGAUACAACCAGAAGGUUUUGUCGAUCCUAAAGAUACUAGCAAGUAUGCAAGCUCCAGUGAUCCUUCAAUGGACUGGUGCAAGCAUCUCGGAGUUGGAAUAUACACUUUGAUGAGAUGAUCAAAGAUUUUGGGUUUGUAAAAGGUUUAUGAGAAACUUGUAUUUCCAAAGAAGUGAGUGGGAGCACUAUAGAAUUUCUGAUAAGUAUAUGUGGUUGACAUAUUGUGGAUCAGAAGUAAUGUAGAAUUUCUGUAAAACAUACAAGGUUGUUUGAAAGGAGUUUUCAAAGGAAUACCUGGAUUGAGCUACUUGAACGUUGAGCAUCAAAGAUCUAUGGAGAUAGACCGAAAGCGCUUAAUGGAAGUUUCAACAAGAUGCAUGCCUUGACAAGUUUUUGAAGGAGUUCAAAAUAGAUCAGCAAAGAAGGAGUUCUUGGUUGCGUUGUGAGGUGUGAAUUUGAGUAAGACUCAAAACCCGACCCCGACAGAAUAAAGAGAAUAGACGAAGGUCGUCUUCUAUGCCUUAGCCGUAGAAUCUAAAGUAUGCCAUGUUGUGUACCGCACCUGAUGUGUGCCUUGACUCAAAGUAUGUUGAGAGGUACAGAGAGUGAUCCAUGAUUGAAUCACUAGCAGCGGUCAAAAUUUAUCCUUAGUAACUAAUGGACUAAGGAAUUUUUCUCGAUUAUGGAGGUGGUUAAAGAGUUCGUCGUAAAGGGUUACGUCGAUGCAAGCUUUGACACUAAUCCGAAUAACUAUGAGUAGUGAAACGGAUUCGUAUAGUAGAGUAGAUAUUUGGAGCAUUUCCGAAUAGCACGUAGUAGCAGCAUCUAUAAGAUGACAUAAAUAUUUGUAAAGAACGCACGGAUCUGAAAGUUUCAGAACCGUUGACUAAAACCUCUCUCACGAGCAAGACGUGAUCAGACCCCAUAACUAUAUGGGUGUUGGAUUCGUUGGAAUCACAUGGUGAUGUGAACUAGAUUAUUGACUCUAGUGCAAGUGGGAGACUGUUGGAAAUAUGCCCUGGAGGCAAUAAUAAAUUAGUUAUUAUUAUAUUUCUUUGUUCAUGAUAAUCGUUUAUUAUCCAUGCUAUAAUUGUAUUGAUUGGAAACACAAUACUUGUGUGGAUACAUAGACAAAACACUGUCCCUAGUAAGCCUCUAGUUGACUAGCUCGUUGAUCAAACAUGGCCAAGGUUUCCUGGCCAUAGGCAAGUGUUGUUACUUGAUAACGGGAUCACAUCAUUAGGAGAAUCAUGUGAUGGACUAGACCCAAACUAAUAGACGUAGCAUGUUGAUCGUGUCAUUUUGUUGCUACUAUUUUCUGCGUGUCAAGUAUUUGUUCCUAUGACCAUGAGAUCAUAUAACUCACUGACACCGGAGGAAUGCUUUGUGUGUAUCAAACGUCGCAACGUAACUGGGUGACUAUAAAGAUGCUCUACAGGUAUCUCCAAAGGUGUUAGUUGAGUUAGUAUGGAUCGAGACUGGGAUUUGUCACUCCGUGUGACGGAGAGGUAUCUCGGGGCCCACUCGGUAAUACAACAUCACACACAAGCCUUGCAAGCAAUGUGACUUAGUGUAAGUUGCGGGAUCUUGUAUUACGGAACGAGUAAAGAGACUUGCCGGUAAACGAGAUUGAAAUAGGUAUGCGGAUACUGACGAUCGAAUCUCGGGCAAGUAACAUACCGAAGGACAAAGGGAAUGACAUACGGGAUUAUAUGAAUCCUUGGCACUGAGGUUCAAACGAUAAGAUCUUCGUAGAAUAUGUAGGAUCCAAUAUGGGCAUCCAGGUCCCGCUAUUGGAUAUUGACCGAGGAGUUACUCGGGUCAUGUCUACAUAGUUCUCGAACCCGCAGGGUCUGCACACUUAAGGUUCGACGAUGUUUUAUGCGUAUUUGAGUUAUAUGGUUGGUUACCGAAUGUUGUUCGGAGUCCCGGAUGGGAUCACGGACGUCACGAGGGUUUCCGGAAUGGUCCGGAGACGAAGAUUGAUAUAUAGGAUGACCUCAUUUGGUUACCGGAAAGUUUCCGGGCAUUACCGGAAAAGUUUCGGACUCAUCGGUAGUGUACCGGGAGUGCCGGGAGGGGUGACGGGGACCAUCAAGAGGGGUGUCACGCCCCAAGGGGUCUCAUGGGCUAUGGGAAGAGAUAAACCAGCCCCUAGUGGGCUGGAAUAAGUUCCCACUAAGGCCCAUAAGGUUUGAGAAGGGAAAAACACAAGGUGGAAAGAGUUUCCAAGUGGGAAGGUGGAAUCCUACUCCAAGUAGGAUUGGAGUAGGACUCCUCCACCUCAAAUUUCGCCCAAACCUUGAGGGUUUGAGGGUGCCUCCUCCCCUCCCUCCCUCCUAUAUAUACUGAGGUAUUAGGGCUGAUUUGAGACAACUUUUGCCACGGCAGCCCGACCACAUACCUCCACGGUUUUACCUCUAGAUCGCGUUUCUGCGGAGCUCGGGCGGAGCCCUGCUGAGACAAGAUCAUCACCAACCUCCGGAGCGCCGUCACGCUGCCGGAGAACUCUUCUACCUCUCCGUCUCUCUUGCUGGAUCAAGAAGGCCGAGAUCAUCGUCGAGCUGUACGUGUGCUGAACGCGGAGGUGCCGUCCGUUCGGCACUAGAUCGUGGGACUGAUCGCGGGACGGUUCGCGGGGCGGAUCGAGGGACGUGAGGACGUUCCACUACAUCAACCGCGUUCACUAACGCUUCUGCUGUACGGUCUACAAGGGUACGUAGAUCACACAUCCCCUCUGGUAGAUGGACAUCACCAUGAUAGAUCUUCAUACGCGUAGGAAAAUUUUCGUUUCCCAUGCGACGUUCCCCAACAACUGCCGCUUAGGUCAUAUUGGUGUAAAACGCAUGAAGAAACUCCAUGCUGAUGGAUUUUUGGAGUCACUUGACUUUGAUUCACUUGACACGUGCGAACCAUGCCUCAUGGGCAAGAUGACUAAGACUCCGUUCUCCGAAACAAUGGAGCGUGCAAGUGACUUGUUGGAAAUCAUACAUACCGAUGUGUGUGGUCCAAUGAGCGUAGAGGCACGCGGCGGAUAUCGUUAUUUCCUCACCUUCACUGACGAUUUAAGUAGAUAUGGUUAUGUCUACUUGAUGAAGCACAAGUCUGAAACAUUUGAAAAGUUCAAGCAAUUUCAGAGUGAAGUGGAAAAUCAUCGUAACAAGAAGAUCAAAUUCCUACGGUCUGAUUGUGGGGGUGAAUAUCUGAGUUUCGAGUUUGGUGCUCACUUAAGACAAUGUGGAAUUGUUUCGCAGUUAACACCGCCUGGAACACCACAGCGUAAUGGUGUGUCCGAACGUCAUAAUCGUACUCUGUUAGAGAUGGUGCGAUCUAUGAUGUCUCUUACUGAUUUGCCGUUAUCAUUUUGGGGUUAUGCAUUAGAAACAGCUGCAUUCACUUUAAAUAGGGCACCAUCAAAAUCCGUUGAGACGACGCCAUACGAACUGUGGUAUGGCAAAAGGCCAAAGUUGUCAUUUCUUAAAGUUUGGGGAUGUGAUGCUUAUGUCAAAAAGCUUCAGCCUGAAAAGCUGGAACCCAAAGCGGAAAAGUGCGUCUUCAUAGGUUACCCAAAAGAGACAGUUGGGUACACCUUCUAUCUCAAAUCCGAAGGCAAAGUGUUUGUUGCUAAGAACGGAACUUUUCUCGAGAAGGAGUUUCUCUCGAGAGAAUUGAGUGGGAGGAAGAUAGAACUUGACGAGGUUGUCGAACCUCUCAUCCCUCUGGAUGGUGGCGCAGGGCAGGGGAAACCUCUGUCGUUGCGACGCCGGUUGAGGAGGAAGUUAAUGAUGAUGAUCAUGAAACUCCAGUUCAAGUUUCUGUUGAACCCCGCAGGUCGACGAGAUCACGCGCUGCUCCAGAGUGGUACGGUAAUCCCGUCUUAUCAAUCAUGUUGUUAGACAACAAUGAACCUGCAAAUUAUGAAGAAGCAAUGGUGGGCCCAGAUUCCGACAAAUGGCUGGAAGCCAUGAAAUCCGAGAUAGGAUCCAUGUAUGAGAACAAAGUGUGGACUUUGGAGAUACUACCUGAGGGCCGCAAGGCUAUUCAGAACAAAUGGAUCUUUAAGAAGAAGACGGACGCUGACGGUAAUGUGACCGUUUAUAAAGCUCGACUUGUGGCAAAGGGUUUUUCACAAGUUCCAGGGAUUGACUACGAUGAGACUUUCUCUCCCGUGGCAAUGGUUAAGUCCGUCAGAAUCAUGUUAGCAAUAGCUGCAUUUUUCGAUUAUGAAAUCUGGCAGAUGGAUGUCAAAACGGCGUUCCUUAACGGUUUCCUUAAGGAAGAGUUGUAUAUGAUGCAACCCGAAGGUUUUGUUGAUCCUAAAAAUGCUGACAAGGUGUGCAAACUCCAGCGAUCCAUUUAUGGACUGGUGCAAGCAUCUCGGAGUUGGAACAAACGCUUUGAUGAGGUGAUCAAAGCAUUUGGGUUUAUACAAGUGGUUGGAGAAUCUUGUAUCUACAAGAAAGUGAGUGGGAGCUCUGUGGCGUUUCUAAUAUUAUAUGUGGAUGACAUAUUACUGAUUGGAAACAACAUAGAGCUUUUGGAGAGCAUAAAAGGUUACUUGAAUAAAAGUUUCUCUAUGAAGGACCUAGGAGAAGCUGCUUACAUUCUAGGCAUUAAGAUCUAUAGGGAUAAAUUAUGAUGGCGAGGGCUUGGGCGCGGUAAUGGCAGUAGGGAGCGCAAGUAAGGGGGGACGGAUGGCGAGGGCUUGGGCGCGGUAAUGGCAGUAGGGAGGCGGGGGAGGACGAAAGGUUUGGUAGAUUUCGUGUAAAUUAUGAUGGGGUCGGGCUAUCGUGAGUUCCCAUAUUCGUCCCAUAUUUUGGUUGUAUAUGAGGGGUGAGGGUCAGCCUUAGCGUUUGAUUCCCAGUCUAAGAAGUUCGGGUCGCUUUUCUGUGACCAGUCAAUAACCGGGCGUUUGAGACGGGGUUAAGAGGUUCGGCUGUAAGAUCAUCUAUAAUCGGACCCCUCAAACCCUCGGCAGUCCUCUCGAUCGCUGUCCGAUCACAAAAUUGCGAUCCAGACGGGCCUCUCAAACCGACCUAAAACGCACGGGCUGACUCUCACCCCCCAUUUUUAGCCUAAAUAUGAGGCGGAUAUGGGGGAGCCCGGGCGCGCCCAGGCACGCCUGCCAUGUCGUCCUGACGGCUUGGCCCCACGCAGACUCACCGGGAAACAUGACGGCCUGCGGGCACCUCGUCCGUCGGUGCAGUGUAAAUGCCGCGUGGCGCCGCUUCGGAUCCCAGCCCAAGGUCGGGGCCGACUAUUUAAGCCGGUCGGUGCACCUAACCCUGUCUCAUCCGCCUCCUCCUUCUCUGUGCCGCCGCCCGAGCCCGUCUGCCUUCUCUCGCAGUUCCCUCUCCGCCAGGAUGGUCCGGUGACUCAUCACCACCUAUGCGCAGCUCACUCCGGAAGGGUGCCUUCAAAUCGAGGCGGAGAUCCAGGCUCGCCGCACCUCCCGCGUCGUUGCGGGUCUCCAUUCGAACUCGCCGGAUACAGAGAAGGAGGAGGAGGAGCAUCAGUCGAAGGCCAUGGAGGAGGAAGACCCGAAGGAGGAGGCUCCCGGCUAUAACAUGGCGGAGGCGGAGGCGGAGUUUGCCGUCGCCCAAUCGAAGAUGGCGGAGCAGGUGGCCAACCUGGAUUCCAUCCGGGAUGAGGCCGAGAUGGAGGCCAACCGUCGGCUCAUCCGGUAGAGGCAUGCGGAGGCUGACGGCCUCUUCGAUGAGCUGGACACGGAGAUUGAGGCAAAGGAGGCCGCAACGUAGCAGCCAGAGGUGCCGGAGGGAACGGAGCUGUGGCAGGCGGCCAUUUGUCCGUUAGAGGGCACGGAGAUCGUCGGUAUCUACGACGAGGAGUGGAUAGGUUCUAUGUAGUACGUAGGUUUCAUAUCUUUCAUGCUUUUAUAUUGAUUUGAGGAUCCUAAUAUGAGAUGUUCGGAUGUAGAAUACAUUAUUUGAGACGUGAUCGGUCAAUGUCCACGAUCGCACCCUGUCCGCGGGUGUUUGAGGGUCCGGAUUUGCAAGGUCCGAUUGUAAAUGCUCUAACCAACUCAAUACCUUAUUUUGACUUAAGUUUGUUUUUCGUAAACUUGAUAAAAUUCUGAAAAGUUGAACUUAAGUCAAACUAUAACGGAGGGAGUGCUUUAUUUUAUUUUCUUGCCGGUCUUUUUUAGCUGUCCCACAAAACGGAACUUAAUUAUUUUCUUUGUUGUGCAUAUUGCCUGCCAUAGAUACAUCACACAUAGUAAAUACCAAGUCAAGAAACUUUGAUGUUGGGUCAAGCGGCCACUAAUGACCGUCGUCGCCUGAUGGUGACCUGAGCCGCUGGAAGACGUCCCGUUGCCGGAGGUUCUCGCGGAGGCGGUGCGCGGCGAGUACGCGAUCCGGGACGUAGUGGCAGAGGCACCACUGCAGCCGGUGGCCGAGGUUGGGCAUGCAGACCGGGCGGCGGAACCCGAUCCAGCGCGCCGCCGCGCCGGCGUACGCGUCCGACGUCGGCACGAUCAGCCGCGACAGGAGGCCUGCCCCCCGCGUCACCAUGUUGGUCACCAUCUUCGUGUCCACGUACAACGGGGCCUGGCACUGCACGUCGAUUCCUUUGCCGCUGUACUCGACGUAGAGGCUCCUGGAGAAGUGAGACACGUAGCGCUUGGUAGCGGCGUAGACGGAGUAGAGCGGGUAGGAGGGCAGCGCCUCCGCCGCGCCGGAGCCGAUGUUGACGACGGCGCCCCUCCCGCGCCCCACCAUGCCGGGCAGAACGGCCGCCGUCACCUCCGUCACGGCGCACAGGUUCACCCGGAUCAUCUUCACCCACGCAUCCGCGUCGGCCUCGUGGAGGUACGUUGCGUGUGGCGUCGCCACGCCGGCGUUGUUCACCAGCACGCCCACCUCCAGCCCCUCCACCGCCUGCCGGAGCCGCCCCAUCUCCUCCUCCCCUGCGGAAACACGAUCGAUCAGUAUAGCUAGCACGUGCACGCAGUGGGCAGUUCUGUUCUUUGUGCGUGCUGCGUGGCUGGUGCCUCACCUUGAGGAGUGGAGACGAGGGAGAAGUCGAACAGCACGGUCUUGGUCUGCACGCCGUGGGCGUCGGAGGCGGUUCCGGCGAUGUCCUGGAGCUUGGCAGGGUCGCGGCCGACGAGGACGAGGUUUAGGCCGCGCCGCGCCAGCUCCAGGGCCAUGGAGCGGCCUAUGCCGGACGUCGGGCCGGUGACCACGGCCCACGCCCCGUAGCGGCGGCGAAGGUCCUUGGGCUGGCGCAGACUGAGCGCGAGGCCGAAGGUGUGGAGGAGGCGGCACGCGACGGCGGCGACGUAGAGGGCGCCGAGGAUGGCCAUCGAGACGAACCAUGCCGGCUGCUGCCGGAGCAGAGUGUCUGCGCCCAUCCGCCCGAGCUCUUCCUUCCCCACCGGAGUAGUGCGUGUCGGUCCAGGAUUUUUUAGAUUCGAGAGGCUCUGCAUUUGUCACCACGUCCCGCGAAUUUUAAACAAAAAGCUGUAUCGCCAUCAACGACCUACCAACAAACUACGAGUAGUACUCGAUUUGAUGCUAAAAAAAGAACUAGUACUCUAAUUGACCGCGCGUAAAGCCUAACCGAUGUGUAUGGGUAGGGUCUGCGAUCUACUCCUUCCGUUCCUAAAUAUAAGUAUUUUUAAAAAAUUCACUAAAAAACUACAUAUGGAUGUGUAGACAUAUUUUAGAGUGUAGAUUCAAUCAUUUUGCUUCGUAUGUAGUCUUUUAAUAAAAUCAUUUUGUCGUAUCUUCAUGCAUGUUAAUCAGUCUCUGUUUCAAGUAGUCAAUCAAGGAGAUUAGUUUGAUCGAGAUGUAAGUAUAUAUAUGUAACUGUUGAUUCAUGCCGUUCAGCUGGCGAGCGUCCGGAUGCUGCCGUGGGCCAAGGCGAACCUGAACCCCACCGGCCAGGCGCUCAUCGUCUGCACCGUCGCCGGGAUGGCAUACUUCGUCGCCGCCGACAAGACCAUCCUGUCGUUGGCGAGGAGGCACUCGUACGAGAGCGCGCCCGACCACCUCAAGGACACCUCCUUCCAUGGCGCCGCCGCGGUUCGUCCGGCAUUCUUAAGGCCAUGAGCUAAUGCAUGCAUCGAUCGUCGUGAGUGUCCCAGAAACUGCUCCUGCAGGCAUGCAUAUCUACUAUCAUCAUGUUCAUCCGGGUAUGUUCUUUAGGCCAUGAAUAUCUACUAUCAUCAUGUUUUAUAUUCAUGACAAAUCCGGGAGUAGAUAUCCGGGUAUGUUCUUUAUGCACAUCGAUCAUACGAUACAAAUUGUUUGAAUUCAACAGUUCAAGACAAAUCAAAACAAAUGAUAAUUCAACAAUCCGGACAUGCCAACAUGGUCCGACGGUGCAAUUCGCGUCGACGGAAUGAUGGACGGGAUGCGGGGUUCCUGCCGCGGCGAAGGGAGGGGGAGGGGGGGAGCUGCUAUUUCAUAUUCGCAGCUCCCUACGAUGCCGCCGCCGCAUCUUCAGGGUGAUAUUCUCCGGCAUGCACGACGAAGUCGAGGAUCGGACAUCGACGAACGAGGCGGUCACAGCCUCCGACAAGGCGGUUGGGGAUGAACUGGACGUUAUCUACGACGAUGGAUAGAAGCCGGUGUUGAGGAUGGCAAGCAAGGGGGCGGGAUGGCGAGGGCUUGGGCACGGUAAUGGCAGUAGGGAGGCGGGGGAGGACGAAGGGUUUGGUACAUUUUGUGUAAAUUAUGAUGGGGUCGGGCUAUCGCGUCCGACAUGGCGGGCACGUACGUGAGUCCCCAUAUCCGCCCCAUAUUUGGGUUGUAUAUGAGGGGUGAGGAUCAGCCUCGGCGUUUGAGUCUCAGUUUAAGAAGUCCGGGUCGCUUUUCUGUGACUAGUCACUAACCGGGCGUUUGAGAGGGGGUUAAGAGGUCCGGCUGUAAGAGCAUCUACAAUCGGACCCCUCAAACCCCCGGGCAGUCCGCUCGAUCACUGCCCGAUCACAAAAUUGUGAUCCGGACGGGCCUCUCAAACCGACCUAAAACGUCCGGGCUGACUCUGACCUCCCAUUUUCAACCCAAAUAUGAGGCGGAUAUGGGGGAGCCCGGGCACGCCGAGGCACGCCUGCCAUGUCGUGCUCACGGCUUGGCCCCAGGCGGACUCGCCGGGAAACAUGACAGCCUGAGGGGCGCCUUGUCCGUCGGUGCAGUGUGAACGCCGCAUGGCGCCGCUCCGGGUCCCUGCCCGAGGUCGGGGCCGACUAUGAUGCAGGCGGAGCAGACAUUCCAAAUGCAGGCGGAGAUGAUUGCCGAGGCGGAAAAUGACAAGUUGGACGAGCAGGGAUGCAUGGAUGAAUUUGUUCACCUAAUGAUCAAAAAGGCAUCCCUUGUCGCUCGGACAUUAAUUUUAUUUUACCAUGUCCAGCUUGUCGAACUAUGAUUUCAUUUGAUUUUGUUUUAAAAUACGGUUUUGCUAAAACUCAUUCAGCUGAGAUUUUUUUUGGUCUCAUUCACUUUUUUAACCCUAGGAUUCAAUCACAUCCGGAUUUGAGUUUUGUAGAAGUGACGAGUCGCCUCGCGAUGAGGCUGCCCAUCUAUUCGCCUCGCCGCACCUUUUUCCCGUGAUGGGCUUUUGUCCGCUGGACUUGUGUGGGCUUAUGACAGUUAUGUUAGUUCUUUUUUCUCUUUAUACUAGGCCAUAGGGAACAAGCGACUUUUUUUUCCUGCAUUUUGGUUUUCUUUGUUGUUUCAUUUUUUAUCCAUUAUUCCUAUUUUACCUUUAUUUUUUCAAUAUUUAUCAUUUUCUACUUUGUUUUCAUUGUUUGGUUGGAAGAGAACAUUUAAAGAUUUUUUAAACUAAUUUCUACUAAGAUGAAAUUUGGUUAACUUUUUAAAUGUACUAGAAAAUAAUUUUUUUAUACUUGUAUUUUGUGUUCCCAGAUUUUCUUUCUCAUUAGGCAGUGCGAUCACAAAGAUAUUACAAUUGACAUCGAACGAGGAUUAUCGGGCUAGUUGUAUGUCUAACAUUAGACAUGCAACUUCAAACAUUUAUAACUCAGCCGCAAUUGCAUUGAGUGCAAGACACUGCAAUUGGGGUCGGGACGGGGUUUGUCGGACCAGUUGUAUGUCCAUUACUAGACAUGCAACUUCAAGCAUUGGAACCCGACUGCAAUUGCACUAGGUGCAAAGAGACUACAACUGGGGUCGGAACGGGGGUUGUCGGACCAGUUGUAUGUCCAUUACUAGACAUGCAACUUCAAGCAUUGGAACCCGACUGCAAUUGCACUAGGUGCAAAGAGACUACAACUGGGGUCGGAACGGGGGUUGUCGGACCAGUUGCAUGUCCACUACUAGACAUGCAACUUCAAGCAUUGAAACCCCGGCUGCAAUUGUACUGGGUGCAAAGAGACUGCAACUGGGUUCGGGACAGGGGUUAUCAGACCAGUUGCAUGUGCACCAGUAGACGUGCAACUUCAAGUAUUGAAACCCCACUGCAAUUGCACUGGAUGCAAAGAGACUGCAACUGGGUUAGGGGUGGGGGUUGUCAAACCAGUUGCAUGUGCAACGUUGAAACCCGGCUGCAAUUGCAUUGGAUGCAAAGAGAUUGCAAGUGGGUUCGGGAUGAGGGUUGUCGGACUAGUUGCAUGUGCAUCAGUAGACAUGCAAAUGCAAAAAAGAAAAAGACACAAGCAGCCGUGAACAUGAUGCAUCGUAUAUCCUAGUUGACAUGCGCAGAAGAUUUGCGUGUAAGCAUUUUCUUCCUUUUCCUCAAAUAUUCCAGCCAUGCAAAUGUAGAAAAAACAACAAGACACAGAGAAUUAUAUAGCUACGUAGUAAAAACAAGCCCAGCCGAGCCAACAUAACAUAUUAACACAAAAAAAUAGCACAAGAAAGAAAUAGUAAUAUAACAUAAAAAAAUGAAUGAGAUCAAAUUAUAUAUCAUCUAGAUGAGUUCUAGCCAAACCCUUUAAAAUAUUGAAAUUAAAUAAACUAUAUCAGAUGAUUGAUAUAUAUGAUUGAUUAUUGUGUAUGAGGAUACAAAUAUGUGACGCAAUAUGUAGAGGGCCGGCGAACGUUGUCCACGGCGCAUCGGCGGAUGUAUCGGGGACUGAAUUUACCAGUCCGGCUGUAGAUGCUCUCACAAAGAGAAGGGCUGGUCAGGCUGGGGCGCACAUGCCGCCGGUUUCCCCCGCAAACUGGAAGGUGCCGCUCGCCGAAACGAGUCACGACCACGAGUGAAACUGGCGGCACUUGCAGCCGCACAUGCUCUGUUUCGUUUCUCAUCCCACAGUUUUAUAUGUAUUGUGAUGAGAUCGGCACUGUGAUGUCUAACUUUAGAUCUUUAGUGUGUAAAGAAAGACGAGGGCGCAGUGGAGGAUACUACCAACAAACAUCAUCAAUCCUAUGGAUCCCUACCAUAGUUUUGGAUACAGUUCCGCACUCCAAGUCCAAACGAGUGAGCAGAGAGAGCACCCACGGUUUCCGCCCAAAACCGUGCGUGGCGGCCACCUUUUUGCUCGCUAUAAAUACAUGGCUAGCUCCUCGUCCUGGAGGCAUCAAGCAACAACAAGCCAGGCAGCGCAUCUCAUCUCACUCUAUCGCACUCCUUGUACUGAGCCGUUUCUGUACAAGAUCACGGCCAAGAUGUCGUCGACGGCCACCGUCACCGGCGCCAACCCCGAGAACAAGCUCGCCCUCGCCAAACGCUGCUCCAGAGGUAAUAAAUAACCAGGAUCCACAGCUGAAUCACGCUUUCCAAGUUGUUUACUGCUAGUCUGACAGUAGCAAUGCGUUUAUUUUGUCAAUCUUCCUCAGAGGCGACGCUCGCCGGAGCAAAGGCGGCGGCCCUCGCCACGGUCGCGUCUGCGGCGGCAACGGUGAGCUAGCUCCUUUGUCUAACAUGACUUGUUGAUUUUCGUUCACGUUGGACUCUGGUUUCCAUAACUGAACUACUAUUAAUCACGCAGCUGGCGAGCGUGAGGAUGCUGCCGUGGGCCAAGGCGAACCUGAACCCCACCGGCCAGGCGCUCAUCAUCUGCACCGUCGCCGGGAUGGCCUACUUCGUCGCCGCCGACAAGACCAUCCUCUCGCUGGCGAGGAGGCACUCGUACGAGAGCGCCCCCGACCACCUCAAGGACACCUCCUUCCAUGGCGCCGCCCCUCGUCCACGUCCACCGCCACCGGCGUUCUUCAGCCCAUGAGCUAGUGUUCCUGCUAAUGUAUGCAUCGUCGUCAGUGUCCCAAGAAACUGCUGCGGAAUGAAUAAUUGAAUAUCUGUCGUCGAAAUUGAAACUACUACUUCUACUUAUGUUAUCAUCGUUGUUAACCGCUGACAUGUACUUUCUCUGUACCUCUUUUGGUUCGGUUGCCGCUCUUUUGGUUUGGUGGGUUUAGCUGUGUUGUAUCCUCUGUUCGGGUAUAUACAACGUCAAGUAUAUACAUUGUUAAUUAGUUUGGAACAACGUCAAGCGCAUUCGUACAGUCGAGGCCAGAUGGAUCGAACUCAUGACGUUGUGGAGCAGAGAGGAGCCUGCCGCAGGGCGGCACUGUAUGUGCCGCUGGCAUAUGCAAGUCGAGUGGGGAAGAACGGGCACAACGAUGUCAGAAUCGGCGUCGAUCGGCCGGCGACAUACAAAUGGGUUCGGCGGAGCGAGAGAGGGGAGGGGGGUUAAGCCCGGGUGAUGGCUUGUAUGCCUAUCAUCUAUCAGCCAACCACGUGCGAAAUAUAGGAACACUGCUAACCUACGUGCCGGCUUGGCUGCUAUGAGCAUCUACAGACGGAACAUGCAAAUCUGCCCCCCUCAAACGCGUGCGGACGUGCACAAUCAAUGAUCGACCGUGUUUGUUUUAAGACUCUACUUUUUAUCUGUGCAAUCGCACUUUUCAUAUUUUUUCUUAUAUGUCCGAUCGGUUACAUGUGAUUGAUGGAGAAGAAGAAAAAGAAAUAAAAAAUAAAUAAACAAAGAGAAAAAGUGGUCCUAGGUGGCGGACUCGCCAGGCGUGUCCAGACGCGUCUGCGAGCUCUCAUAUCGUCCUCAUAUUUGAGAUGGAUAUGAGGGUGCCGAUCAGUCCAAACGUUUGAGAUGGAUUUGAGGGGUCCGAUUGUAGGUGCUCUAAGGGCAUCUCUAGCCGGACGCCUUAAACGACCCCUCAUAUCCAUGUACACGGCCGGUCAAUGAACGUACAUGACCCCUCAUAUCAUCCUUAUACGUCUGGACUAUCCGCAAAUCCUCAUAUCCAUAUCAAAUAUAGGGAGCAUAUGAGGGCUCGCGGACGCGCCCGGCUCACCGGUCAGUCCGCCACAUAGGGCGCGACUCAUCCAAACCAUCUUUUCUCUUUCUUUAUUCGUUUUCUUUCUCUCUCUUCCACUCGAUCAAUCACGUGCAAGUGACCGGACAUAUGAGGAAGAAAAUAAGAAAAAUCUGACUGCGCAGACGGACAAAUAUCAGACAUGCCCGGUCACUGACCGGGUGCGUCCAUAAACAUUUAGGGGGUCAUAUUUGCUAUGUACAACUGUAGAUGCUCUAACGUCGCGUCUAUAUGGCAGCGUACUUCUGGAAGGAGAACGCUGCUAAAUGUUUGGGGUUUGAAUUUUUUUAAUGUAAACACAAUCUAAAAAUUUGGAACUUUGUGUGGUAUCAUUAUAUUAAACUUUGUAUUUUUAACCAAAAAUUAGAAAGAUUCCUUCCAAACCUAAGAGGUAUCUCGACAGGUAAUCCAAAGAAUUUUGAAAAAAGCGUGCCCGAUUUAAGAUAAAGAUGGUAGUAUUGUCAUUUGUUUCACUUCAUUGUCUCGAUUUGUUUUUUUUAUUCACUUGAAGAGUGUCUAUGCCUUUAGUAUGCACCAUUUUGUAGUUACAUAUCCACUUAUGAAUUUACUGAGGUUGUUUUUAUUUUAAAGAGACUUAAUAUAAAAAAUUACUUAGCAUCGUUUAAGUAUCAAAACACACUACUAGUGCGGACCAUUAGGGCAUGUGCUGUCACGGGAAACAUUGUUGGUAGUAUUUAUGUAUUUUAGUAUUUUAAACAGAACUACGGUGUUUUGUGUUUCAAAUUUUAUUAAGUAAACUUUCACGAGACAUUUCAAACACUACAAUUUUUUUAUUCAUUUUAAGAAAAUGUAAACACCUAUGAAGAAAAUGAGACAUGCGAUGUUUUCGUUAUACAUGAACACUUGAAGGUGUGUUUAUAAUUUAGGAGUGUUAUAAAAAGUUUUCAUAUAAAUUCCUUUGAAGUGCACAUUUGCUUUCAUGAAAGGAAUUAGAUAAUUCGACACAACAUGUCCUUUUUUAUUUCAAUGAGCAAUAUAAGCGACGUUUACAGGAGGACCACACACGACUGCCGCAAGCAAAUUUAGCGGCGCCCCACACAAAGUACACGCUGAAAAUGUGUUGGUCCCGAGCCAUGUUUAUUCGAAAAUGUGUGGGUCCCGAGCCAUGUUUAUUCAUGAGAUUCACAUUUUCAAUUAAUGGUGCUCGAGUGAAAAACUAGCCGCGUUCCUGGAUCAUAAACGCUGCCAACUGUUUUGGACUGGUGGGCAUGUACUGUUCACCUUUGUAGGAGCGUUUAAAUAAGAGCUCUUUUACCGUACCGGCCCUCCGAUAGAUAUGGCCGUGUAUUCUCGAAAUCCAAAGGUGGUAACCCAUCUAUACUGCUGAACCUGGCCAAUACCAUCCGCCAGCAGUAUAGGUGGCACUCGCCGCUCCGUGUGAGCAGUAUAAUUAUGUAAGGAUAAUUUAGGGAGAAAGAAAAUUUGUAGCCCAGCUCCCGACUUGCUCGGCUGCAUGCACGCGCCCCUCGGCUAGGAUUUCGGCGGUCGCCUCGUCGCCUCAACGCUGUUACCAUGCUCGUUCGACCAUGAUGGUCGACUGCCGCGAGGCCUCCUCUUCCCCCAUUCCUCUGUAUAGGCGGCGGAUGUCGGCCUCAUGUCCCGCCCUUCCUCUGUGCCAGCGGCCGCAUCGCCGCCUCCACCCCUGUCCAUCGUCCUUGUGGACCGACGAUGCUAUGCCGCCGCCCAUGAUCGUCAACCGCCGCGAUCGACGAGGCCUCCUAUUCCUCCCUUCCUUUGUGCUGGCCGUCGUCGCCGCAUCUCAUCUUCAUCGGUGAUUCUGCGUCUCAUUCCUUGGUCAUGCUUGUGGACAGAGCGCUUAGAGCUAUGGCACAGUUGAUUGAUCUGCCUCGCAACCAUCGGCGCUGGCUAGGGAAAUUAUACAUAGCAUUCAAAAGCUACUAAACGACGGGCUCCGACGAUCAACCAAAAUACAACAUCACCAUCGACUCGGAGUUGAGUGAUUAACCACCAUGGCACCAAAGACACAGAAGGUGAGAGAAGUUGCGAUCUGUAUUCUUUUUUUUGUUUUACAGGAAGUGGCAUGUAUUGUACUGAUUAGGACUGAACAUGUGAGGGGUGAUACGUGUCCAGGCGGGAGGUGCUGCCGGCAAGUACGCAACGGCUAGGUUAAUGGGCGUCCGACGGUCUAUGUCAAGAGCGCCGGUGAACGCUGCCAACUCGAAGUAGCAGCAACACACUGGGAAAUAGGGACGCAAUGGCCCGUUCGGCGACGGUGGAGCCGACUAGUCCGCACUACUUUGAGUUGGCAGCGGCGAGCAAGGGGACGACGAGACCGGCCGAUUGCGGAUUGUUAGAGUUAUUUUAGAAAACAAAAAAAAAUGACUAGAACUACCCUCACGAAAUCAUGGGUGGCUGAUUGUAUACUGCUAUCUUUCAUCUUUAACAGUACAAGGUACCAUAAAAAAGCUCUUGAAUAAUAGACACACUGCGACUAGACUUUCGUUAGCUAAGUAAACGUUGCCAACUGUUCUCGACGAACGCUGGUAGUGUUUUCGCCAAAGAGUUGUGAGGAAAUUUCUUAUAUAACACUAUUUUAAAUGCUGGUUUCCUAUUUAAUACUGAAGAAAUAUUUCUUCUUUAUGUGGUACCGAGUGUAAAUAUUAUGUCUUAUCUAACAUUUUCGUCCAUUCUGUUAGUCCACGCCGUUAAAGUGAACUUACAUUGACGAAACUGUCCCUAUUCAUAGAAAAAAAAAAGAGAAAGGAGAGAAAUCCCCGGCCCCGAGCGACGCCUCUCUCUCUCCCGCGACAGGACCCAACCCACCCUUUCUCUUGUUCACCCUAACCCUAGCGAGAUGGACGGCGGCGGUGCCGCAUAUGGAUCCGUGCCAGAGGGGCCAGCCAGGCCACGACGCCGGAUGGAUCCGGCAAGGGCGCGACCCCGGAUGGCCCCGGACAGGGCGCGACCCCGGAUGGCCCCGGACAGGGCGCGACGCCGAAGGGGCCGACCGAGGAUGCAACGCCGGAGGGGCUGGGGCAGGGCGCGAUGAUGGAGGGGCCGGGGCAGGGCAACGAAUUUAGGUUUGUCGUUAACUUGCAUGACAACACAUGUUCUUGUAGACAAUGGCAAGUUUCUGGUCUUCCUUGCAGAUAUGCUCUAGCAUUCAUCACAUCGCUUGCCAAUGCACAUAUAAAAAACUUUGUGGAGUUGUAUUACUCCGUUGACAAGUUUAUAGCAGCUUAUGGCCAACUAAUCCCUGCUAUGUGUGACAAGACCCAGUGGCCUGAAUCUAACCAUGGAUUCUUCAUGCAUCCACCCUUGCUAAAAGCCCUAGCUGGUCGGCCCAAAAUAGAGAGGCAUAAGGGUUGUGGGUGAGAAAAAGAGGAAAAGUGACCUGCACUUAUGCCCUAUUUGUAAGGAAUACGGGCACCAUUGGAACAAGUGCAUGAAGGGGAACACAGAUCACAUUGCUGCUUUGAUGGAUGUGAGGUAAUCAGCUAUGCAUUUUACUUUCUUACUGCAUAUUAACUACUUUCUUGCAUUACUAUUUUGUAUUCAACUAUGCAUGUGAACUACUUUCUUAAUGCUCGUGUAGAGAACCACCAAAGAAUAGGGGGGAGAUUACCAAAUCAACCAAGUCAUCCAUUGUGCCAAGAGGUGAUGAAGCACCCGCAACCAUGUAUUUUUCACCAAGGUUAAUAAUACUGCACCUAUUCAUUUUGCAAACGGAAAAUGAGUUUGAUUAGUGCCAUAUGAGAUCUGAGUUUGUUUUGUGUGUCCCAAAGCUUAGAAAUUACAACCAAAAAGAAGGGAAAACAUAGCCAAACCUUGAAGACUAUAAAUAAGAAAAAUGGAAAAGGGUGUAAAAGGUGACUUUUCCUAAUUCUGAAUUUUAAUAUCACAUAUAAUGCAUAGUUCAUGUCGUUAUUUGAUCUGAAAUUACUGCUGCAAUACACGUACAAGUGUAGAUCGACGAAGGGGAAGAAGAUGGAGCUUGCUAAAAAGGAUGAAAGUUGUGCUAUGGUGCCAUUUGACAGCCCUGUAAUGGACACUAGAAGCAAAAAAGACUAGCCCAACCAGCUAUGCAAUGAGCACAAGAAGCAAAAGAAGGCUUAGCUUGUGAAUAAAAUUUCAUUUCUUUUGGUUAAAGUCACUUCUGUUGCUGCUCGUGUCAUAUUGUGUGGACUCAUGUAUGUGAAGUUUUGGUCACUUGGACUAUGUACGCGAACCUAGAUAUGAUGACAAUCCUUUUGUGUUGCUCAUAUGAUGUGAACUUGGAUGUUGGACCCUGAUACGUCCAUUUUGCAUCAUGCUUUCAUGUUGAUAUUUAUCGCUUUAUGAAAUGUUAUUAUACUUUGUGGUAUCAUACUUAUGCCUUUUCUCUCUUAUUUUGCAAGGUUUAUUUGAAGAGGGAGAAGACCGACAGCUGGAAUUCUGGACUGAAAAAGGAGCAAGUCUGAGUCCUCUAUUCUGCGCAACUCCAAAUGCCCUGAAAAUCAACGUGGAAUUUUUUGGGAUUAUAUAAAAAAUAUUGGGCGAAAGAAGUGCCAGAGGGAAGCUGCCAGGGGCCCACAAGCCUGGUGGCCGCGGCCUGCCCCCCUGGCCGCGGCCAUAGGGCUUGUGGGCACCCUGGUGGCCCACUGGCCCCCCUCUUCUGCUAUAUGAAGGGUUUCGUCCGGAAAAAAAUCAGGGCGGAGCUUUUUUGUGGAUUCUCUGCCGCCACGAGGCGGAACUUGAGCAGAACCAAUCUAGAGCUUCGGCAGGACGAUCCCGCCGAGGAAACUCCCCUCCCGGAGGGGGAAAUCAUCGCCAUUGUCAUCACCAACACUCCUCUCAUCGGAGGGGACUCGUCACCAUCAACAUCUUCAUCAGCACCAUCUCAUCUCCAAACCCUAGUUCAUCUCUUGUAACCAAUCUCCGUCUCGCGACUCCGAUUGGUACUUGUAAGGUUGCUAGUAGUGUUGAUUACUCUUUGUAGUUGAUUCUAGUUGGAUUACUUGGUGGAAGAGUUUAUGUUCAGAUCCUUGAUGCUACUCAUUACACCUUUGAUCAUGAUUAUGAUUAUGCUUUAUGAGUAGUUACUUUUGUUCCUGAGGACAUGGGAUAAGUCUUGCUAUUAAUAGUCAUGUGAAUUUGGUAUUCGUUCGGUAUUUUGAUAUGUUGUAUGUUGUAUUUUCCUCUAGUGGUGUUAUGUGAACGUCGACUACAUAAAACUUCACCAUAUUUGGGCCUAGAGGAAGGCAUUGGGGAGUAGUAAGUAGAUGAUGGGUUGCUAGAGUGACAGAAGCUUAAACCCCAGUCUAUGCGUUGCUUCGUAAGGGGCUGAUUUGGAUCCACUAGUUUAAUGCUAUGGUUAGACGUUGUCUUAAUUCUUCUUUCGUAGUUGUGGAUGCUUGCGAGAGGGGUUAAUCAUAAGUGGGAUGUUUGUCCAAGUAAGGGCAGUACCCAAGCGCCGGUCCACCCACAUAUCAAACUAUCAAAGUAACGAACGUGAAUCAUAUGAACAUGAUGAAACUAGCAUGACAGAAAUUCUCAUGUGUCCUCGGGAGCGCUUUACUUCCUAUAAGACUUUGUUCAGGCUUGUCGCUUGUCCCUUGCUACAAAAGGGAUUGGGCCACUUUGCUGCACCAUUGCUAUUACUUGUUACUUGUUACUUUUCACUUGCUACGUUUCACCUCACUACACCAUCACUUGUUACCGCUACUUUCAGUGCUUGCAGUUAUUACCUUGCUGAAAACUGUUUAUCAGAGCCUUCUGCUCCUCGUUGGGUUCGACACUUUUACUUGUCGAAAGGACUACGAUUGAUCCCCUAUACUUGUGGGUCAUCAGACCCGUAUAUGUGAACCUGGAUAUGUUGUACGUGAUAUAUGCGUAUUUGGAUGUGAGUCUGGUGUUUAUGUGCAAAUCUGAAUAUUAUUUGUUGAAAUAUUUGUAUAUGUGAAUUGUGUGAUCCUGAUAUGCAUCAAUUUAUAGGGGAGAUCUACCCAAAUUUUGAACUACUUUGUAUGUGAUGAAUUUUGGUCACAACUUCAUCAGGGAUAAAAUCAUCUUCUCACGUACCAUUUAACACCGUCAAUGGUCAAAAUGGACGGAAAUGUUAGAAAGGGAACAAAUUUUAGUGCUGGUGUUACAUAAGGAAGAAAUAAUUUUAAAGUAUUAAAUAGGACAAACAAAUUUAAGCCAAUGUUAAAUAAGGAAUUCUCUCAAGAGUAGUCGUGUUUGACUUCUGCCACACGCUGCUAGUACUAAAAUUCCGUAAGAGUUCUUGAACUAGUGACCGGGACAAACAAGGAGCCCCCAAUAGAAAAGUACCUUAAUUUGUAGGACAGGUGCAUUGGAGCCAUAUAUUUCUAAUAGUGCAAAAUUGCUAUUUUAAUGUUUCAUAAAAAUCUGACAAUAAAUCAGCAUGUUUAUAUGGAUGUAUAUUACACAUGUGUAAAUUUUGGUGCUGAAAUUAGUAACCAUGUGAGUUGCACAAAAAUGGAAAAAAUCAUGAUUUUGGAUAGAUGAAUAGUGUGUGUAUUAUUCACUAUUUGCAAAUCACCAUUUUGUCAUUUUUCUCUAUCUCACAUGUUCACUUAUUUGAUCAAUCCACAUGAUCAAGUAGACUAUUUUCAGAAUUUUUGACAUUCUAAAUAUGAUACUUGAAGUAUUUAAAAUAAGGUCCUCCAAUACACCUGGGCUCCAAAACUCCACUCGGACCUCCAAUUGCAUGUUAGGGGUAGAAUUGUGGCCGGUGACAAAAAUACCUCCUCUCAAGUUACCCGUCGAGGGUAGACUUGUUAUUCGGAAAAACAUGUUUACAACCUAGUUGUGUAUCGAGGAUAGACUUUCAACUCGGACGAAAAGGGGCGCCCCUCUAGCUGCAUGUCAUGGGUGGAAUUGUAACUGGAGAAAAAAAGGGUCGGGCCCCCAUUUCGUUUCGAGAGUGGGAGAACUAGGACAAAAAUGAGGUCCAUGCCCCAUUGUGUAUCAAGGAUGGAUUUUUAACUCGGACAAAAUUAGGUAGGCCUCCCUAGGUGCAUGCCAAGACUGGAUUUGCAACUAGGAAAAAUGUCAGGCUCUCUAGUUGUGUGUUGUUGGUGGAUUUGCAAGUGGGACAAAAAUUGGGCCAAGCCAGCCGUGUAACGAGUGCAAGCCAUAGACUUUCACUUCCAUAAAGGUUUCCUCUUCGAGAUCGAACUUGAAGAAAGUAGAAAUAGGCAACACAAGCGACAUAACAUGUCUCUUCUACUUUUACAACACAAGGAAGAUGAAUGGGAAGAGGGCAAGAAAAAAAGGCUUGAUAAACAACAUACGUGCACUUUUCUUGACUCUUUCAAUUCUACGUCAUGGUUAAGAAGCAGCGCGACAAAAUGGGGUGUCAGCGUAUCAUGAUGAUGGAACGGCAAAAUCGAGCCAAACAUGCCAACAAAAUGAUGUGUGACAAACAAACAGACAACUACCAACGAGGCGGGGUAUCAAGCGCUUGCACGAAAACUACAUAAACUAAAUCAUAGAUGGCGAACUUAGAUAAGACAUCGUUAAAGAUCACCUAGAUGUGAUUUAGCAAUUCAAAAAUAUAAGUCUAAAAAACAUAUGAAGCGAGUGACAAACUAAUUAACAAUGGUAAGAGGCAAAUGCAGAGGAAUGGGAAAUGAUACAAAUUCUGAAGUGACCACUAUUGUGUCUCUUUUUCCAAUACUCUCUCCCUCUCAUGCUCUCAACAUACCUCUUCGGAUUUCAUAUUCGGCACUUUCGACGUGUGUUGCAGGCUAUUCUGUUAACCGGCACUUAUGUGAGGCCAUCUUAUGGUUAACUGGCACUUUUGCUAGAAAAUGGGCCAACCCGGAAGGUAGUGAUGUUCUUUUUGUUUAGUUUUUUGGACCGGGUCUUCUCUGUCUUUUUUUUAUUUUACCUUUUCAUUUUUUAUUUCUAAAUUUUUUGCACUUUAAAAAAAAUUCAAAAACUUAUCAGCGCUAUUAAAGCUUUUCAAGUUUUGUGAUUUCUUUUCCGCUUCCGCAAACAAAAAUUAUAUGGUGAACUUUUUGAAAACCAUGAACAAUUUUCAUAUUGGUGAACCAUUUUUCUUUUUAUGAACAUUUUUCAAAUCCAGGAAGUUUCCCUAAAUUUAAGAACAUUUUUUAAAUUCUUGAACUUUUUCAAAUUUGUGACCAUAUUACGAAAAAUCCAUGAGCUUUAUACAAAUUUGUGGAAUUUCGCAUACGAGUGAACUUUUACAAAUAAAGAUUUUUUGUAUAUCCGUGAGUUUUCCAUUCAUGAACUCUUAUUUUAAAUUGACGAUUUUAUUUUUCAAAAUUAAUAACUUUUUAUAAAGUCGCAAAUACUUUUCAAAUUCGUGAAAUUUCACCUAAUCCACUAAAUAUUUAUUCAAAUUCGCAAAUUCUUUAUUCAACCCAUAUUUUUUCCAAAUUUGUAAAAAAUAGAAAUCCACAAUAGUUUUACAAAUUCAUACAUUUUUUUGACUCUACGCAAUCCGCAAACUGUUUUAAAGUGUGUAAAAUUUUUAAAACACGUGGACAAUUUAAAUUCAUCAACUGUUUUGAAAUAUAUGAUUAUUUUUCAAACCAAUGAACUUUUUUGCAUUACUGAAGUUUAUUUGAAUUGGCGAACAUUUUCAAAAAUUCCUGAAAUUUUAUCCCAUUCGCAAGGUUUGUCAUAUUUUGUGAACUUUCAAAAUUUUAUGAAAAUCUCUUAAAAUGUUUUCUGAUGCAGUACACUAGCUACUUUUCAUAAGGAAAAUCUAACAUUUUAGCAAUUUGAGGGAGAAUACGUGCUAGCGAUGCAUUCGGGCGCUGAAGGCCCCGUAGGAGGUGCGCCCACGCGAGAGCCCACUGGGCUGAGAUCCAAAAUUCGCUCGCUCCCUUGAGAAAAAAGGAUCGCUAGCUGCGUCAUUCACGAAUCUCUUUUCGUACAGGAUAGCUCGCUCCUUGAAAAGAGCUGAAAACACGUUCAUGAAUUAGAUAAACAUUCGUGAAUUUGAAAAGGUUCAUGAAUUUUCAAAAAAGUAGUGCACAAAUUUGGAAAAGGAGUUCAUUAAUUUUGAAAAAGGUAAUCUAUUUUCAGGUCUCGAAUUUGGAAAAACAUAUUAUAAAUUUUGAAGAAACAUUCAUAAAAUCUGAAAAGAGUUCAUCAAUUUGGAAAGUUUUCCCAUUGAAUUACAAAAAUAAUCAUCAAUUUUGAAAAAGGAUCAGAAAUUUGAAAAGAUUGAUCAAUUUUGACAAAGUUCAUCGAUUUUGCAAGAAAAAUUCAUGACUUUGUAAAAAAUAUGCAUUUAAGAAAACAAAAAGAAAGAAAGAACAAGAACAAGUUAAAGAAUAAACAGAAUACACCGCCUCCAAACUGAUCAGUGAACCAGGAAAACCGGUUUUGGAAGCUUCUGGAAGAAUCCCAAAACCAGGCUUUCACAAGCGGGCGAGAUGGUCUAACGGUUGCUGUGCUUCGAGUUUAACUGAAAAAAAGAAGAGAAAUGGGCUACCUCAGAGUGAGCUGCAACCGGUGCCUAAGGCGGUAUAUAGAAUCUUGCAGAGGUCUCCUCGCACUUCUUAAUCUGAAAAAAGCUGAAAAAACCAAAACGGCAGUCUACACAAAAAAUACGAAACACAGCCACAUACGUGGUCAUGGCCCACUAGGGCCCACGCAUCCCAAGCCCAUACACACAUAUACAUGCAAAGAAAAGGACAAUGAAUCCCCGCUCAAACAAGGCAUUUCCUAAGCAACGCUUAAGAGUGUACUAGUACAUAUGCCCGUGUGUUGCGACGGGUGAAAAACAACAAAAAGCUACACCUUUUGACAUUAUGUGUCGUUUUUUUUAUCCAACUCUGAAAAGCAUCACAAAUAAGACUAUUCUCAUCCCUAGAAACUUUGUAAAACUAAAGUUGUUUACCAAAAAGUAAAACUACAAGUAUCUAGAUAAAAAAAAUGGAAGGAAAACUUUGUCAUUCAUGAAAAAUAUGUCAUGUUUUCUUGAUUUUAGCAACUUAAUGUUACUUGGCGACUCCUAUGAAAUAAAGACAUAGAGAAAACUUCAUUCAAGUAUGAAUAAUUUUUUGGAAAAUUAGGCGGCCUAUAGGCUUUUACACUCUCCAUAUAGCUUUUGCACUAACAUGUUUUAUAUUACGUCAAUUUGAACUUGCUUGCUCUAUUCAAUUGCCUGGAUUCUCCAUUUAAUUUGAGAGAAAAAUGAAAUUCUUGUUCGUAUAAUCGAUAGACAAAAAGAAUGCCGACUAUCGGAUUUGUAUCGACAACCCUCGCAUUACAAAUGUGGAAGGACCAAGAAUAGAUUGCUAGGCUACUUUGUUUAGCAUUUGAAUCACCUACUCUUUUUUCUUUAUUCAAUCUAUCUUCAGGCAGAGUCAUCAUAUCUUAUAUUAUACUCCGUUUGUUUGCAACGUGAGAAAGAAAUACCAACGCUCUUAUUUUAUAAAAAAAUGGUCUAUAAUCUGAGAAUUUGUAGUUACGACACAAAUAAAGAUGGUCUUAUCCUACAAAAAUGCAGUUCAAAAUUUCACAGGUCUUCUAUUUUAACACGGCUUGCAUGUAGAUUUAAUACAUACAAAGAAUCAGUCAAGUGACCUUCAGUUUCAUCUCUAAUCCUGAUUUUGUUGACGUGUUCAUCCCCAAACCGGAUGAGUACCAGUAUGAAAGAAAGACGAAUAAUGACUUAUUUAUUAAGAUUGCACCCUAGAUAGUAUUUUUAUUAAACAUUUAACAGAUAAAAUAAUAUCAUAUUUAAAUUCUACAUAUUUUUCUAAUCAAAUUCCAUAUAUAAUAUGUUAAAUUUGGAGUUACAGUUUAUUAAAAGAUAUGAGUAUUUUAAAAAACAUUUAAUAUAUACUACAAGUUUAAUGUCAUAAACAGUAAGGACUUUUUUGUAAAAUCACCUCGGUGGGUUUUCCGACGAAAGCGAUAGCCUCUUUAUUAUUAGGUAAAGAUUAUCACGCGGCGUCGAGUCUGCAUACAUAUUUUAUGCAUUUUCAUUUAUUGGGGAUUAACUUGCAACAGCAGAAAAAUUGACAGGUUCCAUUAUUAGGGGAGGGAUAAACACUAAAUUAGCCGUCAAAUGUUUUGAAUUAUAGGUCAAAGAAAAAAGCCUUAUAUUUGAUACAGAGGGGGUUUACAUAUUAUUAGGGGAGCCGUGCCUAAAUUAGCAACCCAUACAUGACUGUGUGCAUGAUCACCAAAAUCAAGGGCCGCUAUGGAUUUCAGAGCUCUUCUUGCAUUAGUUUGGCAAAAUCUUUUUCAAAAGUGUACUCGUUUUUCUUACUGAUUCACGAGGAGGUUUAUUGAGUUUAAUUUGCAGACCUAUAUAAAUAGAUGAAUUUGUGUGUAAGGCAUCAAUGUCUGCUUUAUUUCGCUUCGUUCCCGUUCUUCAUUUCCUUAUUAUCGAAUCCAUGGGGGAGGCUUAUUGAGUUUAAUUUGCAGACCUAUAUAAAUAGAUGAAUUUGUGUGUAAGGCAUCAAUGUUGGACUAUGCAUACGGACCCUUCUUUUUUUCUACAGGAGCAUGGUGUAUGCAGCCUUACAAACCAGUUUGUUGGCCCACGUUAGAAAAUCGGAACCCUGGAGUGGCUUAAAAACAAAAAUAGAUCGGGACACUCAUACCCAGGGUCGCUCAUGCAUAAAAAAAAAUCGGUGGGGUGUUGGUGUCUAGACUCAUAGUAUUCUUCUACUGAUAGAUUCAGCCCUAUAUCGUGUGUGUUAGUCUAUUUAGUUUAGUUAGUGCCCACGAUACCAUUCUUGUUGGUCGUGAGUUUGAAUCCGUGUACCUGCAUAUAUUUAAAAAAUAAAUAAAUAAAGUGAGAUAUGCAGGACUCGAACCUAGGUCUUAGAGGUAGAAAUAUGGAACCCCGACCAGUGCACCACUCCCACAUUCAUCGCAGUUUAACGGCUCGCUUUUUGAUAAACCAAUCACGACGCAGCGAUUUUUGAAAAAGAAACACGAAUCGUUUUUUCUCACUUAUGGAUGGCAUGGUGGAUAAUUUAUGACAACUUUAGGGGCAAUUUAUAAGAACGAAACAUUUUUCUGGUUAGUCACUUAAAGAGGAUGACAGGUUAAUUACCCGAAAAGACAGGGACUUUUUCGUAAAAAAGCCACGACGUACGACAGAAGUAGUAACUGUUUUAUUAUUAGGGAGAGAUUUGAUAGCAUUAUCAGCCUAGCGGUGUACUUGUUUGUUUUUUUCUAAUACAUGUUGAGUAUAGACACACAGAGGGCAUGCAUUUGUUGUUCUUUGAUAGCGGUGUAUCUCCUCACAUAUGCUAAGCUGAGACUCUAUUUUGCUACUGUUUAGAUACAGUGGUUGGUAGUGUAGCAACACGUAUUUUCAAAUAAAUGAACAGAACAUUUCAAAAAUGUGAACAAUUUUUUGAAACAUGAAAAAAAUAACAUUUUUGAAAUUCUGAAGUUUUUUUGGAAUACAAACAAAUUUUUAAAGUUUGAUCUUUCUGGAAAUGUAAACAAAAUUCGAAAAUAUAAUUUUUUUUAGUUCCGAAUUUAUAAAAUUCCUGUUUUUUGAAUAUAUAUAAACAAGAAUAUAUUUUUUUUACUUUUUUGAAAAUUUAAACAAAUUUUGAAAAUCUGGAUAGUUUUUGCAAAUUUUAACAAAAUUUGAAAACCUGGCAUUUUUUGAAAAUUUGAAUCAAUUUUGAAUACUCAAGGUGCAGUCCCGCCACCUCCCCCGUCGUAUGUCUCACCGCGGGUCAUGAAGAAAGCAAGGAAGGACGGCUCUCCCUCGGAGCAGAGCAAAGAGAUGAUGGCAAAAUUGGCGGGCUCCAAGAAGGAGCGUCGUCAGGCCCAAUGAAAAUACUAAGCUGGAACUGCCGUGGGAUAGGCGAUCCCGCGACAGUUCGGGAACUCCGCGGCCUUGUGGAGAUCAGUUCACCCACUAUUUUAUGUUUGGUAGAAACUCAGUUAUGGAAGAGUCGUGUUGAAGGUCUUCGUUUUUCUUUAGGGUUUGAUUUCAGUUUUGGAGUUAGUAGUAGUGGUCGCAGUGGUGGCAUUUGUAUUUUCUGGAAGAACACCAUUGAUGUUGCAAUAAAGAACUAUUUGGAGUAUCGUGUUGAUGCAUGGGUCACGGAGCCAGGCAAGGAUCAAUGGCGGAUGUCGUGUUUCUAUGGAGAGGCCACUAGAAGCCUUCGUCACAAGACAUGGGAAACUAUGAAACGUUUGAGGGGAAUGAGCACUCUUCCGUGGAUAUGCAUUGGUGACUUCAAUGAAAUAUUGAGACGAGUAGAACAACAUGGACCAAAUGAACAUGACAGUGAGCAGAUUGAAGCCUUCAGGGAAGCUGUGGAUGUUUGUGGACUAGCUGACUUGGGUUACCGUGGACUUGACUAGACCUGGGAGAAGAAGGUAUCUGGAGGCCAUUUUUGUUGGGUGCGUUUGGAUAGAGCCGUGGCCUCCCCUUGUUGGUCGGAGCUCUUUCCUUUCGCUACGGUGGAGCACUUGACAACAACUAAAUCGGACCAUAGCCCCAUCCUGCUUGAGACCGAGCUGGUGGAUUCUAGUGUUUAAGCCAAACAGAAACAAUUUCGCUAUGAAUGCAUAUGGAGCGAGACCCUAGUUUUGGUGACGUUGUAGACAAAGCAUGGCAGACAGUGGGACAAGCCCAAUCCAUUUCGGCGCUGUCAUAGAAGCUUGCCAUGGUGCCUGGUAGUUUGCAACGGUGGGGAUGGACCACCUUCGGUGUGGUUAGAGCAGAGCUGCGCUCACGUCGGCUUCGUAUGCAGACCUUGCAUGCGGUACCUCAUCGAACCGGCCCUACGGGUGAGGAGGAUAAGAUCGAAGCCAGGAUGGUGGAGUUGUGUUUGCGUGAGGAGAUUAUGUGGCAUCAGCGAGCUCGCAUCCAAUGGCUAGCGGAAGGAGACAUCAACUCCAAAAAAUUUCAUCGCAAAGCGAGCGCACACAAAGACAGAAAUCGUAUCACCGAGCUGCAAAGAUCUGAUGGGUCAGUUUGCAAGGAGGAAGAUGAGAUGGCCAGUAUGGCGACGAAUUUCUGCGGCAACUUAUAUACUUCUGAGAAUACAUAUAGCAUGGAGGAGGUGCUUUCACCUAUAGCCUAUAGGAUUGAUGCUACUAUGGACAGUAACCUUAAUGCUCCAUAUACCAAAAAUGAAGUGAAGUCUGCACUAUUUCAAAUGUUCCCUACUAAGGCUCCAGGGCCUGAUGGGUUCCCAACACAUUUCUUUCAGCGGCAUUGGGAUUUGUGUGGUGAUGAGGUAACUGAUAUGGUGCUCAGAGUUCUGAGUGGGGAAGAUUCACCGGAGGAGAUAAACAAGACUUUCAUUGUUCUAAUUCCCAAGAUUGCAAGUCCAAAAAAUCUAGGACGGUUUUGACCGAUCGGUCUGUCUAAUGUGAUCUUCAAGAUUGCAUCCAAGGUACUGGCUAACCGGCUCAAACUUAUUCUCCCCGAGAUCAUUUCUGAGGAACAAUCAACAUUUGUACGAGGUCGUCUUAUUACUGAAAAAUUCAUAUCUGCUUAUGAGUGCUUGCAUUAUAUGAAAACAAAGAAGGUAAAGAGGAACCGGUUAUGUGCUCUAAAUCUUGACAUGAUGAAAGCUUAUGACAGACUUGAGUGGAAUAAUUUGGAGAGAGUCAUGCUCAAGUUGGGAAUGAGCCAACGGUUUACAAAAACAGUCAUGAGAUGUGUUACUUGGUCUCUUUUUCAGUUAUAUUUAAUGGAGGGCGGCAAGAGGAAUUCAGGCCUUCUCGGGGGUCUCCGUCAGGGUGAUCCUAUCUCCCCUUAUCUCUUCAUGUUGGCAGUUGAAGGGCUCUCAUGUAUGUUAAAAUCUACGAGUGGUACUCAUCGUAUCGAUGGUAUAACGGUGGCUGCGGAUGCCCCCCACGUAAAUCAUCUCUUGUUUGCUGACGGUAGCCUCCUGUUUUUUAAUGCUACACCACAGAUGGCCAACAGGGUGGAUUCCCUUCUUCAACGUUAUUGCGCUGCCUCCGGACAGCGGGUAAACAAGGACAAGUCGUCCAUCUUCUUCAGCAAGGGGUGUUCGGAAGAUCUAAGGGAGGAGAUAAAACAUGUUCUAGAUGUGCAAAAUGAACAACUCUCUCAAAAAUAUCUGGGAUUACCCUCUCAUGUAGGGCGGGCCAGAGAGGGAUCUUUCAAAUAUUUAAAGGAUAGAAUCUGGAAGCAAGUUCAAGGCUGGAUGGAAAAAGCUCUCUCUGUGGGAGGGAUGGAGGUUCUCAUUAAGUCUGUUGCACAGGCUAUUCCUACCUACUCCAUGGCGUGCUUCAAGUUACCUUGGGGGCUUUGUCAGCAUAUCAAUGGACUCUUGAGGAAGUUCUGGUGGGGUUCAAAGAAACGAGAGAGGAAGACUGCCUGGGUUUCAUGGGAGACUAUGACAGAACCAAAAUACAUGGGGGGUAUUGGUUUCCGCGAUAUUGAGUUGUUCAAUCUUGCGCUGCUGGCCCGACAAGUAUGGCCCCUCCACCAGGAGCCCAACUCUCUCAGUGCCCGGAUUCUUAAGGUUGUCCACUAUCCUUCAACGUUAAUACUCCAAGCAGAAUUGGGCAAACAUCCAUUGCACGUUUGGCGCUCAAUUGUGGAGGGCAGAGAUAUUCUAAGACUUGGCUUAAUAAAGCGUAUUAUAAGCUAUGUCCGGUUUGUCCUAAAUCCGAAUACCCUCCACAUACGGUCGUUGAACUCAUUGAUCCAGUCACCAGAACUUGGGACCGAAGUGUUUUGGAGGCAAAUUUUUACCAGAUGGACAUGGAAGCUAUCCUAAACAUCACGCUCACCUCUAGGGUUCAGAGUGAUUUUUGGUCUUGGCACUAUGAAAGAAAGGGCAUCUUCACCGUCCAUUCUGCAUAUAGGCUGCUGGCUUCCACCAAGCAACAAUGUACAGACUGGCUCGAACACAAUGAGGGACACUCAAACGUUGAAAGUUGAUCAUCACUCAUGGACACGUUUUUGGGGCACUUUGGUCAUGUCUAAGUUCAAAGUUUUUUGCCUGGAGGUUAGCCAAAACAUCGAUCCCGACAGACGAGGUGCGCAAGGACAGGAGCAUGGCGGAAACAGUAGAGUGUUCUCUUUGUCACGUGGCGGCAGAUACAUGGCGACAUGCUCUCUUUGAUUGCCACAUGGCACGGUGUGUAUGGGCCCUUGGGGUCGAGGAUCUUACCGAGACUGUCAUCUCGAACCGGACUGACGAUGCAAAGCUUUGGAUGCUAUGGCUGGUUGACACGCUUCCCUCACUGGACCUGACUAGGGUCCUUGUAACAAUGUGGGCCAUUUGGUGGGCGCGCCGAAAAGUAAUCCAUGACGAACAGUUCCAGAGCCCGUUGAGCACACACGUGUUUAUCAACAAGUUUCUGGAUGAUCUAGAGAUGAUCCCUCCACCGGAGAAUCGAGCAAAGGACCGACGACUGAGAACCAGGGACCUGCAUGUAACGGCGGAGGACUUGCAUGUAAACAUAGAUCUUCCUCGAGAGCAGCCGCUGCCAAAGUGGCGUUCGCCUGAGGUGCAUGCAGCAAAGAUGAAUGUUGAUGGGGGCUUCUCAAAAAAUUGUGACCGAGGUGCUUCAGCUGCGGUGUGUAGAAACAAAGAGGUGGGAGGUUACCUUGGUGCUUUGGUCGUUAUCUGAGAAGGGCUCCUGGAUCCGACAGUUCUUGAAGCACAAGCGUGUCUCGAGGCACUUGCGCUCGCAACGGACCUUAACAUCCUAUCGGUGUGCAUUGCCUCUGAUUGCCUGGAAGUUGUGAUUAACAUUGAGGAGGAGGUCCCGUGUCGAUAUGUCGACAUUUUACAAGAUAUCAAGCACUUGAGAAGUUCACUUCAAGAUUUAAAAUAUAUUCAUGAAAGUAGGAAGUCUAAUGGAGAGGCCCAUGCACUAGCUAAAGUUGUUGCAUCCCUACCUCCUGGGCGCCACUUUUAGCUCACCAGUUUACCCGAUAUCAUGUGUAUCCCCAUGUCUCUGAACUUAUAAUAAAGGAUACAAUUUUCGCUAAAAAGACCGGUGGCACAUAGAAUACUCAUAGUGAAGAGUAACUUAGGGGGUGUUUGUUUCCAUGGACUUUUUGGUGCAGGGACUAAAAAAAGUCCCUUUUAGUCCCAUGUGAAACAAAUAGAAGAGACUUUCAGGGACUAAAAGGGGGUAUUUGGGACUAAAGAAAGAAGUCCCUACGGGAGGGUCUUUUUGAGAGUUUUUUGACACUUUUUCAAACAGUGCCCCUACUUUUAGCAUGCCAUUUAAUAACUUCUAAUACAUUACUAGGGGUAACAUGGUGUUUUUACAUGUCAUUUAAGGACCUCUAGUCCUUGUUUAGUCCAUGAAAACAAACGGGUAGGGACUAAGGACUUUUUAGUUGGGACUAAAAAAAUUUUGGGGACUUCUCAAACAAACAGGGCCUUAGACUAGUAACAUGCAUAUGUUACUAUAUUUAUAGUGAUGAGUAACAUAUGUGUAGUGUCAUGCAUCAUUCCAUUUAUUAAGUUGUAAAUAUUGUCUUAGUAUGUGUCAUGUAUGAGUAACUAGAGAUGUUAGUUAACUUAUCUUUCUUCUAUUUAAUUAGCUGUUGCGUUAUUUAUUUAUUUGCUUAGGCUGGCCAUAGUAAGGGUAUCAUAGCCAGUAACAUAGUUUUGGGACUAGCAAACAUGGUGAUGUAGCAAGUAAUUGAAGAAGAGAGAGAGGAUUAAAGUAACAUAAGUAGAUAUCGUAACAUGUUAAAUGCUAUGCUACUAUGUGUCAUGCAUGUCAAUAAAUGAGAUCACCUAUGAUACUAGUUUAUGUUACUAUGCACUAUGAAUGUAGUAUCAUACAAUAGUAACAUAUGCAUGAUACUAUUAUAUGUUACUCUCCACUAUGAGCACCUUAGUUAUCAUCUAUGGGUUCUUCCCAUGUCAGGCCUGAGAAAGUGCAUCACGGAAUGUGCAGAACGAUUAAUGUGGGUCGUUAGUCGUUACCAUGAUUAAGAAUCGUAUAUAUUUUCCCUCCGUGACACCCUCACUUAGAUUAACCGGGAAAAGGGCAUCUCCAACGGAAAUUCCUAUUGGACGCACAAUGCAUCAAAAUGAUCAAAAUGCUGAAGUAUCACACACAGCUGACCUAGCCAAAUUUUCUAUUGGCUGGCCCAUUCCGUCAGCAGGGAUAUUGAUUUUACGUUUUUUUUUUGAGUAGUGGAUAUUGAUUUUAGGUUCCUUACUGACUGGUUCUUUUUUGUUUUUCUUGUCAUCUUUGGUUCCUUUUUAUUUUUCAUUUUCUAUUUAUUUACAAAAAAUCCCUUAUGAAAAAGUUCAGAGAUUUUCAAAAUUUGUUACGAAUUUCCAAAGUAGUUCUAAAAUUUACAAACUUUUCAUUUUCUAAAAUGUUAGUAAUUUCAAAAUAAAUUAAAUUUCAAAACUAUUUCCGUUUUAAAUAUUUUUUCGCAAACUAAAAAAAAUGUUCACAUGGACAAAAUUAUUUUCAUAUUUUUUUAAAAAAAAUCAGGUUUUGUAAAGAUAUUCAAAUGUUCACAGGCAGAGAGGUAAUAGCCGAUGGUGGAUUCGAGGAAUCACCCUCCCCCAUGGCUCGAUUAGCACCAAGGUGAUGCUGAUUAAGUGUAGUCAUGGCGAUGCUUUCACGCAAGGAUGUGGCCUUCAGUAAGGGGACCCUUUGUCCCAUCUCCUAUUCAUCGUAGUUAUGGAUAAUAGUCGUCAAUCCGUGCGUCAACACGGCCUAGCAUGUGAAUACAUGUACAAAAUAUAAAUUUGAUGUGUAAACAUCAUUUUGUUUGUGCAUCACAACCUGGAAGAGAACCGUUUCUCCGUAAUGUUUGCAAAAAUAAUAUCACACGGCGUUCUAUUGAUUUGAUUUUCCCUGAACAUAGUUUAGUUGGCGACACGGUCUCUUAUCUAAUACAGUUAAUUAUUAGGAUUCAUUGGCGUCACUAACCGCUACAGUUACUUGAGAUUGAACCCUUCAACUUGGUUAUAACAUAAUCGACAUGUAAAGCUGAUAUUUUGUCAGCAAUGAUACCUCACAUGAGUUGUGAGAAUAAGAAACAAAUGAAUCUGAAAUAGAUUAUCUCGAGAAAGGUCAAUUUCUCCGAACUAACUACAUUAUAGUAUUAUACACGUCUAUUCAGCUGCUAUGGAAGUCCUAGGUAUACUGAUGUGAGUAUGUGACUUAGAGGAUGCUUGGAUACGUUUUAGUCCCAUGACUAAAAGUAGUGGGACUAAAACUUGCUACCCUCACCCAUGCUUGAAUCCAAAUACUAAAGAGACUAAAAUCAAGUUAAUGAGCAAUUAUUAUCCUCCAAACCCUCCAAUUCAGAACUCACCUAUGUUAAAGGAGAAGAGUUAAAUGAGGAGAGAGAGGACUAAUCCAUAUUUUAGUAGGGGUACUCCUGACUAAAAAAAAUUUAGUCUCAAGAUUAGUUUUAGCCCCUCUUUAGUCAGGGGUGGUUGGAACUUUAGCCUUUUAAAAAGACUAUUUUUAGUCAGACUAAAAUAAAUCCCUUGGAUCCAAGCACCCUCUUACAAUAAAGAAGAAAUCUAGGGGUCAAUAUAACCACAAUAAGUCCUUGUCGUGAAGAUCCACCAAAAUUAUUGAUCAUCCAACCGUUCAAUCAUAAACAUUGAGAUGGAGUGUGUCCAAUUAGAUGUUGUUUUUAAAAUAUAAUUCCAAGUAUAUACACAAUAAAAGAUCAAUCCAACAACAAUAGUUAACAGGUUAAAAUCCGAGGAAACUCGAACAAUUCCUAGAAUAGUUCAUAUCUUAUAGACUUAAAUCCAGAAAACACAGCACCAGUUCGAGACCUAAACAGAAGGUGAGAUGCAACAAACUCAUAAUGUUUCCAUGAGAGGGUUCAGUGGAUGCAUAUCAGUCCAAUCAAGUACGUACGUCAUAGGAAUACUUUAGUAUGGUUAGAUGUUCCAGUAGAGUAGUAAAUUGUUUCUUUUACAAAGUUUUACUUCCUUAUUUCCGUAUAUUUCAAAUGUAGGUGCAUGUGCAACUGUUUGGGCAAACCGAAAAUGGAACUUCUUAUGACGCCACACUGUUUGACUAAACAGAACAGUUCAAAGGUUAUUAGGGGAGGUAGAAUAACUUGAGAACGACGAGCCCGUGUUUCGUUGUUGUUGUUUUUUUAACACGGGGCUGGCAGUGUGCCGUGUGGUGCGUUAAUGCUCCCGGAUUCGGCCGAAACAGCUGAAGGCCCUGUUUAUUACUCCCAGAUUCGGCCCACGAAAGAGCUGAAGGCGCUGUCUAUUACGUUAGCGAAUACACCUUUCAACAAUUACUCUCAUCUUCAUAGACUGUGAUAAGUGGCGCACUGUAUGCGUGUCACUUGUCGCAACCUGUGAUUUUUUGUCUUUUUUCGUAGAUCCGUAUUUUCAAAACGUUGUAUCUCGUCAAUUGUACGUUCAAAUUUCGAACCGUUUUCACCGUUGGCUUUCUCGCGUCGAGAUCUUUAAAACUAGAUCCCAUAUUGAUAGGUUUUGACAAAAAAGUCAUAAAAAAACCGAAAGCAAAAAACCAAACGAAAAAACCGUGCCUCACGCGAUAGAAAAAAAACAGAAAACACAGUUUUUUUCCCUUUCCUCGCGAAGGCAAAACCGUGCCUCUCGCGAAAAAAAGAAGUAGAAAACGCGUUUUCCCCUUUUCGGGAGAGGCACGGACGUGCCUCUCGUAAAGGCAAAACCGUGCCUUUCGUGGAAGCAAAACCGUGGGUCUCGGAAAAAAAAACAGAAAACACAUUUUUUUCCCUUUCGGGAGCGUGCCUCUCGCGAAGGCAAAACCGUGUCUUUCGCGGAAGCAAAGCCGUGUCUCUAAUAAAAAAACAGAAAACUCAUUUUUUUCCUUUCCGAAAGGCACGGUCGUGCCUCUCGCGAAGGCAAAACCGUGCCUUUUGUGAAAGAAAAAACGUGCCUCUCGCAAAAAAAUGAAAACUCGUUUUUUUCCUUUCCGAAAGGCACGGCCGUGCCAUUCGCGCAGGCAAAACCGUGCCUCUUCCAAAAAAAUUAAAAAACAAGUUUUUUCGCGUAAACAAAAAGAAAAUGCGAUUUUUCAUGGAAAAAAAUUUAUUUUUUUCGUCCAAAAGUUAUGAAAGACCGAUGAAAAACACAACAUAAAAAAUGAAAUAAAACCACUCAAAAAAGGCAAAAACGCAUGCAAAAAAUAAAAAUAAUAAAAUCCGAAGGAAACGAUCAGAGCGAUACACGUGGCGGCGGUUGGAAACGCGCCAAGUGGCGACGCACGGGAUCGAUCGCUGGAAGGCUCCCGAGGAGCGCUCGCUAACUAGUUGCUCCCUGUUUAUUACCUACAACUCAAAUUAGCUGCAACGCGUCUAGAUGUAGUUAUACAUAGAAAAAUCUAAGGAAAAUAAUUCAAAGACCAAGGAUGUAUCAUACUCCCUCCGUAAAUUAAUAUAAGGGCAUUUAGAUCAGUAUUUUAGUGACCUAAACGCUAUUAUAUUAUUUUACGGAGGAAGUACAUUCUAAAGAAGUUAGUAACAAUUUUCUUACUCACUUCGUCACAGUUUAGAAGACGUGUUUGUAAAUUCCUAGAACCUAGGUGAUUAUUGAUUGACUCUGAGGUGAGCUCAAAAAUAGCAUUCAUACUAUGCAUGCGGAUAGGAGUAGUACAACGGAGUAGUAAUUAGCUACUAGAAAUAAAUACAAAGCGUCAUAAACCUUGUCUAUUGUAAAACACACAUACAUUUAACCGUGCCUUCUAAAUUGUGACGGAGGGAGUAACAUGUGAAGUGUACAUCUCAAAGUCUCACUAAGUAAUACAUUUAAAUCUACUCUUCCACUAAGGCAUGCAAAAUUUAAUACAUAAGCGAGUUAUACAUUUAACUUAUAAAUUAUAAUUAUUUUUGCAUUAAUCUGUCAUAUCAUAUACUAUUCAUGUUAGUCAUCUUUCAUAUUUUUUUUCAUAUAUUCAUGUUAGUCAUAUUUUUUGUUCAUAUAUUUAGUAACUACCUACAAAUUAUUAACGAUGUUAAGGAAGCAACGCGUGGAGGUCAAGAGAGAGAGAGAGUGUCAUACAUGCAUACAUGCCAACUCAACUAUCAUGCCAUAUCAGCGAAUAUACAAUUAAACUACCGAAUUUUCCUACUAUAUCAUGUUCCAUGUUAUCAAUUAUGUUUUUUGUUUGCUUUGGAUUACUAACCAUUAGUCCAUUAUCUCCUUGAUGCAAAAAUAAGCACUGAAACGGUUUGCUGUUCAAAUUCCCCCUAUCUCAUUGAUACUCAACUUCUCCACGAGACAAGUUUAGUAGUAACAGCCCAAAGGCAUCGCCCCUUUCCCUUAUAACAUGUUAUUCUCACACAGAGUUCUUCUAAUAAAUAGCAACGACAUCAUCAUCUAACGGGGAUUCAUAAUUUUUCCUUUCCUUGCUCGAUCUCUUCUCCAGAACCGAGACCAACCUUGGUACUGUACAACUGCACAUAUCAAUCCUAUAGAAUUCAACAUGACAUGCUACAUUUCUUCUAUCCAUAUGUUUAAAAAAUUCUACGAAUCAAAGAGGCCCAUAAAAAUAGGAUUCUAUUCAUACAAACCAAAGAACCCUAAAGCUUUUCUAUAGAACUCCUAUCCUGUAGGAUUCCUACCCCCUUUCUUCGAACCAAAGGAGGCCUAAAGGUAUAAUAAGAGCAUCUACAUCUAGGCACCCACUACCCCUCUCAAACUCCCGGGCGGGCCGUCCGCUCAUUAACCGGCCACGAAAUUCUAACCUUGACACGCGCUUCAAAUGGGCCUCAAACGCCGAGGCUGACCGACAUCCCUCAUAUCCAACCUCAAUAUUGGACGUAUAUGGGGGUGCCCGGGUGUGCCUACCACGUCAUACUGACACUUGGGUCCCACAAAGAAUCACCAGGAAACCCGGAGGUUCGAAGCAAGUCACCUUCAUCGUAUCGAUGUCGCCACGUGGCGCUGCUCUGAUGAAACAUGUCCUCCCUAGCUCAGCUAUUUAAGCCGACCACCGAUGCCGAACCCCUACCCCUCCAUCAUUUCUUCAUCCCAUCCGCCGCCGCCACCACUUUCUAACGCACAUCUAUUUAAGCCAUGCCACCCCGUCGCCACCUCCGAUUUAUAACGUCGGAGCGCCGACUGCAGCUUCUUGAGUACGCCCGGGCAAGACGCGACGCUCAGAUCGCCGCAGGGUUUACCUCCGGGUCUAGUGGAUUUGGAGUAGGAGUUGUAGGAGGAGGAAGUUGAGGAGGAGGAUGAGGAGCCGAAGCCAGAGGAGGACGUGGGAGACGCUGGGGACAUGGAGCUGCAGGCCAUCCUCGACUCCAUCCUCUCGGAGUCAGAUGCGGAAGCCAAACGAUGGAGCAGGCCGCAGAGGAGGCGGAGACGCUCGUCUACCUAGGUAAGCUCGAGGAGGAGGAGGAUGAGCCGGAGCCCUCCUACACGCCCGUCUUCCUGCCGCCCGGCAUCGACGUCGUGGACAUCUCCAACGAGAAAAACUAGGGUGUUACGUACUAUGUAGUACGUAUGAUUUUCUUUUACGUGUUUUCUAUGGAUUUUGGGGUUCAAAUAUGAAAGACUCAGAUAUGGACGAGCAGAUCUAAGGACUGACCAGUCAAUACUCGUAGAUUCGCCAUUUGAUAACCCAGAUUAGCAAACUGUGGUUGUAGAUGCUCUAAUGUUGAUCGUAAUGGACGUAUCAUAAGUAGUAUUAUGCAUGCCAACUAAGAAAUUUUAAGGAGAUCACAUAGAACUAAAUGAGAAUAGAGAGAGUUGGGUACCAUAUCAUGACACCACAUCAUAUUAAGGGAUAGUUAUUUUGGUGGCUUUUUUGAGCUUCUAGAAUAAGAUGCCCCCUACCCAGCUUAUUCUAGAAGCCCAAUCAAAAAUACUUUUUAGAAGCCUACUAUCAAAUCUUAAUCAGUAGACUUCUAAAAAAUAAAUUUGAUUGGGCUUUUGGAAUAAGCUGGGUAGGGGUAACUUAUUUCAGCUUAUUCUAGAAGCCAACAAAAGAACUGGCUCUAAAGGAUAUGGUACUAUGUGUCAUGCAUGACAAUAAAUGAAUCAUCCUAUAACACUAACAUAUGAUAGUAACAUUAGACUAGUCAUAGUGAAGAGUACCUUAGGCCCUCCUUGGAUUCGGUGUAAACUUAUACGCCCGGAUUUAUUCUAUAGGUGUAUAUUACUGUCGCUGUGUUAUUUCCGCCUGAAUUAAAAACAAUGGUUGUAGGUUUGUAUUUAUUGCGGAGGUAUUUGAGAGUAAUUAAACCGACAAUCUAAGCGGGGCCUUGGACUAGUAACAUGUAUAUGUUACUAGUCUGUGUUACUACCUUCAUAGUGGAUAGCGUCAUAGAUGUGAUAACAUAGAUGUUUUCAUUUAUCGCUUUCUAGAGUCAUUUUGCAUUGGAAAACGUACGCUAUGUGAUGGAAACAUAAUAUGUUACUCCCUCCGUCACAGCUUAGAAGACAUGGUUAAAUUUACGUUUCCACAAUAGACAAGGUUUAUGGCGCAUUGCAUUACUUCUAGUAGCUAAUUACUACUCCCUUGUACUACUCAUAUCUUUAUGCAUAGUGUGUAUGUUAUUUUUGAGCUCAUCUCACAGCUAAUCAAUAAUCAUGUAGGUUCUACAGAAUUUUUAAGCACCCCUUCUAAACCGUGACGGAGGGAGUACUUUAUUUACCUCUUUCCUCGUUAACUACUAGUCAUAUUUUUUUUACUUAUAUGGCAUAUAUAUUAUUCCCUAUGUACCUAAAUAAUUGUUGCUACAAUUAUUUAGGUAUAAAGAGAAUCCUAUUUAUGAUAUUCUCGUUAUGACUAGUACUCUCUCCGUUCGAAAAUAAUUGUCAUAGGAAUGAAUGUAUCUAGAUAUAUUUUAAUUAUAGAUAUAUUUUUUUAAUAUAUUUAUGCGACAAGUAAUUUCCGACGAAGGGAUUACUAUAUAAAAUUUCCCGCUACGACCAGCCUAAGCAUUUCUCAAAGCGAAACGACACUGCGCAUAGCUUGCGAUGCAUCAGAGAUCGGCCGGAAAUAAAGGGAUUUGCUAAAACUCAGCUAGCUGAGGUAAUUUUUGAUCUCAUUCAUUUUAUCAGCCGUUGGAUCUUUGUCGUGUCCAGAUUUGCGUUUUCUCGAGUUGGCGAGCACAGUAGCGAUCCGGUACAACCCGGUUCUUGUUCGGCUCAUGGCCGGUUUUUUUUGGCCCCGGACAUUUUUUUUGUGAUGAGGAGCGCGGGAAAUCCUAUUUAACGCUCUUGGGAGGUCCUAUACCGCGCAUUCAGCGCCGGUUAGGCAAACCGGCACCUGCAGCGUUCCUUCUUGUGGGCUGGCCCAUGUAGAAUGCGUUGCUCCUUAAAAAUCGAAAAAAGUUCAUAGAAUUUCAAAAAAAUCAGAUUUGCAAAAAAAGUUCAAUGAUUAUAAAAAAACCACUGAUUUUUAAAAUAUUUUUAUAAAGUUCUCAGAAUUCGAAAAAAUCACUAAUUUUCAAAAAAACGUUAAUUGAUUUUCAAAAAAAGUUUAUCAAUUUUUAAAAGCAGUUCAUUGAUUUAAAAAAAAAUUCAUGAAAUUAAAAUUAUGUUCACGGAUGUUCAAAAUAGUUCAUCAAUUUUAAAAAAAGUUCAUCGAUUUACAAAAAAGUUCACCACUUUUUAAAAAAGUUUAUCGAUUUUGAAAAAAGUUCACGGGUUUGUUGGGCAAAAGAAGCCACAGCGACGAGUCAGACGCGUCGGGUGCGUAUAUGGGCACGUGCUCGGCGUGUCGGUCGCGUCGGGUCCGCGACGUAGGUGUGCGUGUGUGUGUGUGUGCGUGUGGUGCACGGGGCUGUCCGUGUACAUGUACAUCGUAGGCGUGCGUGUAGGGCGAGGCCGUGUAGGGCGAGGCGUGCCUGUAGAGAGAGAGAGAGUGAGGUAGAGCUAGUGCGAGCGAGGGUUUAGGGUAGACACCAACAAUUGGCAUCAGAGUCAGGUUAAGGGAGGAGUUCGUCGACGAUGUCGCUCGUCCCGUACGCCGGCAGAUUUGGGAGUUCGCUGCCGCAGCCUGUCCCGAUGCUCACUGGUGACAACUACACCACGUGGGCGAUCAAGGUGGAGGCCAACCUGGACGCCGUUGGGCUGUGGGAGGCAGUGGUGCCGACGGAGGACGCGGCGGUGGACGUGAUUGCCAAGAAGGACAAGCCGGUACGGGCAUAUCUGCUCAGUGCGCUGAUACGUCUCAAACGUAUCGACUUUUUCAAACACUUUUGCUAUUAUUUUGGCAUCAUUCUUGCAUGAUUUGAAUGAAAUUAAUCCGGACUGACGUUGUUUGUAGCAGAGCUGCCUGUAUGGUUUUAUUGCGUACAGUAAAAUGGAUUUUUAAGCGUCCCAAAAAAUUCCAAUAAAAAAUAGAGAAAAAUUCACGCACCGGAAGGAACCUUGGGCCAGAAGACGGGCCAGAGGGGGGCACAGGGCCUCCAAGCGACCUGUGGGCGCGACCUGCCCCCUGGCCGCGCCGUGAGGCCGCCUGGGUGGAGUCCACCACCUCUGGUGCCCUACCUUGGCCCCUAUUUUUACCCGUUACGGAGAAAUCCCAGAACAGAAGUCGUUUUGCAAGUUCUCGACGUGGAGCCGCCGCCACCCGCUGUUCUUCUCCGUGAGAGCUAAUCUGGAGGCUGCCUUGGCUUCCAGAGAGGGGAAAUCGUCGCCAUCGUCAUCACCACUCCAUCAUCCUCCCAUGGUUUUCCCCAUCAUGUGUGAGUAAUUCCCUGCUGUAGGCGACGGGGAUGGGAGAGAUUGAAUGAGUUAGAUCAUGUAAUAGUUCGUCGGAUUGUUGGGGGCAUGUUGCCUAUCAUCUACUAUAUAUGGUGUUUAUCAUCUUUGCUACUACUUGUUACUCUUAGUGCUUGUCACUUUGGGCCCGAGUGCCAUGAUUUCAUAUCUGAAUUCAUUAUGUUUUCAUGAAUAUAUUUGUGUUCUAGAUCCUAUCUAUGAGUAGUAUGCACCUAUUAUAGUCCGGAACCGGCGAUCCCAAUGGUGACAGCUUGGGACACCAAAGGGGAUAGACUAUAGUUUGAGGAUUCCAUUUAUCCAUUGAUUGUUAAUGCUUUGUUCCGGUGCUCUUUGACAAGAGCACCUUAAUCUCCAUAAGUUCCUUUUGGCCCCGCUGAUAGCGGGAUGGUAGGAAAAAAGAUGUUGUUCAAGUUCUUAUUGCAAGCACGCACGACUACCUUGGGAUACAUGCCUAAUGUUUGAUAUAUGCCUAAAUGAUCAUUACUUUUCUAUGUGCCUUGCCCCAAGUAAAAUACAUGAUAUCUCUCAUCCAUGACUAACCAUCGAUCUCCCUAGCCUACUGUGUUUUAAUACUGCUAGUUACGAGUUUCUUUACUUUCGUCGUUUUACUUUCGUUGCUUUACCACUAUUAUUUCCAUUGCCACCAUCACUUCCAAAUCACCGUUGCUACUAAUAUUUCGUUGCCAAGCAAGUAUCUUUCAGGUGCGGUUGAAUUGGCAACUCAACUGUUAAAGCUUAUAAAUAUUAUUUGGCUCCCUUUGUGUCAAAUCAAUAAAUUGGGUUAUCUUACCCGUGAAGACUGUUGCGAUCCCCGACACUUGUGGGUCAUCAAGACUAUUUUCUGGUGCCGUUGCCGGGGAGCAUAGCUUUAUUUACAAGUCUACUUGGAGUUAUUUUGCUUGCUGCGAUAUAUUCACUAUGUGUAAGAAAGGAGACUCUUCAGUUCCAAUUUAUUCACUACUAAUAUUUAUUUAUUCACUACUAAUAUUUACAAGGCAUAUUCACUACUAAUAUUUAUUUAUUCACUACUAAUAUUUACAAGGCAUAUUCGGUUCCAAUUUUACCAUCCACUACGAGAAAAGGUACUCUUCUUAGCACUAGUGCUACGCUUGAUUCACCUUUCGUUAUGAGUAAGUUUGCUUCACCACCACCACAUGCUGCUUCUACCGAGUCCGUCACUAUGCCUGAUACUUUUGAUGAUGCUUCUACUACUAAUGAUGGGACUAGUUUACUUGGUUAUUUUAUUGAGUCGCAAAUUGCUAAGGCUGCUAAGCAGUCUGGAAUUAAACUUCCUGUGACACGCUACCCCAUUGGUAGAUCUUUUGGUUACCCAGACUUGAGUGGUCACAAGGAAAGAAUUCUUGAUGAUGAUUAUAUUGAACUUGAUGAUGAUUUAUGCAGGGAACUUACAGAGUGUGCUGACUCUGACCCUGCUUCUGUGAGGAAGCUGCUUGAAAAGCAUUCUAUGAAGAACAAAUUUACUCUUGAUCCUAAAUUUGCUUCAUCUCCUAUUUGCAUUGAGGAUGCUGAUUUUGAUUUCUCUGUCGAUCUUUCACUUAUAUCCACAGUUGAAGCUGGCCCGUUUUAUGGCAGAGAAAAUGACGAUGCUAUUGCACACCUUACCAAACUCAUUGAGUUGGGUGACUUAUUCACUACAGAGGACAAGAAGAAAACCUAUUAUGUUACUAAGCUACUUCCUUUCUCUUUGAAGGAAGAUGCUAAAGCAUGGUAUGAUGCACUACCAUGUGGUUCUAUUAAGAGCCCUCAAGAUUUAGCUCAAUCCUUCGUUGCUGAAUAUUUUCCUGCUCAUAAACAACAUGCUGCUUUACAAAGAAUUUAUAACUUUAAACAAUUACAGGAUGAGCACCUCCCUAAAGCUUGGGGGAGGUAUUGCACUUUACUUAAGGCUAGACCGGUACAUGGAAUACUUAAGAAUGAAUUGCUUGAUAUAUUUUAUGAUGGUCUAACCGAUGAAUCUAGAACCUAUCUGGAUAGUUGUGCUCGUUGUGUUUUCAGGGAAAGAACACCGGACGAUGCUGAAGAAUUAGUGGGCAAGAUAGCUAAGAAUCAUGAUGAUUGGUUCGUUCCUGAACCACCUCCAUCACCAAAGAAGAGAGGUAUGCUUUUAUUGAGCCCAAAAGUUAUGCAAGAAGCCAAGAAGUCUAUGAAAGAGAGAGGCAUUAAAGCUGAAGAUGUAAAGAAUCUACCUCCUAUUGAGAAAUUAUGUGAUCCUACCACUCACCCACCUAUGGUAGAGGUACACUCUCUUUUGAAAUUCAAUGCAAGUGACAUCCCUCAUGGUAAGCCCCCUGAUCAAUGUUUAGAUGAGCUUGAUAAUUUUAUUGUCAAGCAAAAUCACUUUAAUGAGAGGAUUCAAAGCCAAUUGCAUGAUAAUUCCCUUGCUAUCAAAAGUUUGCUUGAUGUUUUAAGUAGAACUGUUAACGAUGUUAAAGGUCUUAUUAAUCAUUUUCAUAUGGUUCAAACUCAGCUUGAACAAAUUUCUAAUGUGCAAAAAGAUUUGCUUGCUAACAAUGCCAAACAAGUUGAUACGCAGGCAUAUGGUAUAAAGACCCGAGGUGGUACACACACCCAAUACCCUCUCUAUACGGAGGGGCAUCCAAAAAGGAUCGAGCAAGAUUCUCAAUUGCAGGAAGAAGACGUUGUCAGCUUCCCGAAGAAGAAGAAGAAACACAGGGAAGCUGACAACUCCAAUGAUCCCAUAAUUGAUGAAGAACCUAUUGUUGACCCUAAUAGUAUAUCUAUUUCUGAUGCUGAGACUGAAGAUGGUUUGAACCUGAUAAAGAUAAUGAGAAGAAUGAUUCACCUGAAGUACAAGAAAAAGAAGCACCCGACAAGCGUAAGAGGUAUACUAGAGAAGACUUUGUUUCAAGAAAACAAAGGAAGGAAAGAGAACCAUGGGUAGAUAAAUCAAUGCCCUUCCCAGGUAAGUUUUUCAAACCAAAGAAGAAGAGCAUUGCAAUAAAUUUUGUGAAUGGAUGAAACUUGUUUUUCUUCAAAUUCCUUUGACUGAUGCUAUUAAGUUGCCUUCGUACUCGCGGUAUAUGAAAGAUAUUGUUACUAAUAAAAGAAAAGUUCCUAAUGAGGCAAUAGAUACUAUGCUUGCUAAUUACUCUUUCAGUGGCAAGAUUCCUGAGAAGCUUGGUGAUCCAGGUAUACCCACCAUUCCUUUCUCCAUAAAAAAUAGUUAUGUCAAAACUGCUUUAUGUGAUCUUGAUGUAGGAGUGAGUGUUAUGCCUUUCUCUCUUUACAAAAGGCUAUGUCUAGAUAAACUAAUCCCUACAGAUAUCUCUCUUCAAAUGGCUGAUAAGUCAACGGCCGUUCCUGUUGUUAUUUGUGAGGAUGUUCCUGUUGAAGUUGCUAAUUGCUUGAUCCUUACUGACUUUGUUGUGCUUGAUAUGCCCGAGGAUGGUAGCAUGUCUAUUAUUCUUGGUAGACCUUUUCUUAACACCGCAUGUGCUAUUAUUGAUUGCAAUAAAGGAAAUGUGACUUUCAACGUUAAUGAGAAGGAGCACACGGUAUAUUUUCCGAAGAAGAUUGAUAAAAGGCAUAGCCUUAAUUCUAUUAAGAAUAUUGAGACCGUGAAGGUUGGAGAGUGGGAUUGUCCUCUACAUGUGCACCACAAAUACAAAACCAUUAUGGAGGGGACAAUAUCCAUUGAAAUAAAGGUACCACUAGUAGAAAACGGGCCUUUGGCCUGGACCAUUUAGUCCCGGCCUGCCUCUGGGCCGGGACUAAAGGUCCGGCCACGUCACCCCAAUUCUCAAUGCCUCCCUCGAGGCUUUAGUCCCGACCUGUAAGGAGCCUUUAGUCCCGGUUUGUGUCCCAAACCGGGACUAAAGGGCUACGCGGCGGGCAGUGGUGGUGGCAACCGUUCGUAUCCCCCUUUAGUCCCGGUUGGUGGCUCAACCCGGGACUAAAGGACUAACACGUGGCAUGUCGUGGUUGUGGUGACGGUUGGUAUACCUCUUUAGUCCCGGUUGGUGGCUCAACCCGGGACUAAAGGACUAACACGUGGCCUGCCGUAGUGGGGCGACCGUUGGCGUACCUCUUUAGUCCCGGCUGGUGGUUGAACCCGGGACUAAAAGCCUAACACGUGGCCUGCCGUAGUGGUGGCAACCGUUUGGUAUACCUCUUUAGUCCCGGUUGGUGGCUCAAACCGGGAUUAAAGGCCCAAACGGUUUGCAUCCCGCGUCGUUUCGGGCGAUGAAAAGCACGAACCGAAGCAUACAGUCGCCAUUUCUCUCUUCUUCUUCUCUCUCGCAUCGCCCUCUCUGUUCUUCUUCUCUCUCGCGUCGCCCUCUCUGUUCUUCUCCUCUCUUCUUCCCUUCUCUUCUUCCACCAUGCCAACUACCUUUCAUGAGGUGGUCGCGCAUGGCACGACGAAGCUCCGUGUCGUGUACACGAACCUGAGCACGGAGGUGCCGUUUUUCCUUCAACAGUUGAAGGAACGAUGGUUUAACCACGCACCGGAUCAUGAGAAGUUCUUCGGGCUGGAUCUGGAGUACACGGCCGAUCAACGCGGUGUUGCCGUCAUCCAAAUAUGCUUCGCAAGCCAUGUCUUGAUCUUUCAAUGGGCGAGGUAAGUUUUGAGGCUUUCUUUGAUCCAAGAUAAUGACAUUGUAUAAGUUUAUUUGUUUCUAUCAUAGUUGGUUCCCUUCAAAUAGUUGUAGUGGAACAAUUUUGAUUAGUUGAAGGGGAGCACAAUCUAAUUGGAAUAGUGUUCCAUAAUCUGAAAAAUCGUAUUAGAAUCAACUAGUGUUUAAUAUGUUCCAUUGGAAUCAUAGUUGGUUCCCUUCAAAUAGUUGUAGUGAAACAAUUUUGAUUAGUUGAAGGGGAGCACAAUCUAAUUGGAAUAGUGUUCCAUAAUCUGAAAAAUCGUAUUAGAAUCAACUAGUGUUUAAUAUGUUCCAUUGGAAUCAUAGUUGGUUCCCUUCAAAUAGUUGUAGUGAAACAAUUUUGAUUACUUGAAGGGGAGCACAAUCUGAUUGGAAUAGUCUUCCAUAAUCUGAAAAAUCGUAUUAGAAUCAACUAGUGUUUAAUAUGUUCCAUUGGAAUCAUAGUUGGUUCCCUUCAAAUAGUUGUAGUGAAACAAUUUUGAUUAGUUGAAGGGGAACACAAUCUGAUUGGAAUAGUGUUCCAUAAUCUGAAAAAUCGUAUUAGAAUGAACUAGUGUUUAAUAUGUUCCAUUGGAAUCAUAGUUGUUUCUCUUCAAAUAGUUGUAGUGAUCUCUCUAGGUUCCAUUGCAUAUGUUCUAUUUGAAUCCUAAAGAUAAGUUUCUCUUUAGUUGUAGUGAAACAUGUUUCCUUAUUGCAGCAGUAUGUAACAUUUGUUCCAUUCUAAUUUGUUUCUGUUGCAGGAGUGACAAGCAUUGUCCUGGACUCAUGGAGUUCCUUCGCAGCGGCGUCACUUUUGCUUCCGUUGACAUAAGGAACGACAGGCUGAAGAUGAGGCACAGCUUCGGUAUUGAGAUACCAGUUGGUUGCCUCGUUGAUCUCCAAACGAUAUUCAGGCUUCGACAUGAUAGGACUUCGAUGGCUCAUAUGGCAGUUGCCUUGAUCGACGAGUCAUAUGGUGAUAUGAAGACCAGUUUCCCAAAGUAUCAGCACAAACUUUGGGAGAGGGGCCCACUUGAUGAUAUCAACAUUCAGUAUGCAGCAAAAGAUGCAUACGUUUCAUACGAGUUGUACCGCAAGAUUCGAGUCGUCAACUAUGGCCAGCGUCACCUCGAGGAACGUGGACAUUCUGAUUUAGAUGAUUCAGACGAGUAGUGUUCUGAACGUCUAACACUUGUAUAUAUAUCUAUGGUAGCUAUUAUUAUGUACUGUUUGGGCUAGUAUCAUGUACUUCUUGGACCAAUUUAUAUAUGUCUAGUUUCUGUUUGUGCCAUUAUAGUUUCCAAAUUUGAAUGGUUUAGCCCUUUCUGACUUCAUUUGCUACUUUUGAAUGGUUUAGCCCUUUCUAACUUCAUGGUAUCAUGAAUUUUGACCACAUAUAUAUACAAAAAGUCUUCAGUUCAAAUAAGUUCACUGCUUUUCAAUUUCAGGGUCAACUAGCUCAAAACAAAAUAAGUAAAUGCACGAAAUAUACCAAAUGAAGUCAGAAAUUGUUGAAAUUUUGUGAUGUGCCUUUGAAUGGUGCAUUUUGAACACACAAAAAGUAUGGAGUUCAAAUAAGUUUAAAAAAAUGAAAUCCCUUUGUAAGAGAUGAGUUCUCGUUCGAAACCCUGCUACUUCGAGAGAGAUUGUCAGUUUUGUACACGAACUGCAUCCACUUUUUGUCGUAGCCCUCUCAACUUUUUAACACAUGCUAUGUGGGUGAAAUGAUGAUAGCAUGCCAACUUUCAACAUUUUCAGAGUUCAUUGUAGUGCUUUUCAAUUUCAGGGUCAACUAGCUCAAAAAAAAUAAGUAAAUGCACGAAAUAUACCUAAUGAAGUCAGAAAUUGUUGAAAUUUUGUGAUGUGCCUUUUAAUGGUGGAUUUUGAACACACAAAAAGUAUGGAGUUCAAAUAAGUUUAAAAAAAAUGAAAUCCCUUUGUAAGAGAUGAGUUCUCAUUCGAAACCCUGCGACUUCGAGAGAGAUUGUCAGUUUUGUACACGAACUGCAUCCAGUUUUUGUCGUAGCCCUCUCAACUUUUUAACACAUGCUAUGUGGGUGAAAUGAUGAUAGCAUGCCAACUUUCAACAUUUUCAGAGUUCAUUUGUAGUGCUUUUCAAUUUCAGGGUCAACUAGCUCAAAAAAAAUAAGUAAAUGCACGAAAUAUACCAAAUGAAGUCAUAAAUUGUUGAAAAUUUGUGAUGUGCGUUUGAAUGGUGCAUUUUGAACACACAAAAAGUAUGGAGUUCAAAUAAGUUUAAAAAAAAUGAAAUCCCUUUGUAAGAGAUGAGUUCUCGUUCGUAACCCUGCUACUUCGAGACAGAUUGUCAGUUUUGUACACGAACUGCAUCCAGUUUUUGUCGUAGCCCUCUCAACUUUUUAACACAUUCUAUGUGGGUAAAAUGAUGAUAGCAUGCCUACUUUCAACAUUUUCAGAGUUCAUUUGUAGUGCUUUUCAACUUCAGGGUCAACUAGCUACAAAAAAAAAGUAAAUGCACGAAAUAUACCAAAUGAAGUCAUAAAUUGUUGAAAUUUUGUGAUGUGCCUUUGAAUGGUGCAUUUUGAACACACAAAAAGUAUGGAAUUCAAAUAAGUUUAAAAUAAAUGAAAUCCCUUUGUAAGAGAUGAGUUCUCGUUCGAAACCGUGCUACUUCGAGAGAGAUUGUCAGUUUUGUACACGAACUGCAUUCAGUUUUUGUCGUAGCCCUCUCAACUUUUUAACACAUGCUAUGUGGGUGAAAUGAUGAUAUCAUGCCAACUUUCAACAUUUUCAAAGUUCAUUUGUAGAGCUUUUCAAUUUCAGGGUCAACUAGCUCAAAAAAAAUUAGUAAAUGCCCGAAAUAUACCAAAUGAAGUCAAAAUAACAAAAUAGAUAAUAGUUUGGAUAUUAAAAAGUAUUAAUUAUGAAAAUAAAAAAAAUAGUUUUGCAUUAUUUAUUCAAUUUGAAACACUUUUCAUUAUCAUAGUUUUGUCAAAUUCUUAAAUAUGCAAAAAGAAUUUUAAUAAACAUUGUUUUUAAUUGAAAAUAACAAAAUAGAUAAUAGUUUGGAUAGUCAAAAUUAUUAAUUAUGAAACAAAAAAUAGUUUUGCAUUCUUUAUUCAAUUUGAAACACUUUUCAUUAUCAUAGUUUUAUCAAAUUCUCAAAUAUGCAAAAAGAAUUUUUAAUAAACAUAGUUUUUAAUUGAAAAUAACAAAAUAGAUAAUAGUUUGGAUAGUCAAAAUUAUUAAUUAUGAAAAUAAAAAACAGUUUUGCAUUAUUUAUUCAAUUUGAAACACUUUUCAUUAUCAUAGUUUUGUCAAAUUCUCAAAUAUGCAAAAAGAAUUUUUAAUAAACAUUGUUUUUAAUUGAAAAUAACAAAAUAGAUAAUAGUUUGGAUAGUCAAAAUAAUUAAUUUUGAAAAUAGAAAAAAAUUGAAACUAUAUGAGAAAAUAAUGGACAAAAUUCGACCUGAAUUCACUUUGAAUUCAGAUUGAAUUUUAUCCACAAUUUCGAAUAUAGUUUCAAUUUUCAAUAAGUUUAGGCCCGUAAGCCUGCUUUAGAGAGGAGCUCGAUGGACAAGCUGCGACGGGGCUUAUAAACAAGUGUUAGUCCCCCUCGCUGGGCGAGGUGGGACUAAACUUAUCGUGCAGCCGAGGAGGGGCUUUAGUCCCGGGUGGAGCCACGCCCCGGGACUAAAGACACCCUUUAGUCCCGGCUGGAGCCACGCACCGGGACUAAAGACACCCUGCUUCCCGCCUCUUGGUCUGCCCGAAAAGAGGCCUUUAGUCCCAGGACGUGGCUCCACCCGGGACUAAAGGGGGUCUUUAGUCCCGGCUCGAGCCACGCACCGGGACUAUAGAUCCACCUAUAUAAGCGGGACUUCGAAAAUUUCCAACCCAAUUCGUCCAUUUCUCUUCUUCUUCCUCUCGUUCUCCUGCCCGGCGCGGCACAUCGACGAACUAACCGACGCCGUCAGGCUGCCCGCCGUCCUGCUCGCCGCCGCCUGCCGUCCUCCUCGCCGUCGCGCCGUCCUCUUCGCCGUCGCGCCGUGCUCCUCGCCGUCCUCCUCGCCAACACUCCGGCCAGUAAGCCCCCCGCCCCCUCCUCCCCAACACUCCGGCCAGUAUAGAAGAAAAGAAGAAAAAGGAGAAGAGAAGAAGAAAAAGGAGAAGAAAGGAAGAAAAAGGAGAAGAAAAGAAGAAAAAGAAAAGAUUUUUUUGUCAUUAAUUCCUAUUGUUAUUAGGUUUGUGCUGGGUUAUUAGGGUUAGUAAUAUUUAGAAUUAGGUUAGGGUUACAAGAAGAAGAAAUAUGAACAAAAAUAAGUAAAUAAGAUUAGGAAAAAUGAAAAUAAGAAGAGGAGGAGAAGAAAAGAAGAAAAAUUGUAUAUUGUAUAGUGUAUAUGCUUAAGUGUAUAGUGUAUAUAGUGUAUAGUGUAUAAGGAGAGGAGGAAUUUUGCUAUAGUGUAUAUAGUGUAUAGUGUAUAAGAAAAGAAGAAAAGAAGAGGAGGAGAAGAGAAGAAAAGAAGAGGAGGAGAAGAGAAGAAAGAAGAGGAGGAGAAGAAAAAUGAAAAUAAGUGUUAAUAGUUUAAUUUUGCUAUUGUAUAUGCUUAAGUGUUAAUAGUUUAUUUUUAGCCAAAAAAUUAAUAGAACUAGUUUAUUUUUUUAGUUCAUUGCACGAUGCCUAUCCCGCAUCCUCGUCGUCGACUCGGCGGAUGACACCUGCUUGAUCAGAGGGGCCCUGUCCGGGACUGGGCUCCGCCCGGCUGGUAUUGGAAGGUGCUACCUUCCGGGGGGCGUAGGUUGGUGAGGAGCCAGCCCGUCGUUGACCCGAUCCUUGUUUGGUGGCGGUCGCGUGGGCCAGUGAGGGUGCCGAGGCUUCCGGACACCGCGGAGGUGGUACGUCACCGUGUCAGCGAGGAGGAUGAGCACGUCCGUCGCUACAUGGUUGCGUUGGAGGGCAGGUUCGAGCAUACCUGGCAGGUUCUUCGGGGAUCUCACCGGAGCUAUGAUCCUGUGAUGGUUCCUUCUCUUUGGAUGUCCACCGCCCGCGCCGAUACCCGUCGGGCGCUACGGUUGUAGAUUUAUUAGUGAUGCUAUAUAUACGAUAGUAUUCGAGGAGUAUUAAUGAUAAUAUUCGACGAUGUACGGACAAAAGUGAUGAUGUAUUAGCUUAUAAUUAAAUGCAUGCUAAUUUGAAUACUACUUUAUUUUACGAUUUGGUUUUGCUUAUUGAAUGCUCAAAUUGGAAAAUUACUCCUACUUUGAAUACUAUGCAGAAAUCUAGGAGUCUCAAAUUGGAAAAGUACUCCUACUUUGGUUUUUGGUACAAAGGUUAAGAGAAUCCGUUUUUUGCAGAACUAUGGAUCCACAUAUCAGGAACCUCGAAGAGGAAGAACUUCUCGAAGAUAUAAUCGAAGACGGCCCCGACGUUGAACCAGCUGAAUCUCCGUCGUUAUAUCUAAACCAGGACGUUGGAAUGGAGGUCGAGCGACACGAAGAUGAAGCCGAUGGGGCAGGAGAUAGGUCCAAUGACGGAGAAGGUGAUAGCUCCACUAAUGGAGAAGCCGGUGAAGAGGAGAAGUCCGGCGAGGUAUACAUAUGAAGUUCGACAAUCACUUGUAAUAUGUGAAAAAUAUUGGAGAUAGCUCUAUAUUGUAUACAUAUACAUUCAUUUGACGAAUGUUUCUCCCUCUUAGGCCUCCACGUCGAGCAAAACUACGAAACGAGGCCCGACUAGAAAGUUGGAUGCACGGACGCAUUACACAUUUGAGGUGAUAUUUCCUACGGGCGAACCCAAGCUUCCUAAGAAUGCUGCUGACACAUUCAAGAAGCAAUGCGGAGUUCUCGUUAGGGAUCACGUCCCGAUCAGCGUUUGGGAGUGGAACAAGCGCAAAGGGGCAGCCGAUAGUGACUAUGUCGCCGAAAGGUACAAAGGUAAUCUUUGGAAUGAUCUCAUGUCACAUUUCAACCUGCCAGAAUGUGAGAAUGAAGACGCCGCAGACAAACUGAGGGCCAAAGUCAAGCAGUGGACUCUGAAGAAGAUGGCCGAACUCUUCCGUAGCUGGAAGAAGAAGCUAUGGAAAAAAUAUCUGAAGACCCAGAAAGUGCCAGUAUUUGAGGGGUAUCUAGCCAAGCAGGCGAAUCACUGGAAGGCAUUUCAAGAGUACAAGGAGUCAGAAGAUGCCCAGGCAUUAUCAGAUAAGAACAAGAUAAAUGCCGACAAGAAGAUAUAUCACCACAAGCUGGGGCCAGGGGGCUAUGAGACUGCCAUCCCAAAGUGGGAUAAGAAAGAGCACGAUCUGAUAGAUAAAGGCGUCGUACCUGAACCACUCCGUGAUGAGUGGGAAUUGAGAGCAAGAAAUUGGUUUCUUGCGCAUGAUGGGUCGUACAACGAAACAACAGGGGACCUCAUCUGCAAUCACAAUCUUAGGAUACCCAGGGAGAAUUGGAAAAGGAUAGUGAAAGAAAUUAAGGAGGGAAGAAGAAAGUUCACUGCAGAUAGAGAGAAAGAUUUGCUCACACUGGUCCUCGGCAAUGACGAACAUGGAGGAUGAACGCGAGGCUUCGGUCCUUCUUACUCGUGGUGGCUUGGGUUUGCCAGAGACCAAGACACUUACAGAAGCCGAGAGAGAGCAAAGAAGCGACACCAGGAUGAGGAGAAUGACAAGUUCAACCAGUUGCUUGCCAGGAUUAACGAGCAACAGAAGCAGAUUGAUGAGCUUAGAGGAGUACCGCGCCAGGAAGAUCCUGCAGUUGAUAUUACCGGCUAAGUGGAAAAGCAGCGUGGCUGAAUCUGAGGCCCCGCCCGACGAUGAACGAAGAAUGAUAGAGGGCGGUCCCGGCUACCCCGUGGAUGGAAUCAAGGAGUCAACAUCAUGUGAACUCCAUCAGAAAUUCAAGAACAUAUCCAUGAAGGUGGCCGUCGGACAAGCUUUACCUUCUGGCCCUGAUGCACACUGGCAUGGCCGUGAGAUUCCAGCUGGCUUUGCUAAAGUCGGGGUGGAUGAAAUCAUGACGAGGGUUAAUGAUAUGGAGCUCGACAUAGCUGGACCCGAAGAUGAGAGGACACUCGGAGAAGUACUGGGUGGAGUCAUCCUAUGGGACAAGAACUACAUCAAGCUUCCAGGCUCAGCCCCAAGGACAACACCGCCUCCGAGUCGUCGCAGGUCACCUACACCUCCAUUACCUUCAAGCCCUCCACAUGACGUCAGCCAGCACAACACGAGUCCAUCUCGAUCACCGCCGCCGGACUUGGGUCGUCCGUCUCCGCCGCCGCCCGCACAUGAUACUAAGCGGAAGCGUGCCAGCAAGAACGCUUCGUCGAUGAUUUCUAAGGGAUGGAGCUCCCCAAAGCGCAAACUGUCGCCCCUCCCAAAGGUACCUCAUGCUAAUAUUCCUAUCAGACCUUAUGAUCAUACCCCCGAGGAAAACGCCAGGAUAGCAAAGGAACAACAUGAGGCGCAGAUGAAAAGGAAGGAACCCGAGCCCCGCCCGAAAUACACCGAGAAGGACAUAGCAUGGGCAAAAGACUUCAUAACCACUCCAUCACAGUAUGACUUACACUAUAAGCCUGAUGACUAUACACACACAUUGCAGAAGGAAGUGAAAAAGAGCAGGUCACAUGCAAGUGCAAGUGGGAGCAAAUCAAGUUUAACUACAAGCAAGAAAAAAUCAGACGUUCCCCAGCUUGGACAACAGGCCAAACAGUCGAUCCCACCCCUCAAGGUGUUAACCGAGAAUGUUCCCCCUCCGGUGCAGGGGCAAGCUUUUGAAAAAGCAAAGGAGUUGGCGGAUGAAUGUGGUAUCUUGGUUGAAAAUUUGCUGGCUUCCCAAGACGACAGGAUACCCAAGGCUGUGGUAGCCCCUAAGCCACAGUUUGUCAUGCGAGAGCCUUUGGUCAGCAAAGAUGAUCUCCCAACAAAUAUGCGUUACUUGCAUAUAUGGUACUUAAGUGAAUCAAAGAAUGGGAGAACGAUGAUCGUGCUGAGUGUCCCACAAGAGUACUACGGCCGCUCCGAAGAAAUCCAUAUCGACUUUGAUGAACUCUUCCAGAUGUACAAUGGCGACGCCCUCGACAAAUCGCUUAUGAGUUGCUAUUGUCUGUAAGUUUUUCAAUUCGUUGUCUACAUAUAACUUGUUUAGUUAUUUCAAUUCAUUGUCUAUAUAUAACUUGUACUCUAUUAUGCAGAAUGAAGAUUCUGGAGUGUAAAAGUAAGAGCAUCAUAAAUAUUGGGUUUAUUGAUCCAGAUAAAAUACAUAUAGCGACGCUAACUAAUUAUCCCAAGGAGACGGAGGAAAACCUUCUAAGGUUCCUAAGAGAUCAAAAUUUCUGCGACCACAUACUGUUUCCAUACAACUUCAGGUGAGGGUCUUUACUCUGUUGUGUCCAUUCACUUAUAAGUGUAAUUGAUAAGUUACUCAGACACACACAUAUAUAUAUAUAUAUACAUGUGCGGCUUCCAUUGGAUUCUGUUGGACAUUCAAAUUGAUAAGGGAAGAAUUGAUGCCUUCGACCCAUUAUCGAGACCCUUGGAACAGUUCUAAAGCCUGCAGGACAUGCUCCAAGGGUAAUUUUAAUCAUUCUUGCGCUCUAUCGGUCUCUUUCGAUGAUUUUCUGAUAUAUCAAUUAAUGAAAAACUUAGCAAAUCAUUAUCCUUGUCGGGCAGGGUUUGGAAUCGGUUCAAGUGCGUGACUCCCGGUAACUUUCCUGAGAAGCUGACCUUUAGAGUGGCUCAGGUAAGUAGUAGUAUGAUAUACUUCUAUUAAUUUUCAAUACAUUUAUGAUGCUAGAUUAUUAUUUUGAUUAUAUAUAUUCCAUUCCCGUAAAGUGCGACCAGCCGCCACGGGGAACGCAUCUAUGCGGAUACUAUGUUUGCGAGACCAUUCGCACGUUUACCUCUGAGUUCAAGGAGCACAGAUUCGACGUAAGCAAUGAACAUUCACACCUCUAUUUUUACCCGUCAUUCUUUGUUAUCAUGAUUGAUAUUCAUAUUCAUCUCCUCUCCUUAUAUAGCACACGGUCAUGAGGACGAAGGUCCUACCAGAGCAACGCGCGAUUGCUGUUGCAGAGGAGCUUGCGGGAUUUCUGAGGACGGAAGCUAUAGAAGACAAAGGAUGAUUUAGUGUAGCUAAGGGCCAUUACAGAUGUUCGUCCAUGUAAUCGAAUAGACGGGCUCUAGUCCCGAUAAUUCAGAUCUCCAUAUAAUUGUAUAUAUAUGAUCGCUUGUAAGAUAAGUUAAUCUUAUAUAUAUAUGCAUAAUUAUUUCUAUUUUAAAUUAUAUGAAAAGUAAUUCCCGAACACAAAACAAGGCAUCACGUUAAUCUCCUGAACACCUAAACCCUAAAACCAUAAAACCCAAAAAUAAUUUCAUUCAAAAAAACCCAAAAGCCAGCAAAAUCUGAAAAUAUUUAUUCCCGGACCGUGUAACGAACCGGGACUAAAGGGCCUGCCCCUGGGGUUUAGUCCCGGCGUGUAAGAGGGCCGGGACGAAAAGGUUAGGCCUUUAGUCCCGCCACUUUAGUCCCGGUUGGUGAACCGGGACUAAAGCCCCUUACGGGCCGGGGCUAUACACCCUGUCCCCACUUGUGCUUGUUCUGAUGAAGCGAGUUCUACGAGCGCUCGAUCGGGAAGUUCUGGAGGCAGCUGUUAAACCGUUGGAGCCGGCGGGCCGAAAGGAGAUGGCCUACCCAGCCAACCGAGUUGCUCAGGAGUGGACACACGGCCUGGUGGCCAGGCCAGCUCACAAGCAGCGUGUGACACAUGCAAAGAGGCAACAACAACUGUUGGGCGCUCCCCAUGUGAUGGUGAUAAGUAUGCACCAGGAAACUAGCUGGACAUGGCGAGCUGCCACUGGAAGGUGGCUCGUUCAGUGGAGGUGUAGGAGAGAUGGUGUGUGCAGUUUUGCCAUGCACGCACACUGCAACAAGAAGAGAUAGGAACGGCGAGGUAAUGCAGUUCCUGUGGAAAUGGAAGAAAGGACACUGCCAUCUACAUCCGUGUUGCUUCAACCGGAGCUACGUCUCUAUCUAGAGAAAACUGUUCAGACAGUUGACCCGCUGAAAAUGAAAGGGAGCAGCGAAGGUGUCUAGCAAUUACCGAGAAACCGACAGAUUUUAAAGAUGCAAAAUACAAAGGAGUGUUGGCGUCAUGCUAUGAAAGAAGAGUUGGGAUCGAUCCACACGACAACAAUGCAUGGGAGCUUGUGGAUCUUUCCAACAAUGAAAAAACCAUGCAGCUCAAGUUGGUAUUUACGAUCAAGAAAGAAGCUGAAGAAAGUUGUGUGAAGCACAAGGCGAAGCUAGUGGUCAAAGAGGACAUGCAAGAUGAAGGUGUGGGCUUCAAAGAAGUGUUCGUUCCCAUUGCGCGGAUGGAAUCGGUGAGAUUACUCAUCGCUCUCGCGGCUCAAGAAUCAUGAAAGAUACAUCAUAUGGAUGUAAAAUCUACGUUUUUGCACGGUGAGAUGGAAGGCAAAGUUUAAAAUUGCCGGCUAUUGAAAAAAGCGGCAUCCUGUAGCAGCGGCAAUGAGCAGGAACAGAUAGCGGUUUUGCUGGAUACAUGCAAGAAUUCCAAAUAUAAGUGCAAGAUACAUGCCAAACUACAGAAAUUCAGCAUCGAUUAACUAGUUGACACAAACAGGAAUAGAAUAACUAAAGCAUUAAGGUCAUCCAUUAAGCCAACAUUCAGCAAUCAUCUCAAGCGACAAAGCAAAUAUAUAGUUCGGUAAACAGAAUGACACACUAUAUAACAGAGCAUUGACUAUCUCACAAAGAUGAACUAGUAAGUUCUGCAGAUAUAUAAUCCAUAAAGUAAAUGGUGCAUUCUCUUAUAUUCAUCUUCAGAAUCAGAAGGAGACUUAUCAGACUCCGAUUCAGAAGAAGAAGAAGCAGCUUGCGGCAUUGUUUCAACACGCAUAGCCAUCAAGGACCGCAGGCUCACAGUCUUGAUUUUCUUCCUAGGCCGAGAAAUCCUCUUCCUUUUAGCUUGUCCCUGUGAUGAUGAUGCCCUGUUUGGUGCCUCUUCCGAUGCAUCUUCAUGAGCUUUCUCUUGUUCUUGAUCAGCUUCUGCAGUUGGUUCUUUCCCAGUGAUGAACUCAUUGUCAUUAUCAGCAAGAACAUCAUCCACUUCUUUCUCUAUGGGAUCUCUCUUUUCGCUUUCUCUCUUGUUCCUUAGUUUAGAGUUGAAUUUCACAAACACAAGAUCCCUCAUCCUGUCAUGCAGCAGCCUAAUGCGCUUCUUUGUAUGAACCUAAGAGUUCAAAAAAAUUAAAUACUUAACAAAUGUAGAAAACAGAAAAACCAAUUGUAUAAACUCCAAAAAAUAUUAUUUGUUACCUGUUCGAAAACAGACCAGUUCCUCUCACAAGCUGAUGAGCUGCAUGUCAAAUUAAGAAUCCUAGAUGCCAAAGUUCUCAAAUUUGGUGUGGUGGUGCCAUGGUUCAGCCACCAUUUUGCUGCACAUUAUACAAGUUAGUAGUUAAAGAAAUGCAAAUAGAAGCAUUUUAUUCAUCAAUCAUAUUAGCUUCACUAAAUAACCUGGAUUAAAAUUCUUGUUUCUCCUUUGCCUUAUAGCAAUCUUAUGGCCGAAAGAUCCUUGCUGAUCUUGAUACAUGUUGAGUUCUUCAAUUACAGUGUCUUGGGUUUCUUCGUCCUCAAUCAUCUUGCAAAUGCAUGUAAUAACAGCAGCUCUAAAUGUUCCAUCAUGCUCAAUCUCUGACUUGUUUGGAUAAUAAUAGUGAGGAUUCAAAUAAUAGCCAGUCAAGUGGAGAGGAGUCUUGAGCUUGCUGUCCCACCUUUUAUCAAUGAUGUCCCAAGCAACUUUGUACUUGCUCUCAUCAUUAUCCAACCUCACAGCUAUAUGUUUCUUUGCCUCAAGCAUUAAUCCAUGGAAGAAUCCCAUUGCAGGAACAUCACUGUCCAUUCUGCGAAGCACAUUAGCCAUUGGCUCAAAGAAAUUAACAGCCAUGUCCACAUGUUUCCAAAAAACUUCAGAUCACACCACUUUGAGUGCUUUUUUCCCCUUUGCCUUUUUCAAGUAUGAACCUAGCUCAUUCAUCUCAUGUGAUCUGAAGAGCCUUGUCAAUUUCUUCUUGUUGUCUAGCAAACUUUUUAGAUUUAACUAAGCAGUGGCAAACCGAGUAACACCAGAGCGAACCAAGUCCUUCCCAAGAAAUUUCCUCAUCAAAUCCAAUACCCUUGUAUGAGCAUACAAGAAGCUAGUCACUUCUCUUGCACUUGAAAUAGUUUUUUCAACUAGUCCAAGCUUCCCAAGAUCCUCCAACAUGAGAUCUAGGCAGUGAGCAGCACAUCCAUUCCAAAAUAUGGAUGGUCUCUUUGCUGUUAGCAUACUAGCUGCUGAUACAUUCACAAUAGCAUUAUCAGUCACCACUUGCACAACAUUUUCUUCACCUAUAUCUUCUAUGCAUUUGUCCACCAAGUCAAAUAUGUAUUUGCCAUCUUUUCUGUCACCGGAGCAGUCCACUGAAUCAAUGAAGCAAACACCAUGAGCACUGUGCACAACUAAAUUCAUUACUCCCCUGCCCUUCUUAUCUGUCCAUGCAUCAGUCAUAACCGUGCAACCUGUGAGCUCCCAUGAUUUCUUAUGAUUCUUGAAUCCAUCCAACACCUUCUGUUUCCUCUUCUGGAAAAAUGGUCCACUUAUCUCAUAUGGACUAGGCCCUCUCAAGUCCUUGCCAAACUGUCCGAUGGCCUCAAGCAUAUGAGCAAAGCUAGGGAGGGUGACAGUGUUGUGAGGAAUGCUAGCUUCAUAGAAAAACUGGCAAAUAUACUCACAAACUCUGUCCCUUUUCUCUUCUCUUUUCAUAGUUGACAACUUUGAUUGGACCUUCUGGCUAACAUUGAGUCCAAUUUGAUUAUUGCGAACACACUCUUAUAUAGAUGUUUUCUUGUAAAACUUAUCAAUCGUGGCACUGCCACAACCUACCACAGCUCUAGAACCACUCAUCCCACUGCCUCUUGUUGAAUUCAGCAACACAACAUCAUUCCUCUCGUAGUCAGAAUCAUCCCCACUACCCCUUUCAUCAUCUGAGUUUUCUAUAUGAAUUCCAGAUCGAACCCUUUGCACUUCAUCCUUCUUCUUUUGCUUUUCACCACUCUUCUUCGUAAGAAAAGCAAUAAUCUCUUCUUUUACAUCAGUUGGAACCUUCUUACAUUUAACAGCAUUGAAGCCACGAAUGCAAGCAAGAUGGCACUUCAUUCUAGUAAUUCCACCUUUCAAUAGCUUGUCACAAAAAUUGCAAUGCAAAUGAUACUUCUUGUUCACAUCUGGGGCAAAACAGUAUGCAUAUGCAGGGUCAUCGGACGUUACUGCUUGCCUUGCUUGUGUUUGGGGUACCGAAGGAAAAGCGGCACUUGAAUCACCUAUAGAAAAAAGUAGAAAAUAAUUUAGUUAACCUGCACCGCUACAAAUGACCUAUUUUGAUUGAUAAUUAAUCUAUCUUAAUUAAGGAGGAAUUAAAUGAUAUAUGCCACAAUUAAUUACUUUGCUUCAGAAACAUCUAAAAUUGUAAAUUGUUGUUGAAGCAUAGGAGAUUUUCCAUGGUUUAUUUGAUUGAUAAUCUACCUACAUGUAUAAUCUACUGCAAAUAAUAACUGCCUACUUGUUAGAUUUCAGAUCUGGGAGGUGGAACAUAAACUUGUUAAAUUUCAGAAAGUAGAUGUUAGGUAGAGUAUCUACAAGGGAAAAUCACUUUCAUCACACGUACUCCUCACAUCAACCAAAUAUUAUGAUGGCCAACGACACUUAGCAGAACAGAGAUGAGCAGAACAGCGAGUAGAAGAGAUACUCACAUAGUACUAAGAUAAUAGAUGAUGAACUAAUGAAAGCCAGACUAGGAAACUUGCCUCCAUGAUUCUCUGGCUCCGGCUGAGACAUGGUUCUUCAGUUCUACUUCGCAUCCGAGUUGCAAUCUCGCCGCCGCCGUCGCGAGAGAUAUAGAUCGAGGAAGAGCAGCGGAGAAGUUUGGCUUUGUCAGGGUUAGCGCUAGGCUGUUUUGUACCUCCUUUUGGGCCUCUGCGUGGUGAUUAUGUAAAAGCCCAUAAUUCACGUACUCCCUUGUGGGCCAAACAAGUAAUAGCGGCGCAAUUUUUUCCAGUAAAUAGCGGCAAUGACUGGCUAAUUGCGGCCUUUUGCGGUGCAUUCACUGUAGCGCAAAAAAGGGGCAUUGCGUUGCCCCCUGCUCUUCCAGCCGCUAUGUCCGGCAAAUAGCGCCACAAUAGCCGCUAUGUCGGACGUUAUAAGGCUCACGACGAGCGUAUGAGGUACAGUCUCGGGGACGGGAGGAACGAUGAGCUUAUCAUGCUCGCGCGGGCUCAGUUGCAGGCGCUAGACUCAAGGAGAGAAGGUGAGGGCUCUAGCAGUUACGCUCGCCAAGAUCGUGUGCCAAACGAAAAAAAUCAAAAGGACGCCAGCGAUGGCGCUCCGAGGGAGAAGAAGAAGUUCGACAAGCGCAAGAUCAAGUGUCACAAUUGUGGCAUCAUGGGGCACUUCAAGUCGGAGUGCAAGAAUCCCCCAAAGGAGAAGGCGCUCAUGGUCCAUCAAGGAGAUGAAGGUGACAUGAUGUUGAUGUGUGAACUCGUGGACGAGGAGGAUCCAGUUCUUCAAGUGUCGGCUAAAUAAAUUGCCGCACUGCCUGAAGGAAGAGUUUGCUCUCAAGAUCAUGGUUCGGAAACCCGUAUCGAUGCUACGGAUGCGGGAGGUGAUUCCGAAACUUACAUCAAUGCUAUGGGUGUAAGUGCCAACUUUGCUGGAGCGAAGGAAUCGCUCAUUGCAUGUGCUCGGCCGUGGAGAAGCGGCCUUGUUACAGACAUGAGGGGUGAUUUCAAAACUCGUGUCGAAGCUACUGACGUGAGACAUAAUUCUGAAAUUUGUGUCGAUGCUAUGGACACGGACGUUACUUGGGCAUAUGUGAUGCCUGAAAACCACGAAUCAAAGUAUGCUGAUGCAAAAGUAAGCACGUGUGCACAAGCCAUGUUACGUUGUCUAGUAAUAGACGAAGACGUGAUGUCAAAAGUCCACGAAGAGGCAAAGCGUACAUGCGAUGUGUCGCUGAGCAGAACAUGCAAGCUAGGUGGUGACGGAGCUUCACUAGUAGAAAACGGGUCUUUGGCCUGGACCAUUUAGUCCCGGCCUGCUAGUCCCGGCCACGUCGCCCCAAUUCUCAAUGCCUCCCUCGAGGCUUUAGUCCCGGCCCGUAAGGAGCCUGUAGUCCCGGUUCGUGUCACAAACCGGGACUAAAGGGCUACGCGGCGGGCAGUGGUGGUGGCAACCGUUCGUAUCCCCCUUUAGUCCCGGUUGGUGGCUUAACCCGGGACUAAAGGACUAACACGUGGCCUGCCGUAGUGGGGCGACCAUUGGUAUACCUCUUUAGUCCCGGUUGGUGGUUGAACCCGGGACCAAAAGCCUAACAAGUGGCAUGCCGUAGUGGUGGCAACCGUUUGGUAUACCUUUUUAGUCCCGGUUGGUGGCUCAAACCGGGAUUAAAGGCCCAAACGGUUUGCAUCCGCGUCGUUUCGGGCGAUGAAAAGCACGAACCAAAGCGUACAGUCGCCAUUUCUCUGUUCUUCUUCUCUCUCGCGUCGCCCUCUUAGUUCUUCUCCUCUCUUCUUCCCUUCUCUUCUUCGACCAUGCCAACUACCUUUCAUGAGGUGGUCGCGCAUGGCACGACCAAGCUCCGUGUCGUGUACACGAACCUGAGCACGGAGGUUCCGUUUUUCCUUCAACAGUUGAAGGAACGAUGGUUUAACCACGCACCGGAUCAUGAGAAGUUCUUUGGGCUUGAUCUGGAGUACACGGCCGAUCAACGCGGUGUUGCCGUCAUCCAUAUAUGCUUCGCAAGCCAUGUCUUGAUCUUCCAAUGGGGGAGGUAAGUUUUGAGGCUUUCUUUGAUCCAAGAUAAUGACAUUGUAUAAGUUUAUUUGUUUCUAUCAUAGUUGGUUCCCUUCAAAUAGUUGUAGUGAAACAAUUUUGAUUAGUUGAAGGGGAGCACAAUCUAAUUGGAAUAGUGUUCCAUAAUCUGAAAAAUCGUAUUAAAAUCAACUAGUGUUUAAUAUGUUCCAUUGGAAUCAUAGUUGGUUCCCUUCAAAUAGUUGUAGUGAAACAAUUUUGAUUAGUUGAAGGGGAGCACAAUCUAAUUGGAAUAGUGUUCCAUAAUCUGAAAAAUUGUAUUAGAAUGAACUAGUGUUUAAUAUGUUCCAUUGGAAUCAUAGUUGGUUCCCUUCAAAUAGUUGUAGUGAAACAAUUUUGAUUAGUUGAAGGGGAACACAAUCUGAUUGGAAUAGUGUUCCAUAAUCUGAAAAAUCGUAUUAGAAUCAACUAGUGUUUAGUAUGUUCCAUUGGAAUCAUAGUUGGUUCGCUUCAAAUAGUUGUAGUGAAACAAUUUUGAUUAGUUGAAGGGGAACACAAUCUGAUUGGAAUAGUGUUCCAUAAUCUGAAAAAUCGUAUUAGAAUGAACUAGUGUUUAAUAUGUUCCAUUGGAAUCAUAGUUGGUUCGCUUCAAAUAGUUGUAGUGAUCUCUCUAGGUUCCAUUGCAUAUGUUCUAUUUGAAUCCUAAAGAUAAGUUUCUCUUUAGUUGUAGUGAAACAUGUUUCCUUAUUGCACCAGUAUGUAACAUUUGUUCCAUUCUAAUUUUUUUCUGUUGCAGGAGUGACAAGCAUUGUCCUGGACUCAUGGAGUUCCUUCGCAGCGGCGUCACUUUUGCUUCCGUUGACAUAAGGAACGACAAGCUGAAGAUGAGGCACAGCUUCGAUAUUGAGAUACCAGCUGGUUGCCUCGUUGAUCUCCAAACGAUAUUCAGGCUUCGACAUGACAGGACUUCGAUGGCUCAUAUGGCAGUUGCCUUGAUCGACGAGUCAUAUGGUGAUAUGAAGACCAGUUUCCCAAAGUAUCAUCACAAACUUUGGGAGAAGGGACCACUUGAUGAUAUCAACAUUCAGUAUGCAGCAAAAGAUGCAUACGUUUCAUACGAGUUGUACCGCAAGAUUCGAGUCGUCAACUAUGGCCAGCGUCACCUCGAGGAACUUGGACAUUCUGAUUUAGAUGAUUCAGACGAGUAGUGUUCUGAACGUCUAACACUUGUAUAUAUAUCUAUGGUAGCUAUUAUUAUGUACUGUUUGGGCUAGUAUCAUAUACUUCUUGGACCAAUUUAUAUAUAUCUAGUUUCUGUUUGUGCCAUUAUAGUUUCCAAAUUUGAAUGGUUUAGCCCUUUCUAACUUCAUUUGCUACUUUUGAAUGGUUUAGCCCUUUCUAACUUCAUGGUAUCAUGCAUUUCGACUACAUAUAUAUACAAAAAGUCUUCAGUUCAAAUAAGUUCAAAUAAGUUCAGUGCUUUUCAAUUUCAGGGUCAACUAGCUCAAAAAAAAAAUAAGUAAAUGCACGAAAUAUACCAAAUGAAGUCAGAAAUUGUUGAAAUUUUGUGAUGUGCCUUUGAAUGGUGCAUUUUGAACACACAAAAAGUAUGGAGUUCAAAUAAGUUCAAAAAAAAUGAAAUCCCUUUGUAAGAGAUGAGUUCUCGUUCGAAACCCUGCUACUUCGAGAGAGAUUGUCAGUUUUGUACACGAAGUGCAUCCAGUUUUUGUCGUAGCCCUCUCUACUUUUUAAAACAUGCUAUGUGGGUGAAAUGAUGAUAGCAUGCCAACUUUCAACAUUUUCAUAGUUCAUUUGUAGUGCUUUUCAAUUUCAGGGUCAACUAGCUACAAAAAAAUAAGUAAAUGCACGAAAUAUACCAAAUGAAGUCAGAAAUUGUUGAAAUUUUGUGAUGUGCCUUUGAAUGGUGCAUUUUGAACACAAAAAAAGUAUGGAGUUCAAAUAAGUUUAAAAAAAUGAAAUCGCUUUGUAAGAGAUGAGUUCUCGUUCGAAACCUUGCUACUUCGAGAGAGAUUGUCAGUUUUGUACACGAAGUGGAUCCAGUUUUUGUCGUAGCCCUCUAAACAUUUUAACACAUGCUAUGUGGGUGAAAUGAUGAUAGCAUGCCAACUUUCAACAUUUUCAGAGUUCAUUUGUAGUGCUUUUCAAUUUCAGGGUCAACUAGACUUAAAAAAAAAGUAAAUGCACGAAAUAUACCAAAUGAAGUCAGAAAUUGUUGAAAUUUUGUGAUGUGCCUUUGAAUGGUGCAUUUUGUGUUGGAAUUAUGCCCUAGAGGCAAUAAUAAAUGUAUAGUUAUUAUUAUAAUUCUUGUAUCAAGAUAAUAGUUUAUUAUCCAUGCUAUAAUUGUAUUGAAUGAAGACUCAUUUACAUGUGUGGAUACAUAGACAAAACACCGUCCCUAGCAUGCCUCUAGUUGGCUAGCCAGUUGAUCGAUGAUAGUCAAUGUCUUCUGAUUAUGAACAAGGUGUUGUUGCUUGAUAACUGGAUCACGUCAUUAGGAGAAUCACGUGAUGGACUAGACCCAAACUAAUAGACGUAGCAUGUUGAUCGUGUCAUUUUGUUGCUACUGUUUUCUGCAUGUCAAGUAUUUAUUCCUAUGACCAUGAGAUCAUAUAACUCACUGACACCGGAGGAAUGCUUUGUGUGUAUCAAACAUCGCAACGUAACUGGGUGACUAUAAAGAUGCUCUACAGGUAUCUCCGAAGGUGUUAGUUGAGUUAGUAUGGAUCAAGACUGGGAUUUGUCACUCCGUGUGACGGAGAGGUAUCUCGGGGCCCACUCGGUAAUAUAACAUCACACACAAGCCUUGCAAGCAAUGUAACUUAGUGUAAGUUGCGGGAUCUUGUAUUACGGAACGAGUAAAGAGACUUGCCGGUAAACGAGAUUGAAAUAGGUAUGCGGAUACUGACGAUCGAAUCUCGGGCAAGUAACAUACCGAAGGACAAAGGGAAUGACAUACGGGAUUAUACGAAUCCUUGGCACUGAGGUUCAAACGAUAAGAUCUUCGUAGAAUAUGUAGGAUCCAAUAUGGGCAUCCAGGUCCCGCUAUUGGAUAUUGACCGAGGAGUCUCUCGGGUCAUGUCUACAUAGUUCUCGAACCCGCAGGGUCUGCACACUUAAGGUUCGACGUUGUUUUAUGCGUAUUUGAGUUAUAUGGUUGGUUACCGAAUGUUGUUCGGAGUCCCGGAUGAGAUCACGGGCGUCACGAGGGUUUCCGGAAUGGUCCGGAAACGAAGAUUGAUAUAUAGGAUGACCUCAUUUGAUUACCGGAAGGUUUUCGGAGUUACCGGGAAUGUACCGGGAAUGACGAAUGGGUUCCGGGGGUUCACCGGAGGGGGGCAACCCACUCCGGGGAAGCCCAUAGGUAUUUGUGGGGGUCACACCAGCCCUUAGUGGGCUGGUGGGACAGCCCACCAAGUCCUAUGCGCCAAGGAACAAAAAUCAAAGGAAGAAAGAAAAAAAAAAGAGGAAGUGGGAAAGGGGAAGGACUCCCUCCCACCAAACCAAGUAGGACUCGGUUUGGGGGGGGAGAGUCCUCCCCCCUGGCUCGGCCGACCCCCUUGGAGUCCCUUGGACUCCAAGGCAAGGUCCCCCUCCCUCCUCCUAUAUAUAUGGGGCUUUUAGGGCAGAUUUGAGACGACUUUCUCACGGCUGCCCGACCACAUACCUCCAUAGUUUUUCCUCUAGAUCGUGUUUCUGCGGAGCUCGGGCGGAGCCCUGCUGAGACAAGAUCAUCACCAACCUCCGGAGCGCCGUCACGCUGCCGGAGAACUCUUCUACCUCUCUGUCUCUCUUGCUGGAUCAAGAAGGCCGAGAUCAUCGUCGAGCUGUACGUGUGCUGAACGCGGAGGUGCCGUCCGUUCGGUACUAGAUCGUGGGACUGAUCGCGGGAUUGUUCGCGGGGCGGAUCGAGGGACGUGAGGACGUUCCACUACAUCAACCGCGAUCUCACAUCGCUUCUGCUGUACGAUCUACAAGGGUACGUAGAUCACUCAUCCCCUCUCGUAGAUGGACAUCACCAUGAUAGGUCUUCGUGCGCGUAGGAAAAUUUUUGUUUCCCAUGCGACGUUCCCCAACAGUGGCAUCAUGAGCUAGGUUCAUGCGUAGAUGUCUUCUCGAGUAGAACACAAAAGGUUUUGUGGGCGGUGAUGUGCGUUUUGCUGCCCUCCUUAGUCUUUUCUUGAUUCCGCGGUAUUGUUGGAUUGAAGCGGCUUGGAUCGACAUUACUCGUACGCUUACGAGAGACUGGUUUCAUCGUUACGAGUAACCCCCUUUGCUCAAAGAUGACUGGCAAGUGACGGUUUCUCCAACUUUAGUUGAAUCAGAUUUGACCGAGGAGGUCCUUGGAUGAGGUUAAAUAGCAACUCAUAUAUCUCCGUUGUGGUGUUUGCGUAAGUAAGAUGCGAUCCUACUAGAUACCCUUGGUCACCACGUAAAACAUGCAACAACAAAAAUUAGAGGACGUCUAACUUGUUUUUGCAGGGUAUGAUUGUGAUGUGAUAUGGCCAAUGAUGUGAUGUGAUAUAUUGGAUGUAUGAGAUGAUCAUGUUGUAAUAGAAAUAUCGACUUGCACGUCGAUGGUACGGCAACCGGCAGGAGCCAUAGGGUUGUCUUUAUACUAACAUAUGUGCUUGCAGAUGCGUUUACUAUUUUGCUAGGAUGUAGCUUUAGUAGUGAUAGCAUAAGUAGCACGAAAACCCCGAUGGCGACACAUUGAUGGAGAUCAUGAUGAUGGAGAUCAUGGUGUGGCGCCGGUGACAAGAAGAUCGUGCCGGUGCUUUGGUGAUGGAGAUCAAGAAGCACGUGAUGAUGGCCAUAUCAUGUCACUUAUGAAUUGCAUGUGAUGUUAAUCCUUUUAUGCACCUUAUUUUGCUUAGAACGACGGUAGCAUUAUGAGGUGAUCUCUCACUAAAAUUUCAAGACGAAAUUGUGUUCUCCCCGACUGUGCACCGUUGCUACAGUUCGUCGUUUCGAGACACCACGUGAUGAUCGGGUGUGAUAGACUCAACGUUCACAUACAACGGGUGCAAAACAGUUGCGCACGCGGAACACUCGGGUUAAGCUUGACGAGCCUAGCAUGUGCAGACAUGGCCUCGGAACACAUGAGACCGAAAGGUCGAUCAUGAAUCAUAUAGUUGAUAUGAUUAGCAUAGGGAUGCUUACCACUGAAACUACUCUCGACUCACGUGAUGAUCGGACUUGGGAUAGUGUAAGUGGAUCAUGAACCACUCAAAUGACUAGAGAGAUGUACUUUUUGAGUGGGAGUUUAGCAUAUAAUUUGAUUAAGUUGAACUCUAAUUAUCUUGAACAUAGUCUAAGUCCACUUUGAAUAUAUUUGUGUUGUAGAUCAUGGCUUACGCAAAGUGUCAUCCUCAAUUUUAAUACGUUCCUAGAGAAAGCUAAGUUGAAAGAUGAUGGAAGCAACUUUGUAGACUGGGCUCGUAAUCUUAAGCUAAUCUUACAAGCUGGAAAGAAGGAUUAUGUCCUUAAUGCUGCGCUAGGAGAUGAACCACCCACUACGGCUGAUCAGGAUGUUAAGAACGCUUGGCUAGCACGUAAGGAGGACUACUCAAUAGUUCAAUGUGCAGUCUUGUAUGGCUUAGAGCCGGGACUUCAACGUCGCUUUGAGCGUCAUGGAGCAUUUGAGAUGUUCCAGGAGUUGAAGUUUAUCUUUCAGAAGAACGCCCGGAUCGAGAGGUAUGAGACCUCCGAUAAAUUCUAUGCUUGCAAGAUGGAGGAAAGCUCGUCUGUCAGUGAACAUGUGCUCAAAAUGUCUGGGUACUCAAACCGUCUAGCUGAACUAGGGAUUGAACUCCCGCAAGAAGCUAUCACUGACAGAAUCCUCCAAUCACUGCCGCCAAGCUAUAAAGGCUUUGUGUUGAACUACAACAUGCAAGGGAUGAACAAGUCUCCCGGCGAGUUGUUUGCGAUGCUGAAAGUCGCAGAGUCUGAACUCCGUAAAGAGCAUCAAGUGUUGAUGGUGAGCAAGACCACUAGUUUCAAGAGAAACGGCAAAGGCAAGAAGGGAAAUUCGAAGAAGAGCGGCAAGCCUGUUGCCAAUCCGCCAAAGAAACCCAAGGCUGGAUCUAAGCCUGAAACAGAGUGCUUCUAUUGCAAGGGUAUGGGUCACUGGAAGCGCAAUUGCCCCAAGUAUCUGGCAGAUAAGAAGGCGGGUAAAGACAAAUCAGGUAUAUUUGAUAUACAUGUUAUUGAUGUGUACUUAACCGGCUCUCGUAGUAGUGCCUGGGUAUUCGAUACCGGUUCUGUUGCUCACAUUUGCAACUCGAAGCAGGAACUGCGGAAUAGACGGAGGCUGGCGAAAGACGAAGUGACGAUGCGUGUAGGAAACGGUUCCAAAGUUGAUGCAAUCGCCGUCGGCACCGUGUCACUUCAACUACCAUCGGGAUUAGUGAUGAACUUAAAUCAUUGUUAUUUAGUGCCUGCGUUGAGCAUGAACAUUAUAUCUGGAUCUUGUUUAUUGCGAGACGGUUACUCUUUUAAGUCUGAGAAUAAUGGUUGUUCUAUUUCUAUGAGUAACAUCUUUUAUGGUCAUGCACCGAAUGUGAGAGGAUUGUUCAUAUUGAAUCUUGAUAGAGAUACGCAUAUACAUAACAUUGAGACCAAAAGAGUUAGAGUAAACAAUGAUAGCGCCAUAUUUUUGUGGCACUGCCGCUUGGGUCAUAUUGGUGUAAAGCGCAUGAAGAAACUCCAUGCUGAUGGACUUUUGGAGUCACUUGACUUUGAUUCACUUGACACGUGUGAACCAUGCCUCAUGGGCAAGAUGACUAAAACUCCGUUCUCCGGAACAAUGGAGCGUGCAAGUGACUUGUUGGAAAUCAUACAUACCAAUGUGUGUGGUCCGAUGAGCGUGGAGGCACGCGGCGGAUAUCGUUAUUUUCUCACCUUCACUGACGAUUUAAGUAGAUAUGGUUAUGUCUACUUGAUGAAGCACAAGUCUGAAACAUUUGAAAAGUUCAAGCAAUUUCAGAGUGAAGUGGAAAAUCAUCGUAACAAGAAGAUCAAGUUCCUACGGUCUGAUCGUGGGGGUGAGUAUCUGAGUUUCGAGUUUGGUGCUCACUUAAGACAAUGUGGAAUUGUUUCGCAGUUAACACCGCCUGGAACACCACAGCGUAAUGGUGUGUCCGAACGUCGUAAUCGUACUUUGUUAGAAAUGGUGCGAUCUAUGAUGUCUCUUACUGAUUUGCCGUUAUCGUUUUGGGGUUAUGCAUUAGAAACAGCUGCAUUCACUUUAAAUAGGGCACCAUCAAAAUCCGUUGAGACGACACCAUACGAACUGUGGUAUGGCAAAAGACCAAAGUUGUCGUUUCUUAAAGUUUGGGGAUGUGAUGCUUAUGUCAAAAAGCUUCAGCCUGAGAAGCUGGAACCCAAAGCGGAAAAGUGCGUCUUCAUAGGUUACCCAAAAGAGACAGUUGGGUACACCUUCUAUCUCAAAUCCGAGGGCAAAGUGUUUGUUGCUAAGAACGGAACUUUUCUCGAGAAGGAGUUUCUCUCGAGAGAAUUGAGUGGGAGGAAGAUAGAACUUGACGAGGUUGUUGAACCUCUCAUCCCUCUGGAUGGUGGCGCAGGGCAAGGGGAAACCCCUGUGAUUGCGACGCCGGUUGAGGAGGAAGUUAAUGAUGAUGAUCAUGAAACUCCAGUUCAAGUUUCUGUUGAAACCACGCAGGUCGACGAGAUCACGCGCUGCUCCAGAGUGGUACGGUAAUCCCGUCUUGACAAUCAUGUUGUUAGACAACAAUGAACCUGCAAAUUAUGAAGAAGCAAUGGUGGGCCCAGAUUCCAACAAAUGGCUAGAAGCCAUGAAAUCCGAGAUAGGAUCCAUGUAUGAGAACAAAGUAUGGACUUUGGAGAUACUACCUGAGGGCCGCAAGGCUAUUCAGAACAAAUGGAUCUUUAAGAAAAAGACGGACGCUGACGGUAAUGUGACCGUUUAUAAAGCUCGACUUGUGGCAAAGGGUUUUUCACAAGUUCCAGGAAUUGACUACGAUGAGACUUUCUCUCCCGUAGCGAUGCUUAAAUCCGUCAGAAUCAUGUUAGCAAUAGCUGCAUUUUUCGAUUAUGAAAUUUGGCAGAUGGAUGUCAAAACGGCGUUCCUUAACGGUUUUCUUAAGGAAGAGUUGUAUAUGAUGCAACCCGAAGGUUUUUGUCGAUCCUAAAAAUGCUGACAAAGUGUGCAAACUCCAGCGAUCCAUUUAUGGACUGGUGCAAGCAUCUCGGAGUUGGAACAAACGCUUUGAUGAGGUGAUCAAAGCAUUUGGGUUUACACAAGUGGUUGGAGAAUCUUGUAUUUACAAGAAAGUGAGUGGGAGCUCUGUGGCGUUUCUAAUAUUGUAUGUGGAUGACAUAUUACUGAUUGGAAACAACGUAGAGCUUUUGGAGAGCAUAAAAGGUUACUUGAAUAAAAGUUUCUCUAUGAAGGACCUAGGAGAAGCUGCUUACAUUCUAGGCAUUAAGAUCUAUAGGGAUAGAUCAAAACGCCUGAUAGGACUUUCACAAAGCACAUACCUUGAUAAAGUUUUGAAGAGGUUCAAAAUGGAACAGUCCAAGAAAGGGUUCUUGCCAGUGUUACAAGGUACGAGAUUGAGUAAGACUCAGUGCCCAGCAACUGAUGAAGAUAGAGAACAUAUGCGCUCCGUCCCCUAUGCUUCAGCCAUAGGUUCUAUCAUGUAUGCGAUGCUGUGCACUAGACCGGAUGUUAGCCUGGCCAUAAGUAUGGCAGGUAGGUUCCAGAGUAAUCCAGGAGUGGAUCACUGGACGGCGGUCAAGAAUAUCCUGAAGUACCUGAAAAGGACUAAGGAGAUGUUUCUCGUGUAUGGAGGUGACGAAGAGCUCGCCGUAAAAGGUUACGUCGAUGCAAGCUUGCAUGCNNNNNNNNNNNNNNNNNNNNNNNNNNNNNNNNNNNNNNNNNNNNNNNNNNNNNNNNNNNNNNNNNNNNNNNNNNNNNNNNNNNNNNNNNNNNNNNNNNNNAACGUAAUAUUUUHUUAAUAAUAUAUAUAUAUAUAUAUAUAUAUAUAUAUAUAUAUAUAUAUAUUUGAAAUCUUGGCUCCAAAACCGUUAGAAUGAGAUCCCUCUUGAAUAUAUUUCAAACAUGUUUAAACUUGAACAUUUAACUGAGUGAAAUCAGUUUUCUGAAAGGAGUGAAAUAGGGUUUUUGAUCUGAGUGAAACCAGAGAAACCUGUUUUCCAUACACAUGAAACAAAUUGUCUGAAAAUAACCGAAAUAGCUUUUCUGAAUUGAUUGAAAGUAUUUUUUUUAAAUGAGUGAAAUGUGUUUUGCGUACAUAUGACUUUUUUAAAUAAGUGAAACGAAUUUGUUUUGCGUACAGUUUUUUUCAAAUUGAGUGAAACCAAUUUUAUGAAUGAGUAACAUCAUUGUUUGAAUGAGUGAAAUCAUUUUGUAAAUAAGUGAAAUCUAAUUUUUGAAACGAGCGAAAUCUGUUUUAUGUAGCGGGCGAAUUUGAUUUGUGAAGUGAUAGUAUUUUGAAUUGAGUGAAAUCGGUUUUUUGAAAUACAUUAAAUGAGUUAUUCGAAGCGAUAGAAAUCAACUGAGUGAGGUUACUUUUAUGAAAUAUUUUUAAGUUUAUUUUUAUUUGACAUAUACUAGCUUCUUGAAACAAGAAUAUUUUCAUUUCGAAAUGAGUGAAAUUUGAUUAUGAAAAUUAUUGAAACAUGUAUUUCUUUCAAUUGAAACGACUGAAAUCAGUUGUAUCGAAUGAGUAAAAUCAGUUGUUUCAUGAACUGAGUGAAAUCAAUUUGUUGAAAUGUGAAAAAUACAUUUUGGGAUGAGUUAAAUCCAUCAUUUUUGAUGGCCCUAGAUCCAUAUUUUGGAGAUGAGUGGAAUAUUAUUUUCUCGAAUCAGUGAAAUGUGUCUUUUAAAAACAGUGAAAUUAAUGUUUAAAAUGACUGAAAUUAGUUUUUUGUAAAUGAUGAAAUACAUUUUUGAAAUUAACACAACAUUCAAUAACACUUGUAUGAAAUAACAAAACUAUCUUUAGUUUUAUGAAAGUGAUUCAAAAGACAAUUGAAAUAUAUAAAAUAAAAAGUAAUUCAAAUGGAACCAGUAUUGAUCUUGUUCGGAACGUCUUGUCAACAUGAUUUGAAAUAUAUAAAAGGUUUCAAAAAUGGGCAUUGGUCUAAAAUAGGACAAUCAUUCAAAAUGCCCUAUCAUUCAACAUGAUCUUGUUCGGAACGUCAAUGUCAUUUAUGUGGGGAGAGAGAAUCAUGCAUGAAUCGGUCUCCAUCCCAACUUUCUCUCUCGUACAAAGCUGCAUGACAUGCAUGUAUUUUGAUACAAAUGUGUGAGCGCAUGCCAGUCUUGUCUGUAUUUAUUGGGUAUAGGAGAGAUAAUGGAUUUACAACUUUAUAUCGUGGCACAGAUAUUAGUGAAAUUGAUGGACGGUGGAUUGCCAAUCGGUAACUACUCGCUCGUGUAAGAGCAUCUAUAGCCGGACCUUGCAAAUUUGAUCCCUCAAACGUCCGUGAACGCGUCCGGGCGUGUUCGUAGACACUGACCGAUCAUGCCUUAAAUUUCCCACUCCACAUCCACGUGUCUCAUGUCCGGAGCAACAACUUCGCGAACAGAUCCCCGUCGCCCCCCGUAACCCCCUCCCGUCGCCCCCAUGAACGACCAGGGGGUAACCCUAGCCGCCGCUGCCGGUCCUCCCUCGCUCGUCCUUCAUCCUCGCCCCCGCCAGCAGCGUCGCCGGACGAAGCCUGGCCGGCAGGGGCGGCGGUGGAGAUCCUCUCCCCUUCACGCGACAUGGUUGGGGCGGGACGGACGUUCGUGAGGAGGCACCGCACUAGCGCACGGUGCGGCGGCGCGGCACACUACAAGAAAUAUGCUCAUACAUGAUGUUUUUUAAGACGUCGUUGAUGAAUUCGUCAUAAAUCUGUGACGAUUUCAUCCGAGAUUGUCGUAAACCGUUUGAGGGGAUCAAAUCUACAUAUAAAUUACGACGAUGUGAGUCAAAAACGUCGUAACUGCAUAAUAUGAGAUCGUCAUAACUUUUACGACGAUUAUAAAAAUGUCGUAACAUGUUCUAACUAUGUUGACAUGUCACUCGUGGGUCUAUUCUAUGUCACGCGCCAAACCCGCCUAGUUUGUGAAGCAACCUACUAUUAUGUCAUUCCAAGAAUUCUCAAAAAAUUAUCAUAAAUACUUUGGAUCAUAUAUUCCUCAAAUAUGUUAAAACCCUUUCUUCCAUAGUUUGAAAAUAAUUCAGCAAUAUUCAUUUUCCUAUUCUGUUCAGAAUAGCACUUUGUGAAGGAAGUGUUAUUUCUAUUUUUUUGAUUACCCUCAUAUUUUUUAGCACUAUUUCCUAUCCAAAUCAUUGCCUCAUGAAAACUUUCGUAACAAUUUGCGUAGUAAAUCUUUCUCAGCAAAUUUCCAAAGCUUGUGUUCAGCUAACAACUUUGUGAAGGAAGUACUAGAUAGGAAUAUCCUGAUGAGUUGAAUUUUUGCCACAUCUUCUAUGUGUCCAAAACAUAGCUCUCCACAAAAGUUUAGCCCCAUCUGACAAUCCAUGUGAGCUCAUCAUCCAAUCUUUGUUUCUGCUAAUAUUUUUAUUUUGUGAAGCAACUACAUUUUAUAUUGCUUUAUAGUUGAUGAAAAUUUACCACGGGAUGAAACUGACCAUGUAACCUCACUCCACCAAAUUUUAGCUCAUUUAAUUUAGCCAGAUUCCCUCAAUAUUUUUUCCAAUAUUCUGUUUAGUAGAGAGCAUUGUGAAGGAAGUACAAUUUUUGUUUAUCCAAAUUUUAUGAAAUUUUUACAAUGCCUUAAUGUGCCCAAAUUAUCAUCAUACACCAAAUUUCAACUCAAUGCAUUCAUUCAUUUGAUCCCAGCUUCGACAUACAUAUUUCUGCAUAGUGUGGUACUUUGCAAAGCAAGUGCCACCUAUGUUCAUUCAUUUGAGCUAAAAAUUUGCCACGAGAGUCUCCUUAGUACAUAAUCACCCUCAGCCAAAAUUUAGGCCCAUUGUCUAUGUUCAUUACCCGCACCGCUAAUCAAACACUUGGCUGCUAAUUCAUGUUUGAGCUUAGUUCGGUCUCCUCGUGAGAUUCUUCUAUUGUAUUCUUCUUCCGGACACCUACCGAGGGAGUGUCCAACCCACCUGACAUGCCUAUUCCACCCAGAAUGCGUGGCAACGCAACGGUCAGCCGGUGACCAUGCGGCUCGCAUCCAAGUUCACGCGCUCUGCAGUUGGGGCCCUCGACCACCAUCCAAACCUCGGCGUCAAGUCACCACACCAUGUAAUUAUAAUUAAAUAGAUACUUAUGUACCUAUAAAUGAUUUUUGGGAAAAACAAAUAGCAAAUUAUAAUGCACCUGCAGUUCAAAUUUGACCCGCUUCCAACUGAAUCGACAUAAAUUUGUCAUUUUCAUGAGAGGUGGAUAAAAGCAGUUAACACCCAACCAUUUUGUCAAUUGUUCAUUAAAUAUGUCCUAGUAUUUUAUAAAAAUGAUAUGGUCCAAUUUUGAAACAAAUAUAUGGUAGGUCCUUCACAAAAAAAAUCAUUUUGAGCACUUGAAAAAUGGAAAAUAAUUUUUACAUAGAAGGAAAAUGAAAACUUUCUUAAUCAACAUUGUUUGCCAUUCUAAUAUGCACUCCUGUGCAUAAUAUUAUAUCAUUUGAACAAACUAUGUCAUGAAUGUGGCUAUAAGAUUGAUCAUUUGGCUUGAAAGUCAUGAAUCUUCACACAUGAUAGCCCAUUUCAAAGAACACCUUUUCAAAAUAAUCACCGUAUUAAAAGUUUAUUAUUUUUCCUGGUAACUUGUCACAUAUUAUGACACAACGCGGAGGUUUUCCAUUUUUUUGAUUUUUUGUUUGAAUUUUCAUUGCCAUUUCAAAAUGUUGUCGAAAUGACGGGCAUGACCGUUCAUAGCUAGGGGUUGAAUCUUGCCAAAUUUUUGUUGGAUCUAUGAUUAAAUAGAUACUUAUUUAUCUAAAAAUGUUUUUUGUAAAAAAUCAUGAGAAAACUAUGAGGCACCUCUAGUUCAAAUUUGACCCGCUUCCUUCUGAUUCGGCAUUAAUUUGUCUUUUUCACUAGAGGUGGAUAAAAGCUUUUAACAUCCAACCAUUUUGUCAAUUGCAAAUUAAAUAUAGCCUAGUAUUUAGAAAAAAUGAUUUGAUACAAUUUUGAAACAAAUAUAUGUUAGGUUCUUCACAAAAAAACUCAUUUUGGGCACUUGAAAAAUGGAAAAAUAUUUUUACAUACAAGGAAAAUGAAGACUUCCUUAAUCAGCAUUGUUUGUCAUUACAAUAUGCACCCUUAUGCACAAUAUUACAUCGUUUCAACAAACUAUGCCAUGAAUGUGGCCAUAAGAUUGAUUAUUUGGCUUGAAAACCAUGAAUCUUCACACAUGAUAGCACAUUUUUGAGAACACUUUUUUAAAAUAAUUGUUGUAUUACAGGGUUAUUAUUUUCCUGGUAUCUUUGUCACAUAUAAUGACACAAUGCAAAGGUUUUCCAUUUUUUUGAUUUUUUUUAAAUUUUGCAUGGCCAUUUUAAAAUGCGGUCAAAACGACCGGUAUGACCGUUCUUACCUAGUGGUUGAAUCUUGGAAAUCUUUUGGUGUUUCUCUGAUUAAAUAGAUACUUUUGUACCUAUAAAUGAUUUUUGGAAAAAAUAAAAAUAAAUAUAUAAUGAAGCUACAGUUCAAAUUUGACCCGCUUCCAGCUGAAUCGAUGAAAAAUUGUCUUUUUCACGAGAGGUGGAUAAAAGCUUUUGACACCCAACCAUUUAGUGAAUUGUACAUUAAAUGUGGCCUAGUAUUUUAAAAAAUUGGUUUGGUCCAAUUUUACAACAAAUAUAUGGCAUGUCAUUAAUAAAAAAACUCAUUUUGGUCACUCGAAAAAUAGAAAAUGGUUUUUUUUUACGGAAAGAAAAUGCCACCCCAAAUCAACAUUGUUGGUCAUCCCUAGAUACACACAUGUGCAAAACAUUGUUUCAGUUCAACAAACUAUAAGAGGUUAAAUGUUACCCUGAAUAAGAGGGUAAAAACUAUAAAAGAAAAACAAAAAACAAAAUUUUACUAGAUGAACUCUGAUUGGUGAUAUCAGUUGUGACAUGGAUCAAUGACAUGGCAAGCAUCCGUCCGUCCAUCCAUCCAUAUAUCCGUCCCUCCGUCAAUCCUAGCCCUCUCUCUCGCGCAGAAAACACCUCCCUCUCUCUCACGUUCAAACCCUGCCUUGCAGCCGCCUCACACCAUCGCCCCCCGAUCCAGAUCUGACACCCACCUCCCUCUGCACCCUCCCACCACCGCUCCCCGAUCCAGAUCCACCACACACACAUCCCUCCGCUUGCCGCCGGUCUACACCAUCCCUCCGCUGUCCCUGCUCCCCAUCCAGAAGCCGCUGUCCCCGCUCCCCAUCUAGAUCCAAACCCUAGCUCAAUCCGACUCGCAGCCCCGCGGCCCCGACCCCAACCCCUCCCUCUCCCCCGAUCUGCAGCCGAGGAGGACCAGUGCGGCGAGGAGUACGUGCGGGCCGAGGAGGACCAGUGCGGCGACCCGACCCUGCCCGCCCUCACCAACGUGUUGCGCGCCGCCGGCGCCGGCGAGUGCUGGCACAAGCACGUCACCUUCCUCGCCCACCUGCUCGAGGUCAACCGGAUCCUGCGCCUCUGGGCCGCGCCCGACGCCGUGGCCCGCUGCGGCCUCUACCACUCAGCAUACUCCAUGUCCUACGUCAACCUCGCCAUCUUCGAGCCCGAUGUCUGUCGCGCCCGCGUUGCCGCCGUCGUCGGGGACGAGGCCGAGCGGCUUGUCCACCUCUUCUGCGUCGUCCCGCGGCAACAGCUCGUCCAUGACGACCUACUCUUCCACUACGACGACGGCGACCUCGCCGCCGACCUGGCCCGGUCCGAGGAGUCCGUAUUGGACGCGCGUCGUGGGGUGUUCGACGAGGACGAGCCCUGGCAACGCAAGAUCCAGCGCCUCCUCCCCGCCGACGGAAUCACAGUCAAGCACAUCAGGUGCGAGUUUGAUUGUUUCCUCAUGAGGAACUUUUCUGUGGUUGCUUGCCUGAAUGAAAUCAGUACAUGUUCAGAUAACUGAAUUAUACAUUGUUGUGUGUAGUCUUUGUCAGAAAUAUAUACGGAGUACUACGGUACUGACAGACACUAGUGGGGACAGGGCCUAUAGCCCCGGCCCAUAAGGGGCUUUAGUCCCGGUUCACCAACCGGGACUAAAGGGGCGGGACUAAAGGCCUAACCUUUAGACCCGGCCCUGUUACAAGCCGGGACUAAAGAUGCUCCACGUGGGCGCCUCGUAGCGCCCCACGGGCAGGACCUUUAGUCCCGGUUCGUUACACGGGCCGGGACUAAAGAUUUUUAGAUUUUGCUGGUUUUUGGGUUUUUUUGAAUGAAAUUAUUUUUGGGUUUUACGGUUUUAGGGUUUAGGUGUUCGGGAGAUUAACGUGAUGCCUCGUUUGGUUUUCGGGAAUUAGUUUUCAUAUAAUUUAAAUAGAAAGAAAGAUGCACAUAUAUAUAAGAUUAACUUAUCUUACAAGCGAGCAUAUAUAUACAAUUAUAUGCAGAUCUGAAUUAUCGGGACUAGAGCCCGUCUAUUCGAUUACAUGGACGAACAUCAGUAAUGGCCCUUAGCUACACUAAAUCGUCCUUUGUCAUCUAUAGCUUCCGUCCUCAGAAAUCCCGCAAGCUCCUGUGCAACAGCAAUCGCGCGUUGCUCUGGUAGGACCUUCGUCCUCAUGGCCGUGUGCUAUAUAAGAAGAGGAGAUGAAUAUGAAUAUCAAUCAUGAUAACAAAGAAUGACGGGUAAAAAUAGAGGUGUGAAUGUUCAUUACUUACGUCGAAUCUGUGAUCCUUGAGGUCAGAGGUAAACGUGCGAAUGGUCUCGCAAACAUAGUAUCCGCAUAGAUGCGUUCCCCGUGGCUGCUGGUCGCACUUUACGAGAAUAGAAUAUAUAUAAUCAAAAUAUUAAUCUAGCAUCAUAAAUGUAUUGAAAAUUAAUAGAAGUAUAUCAUACUACUACUUACCUGAGCCGCUCUAAAGGUCAGCUUCUCAGGAAAGUUACCGGGAGUCACGCACUUGAACCGCUUCCAAACCCUGCCCGACAAGGAUAAUGAUUUGCUAAGUUUUUCAUUAAUUGAUAUAUCAGAAAAUCAUCGAAAGAGACCGAUAGAGCGCAAGAAUGAUUAAAAUUACCCUUGGAGCAUGUCCUGCAGGCUUUAGAACUGUUCCAAGGGUCUCGAUAAUGGGUCGAAGGCAUCAAUUCUUCCCUUAUCAAUUUGAAUGUCCAACAGAAUCCAAUGGAAGCUGCACAUGUAUGUAUAUAUAUAUAUAUAUAUAUAUACUAUAUAUGUACUAACGUUAACUUAUACUAANNNNNNNNNNNNNNNNNNNNNNNNNNNNNNNNNNNNNNNNNNNNNNNNNNNNNNNNNNNNNNNNNNNNNNNNNNNNNNNNNNNNNNNNNNNNNNNNNNNNCMAACCAAGAAAUACCAACUAGGAAGGACUGCACAUGUAUGUAUAUAUAUAUAUAUAUAUAUAUACAUAUAUGUCAGUAACUUAUCAAUUACACUUAUAAGUGAAUGGACACAACAGAGUAAAGACCCUUACUUGAAGUUGUAUGGAAACCCUUACUUGAAGUUGUAUGGAAACAGUAUGUGGUCACAGAAAUUUUGAUCUGUUAGAAACCUUAGAAGGUUUUCCUCCGUCUCCUUGGGUUAAUUAGUUAGCGUCGUUAUAUGUAUUUUAUCUGGGUCAAUAAACCCAAUAUUUAUGAUGCUCUUACUUUUACAAUCCAGAAUCUUCAUUCUGCAUAAUAGAGUAGGAGUUAUAUAUAGACAAUGAAUUGGAAUAACUAAACAAGUUAUAUGUAGACAGCGAAUUGAAAAACUUACGCACAAUAGCAACUCAUAAGCGAUUUGUCGAGGGCGUCGGCAUUGUACAUCUGGAAGAGUUCAUCAAAGUCGAUAUGGAUUUCUUCAGGGCGGCCGUAGUACUCCCGUGGCACACUCAGCACGAUCAUCGUUCUCCCCUUCUUUGAUUCACUUAAGUACCAUGUAUGCAAGUAACGCAUAUUUGUUGGAAGAUCAUCUUUGUUGACCAAAGGCUCACCCAUGACAAACUUUGGCUUAGGGGCUACCACAGCCUUGGGUAUCUUGUCGUCUUGGGAAGACAGCAAUUCUUCAAGCGAGAUACCACAUUGAGCCGCCAACUCCUUUGUUGUUUCUAAAGCUAGGCCCUGCACCGGAGGGGGAACAUUCUCGGUUAACACCUUGAGGGGUGGGGUCGACUGUUUGGCCUGUUGUUCAAGCUGAGGAACGUCUGAUUUUUCUUGCUUGUAGUUGAACUGCUCUUUUUCACUUCCUUCUGCAAUGUGCGUGUAUAGUCAUCAGGCUUAUGGUGUAAGUCAUAAGGUCUGAUAGGAAGAUUAGCAGACGUACCUUUGGGAGGGGCGACCGUUUGCGCUUUGGGGUGCUCUGUGGCUUAGGAAUCGUCGGCGGAGCGUUCUUGGUGGCACGCUCCCGCUUAGUAUCCGGAGCGGGCGGCGGCGGAGACAGACGACCCAAGUCCGGCGGCGGUGAUCGAGAUCUUCUCUUUUUCACUUCCUUCUGCAAUGUGCGUGUAUAGUCAUCAGGCUUAUGGUAUAAGUCAUACUGUGAUGGAAGGGUCGUGAAGUAUUUUGCAAAUGCUAUUUGCUUCUAGGUGUAUUCCGGGCGGGGCUCGGGUUCCUUCUUUUUCAUCUGCGCAUCAUGAUGUUCCUUUGCUAUCCUGGCGUUUUCCUUGGGGGUACGAUCAUAAGGUCCGAUAGGAAGAUUAGCAUGACGUACCUUUGGGAGGGGCGACCGUUUGUGCUUUCAGGUGCUCUGUGGCUUAGGAAUCGKCGGCGGAGCGUUCUUGGUGGCACGCUCCCGCUUUGUAUCCGUGGCAGGCUCAGGCUUUGUAUCCGGAGCGGGCGGCGGCGUUGCGUUCUUGGUGGCAYGCUCCYGCUUUGUNNNNNNNNNNNNNNNNNNNNNNNNNNNNNNNNNNNNNNNNNNNNNNNNNNNNNNNNNNNNNNNNNNNNNNNNNNNNNNNNNNNNNNNNNNNNNNNNNNNNGCGUUCUUGGUGGCACGCUCCCGCGUUGUAUCCGUGGCUAGGCUCAGGCUUUGUAUCCGGAGCGGACGGCGGCGGAGCGUUCUUGGUGGCACGCUCCCGCUUUGUAUCCGUGGCAGGCUCAGGGUUUGUAUCCGGAGCGGGCAGCGGCGGAGCGUUCUUGGUGGCACGCUCCCGCUUUAUAUCCGUGGCAGGCUCAGGGAUUGUGUCCGGAGCGGGCAGCGGCGGAGACGGACGACCCAAGUCCGGCGGCGAUGAUCGAGAUGGACUCGUGUUGUGCUGGCCGACGUCAUGUGGAGGGCUUGGAGGUAAUGGAGGUGUAGGUGACGUGCGAUGACUCGGAGACGGUGUUGUCCUUGGGGCUGAGCCUGGAAGCUUGAUGUAGUUCUUGUCCCAUAGGAUGACUCCACCCAGUACUUCUCCGAGUGUCCUCUCAUCUUCGGGUCCAGCUAUGUCGAGCUCCAUAUCAUUAAACCCCGUCAUGAUUUCAUCCACCCCGACUUUAGCAAAGCCAACUGGAAUCUCACGGCCAUGCCAGCGUGCAUUAGGGCCAGAAGGUAAAGCUUNNNNNNNNNNNNNNNNNNNNNNNNNNNNNNNNNNNNNNNNNNNNNNNNNNNNNNNNNNNNNNNNNNNNNNNNNNNNNNNNNNNNNNNNNNNNNNNNNNNNGAAGCGAACCAACUAUGAUUCCAAUGGAACAUACUAAACACUAGUUGAUUCUAAUACGAUUUUUCAGAUUAUGGAACACUAUUCCAAUCAGAUUGUGUUCCCCUUCAACUAAUCAAAAUUGUUUCACUACAACUAUUUGAAGGGAACCAACUAUGAUUCCAAUGGAACAUAUUAAACACUAGUUGAUUCUAAUACGAUUUUUCAGAUUAUGGAAGACUAUUCCAAUCAGAUUGUGCUCCCCUUCAAGUAAUCAAAAUUGUUUCACUACAACUAUUUGAAGGGAACCAACUAUGAUUCCAAUGGAACAUAUUAAACACUAGUUCAUUCUAAUACAAUUUUUCAGAUUAUGGAACACUAUUCCAAUUAGGAUUGUGCUCCCCUUCAACUAAUCAAAAUUGUUUCACUACAACUAUUUGAAGGGAACCAACUAUGAUUCCAAUGGAACAUAUUAAACACUAGUUGAUUCUAAUACGAUUUUUCAGAUUAUGGAAGACUAUUCCAAUUCAGUAUUGUCGUCCCUUCCCCCNNNNNNNNNNNNNNNNNNNNNNNNNNNNNNNNNNNNNNNNNNNNNNNNNNNNNNNNNNNNNNNNNNNNNNNNNNNNNNNNNNNNNNNNNNNNNNNNNNNNUUCCCUUCUCUUCUUCCACCAUGCCAACUACCUUUCAUGAGGUGGUCGCGCAUGGCACGACGAAGCUCCGUGUCGUGUACACGAACCUGAGCACGGAGGUGCCGUUUUCCUUCAACAGUUGAAGGAACGAUGGUUUAACCACGCACCGGAUCAUGAGAAGUUCUUCGGGCUGGAUCUGGAGUACACGGCCGAUCAACGCGGUGUUGCCGUCAUCCAAAUAUGCUUCGCAAGCCAUGUCUUGAUCUUUCAAUGGGCGAGGUAAGUUUUGAGGCUUUCUUUGAUCCAAGAUAAUGACAUUGUAUAAGUUUAUUUGUUUCUAUCAUAGUUGGUUCCCUUCAAAUAGUUGUAGUGGAACAAUUUUGAUUAGUUGAAGGGGANCACAAUCURAUUGGAAUAGUGUUCCAUAAUCUGAAAAAUCGUAUUAGAAUGAACUAGUGUUUAAUAUGUUCCAUUGGAAUCAUAGUUGUUUCUCUUCAAAUAGUUGUAGUGAUCUCUCUAGGUUCCAUUGCAUAUGUUCUAUUUGAAUCCUAAAGAUAAGUUUCUCUUUAGUUGNNNNNNNNNNNNNNNNNNNNNNNNNNNNNNNNNNNNNNNNNNNNNNNNNNNNNNNNNNNNNNNNNNNNNNNNNNNNNNNNNNNNNNNNNNNNNNNNNNNNUUCAGCAGUAUAGAUGGGUUACCACCUUUGGAUUUCGAGAAUACACGGCCAUAUCUAUCGGAGGGCCGGUACGGUAAAAGAGCUCUUAUUUAAACGCUCCUACAAAGGUGAACAGUACAUGCCCACCAGUCCAAAACAGUUGGCAGCGUUUAUGAUCCAGGAACGCGGCUAGUUUUUCACUCGAGCACCAUUAAUUGAAAAUGUGAAUCUCAUGAAUAAACAUGGCUCGGNNNNNNNNNNNNNNNNNNNNNNNNNNNNNNNNNNNNNNNNNNNNNNNNNNNNNNNNNNNNNNNNNNNNNNNNNNNNNNNNNNNNNNNNNNNNNNNNNNNNNNNNNNNNNNNNNNNNNNNNNNNNNNNNNNNNNNNNNNNNNNNNNGAAUAAACAUGGCUCGGGACCCACACAUUUUCGAAUAAACAUGGCUCGGGACCAACACAUUUUCAGCGUGUACUUUGUGUGGGGCGCCGCUAAAUUUGCUUGCGGCAGUCGUGUGUGGUCCUCCUGUAAACGUCGCUUAUAUUGCUCAUUGAAAUAAAAAAGGACAUGUUGUGUCGAAUUAUCUAAUUCCUUUCAUGAAAGCAAAUGUGCACUUCAAAGGAAUUUAUAUGAAAACUUUUUAUAACACUCCUAAAUUAUAAACACACCUUCAAGUGUUCAUGUAUAACGAAAACAUCGCAUGUCUCAUUUUCUUCAUAGGUGUUUACAUUUUCUUAAAAUGAAUAAAAAAAUUGUAGUGUUUGAAAUGUCUCGUGAAAGUUUACUUAAUAAAAUUUGAAACACAAAACACCGUAGUUCUGUUUAAAAUACUAAAAUACAUAAAUACUACCAACAAUGUUUCCCGUGACAGCACAUGCCCUAAUGGUCCGCACUAGUAGUGUGUUUUGAUACUUAAACGAUGCUAAGUAAUUUUUUAUAUUAAGUCUCUUUAAAAUAAAAACAACCUCAGUAAAUUCAUAAGUGGAUAUGUAACUACAAAAUGGUGCAUACUAAAGGCAUAGACACUCUUCAAGUGAAUAAAAAAAACAAAUCGAGACAAUGAAGUGAAACAAAUGACAAUACUACCAUCUUUAUCUUAAAUCGGGCACGCUUUUUUCAAAAUUCUUUGGAUUACCUGUCGAGAUACCUCUUAGGUUUGGAAGGAAUCUUUCUAAUUUUUGGUUAAAAAUACAAAGUUUAAUAUAAUGAUACCACACAAAGUUCCAAAUUUUUAGAUUGUGUUUACAUUAAAAAAAUUCAAACCCCAAACAUUUAGCAGCGUUCUCCUUCCAGAAGUACGCUGCCAUAUAGACGCGACGUUAGAGCAUCUACAGUUGUACAUAGCAAAUAUGACCCCCUAAAUGUUUAUGGACGCACCCGGUCAGUGACCGGGCAUGUCUGAUAUUUGUCCGUCUGCGCAGUCAGAUUUUUCUUAUUUUCUUCCUCAUAUGUCCGGUCACUUGCACGUGAUUGAUCGAGUGGAAGAGAGAGAAAGAAAACGAAUAAAGAAAGAGAAAAGAUGGUUUGGAUGAGUCGCGCCCUAUGUGGCGGACUGACCGGUGAGCCGGGCGCGUCCGCGAGCCCUCAUAUGCUCCCUAUAUUUGAUAUGGAUAUGAGGAUUUGCGGAUAGUCCAGACGUAUAAGGAUGAUAUGAGGGGUCAUGUACGUUCAUUGACCGGCCGUGUACAUGGAUAUGAGGGGUCGUUUAAGGCGUCCGGCUAGAGAUGCCCUUAGAGCACCUACAAUCGGACCCCUCAAAUCCAUCUCAAACGUUUGGACUGAUCGGCACCCUCAUAUCCAUCUCAAAUAUGAGGACGAUAUGAGAGCUCGCAGACGCGUCUGGACACGCCUGGCGAGUCCGCCACCUAGGACCACUUUUUCUCUUUGUUUAUUUAUUUUUUAUUUCUUUUUCUUCUUCUCCAUCAAUCACAUGUAACCGAUCGGACAUAUAAGAAAAAAUAUGAAAAGUGCGAUUGCACAGAUAAAAAGUAGAGUCUUAAAACAAACACGGUCGAUCAUUGAUUGUGCACGUCCGCACGCGUUUGAGGGGGGCAGAUUUGCAUGUUCCGUCUGUAGAUGCUCAUAGCAGCCAAGCCGGCACGUAGGUUAGCAGUGUUCCUAUAUUUCGCACGUGGUUGGCUGAUAGAUGAUAGGCAUACAAGCCAUCACCCGGGCUUAACCCCCCUCCCCUCUCUCGCUCCGCCGAACCCAUUUGUAUGUCGCCGGCCGAUCGACGCCGAUUCUGACAUCGUUGUGCCCGUUCUUCCCCACUCGACUUGCAUAUGCCAGCGGCACAUACAGUGCCGCCCUGCGGCAGGCUCCUCUCUGCUCCACAACGUCAUGAGUUCGAUCCAUCUGGCCUCGACUGUACGAAUGCGCUUGACGUUGUUCCAAACUAAUUAACAAUGUAUAUACUUGACGUUGUAUAUACCCGAACAGAGGAUACAACACAGCUAAACCCACCAAACCAAAAGAGCGGCAACCGAACCAAAAGAGGUACAGAGAAAGUACAUGUCAGCGGUUAACAACGAUGAUAACAUAAGUAGAAGUAGUAGUUUCAAUUUCGACGACAGAUAUUCAAUUAUUCAUUCCGCAGCAGUUUCUUGGGACACUGACGACGAUGCAUACAUUAGCAGGAACACUAGCUCAUGGGCUGAAGAACGCCGGUGGCGGUGGACGUGGACGAGGGGCGGCGCCAUGGAAGGAGGUGUCCUUGAGGUGGUCGGGGGCGCUCUCGUACGAGUGCCUCCUCGCCAGCGAGAGGAUGGUCUUGUCGGCGGCGACGAAGUAGGCCAUCCCGGCGACGGUGCAGAUGAUGAGCGCCUGGCCGGUGGGGUUCAGGUUCGCCUUGGCCCACGGCAGCAUCCUCACGCUCGCCAGCUGCGUGAUUAAUAGUAGUUCAGUUAUGGAAACCAGAGUCCAACGUGAACGAAAAUCAACAAGUCAUGUUAGACAAAGGAGCUAGCUCACCGUUGCCGCCGCAGACGCGACCGUGGCGAGGGCCGCCGCCUUUGCUCCGGCGAGCGUCGCCUCUGAGGAAGAUUGACAAAAUAAACGCAUUGCUACUGUCAGACUAGCAGUAAACAACUUGGAAAGCGUGAUUCAGCUGUGGAUCCUGGUUAUUUAUUACCUCUGGAGCAGCGUUUGGCGAGGGCGAGCUUGUUCUCGGGGUUGGCGCCGGUGACGGUGGCCGUCGACGACAUCUUGGCCGUGAUCUUGUACAGAAACGGCUCAGUACAAGGAGUGCGAUAGAGUGAGAUGAGAUGCGCUGCCUGGCUUGUUGUUGCUUGAUGCCUCCAGGACGAGGAGCUAGCCAUGUAUUUAUAGCGAGCAAAAAGGUGGCCGCCACGCACGGUUUUGGGCGGAAACCGUGGGUGCUCUCUCUGCUCACUCGUUUGGACUUGGAGUGCGGAACUGUAUCCAAAACUAUGGUAGGGAUCCAUAGGAUUGAUGAUGUUUGUUGGUAGUAUCCUCCACUGCGCCCUCGUCUUUCUUUACACACUAAAGAUCUAAAGUUAGACAUCACAGUGCCGAUCUCAUCACAAUACAUAUAAAACUGUGGGAUGAGAAACGAAACAGAGCAUGUGCGGCUGCAAGUGCCGCCAGUUUCACUCGUGGUCGUGACUCGUUUCGGCGAGCGGCACCUUCCAGUUUGCGGGGGAAACCGGCGGCAUGUGCGCCCCAGCCUGACCAGCCCUUCUCUUUGUGAGAGCAUCUACAGCCGGACUGGUAAAUUCAGUCCCCGAUACAUCCGCCGAUGCGCCGUGGACAACGUUCGCCGGCCCUCUACAUAUUGCGUCACAUAUUUGUAUCCUCAUACACAAUAAUCAAUCAUAUAUAUCAAUCAUCUGAUAUAGUUUAUUUAAUUUCAAUAUUUUAAAGGGUUUGGCUAGAACUCAUCUAGAUGAUAUAUAAUUUGAUCUCAUUCAUUUUUUUAUGUUAUAUUACUAUUUCUUUCUUGUGCUAUUUUUUUGUGUUAAUAUGUUAUGUUGGCUCGGCUGGGCUUGUUUUUACUACGUAGCUAUAUAAUUCUCUGUGUCUUGUUGUUUUUUCUACAUUUGCAUGGCUGGAAUAUUUGAGGAAAAGGAAGAAAAUGCUUACACGCAAAUCUUCUGCGCAUGUCAACUAGGAUAUACGAUGCAUCAUGUUCACGGCUGCUUGUGUCUUUUUCUUUUUUGCAUUUGCAUGUCUACUGAUGCACAUGCAACUAGUCCGACAACCCUCAUCCCGAACCCACUUGCAAUCUCUUUGCAUCCAAUGCAAUUGCAGCCGGGUUUCAACGUUGCACAUGCAACUGGUUUGACAACCCCCACCCCUAACCCAGUUGCAGUCUCUUUGCAUCCAGUGCAAUUGCAGUGGGGUUUCAAUACUUGAAGUUGCACGUCUACUGGUGCACAUGCAACUGGUCUGAUAACCCCUGUCCCGAACCCAGUUGCAGUCUCUUUGCACCCAGUACAAUUGCAGCCGGGGUUUCAAUGCUUGAAGUUGCAUGUCUAGUAGUGGACAUGCAACUGGUCCGACAACCCCCGUUCCGACCCCAGUUGUAGUCUCUUUGCACCUAGUGCAAUUGCAGUCGGGUUCCAAUGCUUGAAGUUGCAUGUCUAGUAAUGGACAUACAACUGGUCCGACAAACCCCGUCCCGACCCCAAUUGCAGUGUCUUGCACUCAAUGCAAUUGCGGCUGAGUUAUAAAUGUUUGAAGUUGCAUGUCUAAUGUUAGACAUACAACUAGCCCGAUAAUCCUCGUUCGAUGUCAAUUGUAAUAUCUUUGUGAUCGCACUGCCUAAUGAGAAAGAAAAUCUGGGAACACAAAAUACAAGUAUAAAAAAAUUAUUUUCUAGUACAUUUAAAAAGUUAACCAAAUUUCAUCUUAGUAGAAAUUAGUUUAAAAAAUCUUUAAAUGUUCUCUUCCAACCAAACAAUGAAAACAAAGUAGAAAAUGAUAAAUAUUGAAAAAAUAAAGGUAAAAUAGGAAUAAUGGAUAAAAAAUGAAACAACAAAGAAAACCAAAAUGCAGGAAAAAAAAGUCGCUUGUUCCCUAUGGCCUAGUAUAAAGAGAAAAAAGAACUAACAUAACUGUCAUAAGCCCACACAAGUCCAGCGGACAAAAGCCCAUCACGGGAAAAAGGUGCGGCGAGGCGAAUAGAUGGGCAGCCUCAUCGCGAGGCGACUCGUCACUUCUACAAAACUCAAAUCCGGAUGUGAUUGAAUCCUAGGGUUAAAAAAGUGAAUGAGACCAAAAAAAAUCUCAGCUGAAUGAGUUUUAGCAAAACCGUAUUUUAAAACAAAAUCAAAUGAAAUCAUAGUUCGACAAGCUGGACAUGGUAAAAUAAAAUUAAUGUCCGAGCGACAAGGGAUGCCUUUUUGAUCAUUAGGUGAACAAAUUCAUCCAUGCAUCCCUGCUCGUCCAACUUGUCAUUUUCCGCCUCGGCAAUCAUCUCCGCCUGCAUUUGGAAUGUCUGCUCCGCCUGCAUCAUAGUCGGCCCCGACCUCGGGCAGGGACCCGGAGCGGCGCCAUGCGGCGUUCACACUGCACCGACGGACAAGGCGCCCCUCAGGCUGUCAUGUUUCCCGGCGAGUCCGCCUGGGGCCAAGCCGUGAGCACGACAUGGCAGGCGUGCCUCGGCGUGCCCGGGCUCCCCCAUAUCCGCCUCAUAUUUGGGUUGAAAAUGGGAGGUCAGAGUCAGCCCGGACGUUUUAGGUCGGUUUGAGAGGCCCGUCCGGAUCACAAUUUUGUGAUCGGGCAGUGAUCGAGCGGACUGCCCGGGGGUUUGAGGGGUCCGAUUGUAGAUGCUCUUACAGCCGGACCUCUUAACCCCCUCUCAAACGCCCGGUUAGUGACUAGUCACAGAAAAGCGACCCGGACUUCUUAAACUGAGACUCAAACGCCGAGGCUGAUCCUCACCCCUCAUAUACAACCCAAAUAUGGGGCGGAUAUGGGGACUCACGUACGUGCCCGCCAUGUCGGACGCGAUAGCCCGACCCCAUCAUAAUUUACACAAAAUGUACCAAACCCUUCGUCCUCCCCCGCCUCCCUACUGCCAUUACCGUGCCCAAGCCCUCGCCAUCCCGCCCCCUUGCUUGCCAUCCUCAACACCGGCUUCUAUCCAUCGUCGUAGAUAACGUCCAGUUCAUCCCCAACCGCCUUGUCGGAGGCUGUGACCGCCUCGUUCGUCGAUGUCCGAUCCUCGACUUCGUCGUGCAUGCCGGAGAAUAUCACCCUGAAGAUGCGGCGGCGGCAUCGUAGGGAGCUGCGAAUAUGAAAUAGCAGCUCCCCCCCUCCCCCUCCCUUCGCCGCGGCAGGAACCCCGCAUCCCGUCCAUCAUUCCGUCGACGCGAAUUGCACCGUCGGACCAUGUUGGCAUGUCCGGAUUGUUGAAUUAUCAUUUGUUUUGAUUUGUCUUGAACUGUUGAAUUCAAACAAUUUGUAUCGUAUGAUCGAUGUGCAUAAAGAACAUACCCGGAUAUCUACUCCCGGAUUUGUCAUGAAUAUAAAACAUGAUGAUAGUAGAUAUUCAUGGCCUAAAGAACAUACCCGGAUGAACAUGAUGAUAGUAGAUAUGCAUGCCUGCAGGAGCAGUUUCUGGGACACUCACGACGAUCGAUGCAUGCAUUAGCUCAUGGCCUUAAGAAUGCCGGACGAACCGCGGCGGCGCCAUGGAAGGAGGUGUCCUUGAGGUGGUCGGGCGCGCUCUCGUACGAGUGCCUCCUCGCCAACGACAGGAUGGUCUUGUCGGCGGCGACGAAGUAUGCCAUCCCGGCGACGGUGCAGACGAUGAGCGCCUGGCCGGUGGGGUUCAGGUUCGCCUUGGCCCACGGCAGCAUCCGGACGCUCGCCAGCUGAACGGCAUGAAUCAACAGUUACAUAUAUAUACUUACAUCUCGAUCAAACUAAUCUCCUUGAUUGACUACUUGAAACAGAGACUGAUUAACAUGCAUGAAGAU
rnacentral:lncRNA from 1 species